CGCACUAAGAUUCACUCUCUUAGUCUUCUCUAGGAUCCGAUCAACCUUGAUCUCCUAAAGGAAUCACCACUAAGAUUCACUCUCUUAGUCUUCUUAAGGAUACUGACCUACCCGGUCCCUUAAGGAAAAUCAAACAACUGUUUGAGGUUGGUGUUUACAAGGGUUUGCUUCUGAAUAAGCUGAGUGUAAACUAAAUAAAUUACAAGAUGAAAGAAAGCUUAGAAUAUUUUGAAUAUGUCUUGCGCGUGUGUAUUUCUUUUUCUUAGCCGCUUCUUUCAAUCUUCAGCCUCUAUAUAUACUCCAAGGAUUAGGGUUGAGCGUUGCAUGGGAAAUGCUACCGUUGGAGGGCAGUUCUGGAAAAUCCAGCUUCUGCUGUGGCUGAGAACGUUAGGUAGGUCGUCAGGAAGGUACACUUGCUUUUGUACUUGGAUAGCGACUUGACCUUUUACCUAGGAGACUUCUGAUCAGGGGAAUACUUCAUAUUGGAACUUGUGAAGCCGGUUGAUCAGAGUCAGAGGGAAAGCACAGAUCCUCUGACCAUUGUAUCUUCUGAUUCUGAACUCAGAGGGAAGAACAUGGCCUUCAGAGUUUCUUGCUUCUGGACUUCAGAGUUUCCACUAUUCAGCUUCUGGAUCUUCAGAGUCUUCUACACCAUCAGAACAUCUGAACCUUCAGUGUUUCUUGGUUAUCAGAACUUCUGGAUCUUCAGAGCUUCUAGCGACUGAGUCCACAUCAGAGUUUGUAUAGCUUCAGAACUUCUGAAGCUUUUCCACUGUUCAUACUGAACAUGGUGAAUGCGAAAAGCGUUGCUUGGGUCACUCUUUAUACACAGUGCUUCUGAUUUGUGUGAGAUUGAGUUGAGGUCAGAGCCUGUAAAUAACACACUCAGAAAAACACGUUAGAGUACCACAAUUGUUCGUAUCAAACGGUUAACUUGUAAUCAUCAAAACAUAGAGUUGUACUACUAGAUCAAAACUUGAUCUUACAGAACUUACCUUUUUCGAGCUGAAUUAGUUGUUCCGCCACCACGGAAUCCACCAAAGAUAGAAUGAAUUCGCCCCUUUGCCGUUCCUUCUGCUUGUUUCCCCCGAUCUUCAUUCAUAAUCUCCUUUCCAUCUUCAGUUCGCUUUGUUGAAGUUCCUGCCUCAUUAGAAUCACUUCGCCCUUCUAAUUGCUUCAUGCAUCCGGCUUUCAGCAAUUUAUCAAUCUCUUUCUUUAGAGUAAAGCAAUCAUCAGUGGUAUGACCUGAGAUCCUGUGAUAUUCACACCACUUUGUUUUGUCCACGUUUCCCGUUGACUGCUUCGGUUGACGAGGAAAAUGAAUGACAUUCGCCUCCAAGCACGUGUGUAAAGCUUCAGUUAAAUUGACCGCCAAAGGAGUAACACGAUCCUUUUGAUUUCGAGUCCACGUCAUCGAGUGUCCCGAUCCACGUACACCAUACGGUUGAGCACGAUUUUUGAAAUGAGAACGGUUAUCAAAUCGACUAUCAUAACGGUUCCGAUUAUUAAAUCCUCUAUCUCCACGUUCAGUCCACCCCUUCGAAUACUGUUCAGCAACCGCUCCUCUCUUCGCCUCAAACUGCUGUUUUUGCCCUGUAACUGCUACAUUCGGGCGGUUAUUUUUGAUCCGAUCGCUUUGUUCCUCCCUGAUGAAUCCUUGUACUCUUUCACGUAAAUGCGCCAUUGUUUCCACCGGCUUCCAACUCAAAUUACUGUUUAAGCUCCCAGGCCGUAAACCCAAUUCAAAAGCUGCAACACAAAUCUCCAGCAUCUUAUCCUCCAAAUGAACAGACAAUUGAUUGAAUCGCCCCAUAUAAGACUGCAAAGUCUCAUUCAAUCCCUGGCGAACGUUGAAUAACAUCGCUGGAGUCACCUUUUGAGCACGACUAGUUGAGAUCUGAGACAAAAACUUUGCCGACAAUUCCAUGAAAUUCACAAUCGAUCCCGCCAUCGCCCUCUCGUAGCCCUUGAGUCUGAUUGAAAUCAGUUAGUUGAUUUUACAUGAUUCCUCUCCCCGUUCGCCCCGGAUCGAGUCACCAUUGCAGUGAAAAAUGAAGCCUAGGAAAGUAACCUUCGGCCCCACGGUGGGCGCCAAUGUUCCGGUAUGGAACCACAGAACGGGCUAAUCAAACUAGAGAGCGAAUACAAAGUAAACAAACAAGUAAAAUGCGUGAAAUGAUAGGUCCCCCUACCGCUUGGGUGGUGCCUGUUAUUUAUAACUUGGGUUUUGGUCCGAACGAACCAUGGGUUGCCCGACCCAUUAAGUAUACAAAGUGAUUAGCCCAAGUGUCUUAUGAAUUGGUACGCCCAUGUUAGACCAGAGGUGGUACAUUACUAGGAGAUAAGAGAUGGAAUGUUGAGUUCGUUUGCAAGUAGAUUCAUCAGAAGCAUCAGGAUCAUGUGCAGUAUCUUGUCAAGAGUCAGAAUCUGACAGUUGUCGCUGCGACAUGGGCUACUCCACCCCCCAAAGGGUGCUGCAAACUACAUGUUGAUAGAGCAUUUGGCGCUACUACUCAGUUCAUGGGCAUGGGAGGUUUGAUAUGUGAUAGCGGUGGUUCAUGGUUGCGAGGCUUCUAUGCAAGUUAAAAUGGUGGCAAUCGUGACUCUCUUUGUUUAGAUUUCGGUGCACUUAGGCAUGUUUUAUAGGAUAUGAAUGUUACAAAACCUGUUUAUGAAACAAGCUGCUUGGAGAUUGUUGAAGCUCUUUAUAUGAGAGGUUGAAAUUUCAUCUUUAUGCUCAAGACCUUGGAGAUUUGCUAGUUACUUGAGUGAAAUUGAGAAGUGCAGCUGCGUCAUGUUCCUAGAGAAGCUAAUUUCUCUACAUAUUAUUUAGCUGGUAUUGGAGCAAGUUUCCAAUGUGAUUUCACUUCUCUAGACUUGCCUUCGCAGAUGGUUGCACCAUUUUUUAUCUAGGGAUAUCCUAUACUUGUAGUUUCUUUUUUGUUUUUCGUAUCUCAUUCACCAAAAAUACUAAUUGUUGAAUUUAUAUAUAAUAAUUUUAACCUUUCAUGUUUUUUUUUGUUAGAAUAAAUUUAGGAGAGUGAAGCUAGUCUGAACACAAUGUGUUGAAGAAGUUUAUUUUCCUACUCGUGGUCCCCCUCCCACCCUAAAAGAAAUGUCUAUGAAAGCCCUAUAAGGUCACGUGUAGGGUUCAAUGCACUUACGGACCGUAAUAAUGUAAAAAUUCAUCAUUAGCAGUGCAGGGAUUGGUAUUAUGCGAAAUCAUUAUAAUGACCUCAGAGCAACAAAAAAAAAGAAGUAAUGGUAAGUAAGGAUAUAGAGUUGAACAACAACAAUGUUUGCACAUUGCAACAUUAAUUGAUGAAGUCAUGCCAUUUAUUUGGCUUUGGUCUGGUUGAAAUGUUCUUCCUUUCCACUAGUUUCAUCUAACUCAUUACCUUUGUUGUUGUGGGUCACAUUCAGAUCUUUCUCUUGCCAAUAGUAUCACACGCUCACCCAUGAUGAGCAGAUAUAACUAUAGGAUGAAAUUUCAAAGCCCUUCACGUGUGUUGGUCUUUGAUGCUCCACACAAAUCAGUUACUUUGCUUCUUCUCACUGGCUCAUGCAAUCAUCUCCUACACUCUUUUUCCCUUUUCAUUUUUUUGUUUUCCCUUUUGGUAAAAAUAAAGAUGGGUCAUUACCACUCUGCAUAAUUGUAAUUAUAGACCAAGGUAUAUGAUGAUGGGUAUUCAUGAGUGCCAGUUAUUUCUCNACUCUUUCCCUACUAAACACAUUUAUGAAGGAAAAUAUGUUCCAAAUUUCUCAAAUUGUGUCUCAAUUUCAUGUAGACUAAUAAAAUCUUGUUAUGUUUCAAUAUGAUACGAGUGAGGCAAUUAAAGAACAUGAGUGUUGAUCGCAAUGAUUAAAAUUGACUAUUUGAAUCCUUCGGGUUGAAACUUCGACUCUUAAAAAACAGAGAAACAUUUGACAUUUACCAGACUCAAAUCGAAUAUGAUGAUACUUAUAGUUAAACCAAAAAGUUAUAGAACAUGAUAUUUACUUUAUUCCUUAUUACUCCCUAAGAACCAAAUAAUUAUCUCACGUUUUGUUUUGUAAGAAAUGUGGUUAAUGUAGUUAGGAGUUUUAAAUUUGUUCAUAAUUUAUAUUGACUUUCCAAAAUUGCCCAUAACCACUAUUCUUAAUUUCUAUGUAUUAUUAAUGUUUGAGAUAGUGGAAAGAGAUUUACAAAUUCAAUCUAAUAAUGGUAUUCUUGUUAAAAAAAAUUAAUGAAUCAUAAAUUUCAUGUUGAUUCUUGAUCCUUACAAUAAGAAUUAAGAUGCACUUUUUUUUUUUUGGUAUAUAUGAAAGAUAAAUUACACCCUGCGAUUGUCGAUCCCUGAACCUUCCCCUCCCUAACUCAUGUGUUUCAUGACUCUUACCACAUGAGCUAUCAUUCAUGGACAAUCAAGAUGCACCUCUAAUUUAAUUACUAUAAAUAAAAACAGAGGUAGUAAUUUUUAAUUAACAUAUUUUAUUGUUGGAACAUAUACAUGAUUUUGGGGACAGAUAUCUCAAUCCCAUAACAUUAAACAACACAAACCUCCUUCAAAUCAUGAAAGCCCAAAUUUUUCUAUAAGUUUUUAAAUGGGGGUGAGUAAAGAUUGCAGGAAAAAGCAAAAUGGUUAUUUAAGAAGGGGGUUUGAAUGGAUUAUUACUAGGGGAGUAGGGGAAGAAAAGAAAACCAUUAUUGUUGGGCCUUUGCCAUCAUUGUUUGGUUCUGACGAGAUUUAUAACACCCUUUUAUUAGAUUCAUUCAAGCAUUUACGCCAAUUUACUGCCUAUUGUUUUGUGCUUAUGGCUCUGUUUGGGGAUAUACACACUUUUGCCUCCCUAUACUUCUUUGACUGUGCGCCUAUUGUUAUGAUCUGAAUUUGAAUGGCAUAUGGGUAAGUUGACCAAGCGCAAUAGCACAUGUUAGGGUAGUGAACAUGUCAUGAACAUGGGUGAGGAGAUAGGAACUCAUGAGGCUACAACUUUGGUUUAGUGAAGCUUGCCUUAGCUGCUCCGAAGAUAGUAGUAACAGCACCUCAUUGAUUAUACACUCAACAUCAUUUGGUUUGGCCAAACUUCUAAUAUCAUCCAAUUGAUCUAACAACGCAAUGCAGAGCACUAGCUAGAUUUGAACAAGCUUGAUUUUGAUGUCUAUACUUUUAAAUACUCAAAUUUAAUCUUUUUUCAAUUUUUAUAGUGAAUUGAACAAUAAUGAUUCAAAGAUUAAUUUGUCAUUUCAAUAAUUAGUGAAAAAUAUUUAUAUGGAUGACAAUUUUUUACAUGAAUAACAUGUUAAGAUCAUUUUACAUUUUCCACAUGCGAUAAUAUUAAUUUUUUCCGUUAGUUAUUAAAUGACAAUUCAACAUUACUACAUUUAUUCAAUUUUAAAAGUAGAUGAAUAUAAUUUGAACAAUUAAAAUUAUGCCCAUGGGAUCAAAAUCAGACACUACUGAAAUUACAGGGACCAAAAAUGAAUUGAAGUUGAAAUGCCAUGCUAUUGUUACUUAAUAUUUAUAACCAUAUUUAUAUGGCACUGACAUAGUCUUUGUUUUUUAUUUCUAAGAAAAAAAACCAUUGCCAGCAAGUACGAGAGAAUAAAUGGUAAUUUUCCGCCUGCCAUAAUAAAAGAUCUCAUUGAAGCGGCUAAUCUCAUGCAUAAAAGAUUUUUUAAAAUAUUUAUUUCAGCUUUUGAAAAAAAUCAUUAUUUAAAAAAAUGAAAAAAGAUUAUUUAGAAAAUCUACUUGGUUAACUUAUAAGAUAAAUAUAUUAUAAUAGAUGAGAGAGAAAAUAAAAAAGUUGACUUUAAUUAGUGUUGGGAAACACAAAUUAGGUUUUUCUUUUCUUAAAAUCUCUAAAACAUAAUAUAUUUUUUAAUCAAGUGAGAAACACUAUUAUUUUAAUCUAAAACAAACACAUUCAAUAUUCAUAAUAUGGGCUUUCUUGGAAAUUUAAGUACGAGAUUAGAGUUUUACAUUUGUUAAGUUACUACAAGAAUGUGCUCAUUUAGCAUCCAAACCUAGUGUUGGCCACGACAUUGACGCUAACUUUGGCUAAUUUGCAUUGGUUCCAACAACACAAUGUCAACGUAAAGAGAGAAAAAAACUACUUAAAGAUUGAAUCAGUCAAGCCAACACAACAUUGCAUCAACUUAAUGAUCAUUAGUGCCAGUUAACGUCGUUGCUAAGUUCACCGACCAACUUAGUAUUGACAUUUUGACACGGCGGCGAAUUAAAUGUGAGACUACUUUUGCAAGUGAAUUAUGCAUUGGCCGCGUAAGUGUACGGUUUCAUUGGACGAUGCUUGAGGUUUAGCUUCGGCUUUGACCAGCUUUAAUGUGACGUCGUGCUCUAAGCAACACAUCUUUAUGGUUACCGUCGGCUAGGCCGAGGCUACCUGCUAUUGGUUUCUCAACCGCCCCACCCCUAUUAUAAGCCUUCCUACUUCUUCUCUCCGCUAUCUCUCAAACCCUACUUUUAACUUUUGAGCUAUCUUCCUCCACGACCCAAACCUCGUGUUUUUUUCAUCGGCCGCAUCUUCAGCCCCACACCGCCCUCACCCUCUUCCAUCACCAUCAUGCUUUGCCCCUCCAUCCAUAUUUUCUCCCAUCCUAACCAUCUUCCCUCUAAUGUUGAUCCAUUUGCCGCCCUCACCCUCUUCUAUCACCCUCUGACGACCCCUCCAUCGUUUCCCCUCCGUCCUCCACCUCCCUGACUUUCAUCCACCACCUUCUCACUUCGCCUCUUUGUCAUUCACCAUCAGUUCCAUCAUCUCUCUGUUGCUUCUUUUAUCGCAACCGCUUUUUUACGCUACUUCCGCCCAUUGCUAUCGUCGCUGCUGUUGUUGCCACCCCAGUACCAUUAAUAUUUUUCAUUUAUGUAAGUCACUUAUAAUAUAAUAUUUGUUGUUGUUUUAGUUUAAAUGUGUAAUACUCACUGUAUAGUGUUAGAUGUUAUAAUAUGUUAAGAUUGUGAUUAUGUAUGAUAUAAUUAUUUGUUAUUAGUAACUUAGGCAUACGUUAUUAGAUUGUCCGCAGAGUAAUGGAAGGACCUAAUAGAGACAAUGUUUUUUGAGGACCUGAAAUUCAAUGAGCAGAAGAAACUUCCCAAACUGCCUUUACCCUUGAGAAACAGAUUGCAAAUUUGGAGAAAAUUAUUAAUAGGCUUAAAAGUGUUAGAGCUGCAAAAAACAAAAGAUGUGGGUAUUGGUACAAGAUAUCUUUAUAACACAUUUUCAUAAUUUUGUAUGGAUACAUAAAUAUUAUAUUAAGUUUUAGGCUUAAUUGCACUUUUGGUCCCCCACGAUUACAAAAUUCACGAUUCUAGUCCCCAACAAAAUUUUAUUGCAUGGAAGGUCCCACGUUAUGCUCCGUUAGCAUUGCCAUUAACUCAUGACAUGGAAAUUUUAAAACCCAGACAUCUAUCAUCUUCAUCUUCUCCCCAUGAUCUUCAUCUUCUUCUUCAUUGUAUUCAACCAAAAACCCUGGAAAAAAAUAAAAAUAAAAAACACACACACUCGGACAAGAAGAAAAGUUUUGUAAAUGAAAAUAAAUAAAUUUAAAAAGCACAAAUUCUACAAUUAAUGAAGCAAUCAUUACCAAAAAAAUUGAAACAACAAAAUUCAAUAACAAAUUUGGAUCUGGGCAUUGGGCCAGUAAAUCCAUGGGAAGCCAUCUCAACAUUCAAAAGUCAAAACCCCACUUACUCAAUUGCCUUGCCUUAAUUUCUCACAUUAGAACUAUCAAGAAACAACAUAUAUAGUAGCAAAGUAGCGAUACUGCUCAAAUGCAUGGGUCGCUGCUUCUGCGAAGCAGAUCGAAGCUUGCUGUGUUGGGUUCCCAUAGAUCGAAGCAGAUCGGAGCUUACUUGGUUGGGUUCCCAUAGAUCAAAGCAGAGCAACCUCUACCUCGAAGCAGAUCCCUUUGUUCCUUUGCAUCUUCUUCCCCAAAGCGCUAACCUUUCCCCCUUCCAGUCGCACCUAUUUGUUCCACUGUGUCUCUUUACCCUUCUUCUCUCAGAAAACCCCAAUGUUGAAGCUCGUCAUCGAAAUUGAAGCUCCAUCUCCCUCAAAGUUCCUUCCUUUUCUGUUGUGGGUUUUAUUUUUUUGGGUUUCUGAGUCUGUGUAGGGGUUUCUGAGUGUGAGUUCCGUGGUUGAAAGAGCGUGAGAGAGUUUGGGUUCUAGGUUUUUGGAUUUGGGGUUUUUGGGUUUGAGGUGUGAAUUCUUUAAUGGUGGAUAAAGAAGUGGAAAAAUCAGAGGCUGGAGGAAGUGACUCAUAGACAUCUGGAACACCUUUUGUUGCAUUUGUAAUGGUUCUUCGGGGCAACCAUGUGGCUGUUCUUUGGGAAACUUGAUGGCGCAGUGGAGGAAAUGAAUAAAGCCAUGAAUCAGAGAAAAGUCAAUAGUUGGAAAGGNNNNNNNNNNNNNNNNNNNNNNNNNNNNNNNNNNNNNNNNNNNNNNNNNNNNNNNNNNNNNNNNNNNNNNNNNNNNNNNNNNNNNNNNNNNNNNNNNNNNNNNNNNNNNNNNNNNNNNNNNNNNNNNNNNNNNNNNNNNNNNNNNNNNNNNNNNNNNNNNNNNNNNNNNNNNNNNNNNNNNNNNNNNNNNNNNNNNNNNNNNNNNNNNNNNNNNNNNNNNNNNNNNNNNNNNNNNNNNNNNNNNNNNNNNNNNNNNNNNNNNNNNNNNNNNNNNNNNNNNNNNNNNNNNNNNNNNNNNNNNNNNNNNNNNNNNNNNNNNNNNNNNNNNNNNNNNNNNNNNNNNNNNNNNNNNNNNNNNNNNNNNNNNNNNNNNNNNNNNNNNNNNNNNNNNNNNNNNNNAGAAGAUGAAGAUUAUAGAUUUCUGGGUUUUAAAAUUUCCAUGUCAUGAGUUAAUGGCCACUAGGAGAGAGAAACGUUAGAAAACUAAUGGAAUAGACGCUCCGGACUAAAGUUGCUAACGGAGCAUAACGUGGGGACCUUCCAAUGCAAUAAAAUUUUGUUGGGGACCAGAAUCGUGGCUUUUGUAAUCGUGGGGGACCAAAAGUACAAUUAAGCCUAAGUUUUAUGAAAUAGAAAAUAAAUUUAGAUUAUUUAAUAAUGCUCGGAUGUCGGAUGAAAUUCAUUUAAUAAUAAAAAUAUAUGAAAAAAGUUUUAAAUUUCCAACAAUUUUUUUAGACUCUAACCAACUCAAUCUAUUUACUUACAUUUUGUUUGGUUGAGGAGGAAAAAAAAAGAGAGAAAGACAGAAGAGUGAAAAUGAGUGGAGAGAAAGAUGUAAGACAUAAUAUAUUUUGUAAGUUGUUUAGUAUGAUAUCAAUGCAAAAGAAAGAGAGGAAAAAGAAUGAGGUAAAAUCUCUCUCAGUUUCCUUGGUUGAGUAGAGAGUGGAAUAAAAGUUUCUUUAUAUAUGAAAAAAUAAUUUUACCCUCAACUAAGUUAUUAAUAUUAUUACAGAAAUUACAAAGGGAAAAAAUGACAAAGGCAAAACAUAUUUUCAAGUCUUUCGAGUUUCUUCCUAACUUAGCUUUGAGCAGAUUAUUGAUUUUAUAGUGUAAGUGGUUUAGAUUUUAAUUCCAACCCAUAUUGGUUCUGUUGGUAAAAAUAAAUUACUUCACCUCAAAAUAUUAAGUGUCCAUUUUUUGCUAUUAAUGUUAGAGUUGUGUAAGUAAACUAUUUAUAUGCACCUCUGUAAUUAACUAGUAAUCAUGUAGGCAUGCUUUGACCUGUGAUCGUGACCGAAGCCGAAGCACCCAAACAUUGUAUUAAAAACAAAAAUUCAAAUUGUAAUUGGGUAGAUGAAUGUGUAUAGCCGUUAAGGAUGAAACAAUAAUUUCCCCAAUAGCUAGGCAAUCGAUUGUGUCCCCAUAAUUAGACAAAACAGAUUGAUGCAAGCAAAUUCCUACACAGGGGAUUGAAAUGGAGGAGCCCGGGGGGGACACUCAUGAACUGGUUGACAAUUUCACUCAGAGAAGCAAAUUAGACACAUCCAAAUUACCCUCUGUCAACCAUCAUGUUUCACGUUAUGCCACUUAUAAUCCAUGAGGGAAUUCAGAGUUUCGCUGGCCCCAACUCUCAUCCAACCCCUAUUCUCCCCCAACAAUUCGUCCAAACCUCAUCUCCUGAAUUUGGCAAGAAAAAGUCUUUUUUUAAGAAAAAUCAUAAUUUUGUGCAAACUGGAUAGAAUCGCUAAGAGCAAUGAAAAAAGUAUUUUUAAAAAUCAACACAUGCUUCUAGCUUAGGUGAAGAUUUGGAUUCACGAACGUGUGUUGUGAUAAAAAGGACGAUCAGCCAAUCGACCCAAAGAGGAAAAUAUUUUUCAUAGAAUAUUUAAAUGUUAUAUUUGUCUCUCGAACAUAUUUUAUAUAUUGUUUCCUUCUAUUAACAAAACAUUAAUUUUACUUAAUAGGUUAAAUUUUCGUCUUUCUCAAAUCAAUUUCCAUUGAUGGUUAAAAACAUGUUGAUCUUUAGUUAGCUCAUUAGUCACAAGCUAAAGGUGAGUACUGAGAUUAGUCACUUUGGAUAAAUGGAAACCCCCAUUAGGAGUAAAAGUAGAUUCCCAUAAGGAGCUUGUGCUAAUUGCUAAAACAAGCUUGCAUCAGUAUAAUGACAAUAAUGCAUAACACUCUCCACAUCUUUUUUUUCUUUUUUACCCUUUUUGUGGAACCCUUUUAAUGAUUUCCCAUUUGGUUUGUUAAAAAGCACUCUCCUUAGCAUAUGGAAAAACAAAGAUGAACAAGCUCUCCAGCUAAGAUAAAGCGACUUAUGGCAUCCAACGCAAUAACUCAUAUGAAUCAUAUAUCCUACUACUACACACAAGAACGAAAUUUCGUAUCAAUUAUCAUCACAAAAAUGCAAAAUGAGAGAUUAUUUAUUAGAGGAAACCAUGAUGAACACAAGUAAUUAAUAAANNNNNNNNNNNNNNNNNNNNNNNNNNNNNNNNNNNNNNNNNNNNNNNNNNNNNNNNNNNNNNNNNNNNNNNNNNNNNNNNNNNNNNNNNNNNNNNNNNNNNNNNNNNNNNNNNNNNNNNNNNNNNNNNNNNNNNNNNNNNNNNNNNNNNNNNNNNNNNNNNNNNNNNNNNNNNNNNNNNNNNNNNNNNNNNNNNNNNNNNNNNNNNNNNNNNNNNNNNNNNNNNNNNNNNNNNNNNNNNNNNNNNNNNNNNNNNNNNNNNNNNNNCGUGUAGUGGAGACAAGUAGUCCACAAACAAACACUCUCAAAACUCAGGUCUCAAUGCACAAAAGUUGCCAUCUUCAAUAUAACAUUACGGCAAGGAGAAUGAUUACAGCCAACACUUCCCAACACAUGAAAAUUACAAAAAACUGAAAGUGAGAAUUAUGGAGGCCUAAAAAUAGAAGAACCACCACCACAGCAUAAAUAAAAACAAAAGAGUAAUUGAUGAUAGAUGGGAGAGGGUAAGGAGAAGAUGGUGGUUUUGGACCCAAUCCAAACCAUCAUUGCAAAUCUUGGGACGGCCUAGCCCAUCAUCAUUUGAGAGAAAACCCUAACUGAAACCUCCAUUAUGCCCAUUUUAAUUAAUUCCCACUGUGCCCUCAUUUUUUCCGAUGAAUAAAAGUUUAAAUGAGUUCAGUUCCAGUCAUCAUCAUGCGAGACAAAGCAUGUUUUUAGUACCACAAGUAAGGUACUUACAUAUCUGCUAUCAACACAGUCUCACAUCCACAACGAAAAUCGAACACACGAUUUUCUCAUGGUCAGGAAGUGAUAAGUCAUUACCAACAAACCUAACAUGUAUUUAUCUAUUGUGUAGGCUAAAUUAAUACAUGUUGGCUCAAUGAGUAUCGACAAAUCCUCACCACACAAGAGAAGAACCACUAUUAACAUUUAUAUAUGAAAGUAACUUGUUUGAAACUUUAUGUACAUGCUUUUAGGUAUCAUCCCUCGACAAGUGAAGUCUUAAAACAGAGUAUAUGAGAAAAUGGAAAAAAAGAAAAGGUGAAGGAAGUAAGCAUCAUGAUUCACAUGACGCCAUAAGAGCCAUCAUGGAACCGAAACAUAAAAUCUUUUAGGCUACUAACCGGCCGCCUUCCAUGCUUACACAUGCAUGAUUGUUGUGUCAGAGAGGGGCACCCUCUUUUCAUCAUCCUUCAUUUGUGUCUCUCUUCUCUCUUUUCUUCUCCUGCUUCUUCUAUAAAUUCACACCUUCUUUGUUCCCUUUGAUCCUCACUUCUCUUCUCUAAUUCUCCUUCUUCUAUAUACAUUCCAGAGUACUUUGCUGCUCCAUUUCCACCAAAUUAAGUCUCUCUUCAAAAGGUGAUCUUUUUUUAAAAGUUCAAGAGUACCCCACCUCUCUUUUUCUUCAUCUUUAUAUAUCUCUUGUAUUGCUUGGUUUAAUUCCCCCCUUACAUUCACAUCGAAAUGUGGAUUAUGGUCAUUGUAUUGUAGUUGGUUUUAUCUUUAUUCCAGAUUCUCUAGCUUUCUUCUUCAUAAUGUUUACAUAGUUUCAUAUAUACCAACUUUUUCUGUUGGGAAUUUUGGGAUGUCCACUCUUUUUUCAUAAUGGAUUUUUUAUUUCCAAUUUUUUAUUAUAAUUUUAGAAAGACACCCGCUCAAUGGUUUCUUUGUCUUUCUCUAGCAAUAACCUUCCUUUCUUUAUGAGUCAUGGAUUUUAUGUUUAUUUAAUUUAUUUAUUCAUUUUCUCCAUUUUACUUUUGGCUCUACUAGUGGCAUAAAAAAUUGUUCUUAUUAUAUGCAUCUAGAACUGAGUUUAUACACAUAGACAUACAACAAACACAGAGAAGAUCUUUGGUACGAAGCUUGUUUGUCUCUUUUACUACCUAGGAAGGACCUUUAUCCUUUUCUUCCUUCUCGGGAUAGCCAAAAGAAAGAAACUUGUAUUUUUCUUCUUUCUUUUUUUUUUCUCUGCUUUCAAGUGAGUGCAACUGUUAUUCCCCCUCUGUUUCUUCCCCUUGUUUAGUUGUUGAGACAACCCCAUAUGCUCUAUUUAUUUGAUAGGGUGGUCCUAAUAACUCAAUUGUUCUGUUCUGCCCUCCACCCACCAUGCUUAUUGCCAUCUCAUCAUUAUAUCUACCAAAACAAUUCAUAAAGCAGGAAUAGUAUAAUUUUUUUUUCCCAUUUGGUUUUCACUCAUUUAUUAAGGUGGUUAUGUUUCUUCAUUUAUUUUCAUGGUCACAUUUUUUUUAUCAUAUGGUAUUUCAAUCAUAUAAUAUACAAUAUUGUUUUGUGGUUUCAGGGUUAAGAGUGAAAGUGAUCAUGGAAAGGUUGAACUCAAAGCUGUACUUGCAGAACUGUUACAUAAUGAAGGAAAAUGAGAGGCUGAGGAAGAAAGCACAGCUUCUGAACCAAGAGAAUCAAGCACUCUUGUCUGAGCUCAAACAGAAACUCUCUUCCAAGGGAAAUCAGAAACCCAAUAAUAAUAAUGCUCCAAAUACUAUGCUUGACCUCAGUCUCAGCUCAAGUGCCACUCAUCAAAACCCUUCCACUUCUAGCAAUUAAUCUGCUUAGUCAUGAAUGAUAUGAAGAAGCAUCUUGAUGACCCCACUAGCUAGUGACUGUGUUUCUUUUUUCCUUCUUUUGUGUAAAAUCAAUGUGGGAACCAGUAGUUGUAGGUUCUGUUCCAUAGGACAGAAAAUACUAGCAAUUAAUCCUCUCCUCUCUACUAUGACUUCUAUUUCCAUGUUUAAAUUAAUCAAUCUUCUUUUUUUUAUGGGUUUUAGUCUUUUAGAUAUCAAUUUCUGAACUACAAGGUUGUAUGGUGUAUCAGGCCUAUCUUCUAGAAAUGAAUAUAUAACUAGUUAUUAUAUGUUUAGUCUCAUUGCUAUCUCUCUCUGGUUGAUUAUGAAAUUUUAUAUACUAAUAUAACAUAAUUUCCUGUGGGGGUUAUGUAAAUCACCUAUGUGGGUAAUUUUCACGUCUAAUGGACCAAUAACAUUAUUUAUAAAAAAAAAAUUUAAAAUUUAAAAUUCACUUAUCUUAAAUAUCAUGAAUCUAUUAUGUUUGGAUAAAAGUACCCAUAUGAGUGAUUUAGACAAUCUCAUUUCUUGUUCAACUUAAUUUGAGCUCAAGAUUCGGAUGAUCUAAAAAAAUAAAUAUGUAAGUGGUGCAUGUUAUGAACCAAGCUGCUCAUGUUUUUUGUUUUUUGAUCACAUGAAGCAGAGCAAUGAUGAUCCCAACGAGUUGAUUAACAACAUUAAGUUCAUGAAACAAGCUGCUCAUGUUUUUUUUUAUAAUAGUUUGAACAUUUUAUAUGUAAUAGGACUCAUAAGUUGAAUGCCUUUAAGUUUUGGUGUCCAAUACGUGUUGUUUUUCAAUGGUUAUAUUUAUAAUUUUGAUUUGAUGAAAAACAAAAUUGAAUACGAAGGAUGACGGAGAGGGCUUAUCAUUGAGCUUCUGUUGGGACUUAGAAGAGAGAACCUAAUCAGAAUAAAAGUGAAGUCAAUGAGGAUUCAUUAGAGUUGGUGAAGAAGAGACAAAGAGGUAAAACUUUAUUUGAAUGUGUGUGUCUAACGUUUGCAGGAACGUGUGACACCGUUUAAGUAUUGGAACUUUGCUGCUUCUUUCUUUCAAUUAAAUUAAUUAAAUAGUGUCUAAUCAAAAUUUGAAUGGAAGUUCUAAAAAAUUUCUCUCUGUAACCCUGCAUCGAACUGAAACUGACUUCUUAAGGUCACCAAACCAAGUCAGAAGCUCAGAAUGUCAAUUUUGAUAUAGAAUUAAGACCAGGGUAUGAUGACUGAGAUUCCCUUUCAAGACCCACAAGUCAGUAAAAAUCUAAAAUUAAUAAUGGGACAAAUAAUGACCAAAGAUACCGAAUAAUUAUAUAUACCUCAUGUAUGUACAUAUAUAUAUAUGCAAAACAAUGAAUAAUUUAACAAAUAGUAAUGUGGAGUUGGAGUAUAACAUAACCAUAUGGGUGAACAAAGAGGUGCCUCACAUGAGGACCCAACAUGUCCCAGCAAUUUUACCACUGCUCCUCUUGGAUUUAACUCACUUGUAUUAAAUGUUUGUUGAAAAUAUAUUCUCUUUGUUACAGAGUAUCUGCACCCUGGAGAUUUGGCCAUCAUAACCAUAUCUAAUACUAAAUACUAUGAAGAAAAUUAGAAACAACGGCAAUGAAUAUAUAAGUGUUUCUAGAUAAAUAUUAAGUUUUUAUUGUCAAACAUUUUAUAAUAUGAUCUUAUAUGGAAAAUCACACCUACUUCAUUACCUUUUAUAGACAAAAUUACAUAACUUAAGUUAGAUGUGAUUGUCAAUUAUACAUCUUUUAGCUUUCCUUAAAAUAAUUGUUAGGCGCAAAGUUGGAAAUUACCUAAAAUGGAAUUUCAAGAACACAAAAAGUUGAAUUUUGGGUAUCUAAAAUGGAUAUGUCCUAGGUCACAAUGUGAUUAGUUUGACAUGAAUAAGGUUAACUCUAACCACCAAAGAAGAUUGAUGACAUGUGAUUCGAGGUUUGUUUUUAGAAGGUCAAAUUGUACUUAAGGGUCCUUAAAAAAAACAAUUGUACUUAAGGGAUCCACCAUGAUACGUAUUACGUGGAUUUGAAUAAUGUGAAGCGAUGAGUUAUUUUCGAUGCUUAUGCCAUCAGAGCCGUUAAUUAAAAAAUUAAACGUUAGCAUUGUGAUUAUAUAUUUUUAUAUGUAUGAUAAAUUAUGGUAAAUUAUAACUAUUAUAGGAUCCAUAAUAAAGUGGACUUAAUGUUGGGUAACCAACACGAUCGGAAGCGAGUUUCAUCUCGUCCAACUUACAGUUGGGCGGACUCAAGAUAACACAUUCAAAGAUUACUUACAGACAAUUUUUAUCUCGGAAGACUUAUACAACUUAAGCAGUGACGGAUUUAUGUGUAAGGGUAUGAGGGCAAAUGCCCUCACUUACUUUUAGAAAAAACAUUAGAAAAAAAAAAUUAGUGGUAAAAGUAUGUGAUUUUUUAUGACACCUUUGAUAAAAAAAAUGUCCUCACUUAUGUUUCACAUUGCUCACUUGUGUCCCACAUUGUUAAAUGUCCUCACUUGAGUAGUAAAAGUAUGUGGUUUUUGAUAGCUCAUUUGGUCAAAAAAGUCUUCACUUGUGUUCCAUUUGGUAAAAAAUGUAUUCACUCAUAAUAAUAUAUCUUAAUUCUUUUUGUUCGAAUUUAUAUGUAUAUAUUGCCCCCACUAAAUCAAAUUUCUGGAUCCGUCACUGAACUUAAGUAUCUUCGCAGGUACUUCUCCCCGUUGUGUCAAGGCAUCACCACCGUAUUGGAAGAUCUUCCAGGACCGUACACCCCUAUAAGAGAUCCAAAGCAUUUUGCGACUCAAAUUUUGGUAGAAUAUUUUGGUGCGUAUGUAGGAACUAAUUCAAUUCCAAUCGCAAAUGGAAAAGUCACAUUCCAAACAAUUUGCGUUUUUUGACAAUUACCAAAAGUUUGCUAGACAAUAUCUACACUCCAUUUUCAGAGGACAAUCGUACUUUGAAUCUUCCACCAAGCUUUUUGGAACAAAUGAACAAUUGAAUGUGGAGUCAUUUUUUGGGAAAACUGAUCCUACAUAACACUUACAUAAAUUUGCCAUGUAUAAGGGGCUCAUGGAUGCCUCAAGUAUCUUAGCUAGCAAAGUCUUCUUAUCAGCCUUAAAAAGGGAUGGUUUGUUCUGGUUCAAAUAUCUUAUUCAAAACUUUACCAUGCACCGACAUCCAAGUGGUAAUGAACAUUUGGAAAUUCAUGUAAUAGCAAGAAGACGAAUCACUGCAGGAUUUUCUUCCAAGAUUUCAUAAAGAGAUUAUAAAAAUUCCAAACUAGGAAAUAAAAGAGAUAAUAGAACUGAUGUGAUGUCGUGCUUCAUGGAACUUCAUUCCAUCGAUCAUUGUUGGAUUCACCACGAAUCAAUCUCCUCUGUUUUGGAGGCAAGUUAUUCAGCUAGAUUGAUUCGUGUUAUUCUUCAAGUUAUUCUUCACAUAACUUGACUAUACUAGUACAUGCUUUUACCAGUAGAAAUCUACCUAUUGAGAAGUAGUUAUUAUUAUUCUCAAGCAUGUUAAGAAUCCAUACUACAAUUGAUUAUAAGAGCUAAGAGCAUGUUUGUAAACUACAAUCAAUUCUAUAGAAUAUAAAUGAUAUUUGGAUGCACCACUAAAACAACAUAAUCAAUUCUACUUGACACAACAAAUAGUUAGUUUUGCGUUAAAAACAAUUGAGAUUUCCAACUAAAUUUCAUAACAUUACUAUACAAAACCACUUUUUUCAUAAUGGUAUCUAAGCAUAAACUACAUCAAUUUAACUCACUUUUACUCUACGCAAUUUUAGUAGAAUCAAUUUUGUCCAGAAAAAAUUCUGCUAACGCCAAGCCAAACACACUCAAUAACCAUAAUUAAGUUUGUGAAAAAAUUUACGUUAGUAGCUUAUGAGUUUCAAAAUUAAUUAUUAAAAAAAUAAAUUGAUCCAUAUAUGAUAUAAAUAACUUUCAUUUAUCAAUCAAAUCCUCAACUUAAAGUUCUUUAAUCAAGGAUAGCUCAAGUGGUAAGAGCUUGAGACAUAUGGGUUGGAAGGCGCUUCAGGGAUCAAUCCUUGGAGGAUGUAAUUUAUCUUUAAGAUGUACCAAAAAAAUGUGACUUCAAAUUUUAAUUUUUUUUAUCUAAUUCAUAAAAUAAUGUCAAGGUAACAUAUAAUAUACUUUCUAAAAUACACGUACAUUCGAUUAAAAUUACCUUCUUAAUAAUAUUCAAUUCUACAAAAUGUAAGAGCAGCUUAUGCAGUAGGUAGAUCUAGGAAUCUUGUAUUCUUUCUUUCCAUGAGCAGUACCCCUGCCAACAAUUGCAGUUAUCUAUUCUAUCAUUGUACAAAUCUGGGCCCGUCACCGGGUAAAGAAGCCACAAGAAGCCCAGGAAUCCCAUUAUGAAUCCUAUACUUACAAUCCCUGAAACACAAACAGAAACCAAUGAGUAUGAGUAAGUCCAAAAAGACAUUUACAUGGAAAUGAAUGCGAAAAUCCUAACUCCACAGCCACAGUUUCAUGACAAAAAAUGAGCAGACAGUGAGUACCAGCUAAUCAUACUAACUAGCAGUGUCCGCCCCUUCUCUCUCUCUCUCUCUCUCUCUCUCUCUCUCUCUCUCUCUCCUGGUUCUCACUCUUGUGGGAUAAAUGAUCCUAGGUUUGAAGAAGGGAAAAACUUAUGUUCACACUCCAAUCUCACUUACACCUAGAGAUAAAGGAAGAAAUGAGAGAUAUGAUAGGUGGUUGUAAUAGGAAGAGAAGAGAGAUGGGAAGAGAACGUGAGUGGAAAUGAGCUGGAAGAGAAAUAAGAGUGGGAAUGAAUCAAAAUCCUUGAUGGAGAGUCUGGGAUCUGAAGAGAAGACAUAUUUAGAUUUAAAACAAAACCAAAUAACGAUUUCAUAUGAUGCCACAUGUAAUCGUAUAGUUAAAUUUCAUUAAUUAUUGCAUGUGAUUUUUGCUUACUACAACGAUGGGGUACUACUCUUGUUUACAAUAGCAGUUUUACACUAGACUGAUCAAAGUUCUCAUUUCAGUACCACGCUAGUCUCAUAUAUCAUUUAAUUAAAUAGCCCCUAAGUUUAACACGCAGUUACUUUGUACUGCAAUGUUGACUGAUCUGGUGAAUGUAAUCUUUCCUAAUUCCUAUUCGUUGGGAGUUGAGCAGUGAAUGCAGUGCACUCAUUUUUUUCUAUUCUAUUGAGUUCUUACUUACUAGUUCUAUCAUAUUUUAACAAUUGAUGUGGACAACAAGUAGUAUUUUGAUUCAACUUGCUAGGAAAAUUGAGAGAAAAUAUUAUCUUUAUUGCAUAACAGAAGGAAUCACUCAGCUCUGACCCAAGGUAGGUGCAGACUGAGAUACAAAAAUGAUGAAAUUCCCAAAACACUUUGAGGGGCCUGGACUCUCCUAACAAGACCCCCAACUGAUACCAAUUGUACCUCAGUUAAUGCUACUAAUACUAACAACCCUUCAAGGGACCUAAGAACUUUCUGUGCUAACUUCAGCCAAAUCACAAGCUACCCCCAGUAUCUCUCUUCCUAACGUAUAGUCUUUUUAUUGUUAAUAUACUAUCAAAACUCCCCCUCAAAGCUUUCACCUUGUCUUCAAGGUGAAAACCAAGUAAACUCUCUGAAACUAAGUAAAUUGCCCCCAUGAAUUCUCUCAAGCUGGAAAUCCCCUUGCAAUUUGAUCAACAACUCAGCUUCUCCUCUGUCAUUGUACCCCAUGUCUAAAACACGUGGUGGUUUAGCUUGCAACUCCCGUUCUUUGGUCCACUACGGUGGUAAAGGUUGUGGUUGAAUGCACCUGAAACAGUCCUUUACAAGAGACAUUAAACAUAGGAUGCACUCUACUACGUAGGGUAGCGCUAAAUGACAAGCAUCCUAUCACAACCUUUCUACAAUAGGGUCCAUUUAAUUGUGGAGCCAACUUCUCUUUCCAUUUCUUAGCUAAUGAUUUCAAUCUAUUAGGUUGAAUCUUCAGAUACACCCAUUACCCAACUUUAUAUUCUAAAUCUCAACUUUUUGAGUUUCAUGUGUUGGUGGGCUCUUUCCAAUUUCAUUUUUAGCUGCUAAAGCAUACCACCCGGGUCAAUGGUCAACAGAUGUCCCAGUCCUUUGUCAACUGAUUUAUCUCCUCCACUUUAGAAGGAAAAGUUUCCACAUGAUAAAUACUAGGUGGAUCGUGGCCAUAUAGAGCCUGAAUGGGGUCAUCUUGAUUGAGCUGUUGAAAAUUGGUGUUAAACCAAAAUUCAGCCUAGAUUAACUAAAGGGGCACUGCUUAGGAUUAUGAUAAGCAUCAUACUAACUUACUCGGUUAGUUAGUUUGGGUGAGUUAGUUAGAGAGUGAGAGAAAAUAUUGUUUCUAAGAGAGGGCUAGAGAGAAUUAGCAUCUUUUGGAUCAUUUGUAAUUGAGAACUUGGCAGUGACCUAGAUCUUUAGAGUAUUCACGAGUUCUAUCCAAUAUUCAUCAAUUAACUCACUUUUCCUUUCUUCCUUAGUGCUGGUUCUCAUCAAAUGGUAUCAAAGCUGUAUCCAAGAGCUAUGGAUACCAAUUGAGAGCAGAUGGCUGGCGAGUGGCGAGAAAAAGGAAGGAUUCAUGAGCUUUACAUUGUCACCAGAAGUGAGGAAGGAAUUCGUACCUUCUUGGAGAAAUGAAGAAAGAGAAGACAGAUUGGAGGAAAGAUAUAGAGAAGAACAAAUGGAAGCAUAAAGUUUCAUUAGGCAGGGAAGCGAUCUAGUAGAAAUGAUCAAGGGGGGUGUAGAAAGUAAUGGGUCGAGUCUCAAAUAACCAACCACCAACACAAAACGUGAAGAUGGAAGGCCGACAUGGUGGAAAUGUUGGACAUCGCCAAGUUAGGUGGCCACGUGACUACGAGCAGAAGAUCUAAUAUAUCUCUAACAUCCAACUCAUUCUUGCAUUCCCUCUGCCCUCUCCAGCCUCUCUUCAUCGAUAAAAAGCCCUAAUUGCAGCCUUCUUCCACUCUGUUUUCUGCAUUUUGUUUCCGACUUGUGGUUCUUCCUUGCGGUAGAGUGUGCAAUAGAGAACCCUUUACCUCAUGCCACUUACCACCUGAAGCUACGUCCUCUUCAUUCUGUUCUUGUUCGAACAAGGCCUGAUAACAUCCAUUGUCACACUUGACCAAUUUCUCCAUCAUCUCCUUUAAUAGCUCUAUGUUCUGUUCCAUUGCAUCCAUUGGCGUUUCCAUGGACUACAUAUGCUCCUGUAUAUAUUCCAUGCGUGUUUCCAGCUCCGUGUUCAACACCAUCUUCGUAGCACAACCAAGUUCAGUAUUGCUCACCUUCAAGAAUUUCGCAAACCCACAGCUCAAAGACCAGAGCUCUGAUACCAAUUGAUACAACUGGUUCAGAAAAUAGAAGAGAAUCUAUUAUCUUCAUUGCAGAAAAGAAAAAAUCACUCAACUCUGAUCCCGGGCAGGUGCAGACUAAGAUGAUUACAAGAAUGAUGAAAUUGACACUUCACUAGGCCUGGACUCUCCUAACAAGCAAGCACUUUCUGUGGUAACUUGGGCCUUAUCACAAGCUAGCCCAGCAAAGAAACCUAACUGAUACCCAUUUCGCCUAAUAUAGUUACAGCUAAUUACUUAUAGUAACAGCCCUCCAACAAACCUAACUACGUUCUGUGCUAACUUGGGCCUUAUCACAAGCUGGCCCAGUGUCUCUCCUAUAAACUCUUUUAUCACUGGUCUACUAUCAUUUUUCACAUUUGGAAUUCAUUUCAUAGGAAACUUACCACUUCUCUCUGAAUACAAUACAGGCAGUCCCAUAAAAUUACAAUAUAUAUGAGCAACUAAUGGAGCGGCAAGAUGUCCUGCAAAGUACAAGCAGAAAAAAAAUAUAAGGGACAGAAAACAAAGACCAGGCCACCAAACACAGAGCGGACUACGCUGAAUUGACAUUAGAACUAAGCCAAUCCCCAAAAAUCACUUUUGAAAGUUAUCAAUUUGCUAACUACAGCCAUAUAGAUCAAAGAAAAAUAGGGUUAAAUGAAGAGUGAGGAGAACGAUACCAUGCCAUGAUAUCAUACUUACCCCUCUUUCCUAUCUUUUCAACCUAUGUAACAGAUAAACUUUCUGCACAUGCAUGGGAACUAUUUUGAUCCACCAAAUGAUAAAUUAAUAAUUUAGUUUUAUUAUAGUUUUUUUGUAAAAGUCACUUCAAAAGAGAAAGGGAAGUUAUACUAAUUUUUAUAUUUAAUACUUAUCUUCUUGAUUUCAACAUAGUUGGCAAGCAUAUAAGUGUAGAAAAACCAGUUGUCUUUAAUACUUAAGAUUAAAUUUACUUUCCGGCCUAAAGUCUAAAAUGCAGUGGCACUUUAACUUUCAACUUCUACUAUGUCAACAUAUGACACCAUUGUCCAAUCAUUAUUCUUAUGCAAUGUUGUAUGUAUCUUAAUUUGUAUUUAAGAAGCACAUUCCAUCAUUAUGAAUAGAAGUCAGACCAAAUACAUCAUAGCCAUGACCUAUAACAUAAAACAAGGAUUACACAUCACAUACCAGUUCGAAUGAAAAGAAAAGAGGCAUAUGACCCGAAGAUAACAGUGUAGCCAAGCUGGAGACCUGUAGACAUAAUUCAUUUUGUGGUGAGAUUAUUAUCCAACAAUACUAAGUUUAGAAUUUUUGAAAUACCAAAACUCUCACAUUCUCAGUAAAAGGGACAGCAACCUUGCAGUCAAAACUUUGACAAAACAAAAUCCAGGAACUUGAUAAAUAACGUUAGCAUUGACUAUACCUAUAAUCAUAACAGCCUUCUUUAUUCUGUAGUUUUGCUUGAUGUAAAUCUCCAUGAAAUGAUUUAGAUGUGCUGCAAACCAAUCAUGCGGUAAAACAUCUCAAUAAACCUUGCAUUUGAAAAGGAAAAUAAAAUUUGCUCAUUAUUUUCUUUAGUCUGCAGCCAAACAGAAGCUUAUUGAAUAUUUUAGGGGAUUUGGGGCCCGUUUGAAAGAGCUUAUUUGAGCUUAUCUUAAAGUAUAAACACUUAUGCAUGUGUUUGGGAGAGCUUAUGUAAAUAACUUAUGGCCUACCUAUAAGCUGCUUUGAGCUUAUUUUCAUAAACUAUUUAGAUUACGUUGUAAGCUUCUCCAUAACCUAUUUUCAGGUUAUUUCAAUAAGUUUCUGAAACUAGCUUAUGAAUAAGUGCUUAUGCGAUAAGCACUUAUUGCUAUAAGUUCUUAAUUAAGCUAUUUACGCAAAUUCACCCUUAGUUCACAAUCACAAAUAUUACCUUACAUAUUUUCUAUGCAAAACUACCAUGAUUAUCAAUCUCUAGUUAUACCUCGACUCGUAAUCUCGUCAGGUAGCAAAAUCGUGAUAUGUAGGGUGUGAUCUCAUUUUUUAUCAAUCUCGGAUGAUCUUGAGCAAUCUCCCUCAGUCUUACGAGAUUUUCAGAGAGAUGGCAAGAUUACAAGAUGUGGUCCGAUGAUAAAAAAAUGUUUGGCGCAGGGACAUUAUGGACAUUUUGCGCACCCUAUUAGGGUUUUCAAUUCACUCUUAUCACUUCACUUCUAUGAUUCUCUCUGUCAAAGACCACUAGCCCCCUCUUCUCACUCUCGAAGACCACCACCACAAGGUUGAUUCUUCGUGAGUCUCCGACGAGUCUCUGGCGUAGCGCUCCUGCUCUUCAUUUGAGGAAGAAGAACUUGAUGAUGAUUCUAGGGGUGAUGAACUUGAUAAUGUUGGUGGAAGGGAAAUUUGAAGAUUAUGACUUACUUGUUCUUGUGUUAAAUUUAGCAUAACUUGUGUUUGUCUCGUUAUGACUUAUGAACCUUAGAUUUGGAUAUUUGGUAAUUUUAUGCAUGCUUUUAAUUGUUAUUGUUGGAUGAUUUGGAUAAUUUUGAAUAUUAUUAGUGUGUCUUUAUCAUUAUUAUGGUUUUUUAAAUAUUAUUUUUGCAUGAGGUAAUCUCUUACAAGAUUACGAUACGAGAUUACCUACCCUCCACGAGAUUAGGUAAAUUCUCAAGAUUUACAACCUUCAAACGUACGAUAAAUUCAUCUACCCAAAAUAUGCAAUAAUUUUAUAUAAGUGUAUAGAACUACCAAACCCCACCUAAUUGGAAAAGGCUUUGUAGCUGUUGUAAGGAACUACGAAGCCGUGCAGCAGUUUACAAACUUUAUAUAAUUACAUCUUAAGACACACCAUUGAAAAGGAGUAUGUGUGUGGAGAUUUCUCUUGACUUUUUUCAUGAUGUACCGGUACCCUUACCAAUGAGUAGUUAAUAUUUAUUGAAUUCAUUGUCUCACUUGUUCAAAAUAUAAAUGCAGCAAGAUAUUUUUGUUCAUAAAUAUUUUAGCUCAAUUAGCCCAGUAUUAAAUGUUGGCAACCAAUCGCUCAUAUUACAGAUACACUCAUAUAUACUAAAGGUUCCAAAGUAGUCUCCUACAUCCUGUUGAAUGACAAGAAAAAGACGAGGAAUUUGGUGAAUUUGAUGAGAACCAAAAUACAGAAAUAGAGAACAAGGUAUGAGAAUAAGGAAACACUUUGAUUAAUACUGAAAUAGAAGAAACAGAAAUGCAAUAGCUACUGCUAUUGCCCCAGAGUAAGACUCCUGUAGAAGAAGAGACUCUCUUCACUCUACUCUUAACAACCUAUUUCUCAUCAUAGUCCUUCUCAUUCUAACAGAAAGCUUAUAUGAGAAUCUCCACUCAGCCUUACGCACCUCUCACACCCUUCCUACCCGCAAAGGCCGUAACUAACUUGUGCCAGCUCACCCUCCUAAGAUUCCCCUCUCUUAUUCUUUCUCACAUAUACUUUCCAUCCUUUGGGCCUGGUCUCAUUGGCUGUGGCCCCACCCUCACUAAGAGCUCUAUCAAUUCCACCGGCUUGAGGAACAACCUUGUCCUCAAGGUUGAAGGCGGGAAACUGAUUUAAAAUAGUCAACUCAUCUUCCCAAGUGGCUUCAUCUGCAGACUUGCCAUUCCACUGAACGAGAUAUUGCUUCACAGUUUCCCCUUGUUGUUGGAUGGUGCGGGCAGCGAGCACCGUGCUGGGUUCCACUGAUGGUGGCAAUUCUCCCGCAAGGCCCUCUGGAAGUUCUUUCUCAACCUGAUAAUUCCCGAUUGCUUUCUUUAGAAGAGACACAUGAAACACGGGAUGGAUGCGAGAUGUUUGGGGAAGGCGAAGCUUGUAAGCCACAGCUCCUAUGCGCUCAAGCACUUCAAAAGGGCCAUAAUACCGUGGGGAUAGCUUUGGGUUGAUGCGUUGUGCCACAGAUUGUUGGCGGUGGGGUCGAAGUUUCACAAAGACCCACUCACCCACGUCGAAGUGCUUCUCUGUGCGCUUCUUAUCAGCCUGAGAUUUCAUAUAUCCUUGAGCUCGAAGGAGGUGACUUUUCAAUUGACGCAGUGCCUCAUCUCUGUCCAACAGCUCUCGAGCUACAGCUUCCACUUUCGUUUCCCCAACAGUAAAACGGAGCAAGGUGGGAGGGGCACGACCAUAGACUACCUCGAAAGGAGUCACUCCCGUGGACGCAUGGUAGGUGGUAUUGUACCAAUACUCCGCCCAGGGUAGCCAGUAGAGCCAUGUGCGCGGUUGGUCCGCGAUGAAACAACGAAGAUACGUCUCUAAGCAACGAUUAAUGACUUCAGUUUGUCCAUCCGUCUCAGGAUGGUACGCGGUACUCAUAGUCAGAUGUGUCCCUUGUAACUUAGAAAGCUCAACCCAGAAGUUGCUGACAAAGAUGGGGUCCCGGUCGCUUACUAUGGAUCGAGGAACUCCAUGUAAAUGCACGACCUCUUUGGCAAAAGCUUCUGCCACACCUCUGGCAGAGAAAGGGUGGCGCAAAGGAAUGAAAUGUGCAUACUUGGACAGUCGAUCAACCACCACAAACACUGUAUCAGUUCCUCUGACCUUGGGCAAACCUGUUAUGAAAUCCAUGGAAAGCUCCUCCCAUAUCUUCUCCGGAAUUGGUAGCGGUUGGAGCAGACCCCCUGGUGAGGUAGCUAAGUAUUUUUGCCUUUGACACACAUCACAGGCCUUGACAAACUGUUGAACCCUCCCCUUCAUGCCAAUCCAAUACAUAUUUGCAGCAAUCCUGCGAUAUGUGCGGUAGAAACCCGAAUGCCCACCCUGCGGUGUGGCAUGAAAUUCGCUGAGGAGUUGAGGGAUCCAGCGAGAUGAAGCAGAGAUUACAAGGCGAUUUUCAUAAUACAAAACCCCCUGAUCAUAAGUAUAGCCAGGUUUACUGGAAGGAUCCAAUUGUAUCGCAGCAAUGAUCGAGGCCAACUUAGCAUCUUGAUGGGCCUCUUGAACCAAUUCUUUGCCUUCUGACCAUUGAGGAUAGGAGACAAUGGACUGGAAUUCACCGUCUUCAAAUCUACGAGACAAAGCAUCUGCUCCCUUAUUCGUUGGGCCGGGUUUGUACACAAUGUCAAAACGAUAUCCUAGGAGCUUGGCGGCCCAAUUCUGCUGGUCUACGGUUGUGAUUCUUUGGUGGAGCAAUUGGCGUAGACUCUUUUGAUCAGUAUAUACAGUAAACUGUCUCCCCAACAAAUGUGGUCGCCAAUGUUGCACUGCUAGAACGAUGGCCAUCAAUUCUUUCUCAUAAGCAGAUUUGGACAGAUUGCGAGCACUCAAGGCUUUACUAAAGUAGGCUAUGGGUCUGCCUUGCUGGAGAAGUAUGGCUCCUACCCCAUUCCCGGAAGCAUCACUCUCUAUAGUGAAAGGUUGAGAGAAAUUUGGUAAUGCAAGUACAGGUUCAGUCACCAUUCGUGCUUUGAGUGUGUCAAAUGCCUGCUGAGCUUGUGAAGUCCAUUUGAAACCUUUCUUUUUUUGUAAGUUCAGUCAGUGGCCUAGCGAUCUUACCAUAAUCUCGCACAAACUUGCGAUAGUAUCCAGUCAACCCGAGAAAACCACGUACCCCUUUUACAUUCUUAGGUACUGGCCAUGAGGUGAUGCUUUGCACCUUGCUAGGGUCCAUUGCCACUCCCUCCUGUGAAACCACAUGACCCAGAUACUCUACAGAAUUCUGGGCAAAAGUGCACUUUUUACGAUUCGCCACCAAACGCUGUGCACGUAGUCUCUCAAAUACCAUGGUCAAAUGUUGCAAGUGCAGAUCCCAAUCCGAGCUGUACACGAGGAUGUCAUCGAAGAAAACAAGUACACUCCGACGCAAAAGGUCACGGAAGACUUCAUUCAUCAACGCUUGAAAGGUGGAAGGGGCAUUCAUCAACCCGAAGGGCAUCACAAGGUAUUCAUAGUGCCCUUCGUGGGUACGGAAUGCAGUUUUGUGUACAUCUUCCUCUUUCACCAACACUUGGUGAUAACCCGACUUGAGGUCAAGCUUGGAGAAGUAGCGAGCCCCAUGAAGUUCAUCCAAUAACUCGUCUAUCACUGGAAUUGGGAAUUUGUCAGGGAUCGUUGCCUUGUUCAACUCGCGGUAGUCCACACACAUGCGCCAUGACCCAUCCUUUUUCUUCACUAAGAUGACGGGGCUGGAGAAGGCGCUUUGACUGUGUCUAAUGAUUCCUGAUUUCAACAUGUCCCUGACUUGUUUUUCUAUCUCGUCCUUAUGGUGAUGGGAGUACCUGUAUGGCCUCACAUUCACCGGCCCUUGUCCUGCUACAAGAUUAAUCUGGUGAUCUUUCUGCCGCCUUGGAGGUAAUCCCAUGGUCUCCAUAAAAAUGUCCUCGAAACGACUGAGGAGUGAUUCCAACUGAUGAAGCUGUUUCUCAGAGAGUCCUGAAACUUCUUUGGUGUUCUUAGUAGUAUGCGCUGCUUGCAGCUCUUUGCUCUCACCUUCGUGCUCCUCAUUUUGGCCAAAAAUGCUCUGCAAAGCCCACUGUUUAUGUUGUAUUCCCUUCUGUCCUUGCAAAAAGAACCACUUCCCAGCAAGCUGAAAUUUCAUGGUUUGUCUCCCCCAAUUGACUAGCAUGUCUCCAAGGGUAAUCAGCCACGUUACUCCCAAAACCAAGUCAAUACCAUCCAAAUCAAAUAGGAUUGUCUCUACCGUGGUUGUGUAAUCACCAAUUUCCACUCCCACAUGUUCAACCUUACCGCUGGCCAUCACCUUGCUUCCAUCUCCCAACAGAAUUCGCAUCUCUGGUGUGGCUUGAAUUUCCCACCCCAUCGCUGUUGCUACUCGUUUGGACAAGAAAUUGUGCGUUGCCCCGCUAUCAACCAAGAUGAGGAUUGGAACGCCCUAGACUGUUCCCUGCAGCUUCAUCGUGUGGGCUUGAAGUGGCUCGGCUCCCAAUUUCAUGAUGCUUAGCUCACCGUCCACAGCCGCCGCGUCGUCCUCUUCUGCUUCCAGCGACAUAUUCCCCUCUUCUCCUCCGUCGUCUCCUUCCUCUAUCAACAUGAUGCGGAGUUGCUUGUCGGGGCACUGAUGAAGUGGGUGGUACUUGCCGCCGCAUUUGAAGCAGAGCCCCUUCUGACGCCGGUCAAGGAGCUCUUGAUAUGGCAGAUGCCUUAUCCCUUUGUCGCGAUGGGUGGGACGCUUGUCUUCACGUCGAUCUCCUUUGUCAUCUCGGUUCUUCACCAUUACCCAACCUUGGGUUGAGUCACGACCCGCUAGAACUGGGCCUGAUGCUGUUUGGUGGGCCGGUCGGUUAUAUGACCCCGAUCCAUAUCCAUAUCGUGGGCCUCCGUUUUUUGACCCGGUUGAGCUGCGACCCGCUCCGUGGAGCUCUGUCUCUAUUGCCCGAGCUAGAGGAAUCAAUCGUGAACGAGGUAGCGUCGUCAGAGCCCGCAUACUGCGAACCCGUGCUCGAAUGUCCUCACGCAACCCAUGGAUGAAGUACCCAAAGUACUUUUCAUCGGGCAGAUUUGGCGUCUGCGAGAGCAAACGCUCGAAAUCAACCACAUAAUCGUCAACGGUCCCCUGUUGCUGGAGAUCCGAGAGCUGUUCGAAGACGUCACCCUUGUUGGCGGUGCCAUAGCGCUCCAACAACUCGUUGGUGAGUCGUUCCCAGGUUAAUCCGGGGUCCAAGUGCAGCAAAGAGUUGAAAUAAUGGAUCGUGGAUCCUUCCAUGCAUAAGUGAGCAAAGUUCACCUUGACUUCUGGGCUUGUACCCAUGACAUGGAAGUAGACCUCAGCACGGGCAAUCCAACCCGCCGGGUCUUCUCCAUUGAAAAGAGGAAGCUCUACCUUCUUGGCAGACUUGCGGAAUUCAUCCAACUGUCCUCAUCGAGCUUAGUCCAACCAGAUACACCAGAUGGACUUCCCUUCUCAGCUCCAGAUCUUGCUGGUGUGUCUAGAUUUCGCCACUCCCCGAAUCAUCUUGCUCCUGAGUCUGCUUGGAUAAUUUCUGGGUUAAAAGAUCAAUCAAGCGAGCCUGAUUGUUCUCCGCUUGCUCCUGCAUAGUGACAAGAGUUGAUCGGAGAUUUGCCACUUCAGUUUCCAGUGCUGCUACCUUCGCUUCCAUCAUCUUCUUCGCUGGUGGCAUUCGUUGUCAGAUUCAACGAAGAUGAACGCUGGCUUCCGUCUCGUAAAUGAUCCGGCAGGUCGGACCAAUUUGAUGAGAACCAGAAUACAGAAAUAGAGUACAAGGUAUGAGAAUAAGAAAAAAUACUUUGAUUAAUACUGAAAUAGAAGAAACAGAAAUACAAUAGCUACUGCUAUUGUCCCAGAGUAAGACUCCUGUAGAAGAAGAGACUCUCUUCACUCUACUCUUAACAACCUAUUUCUCAUCAUAAUCCUUCUCAUUCUAACAGAAAGCUUAUAUGAGAAUCUCCACUCAGCCUUACGCACCUCUCACACCCUUCCUACCCGCAAAGGCCGUAACUAACUUGUGCCAGCUCACCCUCCUAAGAUUCCCCUCUCUUAUUCUUUCUCACAUAUACUUUCCAUCCUUUGGGCCUGGUCUCAUUGGCUGUGGUCCCACCCUCACUAAGAGCUCUAUCACAAAAUACAAUCUUCCUCUACAUAAAAGAAAAUUACUCUAUAACUACCAGUAAAAAUCAUAACACCUGUUAAGAUAUAAAUUGCAUAGUGCAGAGCAGGAUCAAGUUCAGCUAAAAAAUAAAAUUCUCCUCUCUUCCCCUCUCUUUCUUACCACUCCAUCCUCAUCAAAAACAUAAUGCCAUGUUGUAAACUUUUUAAAGAGUACCAGAUGGCAUGUCAUGGUUUAGUAAAACAAUCUUGUGAGAUGAUGAUUGUUAGUUCAGAUAAAUGCAAAAAAGAAUGAGAAUUACAUAAAUAUGUCAAAAGAACUGUUUAAGGCCAUCAUAUUCUGAUUGCAGAGAAUAAGAUAUAUAUUCCACAAUUAGACACAAGUACAUCAAGAACAUAUAAAUUUGAGACCGAAGAAUAAAUAUAGGUCCUUGCCUGUGUUCAUCCUCGGUCCAAGCAAUACCCUUGCGUCGUUCCUGAUCUGAUCUAGAACCUUUACUUCCAUGAUUAGAUUCACUAUUACAAUGCCGUAUAUGGCCAGUCUUCUUGCCAACUCCUUCAUCACUAGCAUGGCUUGUUGAUCUCUCUGGAGUAGAAUUAUACAAUGGUAGAGGCACACGCCCAGAUUCGAUCUGGCUAAUAUCGUCAACCAAUACCUCGUAAUGCUGUUUAAUCUCUUUUAUAGACUUCCCCGGUACAUCAGCAGCAAUCUUCUCCCAUCGUUCUGAAGCAUCUUCGGGAUAAGUCGCCAACGCAUUUUCAAAUGCUUUUUCCUGCUCUCUGCUCCAGUCAGAGCUACUAUCCAGUUCAUCCGCCUUCAUCUAGUCUUGUUUAAACCAACUACAGACUUUUAUUAGAGGGAGAGGGUACGUUUUUAGUUUCUACCAAACUUCUCUAAGUCUAGGUUAAGGCUAUUUAUAUACCACAAGGGUUUGUCCUAUGAGAAUUAUGGAUCUAGAUUAUUUCUAUGGUGAGUAUCACUAAAAUUAGAGUGUAGGACUGUAAGAUCAAGUUUUGAUCUAGUAGUACAACUCUAUGUUUUGAUGAUUACAAGUUAACCUUUUGAUAUGAACAAUUGUGGUACUCUAACGUGUUUUUCUGAGUGUGCUAUUUACAGGCUCUGACCCUGACUCAAUUUCACACAAAUCAGAAGCACUGUGUAUAAAGGGUAACCCAAGCAACGCUUUCGCAUUCACCAUGUUCAGUAUGAACAGUGGAAAAGCUUCAGAAGAUCUGAAGCUAUACAAACUCUGAUGAGGACUCAGUCGCUAGAAGCUCUGAUGAUCCAGAAGUUCUGACAACCAAGAAACACUGAAGGUUCAGAUGUUCCGAUGGUGUAGAAGACUCUGAAGAUCCAGAAGCUGAAUAGUAGAAACUCUGAAGUCCAGAAGCAAGAAACUCUGAAGGCCAUGUUCUUCCCUCUGAGUUCAGAAUCAGAAGAUACAAUGGUCAGAGGAUCUGUGCUAUCCCUCUGACUCUGAUCAACCGGCUUCACAAGUUCCAAUACGAAGCAUUCCUCUGAUCAGAAGUCUCCUAGGUUAAAAGGUCAAGUCGCUAUCCAAGUACAAAAGCAAGUGUACCUUCCUGACGACUUACCUAACGUUCUCAGCCACAGCAGAAGCUGGAUUUUCCAGAACUGCCCUCCAACGGUAGCAUUUCCCAUGCAACGCUCAACCCUAAUCCUUGGAGUAUAUAUAGAGGCUGAAGAUUGAAAGAAGCGGCUAGAGAAGAGAAGUGAAUACAAGAAGCAACACACGCGCAAGAUAUUCAAAAUAUUCUAAGCUUUCUUUCAUCUUGUAAUUUAUUUAGUUUACACUCAGCUUAUUCAGAAGCAAACCCUUGUAAACACCAACCUCAAACAGUUGUUUGAUUUUCCUUUAGGAGAUCAAGGUUGAUCGGAUCCUAGAGAAGACUAAGAGAGUGAAUCUUAGUGUGAGCUAAGUCAGUGUAAUUGUUAGUCACUUGUAGGUUUCAAGUGCAGUUGUAACUCUUACCUGAUUAGUGGAUUGCCUUCAUUCUAAGAAGGAAGAAAUCACCUUAACGGGUGGACUGGAGUAGCUUGAGUGAUUUAUCAAGUGAACCAGGAUAAAAUCCUUGUGUGCUUUUCUAUCUCUAUCUUUUGCACUUAGUUCUCGAAAAGAUUUGUUAAAAUCUUUAAGGUGGUAGUUUUGUACUGAAAACGUUAUUCAAACCCCCCCUUUCUACCGUUUUUCAUACCUUCAAGGACUACAAAGUUGAAACUGAAGUAGAGCCACCAGAGGCAGAAAAUAGCAGGAAACUGAACACAGUUCAAUACCAAUGAAAUAUCUGAGAUGUGUGAAAUUUCAUUGAUUUGUUUCAGAAUUAAAAAAACUGGACACUUGUGAAUUAUUGACCUACUGAUGAAUGAAAAGGCAGAAAAGUAAGUUAAAACAUGAGAAAAACCUGAGACUGACAAACCAAAAAUCGUAGAUGCUGAAGGUAGGAAGUGAAAAUUUAGAAAGGCCAGUCAAUAUAAUGGUAAUUACUGGGCUAGGAUGAUUUCUAAUAAAAGAAAGAGCCCUUCAGAAACAAACAAAGAAGAUAAACUGAUAAAGUCACAAGGGAUAACACGAGCAUUCAAAUAGCUAUUUCUCAUUCAAUAAAAAAAACAAACUCCAGUUUACCAUAGGCACAGUUUUAACAGCACAGGCCCACAAAACUUUCACCCAUAAGUGUAACUACUGUAAAUCUCAUUCUCACCGUACAAAAAUUCAUACAGAAAGUACUUCAUAACUCAAAGUACAAAGCUAUGAAUCCAGAAGAGGAGAAGAAAGAAACUAGAAAAUAAGGCUCAGCACUAGUGAAACUUCCUAAGUUGAAAAUUUCACAAAAGUAAAUAGAACGUAUAUACACAUAGAGAUUAAGAAAUGGAUUCAAAGCCUCGUUUUCCCAGACCGGGUGUUAAUAAAAAUAACUAUCUUUAACUCAAAUACAAAAUGCAACCAACUAGUGGUGGUUGGUUCAACUGAUACAUACUUGAUUCCCUUUAAGCAAAUGCCUCGAGUUCAAGUCUUUUGGAUGGAAAAAUUUCACUAAAAGAGCUCGCUCCACCAUGACGUGAAUGUUCCCGCCUCAAACACCAUUGCUCCUGUCGAGAAUACCUGUAUUGGACCAAAAAAAAAAUAUAUAUAUUAAAAUACAAAUGCAAUAAUUAUAUAUCCCUAUUCUCAACAGUUUUGAUCCAACAACCAAGUUAAGAAAAGUAACCUCAUGAAAAUCCCAAUGAAUUACUAAGUUUCAUUGAGUUGGUGUUCAAAAAAUGUGUUACUUGAGCUCAGUAAGAUUAGCAAUUAAUCUCCAUCUUAAAACAUUGGAAGCAAAAUUUCAUUAGUAAAAUCACUGGAUGCAAAAUGUCAUAUGCACUGUCAAGCUUCUGACACAUUAACCAACGGUAUUUCUUUCAAGCCACCUAACAAGUGAAAGUGUAAAAGAGAAUUUUACCCACCAACAUUACUUUUAAAGUUAAGCCUGAAAAGUGAAAACACAAAUAAUUUCAGCCUAAUCCAUGAUUAGUUUGAUAAAGACAGGCAAAAACAAUCUAGAGAGUAAAAUUAACAUAAGAUAAAUUGAGAUUUAAGAAAAUGGCCAAACAUUGGGUGGAAAUUUCAAGGGUAGAACACAGAAAUCAUAAAAUGACAUUGAUGUUUAUCCUGAAACCCACAAAGAAAUACAUGACGGGUCAAUUUGGUCCCAUCCCAACAACAGCUUUACUACAAAUAGGGACAGCUGGGUUGAAAAAGCCACAACCCAACCCAAGUUGCAAACCAAAAGAAUCUACACAGCAGUCCUAGCACCCAUUAAUAUCUGACAAAAUGAUAUAGGACAACAUCAUCAAGAGAGAGAGAGAAGCUGAAGAAUAAUAAAUCAAAAGUGGGGGAAAUUGAAUUGAAUUUUUUUUUUCCAUUAUGAUUUCUAAAAAAUGAAAUAAUAGAUAUUGCACAAGAUGAUGAUUCAAGUUUAGUUCUUCUGAAGAAUGCACAUGAAUUUUGGGCAUGAAAUGAUGAAGUUAUCACCUUUCUGCAAUGCUUCAGGCUUCUUGGCUUCUUUCUUUCUGCUCUGACGAACUGUAGCAAAACACAAGAGUCAAAAUAGUUGUGCGUCAUCGUGAAUAUAUUCUGGAGUACUGGACUGUCAGGUGGUCCUAUUCCUAUUCAUGAGAUUAAGUUAAAAGUGUCCAAAAAUAUUAAAUUCACAAUAUUCUUUUACUAAUUUUAAUUUUAAUAACUAUACAUUUUAACCCUUUUUCUAUAUUGAAUUUAAGUUAUCAUUAUUGAGUGAUAUCAUUUGAUCUCUUUUUACAGAAAAGAGUUUUUGUUUACCGUGAUUGGAUUAGUCCUUAAAUUGGUCUCAGUGUUUGUCUUACCAUCUGAACUAGGUUCCUCAUCGGAAAUAUUUUGCAAAAUGUCAUAUAUUAUAUAAAACUUAUGGAGCAAGUGGUUGGGGGUUCGAAUUCCAACUCUUGCGAAUAGAAAAAACUCAUUGGUCAGCCCCCUACCGCUUAGAAAAAAAAAACCUAUGAAGCAAAUCCUUCCCGGAGCCCAGAGCUCCAGCGAGUGAUGAUUUGACCUGCCGACUGUGUUAAUGAUGCUUACGUGAAUUAAAAAAAUAAAAAUAAAAAUAAAUAAAAAACACAUAAGAAAUUUUUAUUUAAUUAAAAAAAUAAAAAUUAACAAAUUUAAUAAAAUUUAAUUAAUUAAAAAUCCAAACUAAAUUAAAUCAAAUUACAUAUCAUAAAAUUUCUUCUCUUUCCACAAACAUCUUCAUCUUCUUCAUUGAAACAUAACUAAUACCCUGUAAUAUCCAAACUUAUGAGUACAUGGUUCUAAAAAUACAACGCUACCCAGAAUUAACAACAACCUGAGCAACACUGAAAUGUAAAGAUAGAACACAAGAAGGGGGGUUUGAAUUGUGUUGUUCUAAAACUUUGAUUUUUCAAAUGAUUAUUAGUUUUAGAAAUAUUUUCGCAAGCGUUUAGUGCAACGGAUAAAUGAGUAAGAUAGUUGUUCCAACAAGGGUAUAUAGUCUUAUUUCAGUGUCUAGUCUUAUUUCAGUGUAUAGUCUUAUUUCAGUGUCUAUCAAAUGAUGUACAUAAGAAGGGGAAGCAUUCCUUUUAUAGCAGGUCGACCUCUGUAUUUCAUUGGUCUUUGCUUCUAUCCGUUGAUGAACAAAUAUGGCAACUUGAUGGUACAACGUUGUACUUCAGCUUUGGCCAUUGUGCUUUGUCAGAUCAUGCGCUCUUCUAGAAAGACUUCUUCUACAAGUUUGUCUGAGACAUUUAUGUAAAUCAAAGAUGGCGCUCAUUCUUUAGACGUUCCUCUUGCUUCAGAUGAUCUUCUUUCCGUAGACGGUCUUCUAUCUUCCAUUGGUCAUGUUGAGUGAGACGAUGGGCUUUGACUAGUAGAAUGUAACUUCUUCACAAGGGUUGAACUGUCUUUUGUGUCAGUAGAUUGACUUGGACAUAACAAGGUAAGCAUAGACGAUAAGUCAAAGUGUUCUUGAAAUAUAAAAUUUUUAGUGUUCCACUUAUGCCCAUCAAAAUUGUUAUCAUACAAAACAUGACAAACGAUAUGAGUAAAUGUUUGAACUUAACAAACACUACUUUAGAGGGUCAAACUGUGUCAAAAGACAAAGUCUAGUUUUAGGCAAAUAUCUUCCAACAUAAUAGGACCAACAUCCAUCUUCAACACAAUAGGCAAAUACUCAGUGCUAGUUCUCAGAUUUGGGCACCUCUGAAUUUCAUCAACCCCAACCCAACAAUAAACCCAACAACCCCAACCUCACCCUCCCACUAUCUUCUUCGUUAUCUUCCAAACCAAAAAACCCACCGAGAAACCCAAGCAAAAGCAAGAAAAUCCAAAGAAAGAAAGAUAGAUUCAAGAGAAAGAUAACCAUAACUGAGAUCGUACACAAGAACCCAAAUUGUAGGAGAACCCAAAUCGCGAAAAGAACCCAGAUCCUUAACAAACGUUGGUGCCUUUCUUGUGAAUCGUUGCCUCGACUCCUUCUCUCACCUUCUCCUUCUUGAAUCUCGCCAUCUUUUAUCUUGCGUCGUGGGUUAUGAUGGUGAUGGAGUGUUGUCCUAUCCAUAUCCAAGUUUCAAACGCAUCUCAGAAUGAGAGGUGCGAAAAUCCAAAAUGAGGUUUUUGUUGCAGGUGGUGGUGGGGUUGGGGUUCUAGUUGCAGGUGAGGGUUGAGAUUUUGGUUGGAGAAGAAGAAGAAAAUGAAGGAGGAGGGGAUGAUGUGAUGAAUUUCUGGGUUAGUUUUUGGGGGGUGGGGAAAUUGAUUUUGUUAAUUGAUUUAGGGUUUUUCUUUUUAAGGAAUUUAGGGUUAUAUUUGUUAAUUGAUUUUUUUUUUAAUUAAAUUAAAAUUUCUUAUAUGUUAUUUAUUUUUUAUUUUUAAAAUCCACGUAAGCAUCAUUAACACAGUCAGCAGGCCAAAUCAUCACUCGUUGGAGCUUUGGGCUUCGGUGAGGACUUGAUCUAGACAUUUUGCAUUAUAGAGGACCUUUUGCAAAAUAUUUUUCGGCGCGGGACGUAGUUUAGACGACCACAAAAUACAAGAACCAAUUUGAGGAUUAACCAUUUAUUUUAUUUGGUAAUUUAUGGGAUUUUAGUCAUGGCACUUCAAUCUUAGUCAUGUAUUUUUUAUUUUUUAGUUCAUUUUAGAAUUUUCUAGAUUUAUUGGAUAUUUUUUAAGACAUUGAUGCUAAUAAUUGAAUUUUUGUAUUUUAAAUUGAAAGGACAUACGAAAUUUUAGGUAUAUGCACCUCGCAGCCAUUGCUCUAGUUCACUAUUUAUGGUUGUUGAGCAUGGAAUUAGCUAAUACUAAAUUUUGUUCCAAAAUUUUAGCUCAAUAAACACCAAUAUUAGCAAAUUGACAAUUGAGUUUUCCAUGAAGCAGUAUGGUUGAAUUCAUUUUGUGUUUCUUUCAAAAUUGGCAGAUAAUGAUAACACAGUCUAUCUCCUCUUCAAUAACUUCACAAAAUUCCGUUCACUUUCAAUUCACACGCAGUGUUUAAUUUGUGUGGCAGAAACACAGAGAAACAGAAAAAAGAUCAACAAUGUCAACAUUGACUGUACCUCCAAUGUUGCAUUCGCCUCGUGAUGAUGCUCGCAAGCUGCAUAAAGCUUUCAAAGGUUAAUGUUUGAUGAAAGAACAUGAAAUCGGUGUGAUCACUUUCAAUAAUGGAUUUGUGAAUUUGAAGCACUUUUUUUUGUUUUCCUUAUGCAUUUCUCAUUACAGGUCUUGGCUGCGAUACAUCUAAGGUUAUUCAAAUCCUUGCUCAUAGGGAUUCCGUACAGCGCGACCUCAUCCAACAAGAGUAUGAAACUACCUUCUCUGAAUCCCUUUCCAAACGUUUAGCUUCAGAGCUUCGCGGGCAUACCAAGGUACACAGAAGAAUUUCUAUUUGGAUAUUUUUGUUUGCAUCAUUGAGAAUAUAUCUCAGAAAUAGUAGAGGAAUGAUUGCUUUUUUCUUUUCCCCUUGUUGAUUCUAAAUGGCUUCAGAAAGCACUGAAACUUUGGCUUUAUGAUCCUGCAACCCGGGAUGCUGUGAUAGCAAGGAAAGCCUUAACUACAACACCAGUUUUUGAUAAUCAAGCUAUAACAGAAAUAAUAUGUUCUCGUACCCCGUCGCAGCUAAGGCGAUUGAAAGAAGUUUAUCUGUCAACAUACCAUUCCUACAUUGAGCAUGACAUUGAAAACCAAACAAGUGGUGAUCACAAGAAGGUGCUUGAUUUUGUUUCUUUGUGCACUGUAUAUAUAGUUAGUUUGGAUUGGUUUCUCAUUCCUUAGAAUCAACUCUGAAGCCAAGAAACUACUUACAGAAGGUUCUUCCCAGAAAAUGAUUAAGUACCAUGAUUAUUAACUCAUAACAUAUUUAGGAACAGAUAUAGAAGCAGGUUCGUAUUCAUUCCCUCUGGAUUUGAAUUCUUUGCAGUUAAGGGAAUCUCACGUUCACACAUUUAAACAUAUUUAGCCAUCUCAUUAAAAUCGGUCGUAUUUUGAGUUACAAUGCUAAAUUACUUAUCACCACUUAAAAUCUAUAUCGUUCGAAUAAUAUCAAACAGCUAAAAAUGCUUGAAUGUGUAAACAUGAAAUAGAAUCACGACUUCGUAGCCAUCUGCUCGAAAUCAUACGGUUCAGAUUUACAAUUAGAUUUUAGAUCUAUUGUUAGUCUAUUUAAAUUUAAGUCAUCUGAUCUUUUAUCAAACGAUUAUGGGUCAUUAGAGAAUUUAGAAAAAUUUAAAUGCAGGAAAUGCAAAUGUGUUUUUCAAUGGGACUUUUUUGAAAUUCAAUCCUGCGAAAGAAAAAUUAGCAUUCCUCAUGUAACUUUCUACGGUCAAGGACAUUUAACAAAUUUAUCAAUGCAUAAGCACAUUUUUCUUGAUACUCUAGCCUUGUGAAAACAUCUAAAAUACCUAGACAUGUUGAUGUUGGAUCCUUUAACAGUUGUUGCUUGCAUAUCUAAGCACACCGCGUUAUGAAGGCCCAGAAUUGGACAAUACAAUAGUACAACAGGAUGCCACACAGCUCUAUAAAUCAGGGGAGAAGAGGAUAGGAACUGAUGAGAAAAUGUUCAUAAAGAUCUUCAGUGAAAGAAGCAGCACACAUUUGGCUGCUGUUGACUCUGCUUACAGAGCUCAACAUGGAAACACACUUGAAAAGGUAUUCUUACAAUCAAGAAUUGACCUUCCUUGAUUUUUUCCUCUUUGUUGUUUGUUCACAAUCCAACUCAUCUUUCUUAUGAAGGCACUAAAGAAAGAAACCUCUGGUAGUUUUUUGAGAGGCCUCUUGACCAUACUACGUUGUGCUACUAACCCUGCUAUGUACUUUGCUAAGGUAUUUUUUGUUCUUAGUUUUACAUCUUCAAAAUUUCUAAUUGGUUUCUCAUGCUCCUUCUAAUUAUUUCUUUGCCAUUGGUUGUUGUUCUUUUUGAAUAGUUUUCUACUGAAUGUCUAGGGAUGAUCAAGAUUUUAUGUUCUCAAUUGGUCCCAAUUUCCUGUCCUGCAAAUAAAAUUGUGUCAUGUUGAAUAAAAAACACAUGACUAAGGUAGUUAUAAACUUAUAUGAUAGUUUUUAAUUGGUGAGUAUACACUUUAUUGGUGGGACAGAGAAUGAAGUACAAUUUGGGGACAAAAGAUUUCAACCCGUCUAUGAAGUGAAAAGUUAUAUACUCUAACCUUUUUGGGUCGAGUUUGGAAAAGUUUAUUUAAACUUAUCUUAUAACAUACUUAUAAAAAUAGAUUAUGACCUACCUACAAGAUGUUUUGAGCUUGUUUUCAUAAACUAUUUGAUUAGCUGAAAAAUAGGGCCUAUAAGAUGUUUUGAGUUCACUUCAAUAAGCUUCUUAAAUUGACUUAUGAAUAAGUAUUCAUGUGAUAAACGUUUAUUGCUCUAAUUUGAGUUUAUUUCAAUAAGUUUCUUAAAUUAGCUUAUGAAUAAGUAUUAAUGUGAUAAAUGUUUAUUUCUAUAAGUUCUUACUUAAUUUUUUUUCCCAAGCACACCCUUAGUCUUACUAGAAAAAUACAAUCUUGUCCUUUGAAUAUUUUCAUGAUGAACACCACAAUUGAAGAUUUCUCGGAUGUUCUGUUUUCCCUUUCCCUCUGUUAUUUACUGGUACAUUAUACAACUUUCAUUUUCAUUAGUCAUAUACCUCUUGUAAUAUUGUUACAUUUUUUAAGAAAAAAUUAAAAGUUAUGAACUUAUGAUAUGUUUUAUCUACUUAUGUCUAUGACAUAAGGCUUGACGCUUAUAUCCUUAUCUUUUGCAGAUUUUGCACAAGUCAAUGAAGGGUAUGGGAACUGAUGAUAGUAGACUAAUAAGGGUAAUUGUGACCAGGACUGAGAUUGACAUGCAACACAUAAAAGCAGCAUAUUAUAGUAAAUAUGGAAAACCACUAACUCAUGCUGUUCGUUCAGACACAUCAGGCAGUUAUAAAGACUUUCUAUUACAUCUUUUAGGCACUGAUUAUUAGUAUCUUGAAGUAGCUUUUGUAUUCGUAUAUAUGGACCUGCGUUUGUUAUGUUUAUUAUUUCAAUUUUACUGUUUUGAAUCACAUAUUUUUUCAUGUCACUAUUUAGGAUGUGGAUGGUUGCAAAACUAACUUCUUAUGAUUGUUUGAGUAAAAUUCUAGUAACAAAAAAGUGAUAUGCAACACUUAAUUUCUUAAAUUAAACAUUAUAUAUAGCUAGAUGUUGACCCGCACUUUACAAGAGCGAUCAUUAUUGUUGCAGUAAUAUUUUCCAAUUUUUGCUUUCAACUAUGAAACUAAAAAAUUAUUACAGUAGAAACCAUGAUGUUAGUCAUAUAUUUUGGAAACAAUGGGAAUUAGAUUGCAUACUAAUGUGACAUCACAAAAUUACAGUAUCAUGAAGCUAACUCUAUAUAAGCACACUCAAUUUGGCUGUUGUCGACUCGUUCAAUUUCCAGUUUCUUGAUUUCACCUCUAACUUCCGGAUGUCAAAGAUCCAACAAGUCGUUUGUCAAACGUUAUAGUUGUUAGAGUCUCACAUUGACUAGAGAUGUGGCCAAGCAAUUGUUUUUAUAUGGUUGUGCAAACUUUUUCUUCUUGUUAAAAUAUAUUAGAAUAUUAGAUUAGAAUAUUCUUUAUUUAUUUACCAAUGUAAUUACGCAUAUAAUCAGAUUUAGAUUUGUUUAGCUUUUAUUAUUAGUUAACUAUGUAAUUGUAUAAAUAGAGUGUUUGCUCAUCAAUAAUAUUCACGGAAUACAAUUCCUUCAUGGUAUCAGAGCCAAUGGUUGUUUGACCAUGGGCCUGGGCCCCUAUCCUAGAUCCAUUUGUUGUGGAAACCUCCCAUAUUUGGGCCACCCGUUUCAUUCCACGCUCCAGAUGUUCUACACUGGGCGUGAGGGGGUGUGUUAGAGUCCCACAUUGACUAGAGAUGUGGUCAAGCAAUUGCUUAUAUAUGGUUGUGCAAACCUUAACUCUUGAGCUAGCUUUUGAAUUGAGUUAGGCCUCCUUCAUGGUAUCUGUUGGUCAAUCUGCAAGUGCACAGAUAUCUCCGGGUUUUAAAUAUCGAAUCCACAGGGAAUUGUAAUGUGAAUUCAGUUUAAGAGUCAAGUUCAAGGUUAAAAAGCGAAUAAAAUUCAGUUUUUAAGAUUGGUUGUUUCUUUGAUUAUGUAAUAGAUAAAUGAACAAGUAGUAAAGUGAUCGAAAUUCAGAAAUGAGAUUGCCUUGGGUUCUUGUUCAACUAAUUCAGUUUUAGCAAACCUUCCUAUCCAAUAAAUCCUGAGUCUCUCCUUGAAGUUCUAGCCUAGAUAGUCAUCUAUCGAUGCCUCGUAAAGAAAACCCUUUCUAACCAAAAGAUAGGUUCAAUUCCUUGCUAACCUAAGCAUUUGAUAGAAGCAAUAAGCAUACAAUUCAGGCCAACCAACCCCAACCUCAACUCUUCCUCUAUUCCUAGCAGCAAGUAUAGAAGGAGUAAUCUCACAACAAGUCCCAAUUCUAUAAUAAACUAUCGUUAUGAUUAUAGAAAAGUAAGAAGCUAGCAUGCAUUCAAGCUUGAAAGAUUAAGCAUAGAAGUGAGAUUCAAGGGUUUACUCAGAAUAUUAUGAAUAGGAAAGGAAUUAAAAGCUAAAACAUCCAAAGUCUUACAAAGAACCCAAAACAAAGGGGUUUUUAGCCAAGCAUGGCUAUGGAAUCCAUACAAGAAGAUGAAGAUAAAACCUGGAACAUAAGGCCUAGAAGAAGUUCCUCAAGCUCCAGAACUCAAACCCUCUCUUUUAACUUAUUGAAAUAUGGUAAAAUGACAAAAGGUUUCAAGAGAAAUGACAAAAAUCCUAUUUAUAGGCAAAAUUGACGAGUUUACUGGUGUGUCGGGCGCUCAAGCGCCAGCACCAAAUCCUGGCACAAAAAGUAUCUGCCAACCUGGCGCUCAGGCGCCCAUGUGGAGCGCUUGAGCGCCCCAGCUCGCCUGAAAACCUCUUAAACUUCAACUUUAACACACUUUAAUGCCUCCAUCAAGCCUUUAAACCCCUUGGCCUUCUUCCUUCAGCUGUUACAACCUGAUUGCUUGCAUAGAAAGACUAGGAACAAANNNNNNNNNNNNNNNNNNNNNNNNNNNNNNNNNNNNNNNNNNNNNNNNNNNNNNNNNNNNNNNNNNNNNNNNNNNNNNNNNNNNNNNNNNNNNNNNNNNNNNNNNNNNNNNNNNNNNNNNNNNNNNNNNNNNNNNNNNNNNNNNNNNNNNNNNNNNNNNNNNNNNNNNNNNNNNNNNNNNNNNNNNNNNNNNNNNNNNNNNNNNNNNNNNNNNNNNNNNNNNNNNNNNNNNNNNNNNNNNNNNNNNNNNNNNNNNNNNNNNNNNNNNNNNNNNNNNNNNNNNNNNNNNNNNNNNNNNNNNNNNNNNNNNNNNNNNNNNNNNNNNNNNNNNNNNNNNNNNNNNNNNNNNNNNNNNNNNNNNNNNNNNNNNNNNNNNNNNNNNNNNNNNNNNNNNNNNNNNNNNNNNNNNNNNNNNNNNNNNNNNNNNNNNNNNNNNNNNNNNNNNNNNNNNNNNNNNNNNNNNNNNNNNNNNNNNNNNNNNNNNNNNNNNNNNNNNNNNNNNNNNNNNNNNNNNNNNNNNNNNNNNNNNNNNNNNNNNNNNNNNNNNNNNNNNNNNNNNNNNNNNNNNNNNNNNNNNNNNNNNNNNNNNNNNNNNNNNNNNNNNNNNNNNNNNNNNNNNNNNNNNNNNNNNNNNNNNNNNNNNNNNNNNNNNNNNNNNNNNNNNNNNNNNNNNNNNNNNNNNNNNNNNNNNNNNNNNNNNNNNNNNNNNNNNNNNNNNNNNNNNNNNNNNNNNNNNNNNNNNNNNNNNNNNNNNNNNNNNNNNNNNNNNNNNNNNNNNNNNNNNNNNNNNNNNNNNNNNNNNNNNNNNNNNNNNNNNNNNNNNNNNNNNNNNNNNNNNNNNNNNNNNNNNNNNNNNNNNNNNNNNNNNNNNNNNNNNNNNNNNNNNNNNNNNNNNNNNNNNNNNNNNNNNNNNNNNNNNNNNNNNNNNNNNNNNNNNNNNNNNNNNNNNNNNNNNNNNNNNNNNNNNNNNNNNNNNNNNNNNNNNNNNNNNNNNNNNNNNNAAGCUUUUCAGAAGCAAUCUCAUUGUAAACAAUACUUUUUAAACAGUUGUUUAUUUUUACCUUUAGGAGAUCAAGGUUGAUCGGAUCCUAGAGAAGACUAAGAGAGUGAAUCUUAGUGUGAGCUAAGUCAGUGUAUUGUUAGUCACUUGUAGGUCUCAAGUGCAGUUGUAACAAAUCUCUGAUUAGUGUAUUGCCUUCAUUCUAAGAAGGAAGAAAUCACCUUCACAGGUGGACUGGACUAGCUUGAGUGAUUCAUCAAGUGAACCAGGAUAAAAUUCUUGUGUGCUUUUCUCAUCUCUUAUCUUAAGCCCUUUACUUGUGUUUCGAAAGAUUUGCUAAAAUCUUAAGUGGGAAGUUUUAUUCUGAAAAUGCUAUUCAAACCCCCCUUCUAUCGUUUUUCAUACCUUCAAUCUUGUCUUGGUAUGCAGAUUCUCCUUCUUUCCUUCCUUCUUAUCCAGUACAGCAGCAACAUCCUUGUUGGUCCUGGGAAAAUGACUAGAAGCCUUCACAAUCUUUUUCUCUUUAAACCCUCUUGGUUUCCACUCUUUCCUUGCUUGAACAACAUGUGAAUUGAUCCUUGGUUGAUCAUGUUGCUGAGGAAAUCCAUACAAUCUGUAACAGUAGGGCCUUAUAUGUCCAUAUCUUCCACAAUGAUGGCAUCUCCAACUCAAGUUCUUUGCCUUCUUGCCUUGUGGGUAAGUAUACGGUAUUUGUUGAUACACAUGUUCGACACAAUGUUGUGGCAUCUGGCUUGACAUCUUGAAUUCAGUUUUUCUUUCUGCAGGAACAAACUUACGAGUGAUCUUUUUGGAUUCUUCUGGUGCAGAGUCACUCUCAUAUCCCAAACCUUUCAUAUCCUUGGUUGUCUUUCCUGUUUCUAACAUCAGAUCAAACAUAUCAGUACCAUUAUUCAACAUACGUACAGAUUUUAUCAUACCUUCAAGUUUAGAUUUCAGCACAAAUACUUCCUCUUGAAGAUUGUUAUUGAUAUCCAGCAUAUUAUGUUUUUCAUUUUCAAGACCUUUGACAGUUCUCUCCAGCUUCUUACCAUAGUCACACGCUUCUUGUCAAUUUUUGAAUUACAACUUGUAUGUUUCAGCAAGUUCUUCUUCUGAAAUUUCUCCAUCACUGGACUCAGUCUCAGAAUUGUAUUUCACAGUAAGUCCCAAGACUUGAUUUCUAGUUUUAUCUCCUUCAGAAUCUUCAUCAGACCAAGUGACCAUCAUCCCUUUUCCUUGUUUCUUCAAAAACGUUGGACAUUCUGCUUUGAUAUGACCAUACCCUUCACAUUCAAUACACUGAACCCCUCUGUCUUUGCUGGAUUUCUCUUCAUCCUUGCCUCUGCAUUGAAAAUCAAAAUUCCUGGUAAUGUCGGGCGACUUGUCCUGAACAUUUGUCAUUGACAUUUCGUUAAUUCUCUUCAAAACUUUGUUAAAAUUUCUACCAAGAACUGCUAUAGCUUCUGAAAUACUUUCACCAGUAUCCUUCUCAGACAUAUCAUCAUCUAAAUCUGUGCUUGAGACAAGGGCAAUGCUUUUAUUUCUCUUUUCAGGUCUAUCAUUCUGAGUCAUUUCAAAAGUCAUCAAGGAUCCAAUAAGCUCAUCCACCUUGAUACUGCUUAUGUCUUGAGCUUCUUCAAUAGCAGUUACUUUCAUGUCAAACCUCUUAGGAAGAGAUCUGAGAAUCUUUCUCACAAGCUUCUCUUCUGAUAUUUGUUCUCCCAAGGCGAAUGAGGAGUUUGCCAUAUCACGCAGUCUCAUAUGAAAAUCAGAAAUGAUCUCAUCCUCCUUCAUCUUUAAGUUCUCAAAUUGAGUUGUUAGAAUCUGAAGCCUUGACAUUCUAACUCUGGAAGUCCCCUCAUGAGCAGUCUUGAGAAUCUCCCAAGCAUCCUUUGCCACAGUGCAAGUGUUGAUCAAUCGGAACAUAUUUUUAUCCACUCCAUUGAAUAUAACAUUUAAGGCUUUGGAGUUUCCAAGAGCUUCUACAUCUUCUUCUUUCGACCACUCUUCUUCGGGCUUCAAUUCUUCUGUUGAAGUUCCUUCUUUAGAUACUACCACUGGAUGUUUCCAACCUUUGCCAAUUGCUUUCCAUGUUUUGUUGUCCAUAGAUUUAAGAAAAGCAACCAUAUGAGCCUUCCAAUAAUCAUAGUUGGUACCAUCCAAUAAAGGUGGCCUAAGGAGUGAUCCUCCUUCUUUAAUGUUGUCCAUGAAACCAGAAUACAUAUUCCCUAGAACUCACCCAAACAGAAUAGGGUGUCUGCUCUGAUGCCAAUUGAAAUUCGUAUUCACCUAGGGCAGAUGUGAUACACAAUGUUGCAACAAUGUGUAUAACAAUCAGAGUACCAAAAUUUAAAUAAACAGUUAAACAAAAGCACGCAACGAGUUGUUAACCCAGUUCGAUGAACAUCACCUACGUCUGGAGGGCUUCAGCCCGAGAAAGAUAAUCCACUAUAAUAGUCAAGCACGUACAAAAGGUUCACCAAGAACAGAAACAGUUCUAAACCUUUCUACCUAUUGCUACCAGUGGCUUAAUACUUAAGUCUCCCUCUAAGUAUGAGAACCCCUUCUCUCUUUCUCUCAAUCACUGCCUCAGUGAUCUCACUUGUCAAAAGCAAUAACAAGUUUUGCUGAGACUAGCACUCAACUAAACAUAUCAACUUAGUAUUUGCAAUAGCACAGGAAGCACUAAGUUGUUACAAUACUCACAACAGGACUCAAAUAAUAAACCCCAAGAUCAAUAUCUCACGCUCAGAAUCCCUGUAUAGCUAGGGUUUAUAAGCUCCUUUAUAUAGACGUUCAAACGAGGCUUGGAUCUUCAAUGGGCCGCACGUCAAAGAGUCCACAAAAGCACUUCUGGACAGAAUCUUCAAGGAAUCAAAUUGUGAGACCCAAGUUUUUAGCUUAGAAUAAAUUAGUAAAAUUUCUUAUUCACGAAUAAUUUCGAUGUGACGUGAAGUAAGGAAACUGGAUAAACGCUUAUUAAAUGGAAUAAAUGUAUGGAGAAGAUAUUUCACGAGAAGGUUAAGGACAAGAUUCGAAUCGACGGAACUUAUGACGCAAGUAUUAUUCGUUUACGCCUAGGACAAAAACCUUAGGAAAAUAUUAAUUUAACCCUUGGAACACUAUAGGAAAAUAUUCCAAAAAUCUUCAAGAGGAAUAUAAGAAUUUCUCUUAUUCCUUUCCAUAACGAGCGUUUCGAUACGAAACCCUGGAAUGUACGAAGGUCAAAUUCCAAUACUCGGAAGUUUGCCGAAACUAAAUCACGGAUAGUUCAAGAAACCUAAAAUCAACGGACUAUGAAGACUUUUUCUAUUCGGAGCUUCAAACGAAGAUUCCACACGCGUACCUAUUUCUCUCGAUGUUUCUAAUCUUUCUUCAGAACGAAGUUUUCUCAUCCGACAUCAACUGCAAAAAGUAACUUUUCGGGUAAAAUCGAUUUACACCGACUUUGGAUCGUUUGAUUUAAUUCCAAGAAACCUGUUUUGAGUUCUGGAAUUCUGUCGCCAGAACCUAUCUUAGAAUUCACGGAGGAAUGUGCAGGAAAAAUCGAAAUCGCGAAAUAAUCAUUUUCCCGCGUUUUCCAUUUUCUUUAAAUAGCUUGAAAAAUGAAAAAAAAUCAAAGAAAACAUCACAACACACACACACGGUCGUGGGGUUGCAAGGAGGAAGGAGGAGAUUUGAUUUUCGCCGAUUCUUGUCUGAUCGUCGCAUAGUUCAUUGCUACGCGUAGGCCUCGAGGUACUGAUGUUUUUCCUUACCUCUGAUCGUAAAUUCUGUCGCUUUUCUCUAUGUUUUUCUGUGCUCAAAGUUUUGAGCUUUUUGUAAAACUGUCCAAAUAACUUGAUUUCUCUGUCUAAACUUAUUCCCUACGUGCCCCUGAGCAUGUUUAGCGGAUUACAUUUCGCCGAAUCUCGCCGAAAUGCCGCCGAACUUCAAUUCUGCUCAUAAUACCCAUUUUUGGCUAAAGUUCCGUCCUUUGGGCUUAAAACUCUCGACUAAGCUUAGCGUUAGUAGGAUUAGUCGUCAUAAUCGUCGUUGGUAUCGACCCCAUCUAAUUUGUUUUUCGAAAUUCUGAUUUUGAGUUUCCGAGCUAAAAAUAUUGACCAAAAUACCCCUGCGACAGUUUUCGACCUGAUAAUUUUUCUGAGAGUUUCUCUGGCCUAGAUAUCGCCUAAGAAUACCUAGGAAUUGAUUUAGAUCGAAGAAAAAGUUCGGAAACCCUAUUUUUGAGAGUGGCCGAAACCUAUUUGUUAGGGUACCGUGUCCAAAAAUAAUUUUUGGGUCUCUAUGACCUAAGCCAUUGCGUAGCUCUUUCAAUUGUCGAAAUUUUGGCUCCAGUUUCGUGUCAUUCCGAGUUCUGUAGCUCGAGUUAUGCGCAUUUUAGCGAAAACCUGUCUUAUUGUCCAUUCGUGCCUAAAUGUCGAACUCUAGAGUUUCAAAAACUUCUUUUCGGGUUUUGAUAGUGUUAUUAGUUGUUUUGUUUCUUAGCGACUAAGCAAUGAUACUUUGCUUAAGGUUUGGAACGAGUUGAGCUGAGGAAAGAGAUUUUGGAGCAAUUGGUGAGGUUUCACAACUGAGGAGGACGCCCGGGGAACUUGCUGGGUUCGGGAGCUUUAUUUUGGAUUGGACUGGGAUGUUGAGCUUGGAUGGAGAAAUUGGCUAAGGUAAGGGUAACUCAGUUUUAGAGCGUCUUUGAGUCUUGCAUGCUUUAAUCGCACUGCUUGCGUUUGAGAUGAAGUUGUUUAAACUUGAUUGGUAAUUGAUUAAAAUGUUGGUAUGCUUGCAAUGUUGUAUGCUCGCUUAUAUUGACUGUUUCUGAGGUUUGUGCCAAAAGUUUUCUGAAGGCUUCGGCCGAGUAAACUUAUGGAGACGUGUGUCUCCGAUUUCCGAGAGGCUUCGGCCGUUUACUGGUUUCUGUCAUUGAGUUGAGUUGACGUAUGCUUGUUGAUAUUAAGAGUAACAUAGGGUUAUUCUGUCUUGAUUAUUGGAUUUGAAAUUAUUGAUAUAUAUUUGUGCAUAUGCGUUGUUGGAUUGUACUGUGUGGCCUUCGUGGCGUUAAGUGGCGAUGAGGAGGUGUAGUCCUAUCAUUGUCCCGUCUUGUGAGACGCUAAGUGGCGAUGAGGAGGUGUGGUCCUAUCAUUGUCCCGUCUUGUGAGACGCUAAGUGGCGAUCAGGAGGUGUGGUCCUAUGAUUGUCCUGUCUUGUGAGACGUUAUAAGUUGCGAUCAGGAGGUGUGGUCCUAUGAUUGUCCCGUCUUGUGAGACGUUAUAAGUGGCGAUGAGGAGGUGUGGUCCUAUCAUCAUCCCGUCUUUUGAGACGUUAUUGAUUGACUCAUAUUGUUGGUUUUAUUGUUAUCUGAUAUGUUAAGUGGUUGAUAUCUGAUUUGUUGUUAUAUUGUUGAGGAUUAUUGAUAUCUGAUUUGUUGUUAUAUUAUUGAGGAUUAUUGAUAUCUGAUUUGUUGUUAUAUUGUUGAGGAUUAUUGAUAUCUGAUUUGUCGUGAUAUUGUUGAAGUUGUUGAUAUCUGAAUUAAUGUUGUAUUGUUGAGGAUUGUUUAUAUCUGAUUUGAUUUAUAUUGUUGAGGUUGUGGAUAUCUGGUUUGAUUUUAUGUUGUUGAUUUUGCUGAUAUCUGAUUUAAAUCUAUGUUGUUGAUAUCUGAAUUAAAUUUAGGUUGUUGGAUAUAUGUCGUUAUCUAUCUUGAAUUAAGUUGCUAGCUUAUGUGCCAUGUUACACACUUAAACUUUGAUAGCAUGCUUUUCCCUUUUAUACGUGGUAAUUGCAUGGAGUUAACCCUUUCUAAUUGCUAUUUGUUGUUUGGGCGCUUAACGCUAUUAGGCGUUGGAGAACCCUCGAUGAAGCUUGACCUUUGUACGAGUCGGAGCUGAAGACUUGAAGAUUAGUGGAAGACAUGAAGAGUAGAGUCGGGUUUAAGGCUAGAGCCUUGGGUUAGAGAGCUUACCGUUAUUGGUUUAAGCUUGCAUAAAGAUUUUAGGAAUUUAUAUUUGAGGUUUCGGGUAGGUUCUGAUUCAUUGCUUUCCUGCGGUUCCCCGAUGUGGAGAUCGUAGGGAGUAUGUCGGAUUCAUGGUGUCAUUGCAUCAUAGGUUUUUGUUGAGUUGUUUCUAUUGGUUAGGUUUUGUAGUUGGGAGUAUGCAUGACAUGUUUUGGAAAUACACUUCGAAAAGAAAAAAAAAAUAAUACUCGUGUUUAUAUAUUCGUUUGGAAAAUAUUGCAUAUUUACUUUGAUAGGUUACUAAAGUGACACCUGAAAAUCGGGGCGUUACACAAAUCUUACCAGAAUAAAAUAACAGAACCAAGUAAAUUGAAGUUCAAACUUUGAGAUAGACUUGGUUCACACGUUAUCAAUCUUGUUACUUCAGCCAAGAUUAAAACAAACACGCCUUCAGAAGAUAAAACGCACAGCAUAGAAUAAAUCUUCUGAAUUUCCAUACAGUCAGCAGCCCAACAAACAACUUGAUUUCAGCGAUUGAACUACCAACAUACGUAAACGCAACAUGUUGCUCCAGAUGUCGGAACAUAUGGUUGCACAUCGUGUUUUGUGCAAAAUGCAGCCAAUCAAAAAAACUACACUUUCUACCUACAAGGGGAAUGUCCUCAUGGCCCAUGAUGUUCACAAAAGCAUUAAAUUCAGAAAUCUCCCCCAAACCGCUUCUGCCUUCUGAAGAGGACUGUUUCCUUUCCUCAGGACAUCUAACAACGUUAAAAUCUCCUGCUACGCACCAAAUAGUCUCCUCCAUUGACUCUUUCAGGCUGAUAAUAUCACCCCACAGUUGUCUUUUCCCCCCUAAGUUACAGGGGGAAUAGACAUUUACCAGUAAACAGUCAAUAACCUUCCAUUUGCCUUUAAGACCAAGGAAACCAGAACCAACAAAACUCUGCUCAAGAGAGAAGGCAUCUUUAUUCCAAACGCACAGUAGGCCUCCUGCACUAUUGACAGCCGGAGAAGCCACCCAAUCCAGAUUGCCAUCUCCCCAGAUCGAGUUGCAGAGAGGUUUAUCCACCAAGGCAAUUUUUGUCUCUUACAGGAGAAGCAUUUCAACUGCUUCAGACGCUACCAUACUUCUAAUAAAUUUCUGUUUCACCCUACCACCCAUCCCCCGCACAUUAAAGCAAAGCAGCUUCAUCAGGCAACCGAUGGCAAUCCUCCCCGCACUACAAUUAUCUUAUUGGCAUACUGUGCUUCAUCACGUGCCUCCAACUCCCUUAAUUUUGCAAUCAAGUCUUCAUCACAACCCUUGUAAUUUACACCAAGUGACUUUCCAAGGCUCCAAAGCUUUUCUGCCUCCUUUGUCUCAUCAGCCAGUAAAGAUUAUUGCAAUUCCGUAUCCCAUCAUCAGAAAUUGAGUUACUAAAAGAAUGAGUAAAGUGACGAACCUCCUUCCUCUUUGUUGCGUUUAAAUUAUCACCAAGAAAAGGUUUGUUCGUCCUUUGUGAGCCCUCUAAUUGGUACUCCUCCAGUGUCCUCUUUGCAACAGGACUUACUUCCUCAAUGGAGUCUGAUGCGGAAGAUGGAAGUGGGUCGCCAGCAGAUGCAUUCGCUGCAGAUCGAGAUCAAUCUUCCCUCAAGCACACUGCGCCCUCGAGAGGGUCAAGACCAGCUUCAACCUCGGAAGUUCCACCAAAAGCGAACCUCAGGAUGAUCGGGCUCUCCACUGCACCCUUAUCGGGGGCAAGGCUGCUACUCAAAGAGCAAGGCUUAACAGGGGAAGGGACGUUGUUCGCGAUGGACCCAAGGCAGAAGGGAUUACCCGGUCCAGCCAAACACAACCCAGGAGAACAAACAGGACCCUCCCUUACUAGUGGCACGUGUGAAGGGCCAGCCGGAGCAGGGGCCUCACGUGCUCUAAGGGGCCCACGAGUAUCACUACUUCCCUCCACAGGUAAAGGAACUCCCACCCCUUUUCCAAUGGGAGCCAAGUCAACUCUCAAAAUUUCUGAUCCAAGAGAGAUGUUUGAAACCUGCCCUACAACCAGCCCUUGUGUCUCCCUUACAAACUGACAGGUUGGUAAACAAUCAGCGUUUGUCCCCGAGGCCACUGGGGAAGCAUUAACAUUUUUUGUCCUCGUACCACCCGAUUGGUCCCUCUGAUCCCCUUGGUUUGUGGGCCCUCACAUCACCAACUUAGGGUUUAGCAGGGCACCCGAAGAGUCGUCGCCGUCCUCUGAAUCGUCGGAGCCUCAUGAAGCUGGGUCUACCUCCGUGUUGAACCACCCACUAGACACUGAAUCUUUCUCAGAGGCAGGUCCCUGAAAGCAGCAGCAAUUAGAGAAACACGUUUCUUCAAAGAGACAAACGUCAAAGACAUUGUCUUUCCAUUUCAGCUUGGUUGAAAAAGGACCUAACUUGGUGAAGUGGGUUCGGACUUGAAUCCUUGCCCACUCCACCCGAUUGAACUCUUUGGUUUCAGGAUCGAUUGAGACCAAUGAACCGAAAGAGGAGACGAGCUGGCUAAAGCAACCCCAGUUCCAGAGGUGCAGGGGAACGCCUUCACAUCUAAACCACCUAAUUCGGUGGCUUAACCCAAAAGAGGGACUCCCAGGUUUCACUUCUUCGAAAGUGUCCUCCAUCCAAGUGCUCAUCCCCUGCAGUGAGACCUGAAGGUCAUCGUCCUCGUCUCCAGUGAGGAGGACAAGGUUAUCACCCAAAGACCUUACCUUCACAGCCUUAAAGCCUUCUAGAAGAAAACUAUCCUAAAGAGUUUCCACUUUCUGAAGGUCCUUCAGCUUGCCAAUCAGACUCCUUCCCAACCAGUUAUCAAUAGUACCUUCCUGCUGGAGAGCCACGAGAUUCUCCUUGGCCUCCACUGUAAAUUAAUCGCAUCCUGGGUAGGAGAACCAACAUGGCCAGCAAGAGCCUGCUUGUAGGACAAAGGCCCACAAGUCCCUUCUCUCCUUGGUCCAAGAGCAGGGUAGGUAGGAGCCUGAUGACGGAGGGGUUUUUUGUGCUCCGAAUUCCUUCCAGAGAGGCGCAUACCUGCAAGACCUGGUUUGCCGCCCCCACCCCCAUGGUUGCUGAACCUUGGCAGGUUAACAAAGAGCUUUUUACCGCAGAGGAAAGCUUGGUCAAGCUGUCGUUCGAGAAGCAUAGGGUCCCUGACGUUCUUAAACCUGACGAAGCCAAACCGCAUCCCUGCCUUGGUCCUCUUAUUAGGGAUGAACACCUCCCACACUUGCCCCCAGCCAUGGAAAAAGGACCACAUUUCCUUCUCCCCAUGGUCAUCCGGAAAGUGGGAGAAGAAAAACGAAGUGAUUCCUCCAUUGUCCCUCUGUUUCCGACGCCCCACCACCUUUUCCCAUCCGUCAUCCUCUCCCCCUCUCUCUCUACCUUUCUCUCUCAUAUUUUUUCUUCUUCAUGUUAAUACUAAUUUUAGACACUAAAACAACCUAGUCUUAAUGAUCAUAUUGUUGGGCUAAAUUAAAGGAGAUGAUUUAAAACUCGGGGGAUAAAACUCUAUAUUGGGCUAAAGAGCAAACCACAAGUGAGUUGGACACCACAUCUUUCACCAGGGCCUUUAGGCCAAAAAGGCAACUGCCUAAGGCCUCCAACAAAACAAAACAAAAAUUAGGCCCAAAUUUUGUUUUAGUUAUAAAUGAAACGGCCAAACAGUGAGCUUAUGUGUUGGCUAAAUUUUCCAAUGUUGUCACGUUGGAAAUUGCAAAUAUAAUUGAAUGCUUGAUUGAUAUACAAUAUAUAUAGGAUUUAUUAGAAAUACCUACUAGAAAUAAAGACUCAUAGUUGAUCAAAAUAAAAUAAAUAAAAAUCAUUCAUCUUCCCUAAAAUUAGCCAGGUACAAAGGGAAGUUACAUAAUAUUCUUUUUUAAAAUAAGUUAUAUCAAUAUCAUCUCUUUUAAAACUAUUCAAUAUCAUCAUUAGUAUAAUUUAAAAUAUUUAUUUAUCCUAAAAAAUUAAAUUCCUUUUAUUCCUUAAUUUAUUCCAAUUCUCUCUCAAUCUUUUACUCUCUCCCUGGUUUAGACUACAGACGUUUAGGCAUGAUGUGGUAUAUAUGAAUAAACUUGCAUCUCCUAAUACUAUGAUGAGAUAAUAUGCAAAUGGAGUUGCUGGGUUUGGAUUUGUCAAACUUUAUGAUUAUGCGAACAAACGGAAAUUAACACCCAGUGAACAAACCUCUGUUGAAGAUGGAAACAAGAUGCAAAAUAUUGGUUUUGAGGGUCGUGGAAAUAAGCAUUGAUUAGCUGGGGUUUGCUGUAAUUUUGAUAUGCUCUCAUGCUGUUGUCAUCAAAAGAUGUUGCUAUGGUUGCUGCAAUCAUGUCAAUGGAGAUGUUUUUCGAACCUGAAGUACUGUGGCAGUUAAAUUUGUUGGCUUUUGAAUUUGAAAUCCGUACCUUAUAAUUAGACUAGUUGUCUCGACUUUGGUGCUAUGUUAGCAGUUUUAAUCAUUUCAUUCUGCAUAUGUUAUUUAUUUGCUUUUGGUAAUUACAAUAUCUAUGGAUGUCGAUAUUUUGAUUUAAAAAAAAUUGAUUGUGAAGAUUUAUCUUGCUAAUAGGAAAUAUGGUGGUGUGCCCAUAAAGAAAUCAGACAUCAAAUGGCAUAGACUGCAGAUGUUAUGUAUUGAGAUUUAUGAGACUUGAUCCUUUCCGAAUCCUCACAAUCUCCAUAUAAGGUAUGUGGAUGUUUACUAAAUUUAUUGUCAUGAUUUUUUUACUCUCUGCUAGUAUCUUUUUAAGGAUAUAUAGAAUGAUAUUUUUGUUUUGAAUUGUUAUCUUAUUUUUGCAGGAGGUCAAAAAUUGGAUGUGAAAUGUUCAAAUAGAUAUGAAGAGUUUUUGCAGGAUGUGAGAUGUCCAAAUGAAAUCUGACGACCAACCAAGUGUGUAAUAUGUUGCAGCAUUGGUGUUAGUUGUAUUUUGUUUAAGCUAUGUUCUAUUAGCUUUGUAAUGCAACACAGUCAGUGGCUUUUACUGGAACAAUGUAUGAAUUUAAUUAAGUAUUAUUUCCAUAUAAAUUAAGUUUAUUAUUUGAAGAAUUUGGUGUAUUGAGAUUUUUCUGCUGCAACAUUUAGCGUAAUGCAACACUGUAAAAUUUAAUUAUUGUUGAUAUGUGUAUAGAUAUCUCCCCAAUUGACCGUGGCAAUAGAAGAUAAGUAUUGCCACGGUUCCCCACUUGACUGUGGCAAUAGAUGUAACUUAUUGCCACGGUUCCCCACCUGGUCGUGGCCAUAGAUGCAACAUAUUGCCACGGUCCACGCUUAACCGUGACAAUAGAGGCCACAUAUUGCCACGGUUGUCCUUUUCUCACUGUGGCAACAGGUGAAGCAAUUGCCACGGUUCGCCCUUCAACCGUGACAAUUGAGCAAUUGCCACGGUGGCUAUCGCCACGGUUUAACCGUGGCAAAAAGGCGUGCGACCGUGGCGAAAAGCCUUUUCUGUAGUAGUGGUGAAUCGAAAUUGAGUUUAAUGAUAUCCAAACAUACUCAUUCAGUCAUACAGAAUUGAAGAUGUAACAUGUCAUUCCAUUAAUUCCUAAUGGAGUAAUCUCCAAAGUUAACUAAAUCAAAUCUUACAUAAAAUUGAUAAGGAGUUCCCACUUUUUCCAUGUCUGAAGUGUCAGCAGAAGACUCACCCUAAACAACUAAAGGAUACAUAAGUGAAACUAAACCCUGAGUUACAAAGAGAAAAAACAUGGACUUAACACACCCACAGAACAGUUAAAGUUACUUUUUGACCAACCUAAUUAGUAGCAACACCAAGAGUUAUAAUUUCACUAAACAAGAAAACUCAAGAGAAUAAAUAUAAACUAUGAUUAGAUUCCAGCAAGUUGUUUGAUUUGAACACACAUGAGGUUGAAGCUAGCUAGCACUGAAACUCCUCAUCAUCAUAUAGAGACUAGAGUCCCCCUAGAGCUAACCCUAGCGCCUCUUUGGAGCAGUUUCCUUCCGUGCAUUGAAGUAGACAGCAGCAACAGGGAGGCCAAGAUCAUUCUCAGCAGAGAAAUCGCGAGUGUUGAAGUGAUCCCUACUUGAAGUUGAAGCUGAUGGUGGGGUAACACUAACAACACCCUUGUUCUUGCGAUUUUGCUUGAAAAGGACAAACACAUACCUGUGGAUCCCUAUAAUAGGCAUUGGGAUCUCAUAGCUUGUCAACUCCUUUCCUGAUAUGUGUAUAAACAUCCCCACCCCAAAUCAAGGGGGGGCAAAAAAGAAAACGGAGAUUGGGGUCAGUUUGUUUCAGUGAGUAGUGAUCUCUUUAUUCUAUGUCCAUGUGCAUUUUUUGAGUACUUUAAAGAAAUAAUGGUAACCUACCAAAUGUGGCAUCUGUUGAGCCUGGAAUGUCAGUCACCAUCCUGCACAAAUGCAAAUAGUUUCAUUGUUAUUUGGGGACCUCCCUAAUAGGAAUGAUUGUAAGUUCCAGAGUUUUUUUUUUUUUACCAUCUCUGUUAGUUCUAAGGUGAUGGACGAAGUUAAAAAUUAAUUCACAUGAACAUAUAUAUUUUACAUUCAGUACAUUAUAUUUAUAAUGUGUUAUAAUAUGCUGAAAUUAAUUGGCACAAAAGCAUUUUAACAGGCGCCAUGUUUUUCUUUCCACGUCACUUCAAUUGGGUUUGUUUCUAUACCAAAAUUUACAUGAGAGAUAGCGAAAUAAGAGAGUGAGAGUAAUAGAGGUCAUAUAGGAAAAGUUAUUAGUACAAAUAUAAAUAUUGCAGACGUCCAGAAAGCCAAGAGAUAGAAGAAAUGGACAUGUAUAUCAUAGAUGUGAAAACUAGAGUGAUAGAUAGAAGAAAUGAAGUAUUUAAAUGUUUGUGGGAUAUUUGCACUAUUUGUAUGUCUAAAUAUAUCAUUAAUGAUACUUAGAUAUUAAACUAGUAUAACUAUAAACACCAGCAAAUAUCUUUUUUUUUCUUAUCACAUCACAUUAUAUAUCACAUACUUUACUUAUUUUAUUUUUUUUCUCUUCUCACCGUGCGUAUGAGGUAUCCAGAUAUUUCUGUCCCUGAAUAUUUACAAGCCCUUUCUUCACAUGAUAUUUCCUCUCAAGUUUAAUAAUUAAGUUUUGUUAACACUUCCAUGUGUGCACUUAUAAAGAGGUAUAAAAAUGAAGACAAAAAAAGAGUGAUAUGAUAUGUAAUUUAAUAAAAAAAUAUAGUAAAGAAAGAUUAAAAUAAAAAACAGGAUGAAAAUUAAUUGUAAAAGAAAAUGAAGUGUGAAGAUACAAUAGCAUCAAUCAACUAACCACUUCAAUAACUUAGACAACGUGUGUGUGUGAUUUAUAUGGACUAUAAUAAACCUUAUUUAGUGAGGCAAUCAAGCAAAAUAACUGGUUUCAAGGUCUUAUUUACUAAGUACCAGUGCAAGUGCUCUCUAAGAUAAGGAUCACUAGGGCCAGGAACAUCUGGGUCUAUCAUGAUCUGCAGGGAAAAGAAGACACUGUAUGAUUAUAGGGUUUCUAUAUCCCUUUAUUUUCUGUUAAUUAAAGAAAGGGAAAGAGAUAAUAAGGGGUUUUCCAGUAUAUAUAUACCAGUGUAAAGAGGGACCUCAUGUCACCUCCAAUCUCAAUCCUGGGCCUGGUGGUCACUGUGGAAGGGAAGAGCUCAUAUCCGUUGAAGAUUUCUUUCUUAUUGUAAAAUACAGACAUUUUUAUGGUUGGGAUGAAAGGAUCAAGAACAUCUCCAAUCACCGUCCCAACUUUUAGAGGAUCUGACAACACCCUAGCCAUCUAGGAAUAAGGAAAAGGAGAGAAAGAAGACAAGUGAAGAAUGCAACUAUUGGGAGCACGAACUGCAUAUUUAUAGUCUCUUAAAGGCAACUAUUGAGAUAGUAUUGCUAAUUCAUUUCUUAUCUUAAAACUAAAAUGCAAGAAAGUGUACGUUUUACCUAUCGAGAAAUUUUAACAAAGAAAAUAAUUAAAGGCUAGAACUGAGAAGAAAAAUGAACAUGUACACAACUUGGGCACGUUGAAAAUGAGAGGAUAUAUGGUCUAAUAUGUUAUAUAUAGGUGGAGAGAAAAUAAGGCAAAUAUACAUUUUGAGGAGUUUUUAACUUAUUCCAUUAGUGUUUCAAAAAAAACUUAUUCCAUUUGAUUAAAUAUUAUCUUAGAUGGAUCAAUGUUCGAGAUAUAAUAAUAAUCUUCCUACUCUUAUAUAUCGUUUGUCAGUUAUACAACCGACGCGUGUAAUUUAUAACAAGUUUUUAAUGCCACAAACAACAAUUUCUUUUCAACUUCGCAAUUUUACACCAUAGGCGAACAAAGCAUUCAUAAUUUGUCUUGGUUCACCUUAAGUCCGAGAGCCAUAGAAAAAUCAUGAAGAACAUAAAUUUUAUAUUUGGUCAUUAGAUGCGUAGCUAAAGAGUAAAAUGUCAUCCACAAAUAGGAGAAGAAUAUGAUAGUUACUAACAAGAUCAAGCAGCUUUUGCAUAUCCUAAUCUACCUUCUAUUGAACCAAAAGAGGAAAAGAAUUAUUACAUACCGAGAAGGAACACAUAAGGAGACAUGGGGAUUCCUUGUCGCAAUCCCCUAGUGGGAGUAAAACCAUGAAGCUUGGAGUCAUUUCGAAGCAAACAUAGUUAAGCAGGUCGUACACACCACAUGAGGAGUGAGUGACACAAUAGUAGCAGGAAACCCGAAUUCUUGAAGAGUUAGUUGAAGUUAGUCUCAUCUAACAUUAUCGUAGGUUUUCUCUGACUUUUAGAUUGCUUUAUAGAGUGCAACGUCUCUUGGGAAAUGAUUGCAUGAAUAGAGGUACCACGAACAAGCAGGAAGCUUCCUUGAAGGGGGAAAUGUGGUCUGAGAGAAAGGUCUCAUUCGAUUAACCAAGACUUCCGUGAUGGUCUUAUAUACAACAUUGCAAAGCUUAUCGGUCUAAAAUCAUUCACACACCCAGGCUAAGUGACUUAGGGAUAACAACAACAAGAGUUUCCGACAAGGAUUAAUCAAAGAUACCUAAUCGGAAAGCAUCCUUCACCAAACGCCAAACCUCAUGGCCAACAAAGGACAAUACUACUUAAAUAAGAAAAGUUGAAAGCCACUCAACCUAGGGGAUUUAAAUGACUUAAUACAAAUAUUGGCUAGUCGAACUUCAUCCAAAGAGACAAUAGAUAGCCAAGAGGGAAUUUUGUUCCUCCACCCCAAGCAGAGAGAGAGAGAGAGAGAGAGAGAGAGAGAGAGAGAGAGAGAGAGAGAGAGAGAGAGAGAGAGAGAGAGAGAGAGAGAGAGAGAGAGAGAGAGUUUCACAUAACCAUUCACUUAAGUCUUUUAUAAAUAAUUGUAUUUGUCCACCUAGAACGAGGUUACAGCUUCAUUACAAAAAUUGGCAACCUUUUACAUAAAUAUGAUAACUAGACCGUGUACGGUAGAGACACCUUUUAAACACCCAUUUUAAAAUUUUGCUUUGCUUAACUUAUGAUGGUUAGAAACUGCCACAUUUUUUUUCCUGCAAAUGUUCCCGCAAAUUCUCAGCGAGAAUUUUUCUUACAAAAAAAUUAUAUAAUUAAUAUACAAACAAUUGCGAAAAUAUUCGUAGGUAAAUCUACACAAACACGGGUGUUCAACAUUUCUCGUCAUCAUAUUUAGACUCUCCUUACAUAAAUAAUGUAACGAUAAUUUGUGUAUCCUGUUUUUUUUUAACAACACAUUCAAUUUUUGACGGUGAGAAACUGCCACAAGUUACGAUGCUGGUGCCACUAAAAAACGAUGUACAAAAAUCAUUUUUGUAAAUGGGUUUACAUUAUUUUAUUUUAUUAAGAAUAAAGCAAAUAUUGCACCAAUUAUCCAUUAUUUCCUUUUCAGUUUUUGAACCAACCUAAUAAUUGGAAAGAAAAUUAAUCUUUUCUUUUGCUUAAUUCUUUUUAUUUUCCAUUCAAAUAUUUAAAAAGUCACUAAAUUUCUAUUUAAUUCUUCUUAUUUCCAUUUAUUUUAUUUUCUUCUUAAUUUUUCAUGCAUCCAAAUAGUGUUGCUUUAUUUUAUGGUGAAGAGAAAAUAACAUACAAGACCAAGAUGUAAGUCUCACAGAAAAAGUCUUUUCUUCUUUAUUUUAGAGAGAAAAUUACUUAAUUAUUUACUAGAAUAUCUUCAUUACUUUCGUGCAUUAGUUUUUUUACUUUACACACAUUGUUGAGAUUAAUGGAUAUGCUUUUAAAGUGUCAAUAAGUUUUACACUAACAUUUAACUAUAUCAUAUUACAUAAGAUUAAGUGAUUACAUUUCUAUUUAAUUUUAGUUAAAUUAAAAUAAAAAUUUGAUGUGAUGGAAAUCAAUUAUGCGCAUAUAUAAAAAACUUCACAUUUUUUAUAAAUAAAUAUUAGUUGUUAGUAAUGUUAAUAAAAAAAACUUCAGUGUUUCUCAAGUUUCAAGGAAAAACACCAUUUUCUCUACAUUAUUUUUACUUUUCAUUUUUCUAAUUGGUUGUUUAAAAAUUUAGCACUCUAAAUUUUUCUUUAAAAAAAUAUAUAAGUAUACAAUUUUCUUAUUUUUUUCAUAAUCUGAAUAAUUUUAUAAGAAAAAAAUUAAAGCCUCCUUAUUAAUCAGUAGUACUAAUAAGUAAAAACAGAAGUACAGAAACCAGAACCUGCUGGUACGUUUACUACAAUUGAAAUUUCUUAAUUUGUACAUGUACAUUGAUAUCAAGACAACAAGUUGCCAUUUUUUGAAAUCCAUUUUUUGAAAUAAACAAAGUUAUAUUGUAAAAAUAAUAUAAUAUAACAACUCUGCAGAAGUUUAUUCGAUUUCAUCAUUCUGAGUAUCUAUCUAUAUACUAUAGAAAAGAAGAACUCUGUGAGACCCACUUAGAUGAGUUGGCACUCCCAGGUUCACUCUUAUCCAUCCUCCCUCAUUAGCGGACAAGUGUCAAGCUCUAAAUCAUUCUGACAAAUUUAUGGCGAGACAAUUUCUCCUUAAUUUUAGUUUUGUGGCCCAUCAUUGACAAUCUAUUGAAUAAUCAUAAAAAAUCUCAUUAAUUGUUGAUUAAUUUUUUUUAACUGUCCAUUUAUGCUGAAUCAAAAGUCAUCACCCAUCAAUGACUACUUAUGGAAUAGUCAUUCAAAAUAUUAUUAAUUGUUGUUUAAUUUUUUUUAAACUCUUCAUUAAUGCUAUAACAAAAGUCAUCACCCAUCAUUGACUACCUAUGGAAUAAUCAUUCAAAAUCACAUUAAUUGAUGUUUAGUAUUCUUAUUCAUACAUAAGGCUUAAAAACGAAAACUUUCUCACUUUUGUUAUACGUAUCUUGCUUUUUUUUAUGUGAUUAAAACCGAUUUUGCUAACCUUUCAAAAUCUACGUUUUUGAAAUCAAGAUUCAAAUUCAAAUUUUAAAAUUUUGACAACCUAUAAAUUUAAAUUUUGAAUAUUCUUUUUGGAACAAUAUUCUCCUUUCAUUUUUCACAUGCAAACAACAUAAACCCUAAUUAUUUUCAUCUAUAUAAACUCCCUUAUGUAAUUCUUCUCCUCUAUCAUUUCAUCCCUUAACCAUCAUCUAAGAACUUUGAAAUAACUGUUGUUGUGAUGACUGGGAAAUUGAGAAGCAAAUGUUAAAAAAGCAAAAAAAGUUCAGGUAUUGCUUUUGAUUCAACCAAUUUCUUGCCAUAUCAUAAGGGUAUAGUUACACCUCUAUGAACAUUAUGAAAUGAUCUGCAACGUGUGUGAUUUAUUGAAAUGAUUUUGAUUGGAGUGAUGCUCUUUUACUUUUCCUUCUGUAAUUCCAUAUGCCUCAUCACCAUGGGACUUUUAUUGUGAAUUGGAAUUGGGAAUGGUGAGCUUAUAUGGAAGAUUCUUGAAGAGUGAAUACAACAUGUGAGGUUUUUGCCCUCUUCCUACUUUCUGUUAGAUUUUGCUGAAUUUUUUGUUUGUUUUUCCAGAGUGGCUUGGUUGAGUUUUGUUCUACAAUUAAAAACCAAAGAAGAAAUAGAAGGAAGGAGAGGUAAGCCUUGUGAAUUUUUUGAUUCACAUUUAUUUUGAGCAAAGCAUAUUGAAACAUAUAACUCAGGAAAACAUAUACAUCUUUAGAUUUUAGGCAUGAAUCUUCAUCUACUGACCUUGCUGCAUGAUUUAAUGUUCAGCAUGUUACAAUUUGGUUAUACUCUUUUUCUUUUGGUGUUCACAGAUUUUGGUUGAGGAUGACAGUGUUGAACAGUUGCGGCUUACAUAAUUAGUAUUAAGUGAUGUAAGUUAAAAUAAAAUUAAAUGCUAUUAUAUAUGCACAUGCUAUCACUAUAGAAUAGUUACGUAUUGUGAAUUUCAAUUUUUACUCUAAUUUCAGGAUGAUUCAGAUCCGUUCAUGACAACUACUUUUGGAUUAAAGGCUGAUGCAUUAUCUUCUUCCAACUUAGCAAAAAUUGUCGUUUUAUUUUGUAAUUUAUUUAUUUAUUCGUGCAUGUUGAGUUAUUUACUGUUUUGCGUUUAGAUUAUGGUGUGACUAUUAUUUUUAAGUGAAUGCAUUUUCUUUUUUAUAAAAUGUAAAAAAAAAAUGAGAUUUGAGUUUGAAAUUUUAAUUGAGUACUAAAUAAUAGUAAUUAGAGCCUAAUUUUCAGUCAGAUUUUAAAAUACUUGAUACUUUUUUUUAACAAAAUAAGCAAAUCAAUAAUAAAUAUUAUGGGUAGAUAUUCAACUUUCUUAUGCAAAAUCAGAUUUAGUUUGUGAUCAGUAUAAAUAAGAGAAAUUUGUUUAUUUAAUGAAAAGGAAAUGAAUAAUCAAUUUUAAAAAAAUCAUUUUGAUUGGGAUACAUUUACUUUCAAGGUAAAAUGAAUUAAAAAAAUGUCAAUUCUGUUGAAUAAAUUUUGAUUUCUCCUUUAAUAAUAAUUAAUGGGGUUUCUUUAACUUUUUAUGUAAUAAAUAUAAAAAUUAGAAUAAUCCCAUAGAUUGUGGUGUGAAUAUUCAAUUUAAUAUUGAAAUUUGAGUUUGAAAUUUGAAAUUGAAAAUUGGUUGUGAAUAAUAAUACUUGCGUCAAAAUUUAUGGUGUGAUAUUAAAAAAAAUGUAAACACUUAAUCCUUUAGUUUUAACGAAAAAAGAAAAUAAAUAUUGAAUUUAAUGAGUACAUAAUCAACUUUCUUAAGCAAAAUCAGAUUUAGUUAGUUAUGAGUAUAAAUAAGGCAAAUCCGUUUUUUAAGUAAAAUGGAAAUGAAUAAUCAAUUUAAAAAAAAAAACAUUCUAAUUGGGCGACAUGAAAUUUCGGAGUGGAAUGAUGAAAAAAAGAGUCAAUUUCGUUUUAAUUAGUAGAUUUUGAUUUUUCCUUUCAUAAUAAUUAUUGGGGUUUCUUUUACCUUUUUUUAGAAAAAAUUUAAAUAAUGGAAUGAUCUCAUAGAUUAAAUUAAGGAGUGAAUAUUUAAUUUUAUUUAAUUAAUUUAUUAUUUUUAAAAUUGUAAAAAAUAAUUUUGCGAUUUGAUUUUGAAAUUUAAAAUGGGUACUAAAUAAUAGUAAUUUGAUCCAAUUUUUCACUCGGAUUUUAAAUUAUUUUUCUUAGACACAUAAUACGUUUUUUAUUCACCCUAAAUCAGUUGUAAAUUUAUUCAUAAUAAUUAAUUACGUUUAUUUUAAUUUUUUUAAGAAAUAAAUAUAAUUUAUUGAAUCAUCUCAUAGAUUAAGGAGUCAAUAUUCAAUUUAAGUUAAUGCAUUUCCUUUUUUAAAAAUUGUAAAAAAAAAUUGAGAUUUGAGUUGGAAAUUUAAAAUGAGCACUAAAUAAAAGUAAUUGAGACCAAAUUUUAAAACAUUUUUCUUAAAUGAGUACUAUAUACUUAUGAUUAGAUCACAUGGCAAAAAAGUUUCACGGGGAAAAACAUUUUACACAAGAAAUAGUUCAUGUAAAAACUAAUAAUUUUUGCUAUCUUUUCAUUCUCAUCCUUCCCUUAUGUCUCAUAGCUUUUACCACUUUUGCUAACUCUCGGGAAUAAUUUUUAAUCUAAUUUAAGUAUAUUUUUCAUAAUUUUAAAAAUAUUUAGGAUUAAAUGUAUAUGAAGUUUUUGUCAAAUUUUGCAAGUUAUUACUCAUUGUGAUUUUAUUUGGUUGAAUGCUCAUUUUUCAAUUUUUCAUAUCUUAAUUCAUUAAUCGUGCUUAAAUAAUGAGAUCAAUAUUCACCGUGCAACGCACGGGGUAAAAACGCUAGUACUGUUACUUUGACUAACUUGACAAGUGUCCCUGUCAAAAAAAUAAAAACUUGACAAGUGUCGGACGAGAUGGGAUGGAAGAACACGUGUUUGUUGAUAAAUGAAAGGAAAAGACGGGACGCUCAAUUACAUCCAAUUGUGUAAAAUGGAUUUAAAGAAAAUGGAGAGAUAAACGCUCAUAAAUCACUGUCACGUGCUCUGAUUCCAUUUUGAAAAAAGGUAUACGUACGAACAAAACUGAUAGAAAUAAAAUAGUAAAAAAACAAAAAAAUCUAUAAGAUGAGUGAGAGGAAUAAUAAACACUCCAUUGUCUAUUUUAUUUUUAACCGGCCGGCUAGUUGAAGCGGUUAAUAGUGAAAUUAGUCUCUAAUUUUAUAAAGGCUUAUGUUGGAGGUCCCUUUAAAAUAUGGGUUAUUUGGUUAAGGCCCCUGCAAAAUUUUUUGGGUGGAAUAAGUCUCUAAUGUUUUUUUUUGACAAGCCAAAGAAAAGAUGCAAUAAAUCAGCACAAGGUGUGCAAGAAGAAAGUUUACAUUGUUCAUGACCCCCAUGUUCUAAUAGCAUUAAGAACCACAGGCAGCCAAGGAAAAAACCAAAAUCAUAACAGACAUAGCAUGCAGAAGGUUUCCAAAAUAAGUCUCUAAUAUGAAAAUAAAAUAUAGUGAUAAACCUCUCUCGUGAGGUUCCGUUUAAUUUCUGAUGAUUCUACAAACGGCGCUGACAUGGAUUAUAUUUUGUGAAAAUUAUUAGGGUGUCACGUAAGUAAAUUAGGGUUGAAAAAAAAAAUCCAAAGUAAAAAACUCAAGUAAAAUCCCCAAACGUACUUGGGGUUUUAUUUAAUUUUUAUUUUUUCAACCCUAAUUUACUUAUGUGGCACCCUCUUUAAUUGAAUAAUUGUCACAAAAUAUAAUCCACGUCAGCGUCGUUUGCAGAAUCAUCAGAAAUUAAACAGAACCUCACGGCAGAGGAUUAUCACUGUAUGUUAUUUUCACAUUAGGGGCUUAUUCCACCGAAAAAAAUUUGUAGGGGCCUUAACCAAAGGACCCCCUAUUUUAGAGCGACCUCAAACAUAUUUAAGCCUUUUAUAAAUGAUUUUAAUUUUAGUCUCUUGAUUGAAAAAUAAUAUUUAGUAGUAUUUAUUUUUAUAAUUAUUGAUUGCUUUUUACCGUCGAAUAACUAAAAUUAAAUUCGCUUAGAAAAUUAGGAAUUAAUUUAACCAUUAAACCUAUAUGAUAUUAUCCUUAAGUAAGGUAUUGAGUUUGAGUCUCAUGGGGAAAAAAAUAUCGUUGGAAGACUUUAACUUCACCAUGAUGUUGAUGUUCCCGACUCAUAUGAUUCCUAUUAUGGAGGAUGCGGGCCAGAAAAGAAAAUAAACACUAUUUUUGUAAAAAAAAAAUGUAAAGUUCAAACGCUAGAUACAUCGUUUAUCAUAUUUUGAAUGAUAACAAUUUUCAAGAGUAUAAGUGUAAUGGUUAAAAAAUUUCAUGUGAAUUAUAUUUUAGGAAAUAACACUUAUGACUUACCUCCCUCACUGUCUGAUGAUUAAGUGCAAGACAAUGCUAGAAGACAGUCUACACAAGAGAAGUAAGGUCAAAGCUACAAGACAGUCUGCACAAACGAAGAAAGUCAAAUCUGUUAGACCGUCUUCUCAAGAAAAGAAUGCACUCAAUGAAGAUUUUUAUCGUCUGUCUCAAAGCUUACCAAUGAAGACAAUGUCUAGAGAAAGAGUGUCAUGUUCAAAUUGAAGAAAACUCUCUGGCAUUCUUGAGGAGAAAGUCAAGUCCUAAGAAUUACGUGAUAAUGUUUGAAGCACUAUGAUCAAGGAAACAAGUACAAUGUUGUCAAAAUCAAGUUUCCUCUUUCUCUCACAAAAGGGCUGGAACAAAGUUCAAUGUGCUACCAACCGUUUGACAAGAUACAUUUUGUAGCAACAAGCCUCAUUCAUAGGACCCAACACAUUUAAUGCACCUGACGAGAAGACCGUUUGAUCUAACGACUAGAACUUGAAACGCUCCAUACGCUCCAACGACUAUCAAUAAACUCUAGAAGUAGAACAAGAAUUUCAACGACAAUCAACUUUCAUCUGAAUCAAAAAUCUUCAUCAAGCAAGAAAGAAAUAAAAGUCAUCACAUCGUCUGAGAGAAAUACCUUAGAGUCAAAUCUUUAUACCCAACUCUCUCUAGAUCUAGAACCUAAAGUACAUCACAGAGUCAAAUCUUAUCCAAUACUUUGUAGGAGAAUGGUCAUUCCAUUAUUUAAUGGUGGACAUUCCCGUCGAAUUGAACCGAUCACGAAGCUCUCCAUUGAGUUGUUUAGGUUAUGGAAUUCCACCUCCAAUUGGGGGUUUUGGUUCGAAGGUUAUCAAAUGUGUACGGAACAAAACAUAGAAAAUUACUUAUUUGAAGAGUAAAUGGAAUGAUAGUGUCAAAACUUCAAAAUAUUAAUGACACUUAUAUUUUUUUUUGGGAGUGAAUGAAAUUUACACAAUAAAGUGUUUUUUGAAAUACAUUAAUAUAAUACGAGAAAUGAGGUUUGAAUUGUUGAUGACCCUAUUUUAGUAGUGUUUUUAGGGCCAUUUCUUUGUUUGUUUUGAGUCUUUUUGUUGAGUCUCAUGUAGUGUUUCAUGCAUUCUCAUGCAUUUUUAUCUUUUCUUGAGUCUUUGCUUUGUUUUGGUAAUUUUGUAGUUUUAUAGGGAGUUUUCUUGCAUUCUAAGUAAGUUUAGGACUUGCAUGGUUUUGUUGUGUUAAAUGAAGGACCUCUUGUGCUAAUGAGCUCUUUGAGCUUCUAGAUUCUUCCUUGACUUGUUGGUUAGGUUUGGAGAGCAGAAACUGAAGGUAAUAGAAGGCCGAGAAGCAUGGAAUUGAAAGAGGACUUAAAGAGGGCUGAAGAGGAGUUACAAGAAGCUGAAAAGUUCAUUCCAGCGAGGCUUGAGCGCCUAGGCGCUGGGAAUUGGCGCCUAGGCGCUAGUACAAGUUUCAGAGGGUUUUUGAAUUGGUGCCCAGGCGCUGGUGAAUUGGCGCCUAGGCGCCAAUUAGCUCCAGAGAGCAUGUUUUGGGCAUGCAAUUGGCGCUCAGGCGCUCUGAAUUGGCGCUUGAGCGCCUAGACUCGUAUUUUGUGGCUAUAAAUAAGGCUUAGGCCAAAUUCUUUAGGGGACUUAGACAUUUUACUCAUUUUGGAUCAAGUUUGAGAGCUGAGGAGAACCUUGGGCUGUAGGAAGGCUUCCAACUUGUAUUUUUCUCAGGUUCUUAUUACAUUUCUUGUAUGAAUUCACUAGCCAUGAGUGGCUAGUUCCCUUUUUGCUUUGGGUUAAGAGAUUCUAUGAAGUUUUAGUUUGUUAAAUCCUAUCUCUAUGCAUGAAUUCUUGAUUUAAUCUUGUAUUUCAAUUCCAUUAUGCAUGUUUAGCUUUGGUGCACCCUUGCUAUAGGCUAGAUUAUAAUCAAAUGGAAGUUUGUUAUGAUUUAGGGACAUGAAUUGAAAUAGAUCCUUCUAUGCUUGCUUCUAGGCAUAGAGUGAGGGUAGGGUUUUGUUGGCCUGAAUAUACAUGCUUAUGAACCUCUUAUGAAUGAUUAAGUACACAAGGAAUUGAGCUUAACUUUCAAUUUGAGAGAAUUACUUUUGUGAGGAAUCAAUUAGUAAGUACAUAGGCUAAAGCAACAAGGGAUAAAUCAAGGUUUCACAUGCAUAGGAUAGGUAAACUAAAGUGGAUUAGAUGAUCAACAACCCAAGGCAAUUUUCCAUCAAUUGUUAAUUUCAACAUUUUCAACAUUGCUCUUUUGCAAAACUUUUGUCACAAACAACCAAAACCAAUUUCUGAGUUUUACUCCUUUUAAGAACUUGCAAACUUUAGACUUAAAUCAACAAUUCUCACUCUCAAUCCCUGUGGUUCGAUAUUUUAAAACCCGGAGAUAUAUGUGCACUUGCAGAUUGACCAACAAGUUUUUGGCGCCGUUGUCGGGGAUUGUUUGUGGUUUUCGAUUUAAGUUAAAGAGUUUGUUUGUUUGUAUUAUUUACAUUGCAUUGAAUAUGUGCUACUAACCUUUUCUUUGUUUGUGUGAUUUCAGUUUAUGCAAGGUAGACUUGGCACGGAUCUAUUGGUGUUUGAUCCGGAGCCAGAGCGUACUAUCCAUCGUCGUCGAGCUCAGCAAAGAGCUGCUGAGAUAGCCGCCAUGGCUGUCCAUAUGACGGAGGAGGAAUUGCAAGCCCACAUUGAAGAGAGAGUGAAUGAGGCUAUUGCUCAAAGACUUCAAGAGCAAGAAGCGGAGAAUGCCAAUCGUUCUCUUAGAGGCCUCACCUCGGCUGCCAUGAGCUACGAUUAUCUGGGCAGCAUAGUUUCCCCCGAUGGCACGGGAAACUUUGAGCUGAGGCCGACAUUCAUCAACUUGGUGAGCCAAAAUCAGUAUGGUGGAGGUUCUCUUGAAGAUCCUCAUGCACACAUGGAGCGGUUCGUCCGCAAUUGCAACACCUAUAGGGUUCAAAAUGUUUCAGCGGACACCAUCCGCUUGAGUUUGUUUCCUUUCUCUUUGAGAGACACUGCUGAAGAGUGGUUGAAUUCACAACCCCAAGGUAGCAUUACAUCUUGGGAAGAUCUAGCCGAGAAAUUCACCACAAGAUUUGUUCCAAGAGCCCUCUUGAGAAAGCUUAAGAAUGACAUCAUGACUUUUGCUCAAUCCACCGAUGAAAAUCUCUAUGAAGCUUGGGAGAGGUUCAAAAAGCUCUUGAAGAGGUGUCCUCAACACAACCUCACCCAAGCUAAACAAGUGGCGAAGUUCUAUGAUGGUCUCCAAUAUUCUUCGAGGUUUGGCUUGGAUGCGGCCUCAAAUGGAGAGUUCGAUGCCCUACUUCCACAAGUUGGGUACGAGUUGAUUGAAAAAAUGGCUAUAAGAGCCAUGAACUCUAGUAAUGAGCGCCAAGCCCGAAGAGGAGUCCUUGAGGUUGAAGCAUAUGAUCAACUAAUGGCCUCCAACAAGCAACUCUCCAAGCAAAUGAAUGAAAUUCAGAAUCAGAUGAAGACGACCAAGGUGAUUGGUGGUCGAGUUGCCAAAGUGGAGUGUGUGACUUGUGGAGGGCCACAUGACAGUGAAGAAUGCACCGAGACUAGACCAGAGGAGGAAGUGAAAGCCAUGGGUCAAGCUCGGAAUGACCCGUUUUCAAACACUUAUAAUCCAGGAUUGAGGAACCACCCUAAUUUUUCUUGGAGGCAAGGGAAUAAUGGGCAAGGAAGUGGCUUUCAAAGGAAAUUUCCUAGCCAAGGAUUCCAAGGCCAAAGCUCAAGACAACCUCAAGAGCGAGGAGAAGGUGAAGGUGGUGGUUCCAAGAAAAGCUUAGAAGAGAUGGUUGAGACUUUCAUCAACCGAACGGAGAAUAAUUACAAAAAUCAAGAGGCGGCUAUCAAGAAUCUUGAGAAUCAAUUUGGCCAGCUGGCCAAGCAAAUAGCCGAGAGACCUCAAGGUAAGUUUCCUUCCGACAUUAUCCCCAAUCCUAAGCAAGAAAAUGCCUCUGUUGUGUCCACUAGAAGUGGGAGAGUUAUGAGUGAAUUGAAGAAAAAAACAGAGGGAGAAAAGAGAGAGGAGAUAGUGGAGGGAGAAGUUGUUGUGCCUAUUAAGGUGAGAGAGUUAGUUUAUCUUACUCCUGAAACUAGCAAGGCUCCGUUUCCUAAAGCAUUGGCUAAGAAGAGCUUAGAUAAAAAGUUUUCAAAAUUUGUUGAUGUUUUCAAAAAGCUCCACAUUAGUAUUCCUUUUGCCGAUGCUUUGGAACAAAUGCCUAUAUAUGCUAAGUUUAUGAAGGAUAUUUUGCAUAAGAGAAGAAGGUUGAAGGGAGUAGAUGAGACGGUGUUGAUGACGGAGGAAUGUAGCACCAUUUUGCAGCGGAAGAUGCCAAAGAAAAGAAGGGACCCCGGAAGUUUCACUAUUCCGGUGGAAAUUGAGGCCAUGGCGGAUGUGGAAGCCUUGUGUGACCUAGGAGCGAGCAUCAAUUUGAUGCCGCUCACCAUGUUUGAGAGGCUGAACCUAGGAGAGGUUACCCCAACAUGCAAUCCUUGCAAAUGGCAGAUCGAUCCCUCAAGACUCCAUAUGGGAUUGUGGAGGAUGUCAUGGUGAGGGUAGACAAGUAUGUGUUCCCCGUGGAUUUUGUUGUGCUUGAUAUGGAGGACGAUGAGAAGAUUCCUCUCAUUCUUGGUCGACCUUUCUUAGCUACUGGUAGAGCUAAGAUUGACGUUGACAAGGGUCACCUCAUUCUCCGUGUUGGUAAGGAAAAUGUACGGUUUUCUGUUUUUAAUCCUAUGAUUAAGACUAACCAUGAUAACAAUUUUGUUUGUGAUGUGAUUAGAAGCAAAUCGAAAGUUCCGAAAGAGACCCCCAAGGCUAAUGAAACAUUUGAUGAGUUCCAUCCGGCUCUCAUCAAGCUUGUUAGUGGUAACAAGUAUGGGGGGUCUAAUUACGAGAACUUACAUGCUCACAUGGUGAAGUUUACCCAAGCUAGCUCCCUUGCUAAGAUUGAGGGUGUUUCAAGUGAUGAAGUGAAGAUUAAACUCUUCCCUCACUCUUUAACAAGGGAAGCUAGGGCUUGGUUUGAUAAGCAAGAGGACAUUGCCUCAUGGGAGGAUUUACUCUAGAGGUUUUGUGCAAGGUAAAAGUUUUUACCUUGCACUCUUUUACCUUGCACUCAUGGAGAAUUGAUCAAUGGUAAGGAAUUUCCUUCCUAACACCAUCGGAAGGAGAGUCCACCUAGGACUAUAACCUAGGGCUAAAUGGGAGACAACCUAUUAUUUUUAUUUUGCUCUUUUCUAUCUUUUAAUUUUGUAGCAUUUUAGUUGUUUUAUUUCAAAAAAAAAAAAAAAUAGUAAAAAAUUUUGAAAAACACUGGGCUGAGCGCCUAGGCGCCAAUUAGUGGCAGAUGCACUGCCUCUGGAACUGGCUUAAGCGCCUGAGCGCUCCCCUCGAGCGCUCCUGGUGCGUUUUUUGCCCAGAUUUUGGGUUUUAAAACCCCAACCUUUCAUUUUCCCCUCUUAACUCUCAUUUCUUCAUAAAACCGCACCCCACACUCUCCAUACCCCAUUUCUAUUUCUCAUUUCUCACUUGCACACACUUUGGCUCUUCCAAUUGCUUCCAAGUGUUGCAUUGCUUCAUGUUCCUUUCAAUUGCACCCACUCACUCUCAAGUCAAGGUAAGUUCCAUUUUUCACUUCCCUUGAUCUUAGUGCAUGAGUUUUGCAAUGCAUGCUUCUUUUGGGUUUGGGUGAGUGAUUUGUUGUUUAUGCAAGUUGGGUGUGGGUUGUUUAUGAUCAUAGUGGGUUGAUUUUGUGCUUAAUUAGAAAGGGGUUGUGAAUUUGUGAGAGUUGGGUAGUUAGGAUUUUGUGGUUUAGUGUAGGUUAGUUUUUGCUUACUAGGUGUUUGUUAGAAUGCCUCAAUGAGUUCUUUUAGUCGACUUUUGGCAAAUGCUUGUGUGGUUGUCUAAUUCUCUUUGCCAAAGUCACUAAGAGACUUGUUGGGUGCUCUUAGGUUGUUUUAUUUUUGUUUUUGUACAUAGUUUCUCCUUUUUAUUUCCUUUUUAUUUUGUACUAACGUUUCUAACGUUUGUGGCUUGUGUAUGUGCUAACAAUUGUGCAGAUGCCUGCAAAAAGAUCAAGGACCAACACAAGAGCUGCAGCUUUUUCCUCCACCUCCCGGAGCUUUGAUCGCUCCCGCUUCCUAUCAUUGAUUAAGGAGCAGCUUUACAGAUCUCACCUAGCACACAAGGAGUGUGUGAAGGAGCGGGGAGUUCUUUAUCGAGAGGGAAGGAGAGACCUCUUGGGCAUGCAAGAAGCCAUGGAAAUUAGGAGGUGGAAAAAUUGGGCCAACCCCAUUCCGUUUGCUUGGGAGGUCAUGGUUAGGGAGUUCUACGCGAACACCUACUGUGACAAUCAAGAGGACAGGUCCAGGCCACCGGUGAAUUCAUCUUGGUUUAGGGGAGAUGUGAUUGAUUACAAUCCAGCAGUCAUUCGCAGGCAUCUUGGUCUCCUCACGGAGGACCAAGAGAAGGAGCUUUUCCCCGAGAAGGCCACCUAUCAUGAGCUCUUAAAGGAGAAGUCACCGGAGAUCUUGGAAGACAUGAAGGCAGUGAUUGUUAGGCCUGGGCGGGACUGGGAAGCAGUUGAUGAUGAGAUUAUUUUUGUAAGGAGGAAGGAUAUGACGCCGCUGGCUAGAGUUUGGGCUGAAUUUUUGCAGGAUUCCCUCUUUCCUAGCUCUAACAAAUCUGAAGUUAGAGAGGUUACAAUGGUUGCCAUCUACUGCAUUGUGAGAGGUCAUCCUAUGGACGUGGCCACCAUCAUUGCUGGUCGGAUUUAUUUCCUAUACAAUGGGAGUAAAGACAAGCAUCGGCCCAUCUUUCCUCACUUGAUUUGCUCUUUGAUUCAUGCAGUGAGGGACAGAGCUAGGAGGCCAGUCCAUGUUAUUGAGAAGAGGUUGCCUGUUGCACCUCUGCUCAGUAAGGAGAGGAUCACUCAGCUUUAUCAAGAUUGGACAGCAAGAAUGCCUCAAGAGGAGGAAGAGGAAGAGGAUCCUGAGGAGCCAGCGGAAGAGAAAGAUGAAGAAAAGGAAGAAGAAGAGGAGGAAGAAGAAAAUGUUGAGGUGGUGAAUGAGAUGGUUACUCCACCACGUGCUGACCCUUCCUCGGCUUGGAUGGAGGCCGCUUUCGGGCGGAUGUUUUUGAGGCAAGAUCGCCUACACAGGGAUCUUGACCUCCAUUGGAGGGGAGGUAGCACAUCAGACCCCAGGUACAAAGGCCCCAUGGAUUUCAAUACCUUGGAGCAGGGGAUGAUCGAUUUGAGCUUGAUGCAUGAUGCCGGUGUUCAUCCGGGUUGUGGUGAUGGAAGGGGUGACCAUGACCCCAUGGAGUGACUAUGUUGAGGUAUUCCUACUCUUAGUUUAGGUCAUGCAUCUUUAGCAUAUUUUUCAAUUUAUAGAAUUUGUUUUUCUUUUUAUCAUGCAUUGUUUAAUUAGCUUUUUGUUUUUGGGUCUUUUACUUCCCUAUACUCACAUGCUUUUAGCUAUAGUUUUGCUUCCCUACUUGUGCUGUUUUUUAAAAUGCUUUUGUGAAUACUUGUGGUUGUUUGUGGGGAUGAGUGAUUGCAUGUUUGGGGAAGAGAGGAGGAGACUUCGGUCUUCCGAGUGUUUCUUGAGAAAGGAGUCGGUGUGAGUCCAUUAAGGGUCUAUCUUUGACCCUUCACCAUAAAAAUUGUCUGGAAGAUCCUGACUCACUUGCAAUUCUUGGUUCUGCAUUAAUUUCACUCAUAGCAUGCUUUGUGAUUCUUGCUUUAUUCUUGAGACUUGUAUGAUUUCUUGAGAUUCUGAAUUUGUUGGUUAAACAUUAUCCUUAGUUGUCUCAUUUGAGCUUUAUCGGAGAAUUUGUUGUAGCCAAGUGAUUGGGACGGAUGUUUGGUUGGAAUAUUGGGGAAUGAUGGUCCUUGAUAUAUUGGUAAGGAGCUGAAAAAAUUGUGAAAAGGUCUCUUGCCCCUAGGAAAAAAGUUAUUGAAGAAAAGAAAGAAAAGAACUCCUAACUAAAAGUUGGAGUUGAAAAAGAAAAAGAAAGUUUGAAAAAGGGGGUGUAAGAGACUUGUGAAAAAAGAGAAAAUUCAUUGUGAAAAGCUCCGGGGUUAUUAAUAGAGGAUCACACUCAAUGAGCUUGAAAGCCUAGAAUUCCCUUAGGGACCAACCACCAUCAUGUUUUCACCAAGCCAAUGUUUCAAUCCUUUUGAAAGUCUCAUGAAUAUUUGCAUGUUUAAUCUUUGUUGCUAGUGAGUGAAUGACAUUCAGGACCUAUGAACUUGUUUGUGUGCUCAGUGCACUAAAUUGACAUCUCAUCCUAGGAUUUUUAGAUCUAUAUGCUUCUCAUGAAUGGACUCUACACUCUUCUCUUUUCAAAAGUUGCAUGAAGUAGAUUGUUGGGUGUAAGACCCAGGAUUUUAGAAUUAAAUAAAUAAUUAAUUUCCAACUCACGCAUAGGAUUAUGUGUAAGCAUGAGAGGAACUUAACUCGUGUUUAAUGUUUGGAUUUAUAUUAUGAAGAAUAAAGUUUAGGAAAUGACUAAGAAUAGUACUAUAGUCGAUAUAAUUUAUAGCACAAGUAGUAUUCGUUUAUACCUAGGACGAGAGCGUCAGUAAACGACUAAUUUGCACUUAAACACGAUGGAAAUUAAUUCCAAAAAUCUUCAGAGAAAUGUUAGAACUUCUCUUAAUCCUUCCAUGACAAGCGUUUCGAUACGAAACCCUGGAAUGUACGAACGUCCGAUUCUAAUUCUCGGAGGUUUGCCGAAACCAAAACCCUGAUAGCUCAAGAAACCUAGAAUAAACGGUUGAUGAAGACUUUUUCUAUUCGGAGCUUCAAACGAAGAUUCCGCACGCGUACACCUAUUUCUUUCGAUGUUUCUAAUCUUUCUUCAGGAAGAAGUUUUCCCAUCCGACAUCAACUGCAAAAAGUAGUUUUUCGGGUAAAAUAGAUUUACACCGACUUUGGAUCGUUUGCUUUAAUUCUGAGAAACCUGUUUUGGGUUCUGGAAUUCUGUCGCCGGAACCUAUCUUAGAAUUCACGGAGGAAUGUGCAGGAAAAAUCGGAAUCGCGAAAUUUUCAUUUUUCCGCAUUUUCCAUUUUCUAUAAAUAGCUUGAAAAAUGAAAAAAAAUCAAAAAAACCUCACCAACACACACACACAACCCGCGGCUUGGAGAGGAGAAGGAGGAGGAGAGCUUUUCGCCGAUUCUUGUCUGAUCGUCGCACAGUUCGUUGCUACGCGUAGGCCUCGAGGUACUGAUGCUUUUCCUUACCUCUGAUCGUAAAUUCUGUCGCUUUUCUCUAUGUUUUUCUGUGCUCAAAGUUUUGAGCUUUUUGUAAAACUGUCCAAAUAACUUGAUUUCUCUGUCUAAACUUAUUCCCUGCGUGCCCCUGAGCAUGUUUAGCGGAUUACAUUUCGCCGAAUCUCGUCGAAUCGCCUCCGAACUUCAAUUAUGCUCAAAAUACCCAUUUCUGACAAAGGUUCCGCUUUUUGAGUAAAAAACUCUCGACUGAGCUUAGCGUUAGUAGGAUUAGUCGUCAUAAUCGUCGUUGGUGUCGACCCCAUCUAAUUUGUUUUUCGAAAUUCUGAUUUUGAGUUUCCGAGCUAAAAAUAUUGACCAAAAUACCCCUGCGACAGUUUUCGACCAGAUAAUUUUUCUGAGAGUUUCUCUGGCCUAGAUAUCGCCUAAGAAUACAUAGGAAUUGAUUUAGAUCGAAGAAAAAGUUCGGAAACCCUAUUUUUGAGAGUGGCCGAAACCUAUUUGUUAGGGUACCGUGUCCAAAAAUAAUUUUUGGGUCUCUAUGACCUGAGCCAUUACGUAGCUCUUUCAAUUGUUGAAAUUUUGGCUUUGGUUUCGUGUCAUUCCGAGUUCUGUAGCUCGAGUUAUGCUCGUUUUAGCGAACAAAGUCUCCGUUGUCAAUUUGUGCUUAAAUAGGAACUCUGAAGCUUUAAAAGCUUUCUUUACGAUUUCGAUUAGUGUUAUUAGAUAGUGUUGUUUCUAGUGAGACUUGUGUUGAUGAUUGUGUUUCCUUGUUCUAGGUUCGCAACUUCCAUGCACAACUUCUACUCACGAAGGUAAGGGUAACUCAGUUUUAGAGCGUCAUUUGAGUCUUGCAUGAUUUAUUCGUACUGCAUGCGCUUGAGAUGAAGAUGUUUAAUUUGAUUGGCGUUGAUUGAAAUAUUGUAUGCUUGCAAUGUUGUAUGCUUGCUUAUGUUGACUGUUUAUGAGGCUUGUGCUAAAUGUUUUCUGAAGGCUUCGACCGAGUGAACUUAUUGAGACGUGUGUCUCCGUUUUCUGAGAGGCUUCGGCCGUUUACUGGUUUCUGUCAUUACUGCUUUCUAGUGGAUAAGACAUGGUUAUUGUUGAUACCUUGAUUGUUGUUAUGUUGAAAUAGUGAGCUGAGUUAGUAUGCAUUUUGAUGAGACGUAUGUUUGCUGAUAAUAUGAAUAACAUGUGAUUAUGUUGAUUUGAUUAUUGAAUUUGAGAUUGUUGUUUGAGUGACCACUGAGUUGGAUGAGAUGUUUUGGUUUGCUUGAAGUGGCGAUGAGGUGAGUUUGUCCCGCGUGAUUGUCCCGUCUUUUGAGACGUUAAAGUGGCGAUGAGGUGGGUUUGUCCCGCGUGAUUGUCCCGUCUUUUGAGACGUUAAAGUGGCGAUGAGGUGGGUUUGUCCCACGUGAUUGUCCCGUCUUGCGAGACGUUAUAAAGUGGCGAUGAGGUGGGUUUGUCCCGCGUGAUUGUCCCGUCUUUUGAGACGCUAAAGUGGCGAUGAGGUGGGUUUGUCCCGCGUGAUUGUCCCGUCUUUUGAGACGCUAAAGUGGCGAUGAGGUGGGUUUGUCCCACGUGAUUUUCCCGUCUUGCGAGACGUUAUUGUUUGAUUGAUAUUGUUGAGGUUAUUGAUAUCCGAGUUGAUUAUAUUGUUGGUUCUAUUGAUAUCUGGGUUGGUUUAUAUUGUUGGCUUGACGAUAUCUGAUUUGAUUUAUAUUGUGGGUUUUGUUGAUAUAUGAGUUGAAUUGUAUUGUUGGUUUUGUUGAAAUUUGAUCUACAUCUAUACUGUUGAAGUUAUUGUUAUCUGAACUAAUCUAUACUGUUAAGUUGUUGAUUCCUGAGUUAAUCUAUGUUAAGUUGUUGAUAUAUGAGUUUAGUUAUAUUGCUGGUUUGUUGAUAUCUGGAUUAACUUAAGUUGCUAGUUUAUUUACCAUGCUAGGUAAUUAAAUUUGAAUAGCAUGAUUUUCUCUUUUAUACGUGGUAAUUGCAUGGAGUUAACCCUUUCUAUUUGCUACUUGUUAUUUGGGCGCUUAACGCUAUUAGGCGAUGAAGAGCCUUCUGGCGAUGCUUAGCCAUGCUGAGAUGGAGGAGGGAUAGUAACCGGCGGAGCAAGGAUAGAAGAAGCUGUAUAGUUUCCUCUUAGUAGUUUAUGCUUUGAGUCUUCUUCGUUAUCUGAAAACUCUGCUACUAAAACCCUGUUUUCGCCACUGUUUAAGUGUGCGUACUUAUUUUGGAAACUUGCUAUGCUAUUGUAAGACACUAUUAUUAUAUGUCGGGAACGGGUUGUUUAAUUAAGACUAGGUUAUGUAUUAAGCUGUGUUUAGUUGUUUCGAAAAGGAAAAAAAUUAUCGUGUUUUCUUAGGAUUACGAAAUAGUCCUUAGACUUUGUUAGGUGACUAAUGUGACUCCUCAGUUGAGAAAUUGGGGCGUUACAUUGGGUCUUUCUCUUGGAACUAGCUGUGAUUACUUUGUCCCCCUCUUUUGUUUGUGAAGUAUUUCUGGUUGAGAGCACUUGUUUGGGAGCAUUUCUUGCGCUUGAGGGCAAGCGAGUGUUUUUUACGCUCGAGGGCGAGCUGCUGUUGAGUAUAGUGGUGUGAUAACCCUAUUUUAGUAGUGUUUUUAGGGUCAUUUCUUUGUUUGUUUUGAGUCUUUUUGUUGAGUCUCAUGUAGUGUUUCAUGCAUUCUCAUGCAUUUUUAUCUUUUCUUGAGUCUUUGCUUUGUUUUGGUAAUUUUGUAGUUUUAUAGGGAGUUUUCUUGCAUUCUAAGUAAGUUUAGGACUUGCAUGGUUUUGUUGUGUUAAAUGAAGGACCUCUUGUGCUAAUGAGCUCUUUGAGCUUCUAGAUUCUUCCUUGACUUGUUGGUUAGGUUUGGAGAGCAGAAACUGAAGGUAAUAGAAGGCCGAGAAGCAUGGAAUUGAAAGAUGACUUAAAGAGGGCUGAAGAGGAGUUACAAGAAGCUGAAAAGUUCAUUUCAGCGAGGCUUGAGCGCCUAGGCGCUGGGAAUUGGCGUCUAGGCGCUAGUGCAAGUUUCAGAGGGUUUUUGAAUUGGCGCCCAGGCGCUGGUGAAUUGGCGCCUCGGCGCCAAUUAGCUCCAGAGAGCAUGUUUUGGGCAUGCAAUUGGCGCUCAGGCACUCUGAAUUGGCGCCUGAGCGCCCAGACUCGUAUUUUGUGGCUAUAAAUAAGGCUUAGGCCAAUUUCUUUAGGGGACUUAGACAUUUUACUCAUUUUGGAUCAAGUUUGAGAGCUGAGGAGAACCUUGGGGCUGUAGGAAGGCUUCCAACUUGUAUUUUUCUCAGGUUCUUAUUACAUUUCUUGUAUGAAUUCACUAGCCAUGAGUGGCUAGUUCCCUUUUUGCUUUGGGUUAAGAGAUUCUAUGAAGUUUUAGUUUGUUAAAACCUAUCUCUAUGCAUGAGUUCUUGAUUUAAUCUUGUAUUUCAAUUCCAUUAUGCAUGUUUAGCUUUGGUGCACCCUUGCUAUAGGCUAGAUUAUAAUCAAAUGGAAGUUUGUUAUGAUUUAGGGACAUGAAUUGAAAUAGAUCCUUCUAUGCUUGCUUCUAGGCAUAGAGUGAGGGUAGAGUUUUGUUGGCCUGAAUAUACAUGCUUAUGAACCUCUUAUGAAUGAUUAAGUACACAAGGAAUUGGACUUAACUUUCAAUUUGAGAGAAUUACUUUUGUGAUGAGGAAUCAAUUAGUAAGUACAUAGGCUAAAGCAACAAGGGAUAAAUAAGGGUUUCACAUGCAUAGGAUGGGUAAACUAAAGUGGAUUAGAUGAUCAACAACCCAAGGCAAUUUUCCAUCAAUUGUUAAUUUCAACAUUUUAAACAUUGCUCUUUUGCAAAACUUUUGUCACAAACAACCAAAGCCAAUUUCUGAGUUUUACUACUUUUAAGAACUUGCAAACUUUAGACUUAAAUCAACAAUUCUCACUCACAAUCCCUGUGGUUCGAUAUUUUAAAACCCGGAGAUAUCUGUGCACUUGCAGAUUGACCAACAAUUGUGUUCUUGUGAAACUCGAUUUUUCAAACGAUUGUAAUUUUUUAAAACGUUCUUGCAAUCGUUUGGUUAUGGAAACGAGUCCACCGCCAAACAGAAGAACCGCUGAACAGAAUGGAAGAAACGCUGAACCUUCCGUUCGCUCUUGCUCUGGUUCUCUUCAACCCAUUCCUCGCCUUCAAGCUCCGGGAGCUCUUCUUCUUCAACUACAGGCUCUUGUGGCUCAGCAUGCUCCACUGUAGGCUCCUCCUGUUCAACCUUCAUGUCUUCGGAAGGAUCCAACUCCGCCUCAGACGCUCGUACAGACGAUGUCUCAGACUCCAAGUCCUUCGGGGUCUGGAAACGAGGGGGUGCAAAUGGCAGCUUCACCCUCCCGUCUUCAAGCUGUUGGACCUCGAUGACCUCUCCCUCCUUGUCGCGUCCCGAAAGUGUGGCACCGCCGACGUAGAUGCGACGUACCUGGUGUGAGUCGGGCACCCAGGCCUUGUCCUUCUCCUCUUCAUGGAGUGUCAGCGUCUAGGAACGAACCGUGCUCGUGGUCAGAACCAUCUGCCCCCCCCCCCAGAAUAAACACAUAACAAAUAAAAGAGGGUCAAAUCUCAUACAAGACUCUUAAAUAUUCACAGUUCACAUAGAUCAUAUGAUAAGUAAAGAAUCAUAGCCUCACAUCUCAUGUUAGCAACCUAAAGUUAGUUAGGCUAACGUCCUCACCAUUCACACAACCACCUCAACACCUUGGCCAAUCUCGAUCAUCCGCAGAUGAACAUUCACGAGGGGACCACAUAGUCAAUCCUUAUCCCAUGACUCAAUCAUGGUUAUCACAUGGAGACCACACAGUCAAUCUAUAAAUUCACCCUCGCGUGCAAGUAACCGUUUGUCUCUAACGACACCAUCGUUCUCAUGGUCCAUAGCCUACGACUAGCACAAUAGCCAUACAAUCACUACUUGCAAGCGAACUCUCUUUCUCAAGGUGCAUUACCAAUUAUCAUAAGUUGAUGUAAAUUAAUAAGUCUUCAUGUACAGUACAUUCAUCAGAUCAUUUAGGGUUUUACCCCAUUUCCCACAAGGAUAUUAAUUUCAAACAACUCUCACAUGUAAUAAAACAUUGCCCACACCCUAGAGAGUAAUAGGGUUCGACCACACCACAUAUUAUGUCAAUUAAUUCAUGCUUUUCAUGGCUUCAGUAAUAAAAUCAGCAGCAAAUCAUCAACUCAACAAGUAGUCAAAAGAAAACAAGAAAAGUCGCUAAAACCCUCAAAACUAUGGUUCGACCGUGGCUCAUUUAUGGCCUAGGGUUUUCAAAUUUUUUUGAUCAUGCUUGAUCAAGUCUCAUAUGUCAAAUUCCAGCAAGGUUUCCAAUAUUAAACAUCAACAAUUAACCAGAUCUAACACAUGUUAAUGACCACUAUUCGGAUCUAGGCAUAUAUGGUGAAAAUAGCAAGGUUUUGACAUGAAACUAUCAUGGAUCAAGGCAUCAUGUAACAAAGCAUGGUAAAACAGAACCUUUUCAUUCUAAACUUGCAUGGAAAGAAUUCCCAAUCAUACAUACAAACCCCUCAUGUUGAAGAUCACCCAAAUUCACAACCUUUCACAUAAAACCAUGAAAUUUCAAGCAUGCAUUCUCCGAGACUCUACCUAAACUAGAUCAGCCCUCACCUUAGCCUUAGUAUUGUGAAGAAAAGAUGGAGAUUGAAGUGAGUGAUCCUUGCUUCCUUCUCCUUGCUCGAGUCCCUCUUUCUCUCUGGAUCUCCUUCACAAAAUUCCUCUUCUUCCCCUUGCUCUCUUUCUCCUUCAAGUUCACUCUCACUCUCUCUUUUCUACCAAAGGUUCUCUCUUCUCUCUUGCUGAAGUGAAAACAGAAGUAGGUUUGCCUUUCCAAUUAGUUUUUGUGAGAAUGAGAAAAAGAAAAAUCCUCCCUCACUCCCUUAACCAAAACCGGCGGCCACUCACACUAGAAUAGGGUUUUGUUUUUCAAAUUUUUCCUACCCAAGCCCAACUCAAUUUAAUUUAAUGCCUCUUAAUUACUGAUUAAUAAAAAUAAAUAGAAUAAAAGUGAACCCCCUUUUCCCCCUUACAUAGCCGGCGGCUACAAGCUAGCAACCUAGGGUUUUCACUUUUUUUUCUCUUCUAUCUCAUGUUUAUUUGGAAAUAAAAUUAAAUAUUCAGCUUUUAUGUAAAAAAAAACUGAAAUAAUAAAAUAAAUAAAAGGAAAAUCUCUCUCUUUCUUAAAUGAAAUUCAAUCUAUUUAAAUAAACUAGAUUUUCCUAACUAACUCAAAGCAAUUCAAAAAGAGAUCUUUUCUUAUCCCUUUUCUCACAAAGUCACGGCCAUCACUAGCUUGGCCUCCAAGCAACACACAAAUCACCUUAUUUUUGAGGUCCAAAACCCCACAAAAUAAUUACUUUCAAACACCCAACAUUUAUUUCAAAAAUAAUACAAAUUCAAAUAUUUCAUGAAAUCUUCACACACAUAAUCAACCAAAUAAACUCAUUCUUCACUAACAUUUCACACUUAUUACUCAUUUCAAAUAAUACUAAUAAUCAUAACAUCAGGGUCUUACAAUCUUGAUCUACUUAUACUCCUACAGGGGGACAAUGUAACUCCCGAGGCUCCAACCUUUCGAGAGCAUACCUCUUUUGUUUCUCAAGAAGGUUGGGAUUCAAUGGUCAACCAUCACCUUAAAUAUAUUCCACUAUAAGGCGAGACUUGCCAAAAAGGACCCUAAACCGUUUCCAUUUAAUCGAUGGGCUUCUCCGAAUGAUAAGAACUUUAGAUAUAAGAUUUGAGGAUUCUUUCUUGUUUUACCCAAAUGGGAUUCUUCUUUCUGAAACUACAAAAAACAUGUUGAGGAAGUAGUAUUUGCGGCGCACUGUAGCAUUCCAUAUUGGCGGAUUAUGAAGGCCUCUAUUAUUCGAAGCUGGUUUUACAAAAAGAAAUCAGACAAUAUGAUUUUUUAAAGACAAAAUCAUUUAAAAUAAAUCUUUUAAGAUAUAAUCUUUAUUUUUAUGACAAAUUGCACUAGCCUCCCUUCAUGUUUAUCAUCGUUGCACUAACAUUCAUCUAUUAUUUAGCAAAACACUAACCACUCUUAUUUUAUUGAAAACAUUGCAGUACUAAUUAUCAUUAUUGUACUGACCUCCCCUAAGAUUAUUUUUAAAACACUGAAGACCCAUUUGUUAUUCUAAAUGAAAUAUGUGGUUAAUGAAUUUUGUGAAAUAUAGGGGAGGUCAGUCUAAUAAUAAAAAAUCUUGAAGGAGGAUAGUGAAAUUUCCCUUUAUUUUUAAAACUCAAAAUAUUUUACUAUUUUUUCAAAGGCUUAAAUAUGUUGGAGGCCCCUCUAAAAUAGGGUUACUUUGGUUUAGGCCCCUACAAAAUAUUUUUUUGGGAAUACACCCCUAUUUGGAAAAUAAUAUGGAGGGAUAAGCCCUCACCGUUACAAGAAGUCGUUAGUUUUCUAACGGAGAACGACGUGACAGCCACAUCAUCAGGUCAUGUCAUCAAUGUUGUCAAGUAAGCACAUGAGAAAAUGUUUAAAAUAAAAAAAAUAUGUAACUAGGAUUUGAAUACAAGACCUGCAACUUAAAUUAAAGAUACCUUACCACAAGACCUGUGUUCGAAUCCUGGUUAAUUUUUUUGAUUUUAAACAUUUGCUCAUGUGCUUACUUGGCAACGUUGAUGAUGUGGCUACCACGUCAUCCUCUGUUAGAAAACUAACAAUUCUUGUAACGGGGGAUUUUAUCCCUCCAUAUUAUUUUCUAUAUAGGGGGUAUUCCCAACAAAAUAUUUUGUAGGGGCCUAAACCAAAGUACCCCUAUUUUAGAGGGACCUCCAACAUAUUUAAGCCUUUUUCAAAUUAUGAUAAUUACUUUUUUGUAAUAAAAUUAAAAUACUUUUCUUAUAAUUUUACAUUUUUAGAAUAUACUUAACAUAGGAAUUAUUAAGUAAAUUAAGUUUUUUUUUGGUAGAUGUUAAGUAAAUUAAGUAAUUACAGUAAACUACUUCAAUCUUUAUUUUUAUUUUCAAACUAGUCCUUUGACCCGUGCGAUGCACGGGGAAUAUUCAUAUUUUUUAUCGCGUGACAUUUUUUAAAAUCUGUAUUAUUUUUGUUAUGUUUAUUAAAAGAAAAUUUAUGAAUUAAAAGAUCAAAAUUAAUUUAGAUAUAUGAAAACAGACAUUUGAAAGUAUUUUUUUUAUAAAUGUGUUUGUUUUUAUUUUGUGGACGUGCAAAAUGAACUUUAUGUAAAGAAUUUUAAUUUUAUUUUAUAGCUUUUGUAUAAUAAUAAAGCACAUAUUUAUAUAAAUGGAAUUGUAGAAGUGAAAAAUGUUUUUUUCUCAUUUAUUAAAUACUUUAUUUUUUAUCGUCAUUAGGCACUUUGAAGUGGAUUUAUAUUUGAUCGGUAAAGUUUUAAAUUGUUUAACUUUUAUAUAACUCCUAAAUGAUAUUAGUUAAUAAUGUAACCACUAUUUUUAUUUUUUAUUUUAAAUUUCAAAUAAGUUAAUUAAUAGAGUAUAUAACUCAUAUGCAUCUUUAAGAUAUAUUUGAUUUAAUAAUAUCUUUAUCAACUUUUGCUCUUUUUAUGCUUAUUUCUAAAUACUAAUAAAUGCAUUUAAAAAUAAGGUUUAAUAGCUUUUUUGGUCCCUCACUUAUCACGAUUUUGCACUUUUAGUCCCUCUAGAAAAAAAUUAGCAAAAUUUGUCCCUCACAUUUACACACUUUUGUCGUUUUAGUUUUAUUAAACUAAUUAAUUUUAUUUUUGUUACAAUUAAAAGUUAGCUCAAAGCACAAAACAUGUUUUACCUAUUGAUGACCCUAGUUUAGUAGUGUUUUUAGGGUCAUUUCUUUGUUUGUUUUAAGUCUUUUUGUUGAGUCUCAUGUAGUGUUUCAUGCAUUCUCAUGCAUUUUUAUCUUUCUUUGAAUCUUUACUUUGUUUUGAAAAUUUUGUAGUUUUAUAGGGACUUUUCUUGCAUUUUAAGUAAGUUUAGGACUUGCAUGAUUUUCUUAUGUUAUUUGAGGGUCCUCUUUGCUAAUGAGCUCUUUGAGCUUCUGGAUAUUUUCCUUGGCUUGUUGGUUUUGUUUUCAGAUCAGAAACUGAAGGAGAAGGAAGGCCAAGAAGCAUGGAAUUGAAGGAGGGGUUAAAGAGGCUUGAAGAGGAGUUACAAAGAAGCUAAAAAGUCUUUCCAGCGAGCUUGGAGCGCCUAGGCGUUGGGAAUUGGCGCCUAGGCGCUAGUUAUAUUUUCUGAGCCUUCUGGAAUUGGCGCCUAGGCGCUGGGAAUUGGCGCCUAGGUGCUGGGAACCUUCCAGAGAGCAUGUUUUCAGCUGGAAUUGGCGCUCAGGCGCUCUGAAUUGGCGCCUGAGCGCCCAGACUCGAUUGUUUUGCCUAUAAAUUGGUUUUUAGACAUUUCUCUUGGAACCUUUUGUCAUUUUAUCAUAUUUUCAUAAGUUAGAAGAGAGGGUUGGAGUUCUGGAGCUUGAGGAGCUUUCUCUAAGCCCUAUGUUUCAGGUUUCAUCUUUAUCUUCUUGUAUGGAUUUCAUAGCCAUGUUUGGCUAAAACCCCUUUUGCUUUGGGUUCUUUGUAAGACUUAUGAUGUUUUAAUCUUAAUUCCUAUUUCUAUUCAUGAUUCCUCUGAGUAAACCCUUGAAUCCCAUAUCCAUGCUUUAUGUUUCAAGUUAGAACAUGUGCUAGCUUUAUGCUUUUCUAUAAUAGAACAGAAGUUUGUUAUAGAUUAGGGACUUGUUGUGGGAUUACCUCUUCUAUACUUGCUACUAGGAAUAGAGGAAGGGUUGGGGUUUGUUGACCUGAAUUGCAUGCUUAAUGCCUUUAGUAAAUGUUUAGGUUAUCAAGGAAUUGUGCCUAUCUUUUGGCUUGAGAGGAUUGUCUAUGCGAGGCAUCGAUAGAUGAUUGAUUAGGCUAGAACAUCAAGGAGAGAUUCAGAGUUUUGUGGAUAGAAUAGGUUGAUUAGAACUGAAUUAGUCAAGCAAGAACCCAAGGCAUGCUCACCAUUGUUCUCAUACACAUAUAUUUCAAUUGCUUGUUAAUUAGUCACCUAAACAAUCAACCUUCAAACUGAAUUUUACUCGCUUUCUUACCGUGAACUCGAGGCUUAAACUGAAUUCACAUUCCAAUUCCCUGUGGUUCGGUAAACUAAAACCGGGUAGAUUCUGUACACUUGCAGAAUGACCAACAAGUUUUUGGCACCGUUGCCGGGGAAUAUUUUGUGGUUUUUUGGAUUAAGUUUUUAGUUUGUGGUUUUAUUUUUGUCUAGAAUUGGUGCUACUAAUCUUUCUCUGUUUGAGUGUCACACUUUCAGGUUACUCUCACGAGAGACACCGUCAUGGGAGGCCGUAUGACGGAGGAGGAGAUUGAAGCCCACAUUGAGGCGAGAAUCCAAGAGGGGAUCACCCUCCGAUUAUGUGAACAAGAAGUUGAGAAUGCCAACCGGUCUCUUCGGGAACUCACUUCUUGUACCAUGAGUUAUGACUAUCCCGGGAGCAUUGUCUUUCCCGAGGGAGUGGGAAACUUUAAGUUGAGACCGGCAUUCAUCAACUUGGUGAGCCAAAACCAAUUUGGUGGAGGUACUUUGGAAGAUCCACAUGCUCACAUGGAGAGGUUCAUCCGGAAUUGCAACACUUACCGGGUGAACAAUGUUCCGGCGGAUGCAAUUCGGUUGAGCUUGUUUCCAUUUUCUUUGAAGGAUACCGCUGAGGAAUGGCUGAAUUCUCAACCUCAAGGGAGCUUCACUACUUGGGAAGACUUAGCGGAAAAGUUCACAACAAGGUUCUUCCCAAGAGCCCUUUUGAGGAAAUUGAAAAAAGACAUCAUGAAUUUUGUGCAACCCACUGAAGAAAAUCUCUAUGAAGCUUGGGAGCGUUUCAAGAAGCUCUUAAGGAAAUGUCCUCAACACAAUCUCACCCAAGCUGAAUUGGUUGCAACAUUUUAUGAUGGUCUACAGUACUCUUGGAGGUUUGGCCUAGAUGCGGCUUCAAAUGGCGAGUUCGAUGCUCUUUGAUAGCAAUUCCGCAAGUGUACGGAUUGAUCAAAGUAAUACAAAAGAUUGUCGAACCACAGGGAUAGUUGUUCAUCAAUUGCUUCUAAGAGUUUUGUGUUCAGAAUGUGAAAAAGAAAGCAAUAUAAGUUUGAGGGUUUGUUGUGUUUAACAAACUUGUGAUGAAGAGCAAGAAUUAUAAUUCAGAUAAAGAAGUACCCUGGGCAAAGCUCCACUUAGUCCAAUAAUGGUUCUCAAAUCAAAUUCUUAUAUGAAGUUCAGAAUCCUUAUCCAUGAUGUUAUAGCCUCUACCUCUACUUGUUAAUUCCUUAAUCAAGUAAAUCAUUCAAUUUCAUUUGCCAAACCUAAUGCCUUAGUGCCUAGUCAAUUCAAUUGAAGAAUGAAGUUUAUAAGUUCAGGCCAACACAAUAAGUUUCUACCCUUAUUCCUAAGUGAUAGCAAACAAAUCAAUCUGAUCCCAAGUCCCUUAAUCCUCACCAACUUCCGUUGUGCAAGAAGAAAGCAAAACACCUGUGUGCACUCAAGAGAAUAUUGAUUCAGAGAAAAGAUACAUGGAAAAGAAACUUUAUUCAUAUAAGAAAAUAAGAAGUUUAAACCAUAAUCAGAGCUAAGGUUCACUUCAUCCAAAGUAAAAGAGAAACUAGCCAAGCAUGGCUAGGGAAUUCAUAAUGCAAACUAAAGGAAUAAAAACCUGAAAGAAGAGGGCCAAGAAGCCUCCCACAAGCUCCAAGAACCUAAACCUCUAAGUUUUGUUAAAAAAGUUACAAGAUCCUAAAAGAAAUAACAAAAUCCCUAUUUAUAGAGUUUCCAGCGGUAAUCCACGCAUGUGCGUGGCCUCCUCCACGCACAUGCGUGGGCAAAACGCUCAAAACGCUAAAUUCGCAGCAUCAGAUUUUGCCACCACGCAUGUGCGUGGAUCAGACGACGCACAUGCGUGGGCAUCAGGUUUUUCCUGCAGUAGCUCCACGCAUGUACGUGGGAUACAUGGCGCACAUGCGUGGCUCAUCUGAUUUUUCUUUAAUUUUGUAACUCCCACUUCUCCUAUCAUCAUGGCUCUUAACUUAGCUUUCAACCAUCAUCAUUAGCCAUUAAAAACCUAUCAAACCUGAAAAGAAUCUCAAGAAACCAUCAAAACAACAAUGUAACUCAUUGGAACAUGUCAUUAAUCAUGAUAAUUCACCAUCCUUUCAUUCAAUUCAGCAAAUAAAACCCCCAAUGUGCAAUCAACACUCAUGAAUUCAAAUGACUUAAGCUAAAAACUGACCAUAGGAGUUACUCUCGAACUAAACUAAUAAAAAGACUAAAUAAAUUGAUUAAAAACACCUAAACUAAUGCAUAUGCAAUUAUGAAAUAAAAAGGGACUCAACUUGACUUAAAGCUCAAUAAAGAACUCAAAAAGGAAAAGAAAGAAACAAGAAGGACUCGAUAAAUAUAGAAUAAACCUCGGGUCAUCACACCACUAUACUCAACGACAGCUUGUCCUCAAGCGUAAACUCAAGGUAGCUUGUCCUCAAGCACAGAAUAAAUCACCCCUUCUUCAGCUGCUUAGGCUUUUCAAAACAAGAUACUUCACAAAACAAAAGAAAGGUCAAAUGCACACAUCUAAAGAUGAGUGGUCAGCAAGAGUAACCAAGACUUCCAAGCAAGAGCUCAUCAACUUCCUCACAUGUCAACCACUCUCCUCACAUUUUGGGUGCUCUAACAUACAAACUCAAUACUUCAGCCCUGAUAAUCAAUCAAUUCAAAGUUAAAUGCAACAAUAACAAGAACAAGAGAGACUUCGAAAGGUUGUAACUUUGGCUAAGGUAAAGUGUAGGUAGGGAUGCCAAGAAAAGGGAAACACAAGGGCUCAAAACAGAUUUUGUGGUGAGUGAUUCUUCUAUUCAACAAGACCUGAGCCGAAUUUUUAAGACUUUGGGACUCCUUCCUUCUUUUUUUUCUUUUCAACUUUUUUCUCUUUUUCAAUUGCCAAGGCACUUGCCUUUCUUUUGACAAUUCAGCAUGCUUUUUUUUUUUUACUUUUAGGAAAGAAGUCCUUUUGAUAUUUUCUCUGCUCAAUCACAACCACAAAUCACUCAUCAAAGCUCAAUUCACCAUAAUUCGGGGACCAAGAAAAAUAUUCAUUCUUAAGGCUCAACUUGGGAAACUAAGGGAAUAUGAUAACAAUCCAAAGUCUGACGCCAACAAAGAACUCCUACCAAGUCUCUUCAAAGAACAAGUAUUGUGCAACAACCAAUAUGCAUUUCAAAGCAGAGCUAAGCAUGUAUAAGCAUGUUAGGAAUAAACAUUGAGACUCUCAGCACUCAACAAAAACAUUGGGGUGUUGAAGUGAAACACCCUUUCUUAUGAACUCAAGCAAGUAAGAUCAAGCUACCUCACAUUCCAAUCACAAUAGCAUGUACAAAGACCACAAGAUAAAAACAUGGAAGUAUCAUCAACUAUCAAUAAGAAGCAGCUAAUCAAGGGUGAAACCACUUAAGCAAGUUCAGCAUUGCAGCAAGAAACCCAAGGAUAUUCAUACCGACUCAAACGUAAAAAGAAAAAACAUGCAAAAACCUCGAUGCACUAACUACCUAAAAAGAAAAAGAAAAUGUUUUUUUUAUAGAAGAACACUAAAUUAAAGCAAACUCAAAUUAAAGAAAAGCAAACCAAGACUUGGGUUGUCUCCCAAGAAGCUCAAUUUUUAAGUCUUUGAUAGACUUCCCCGGACUCAAAGUUCUAGUCAGGGUUUAUAGCAAAUUGCAUUAGAUACUUUAGAUCAUGCAAAUUUUGACACAACUGCAUCAUCAUAUUACCUGCAUUUCCAUAUAUCAUGGCAACAUAAAUCAAAUUAAGAGUAGAGGGUUUAAGAAAAUUCUCACUAAUUUUCUUCCAUGGUGUGUUGAGAAGAUUCCAUCCUCUUGUUUGUUCAUUGCCAUGCUUUCCAUUGAUCCACAUGUCCUUAAGAUUGAUGCUAAGAUUUGGAGUUUCCUCCUCAUCUUUCUGCAUUUUGUCUCCAAAGACAAAAUCCUCUAUGGAUAAAUCAUGAACAUCAUCACAUUCAAUCACAUUUUUCAUUUGUUCACCCAUUGUAUUUUCACUUUCUGUCUCAAGAACAUUGGUGAAGUCUCCUUUUGAGGAUUCUUCACUUCGUGGCUCCUCACUUUUAUCCACAAUGUCACUUUCAUGGAUAAUAAGUGAUUGUUCUCCUUCCUCCAAAGCUUGAGGGCAGAAAUAUUCUGGUGUCCCUUCAGCUAUGGUUUUGGCUAUAUGUUCCAACUGAGUCUCCAAAUUCUUGAUGGAGGCUUCUUGAUUCCUUAAGUUGGCCCUGGUUUCAUUCAUGAAACUCUGAUUGGUAAGUACCAAAUCAGCCACCAUCUCUUCUAAGCUCUUCUUUCCACUCCCAUGAUAUUGAUGAGGUUGUUCUUGAUCAAAUGGUUGAUGUUCAAAAUCUCCAUAAUAUUGAUGACUUGGUAGAUCCCAUGGAUUGAAAUUAUCAUCACAUUCCCAAAAGAUAUCGGGUUGUCCUUCCCAUCCUUGAUCAUAGUAAUGAUGUGGGUCAUAUCCACGGAAUCCACUCAAAUCAAAAGCAUCCAUUGAACCUUGUAAAAAUCACUUUCACAUACAGGUUAGUAGCACCGAUUCAAUGAAGCAAUGGUAAUAAAAUUUCCAAACAAUAAAAGUCAAGGAUCAAUCAACAAAACAAAACUAUCCCCGGCAACGGCGCCAAAAACUUGAUAGCAAUUCCGCAAGUGUACGGAUUGAUCGAAGUAAUACAAAAGAUUGUCGAACCACAGUGAUAGUUGUUCAUCAAUUGCUUCUAAGAGUUUUGUGUUCAGAAUGUGAAAAAGAAAGCAAUAUAAGUUUGAGGGUUUGUUGUGUUUAACAAACUUGUGAUGAAGAGCAAGAAUUAAAAUUCAGAUAAAGAAGUACCCUGGGCAAAGCUCCACUUAGUCCAAUUAUGGUUCUCAAAUCAAAUUCUUAUAUGAAGUUCAGAAUCCUUAUCCAUGAUAUUAUAGCCUCUACCUCUACUUGUUAAUUCCUUAAUCAAGUAAAUCAUUCAAUUUGAUUUGCCAAACCUAAUGCCUUAGUGCCUAGUCAAUUCAAUUGAAGAAUGAAGUUUAUAAGUUCAGGCCAACACAAUAAGUUUCUACCCUUAUUCCUAAGUGAUAGCAAACAAAUCAAUCUGAUCCCAAGUCCCUUAAUCCUCACCAACUUCCGUUGUGCAAGAAGAAAGCAAAACACUUGUGUGCACUCAAGAGAAUAUUGAUUCAGAGAAAAGAUACAUGGAAAAGAAACUUUAUUCAUAUAAGAAAAUAAGAAGUUUAAACCAUAAUCAGAGCUAAGGUUCACUUCACCCAAAGUAAAAGAGAAACUAGCCAAGCAUGGCUAGGGAAUUCAUAAUGCAAACUAAAGGAAUAAAAAACUGAAAGAAGAGGGCCAAGAAGCCUCCCACAAGCUCCAAGAACCUAAACCUCUAAGUUUUGUUAAAAAAGUUACAAGAUCCUAAAAGAAAUAACAAAAUCCCUAUUUAUAGAGUUUCCAGCGGUAAUCCACGCAUGUGCGUGGCCUCCUCCACGCACAUGCGUGGGCAAAACGCUCAAGACGCAAAAUUCGCAGCAUUAGAUUUUGCCACCACGCAUGUGCGUGGAUCAGACGGCGCACAUGCGUGGGCAUCAGGUUUUUCCUGCAAUAGCUCCACGCAUGUGCGUGGGAUACAUGGCGCACAGGCGUGGCUCAUCUGAUUUUUCUUCAAUUUUGUAACUCCCACUUCUCCUAUCAUCAUGGCUCUUAACUUAGCUUUCAACCAUCAUCAUUAGCCAUCAAAAACCUAUCAAACCUGAAAAGAAUCUCAAGAAACCAUCAAAACAACAAUGUAACUCAUUGGAACAUGUCAUUAAUCAUGAUAAUUCACCAUCCUUUCAUUCAAUUCAGCAAAUAAAACCCCCAAUGUGCAAUCAACACUUAUGAAUUCAAAUGACUUAAGCUAAAAACUGACCAUAAGAAUUACUCUCUAACUAAACUAAUAAAAAGACUAAAUAAAUUGAUUAAAAACACCUAAACUAAUGCAGAUGCAAUUAUGAAAUAAAAAGGGACUCAACUUGACUUAAAGCUCAAUAAAGAACUCAAAAAGGAAAAGAAAGAAACAAGAAGGACUCGAUAAACAUAGAAUAAACCUCGGGUCAUCACUCUUCCCCCACAAGCGGGGUAUGACUUAAUAGAAAAGAUGGCAGCGAGAGCCAUGAACUCUGAAAAUGAUCGCCAAAACCGAAGGAGUAAGCUUGAAGUGGAAGCUUACGACAAGCUCUUGGCCUCCAACAAGCAACUCUCCGAACGAAUUGCGGAGAUUCAAAAUCACAUAAAGGCGACCAAUUUGGUCGGUGCUACAACAGCCAGAGUGGAGUGUGUGGCUAUUGGAGGGCCCAAUGUUAGUGAAUUUUGCACCAUUACUAGUCAGGGUUUCCGAGGUCAAAGCUCUAGACUAUCUCAACAAGUCCAAGAGCAAGUUGGUGAAAAUGAUGAUGGCAAGAAGAGUUUGGAGGAGUUGGUUGAGACUUUCAUCCACCGCAUGAAGAACAACUACAUGAGCCAAGAUGUGGCUAUAAAGAACUUGGAAAGUCAAAUUGGCCAGUUGGUCAAGCAAAUGGCCGAGAUACCUCAAGGUAAGUUUUCUCCCGAUUCGUUAAUUUUUUCUAAACAAGAAAAUUCUGCUGUUGUUACCACUAGGAGUGGGAGAGUGUUACAUGAGUCAAAAAAACAAAGUGAGGAAAUAGUUGAGGAGGAAAGGAGUGUUCCUAUUAAAACUAGAGUGAUGAAUGAUCCUAUUCCUGAGCUUAGCAAAGUUCCAUUUCCUAAAGCAUUGGCUAAAAAGAAUUUGGAUAAAAAGUUUUCAAAAUUUAUGGAUGUUUUUAAGAAACUCCAUAUCGAUAUCCCUUUUUCCGAUGCUUUGGAACAAAUGCCUAUCUAUGCUAAGUUCAUGAAGGACAUUUUAAAUAAGAGAAGGAAGUUGAGUGAGGUUGAUGAAACUAUCAUGAUGACCGAGGAGUGUAGUACCAUUUUGCAAAGAAAAAUGCCUAAGAAGAGAAGGGAUCCCGGGAGUUUUACUAUCCCAGUGGAGAUUGAGGGGUUGACUGUUGUUGAAGCCUUGUGUGAUUUGGGAGAGAGCAUCAACUUGAUGCCGCUUAGCAUGUUUAGUAGGCUGAACUUAGGAGAGGUCACCCCGACCAUGCUCUCCUUACAAAUGGCGGACCGAUCCCUAAAAACACCUUAUGGGAUCAUUGAAGAUGUGAUGGUUAAUGUUGAUAAGUACGUGUUCCCAGUUGACUUUGUGGUGCUGGACAUGGAAGAGGAUGCAAAGAUUCCUCUCAUUCUAGGCCGACCCUUCUUAGCCACAGGUAGGGCUAAGAUUGAUGUUGAUAAGGGUCAGCUCAUCCUCCGAGUUGGUAAGGACAAGGUAAGAUUUUCAGUUUUCAAUCCUAGUUUACAAACUAACCUUAAUGAUAAUUUUGUUUGUGAUAUGAUCAAAAGCUUGUCCAGGUCUUCAAAGGAGACCCCCAAGGUAAGUGAAAAAGGUGUUGAGCUUAAUCAAGCUCUCAUCAAGCUUGUUAGAGAAAACAAGUAUGGGGGGGUCUAAAGAUGAGAAAUGGCCCGAUUCACACAAGCGAGUCAACUUGUGAAAAUGGAAGGUGUGACUAGCGAUGAGCUCAAGGUUAAGCUCUUCCCCCACUCCUUGAAGGGGGGAGCAAGGAUUUGGUACGAUGGUUUAGAUGAUACCCUCUCUUGGGAGGAGAUGUUGAAGAUAUGAAAAACGGUAGAAAGGGGGGGUUUGAAUAACGUUUUCAGUAUAAAACUUCCACCUUAAAGAUUUUGACAAAUCUUUCGAGAACUUUAAUUGCUAAAGAUAAGAGAUAGAAAAGCACACAAGGAUUUUAUCCUGGUUCACUUGAUAAAUCACUCAAGCUACUCCAGUCCACCCGUUAAGGUGAUUUCUUCCUUCUUAGAAUGAAGGCAAUCCACUAAUCAGGUAAGAGUUACAACUGCACUUGAAACCUACAAGUGACUAACAAUUACACUGACUUAGCUCACACUAAGAUUCACUCUCUUAGUCUUCUCUAGGAUCCGAUCAACCUUGAUCUCCUAAAGGAACUAAACAAACUGUUUAUCAAAGAAUUGUUUACAAGAGAUUUGCUUCUAAAAAGCUAAUAGUAAACUCAAUGAAUUUCAGAUGAAAGAAAACUUAGAAGAUUUUGAAUAUGUCUUGCGUAUGUGAAUGCUUCUUGCCGUUUCUUUCAGUCUUCAGCCUCUUUAUAUACUCCAAGGAUUAGGGUUGAGUGAUGCAUGGGAAAUGCUACCGUUGGAGGGCAGUUCUGGAAAAUCCAGCUUCUGCUGUGGCUGAGAACGUUAGGUAGGUCGUCAGGAAGGUACAGUAGCUUUUGUACUUGGAUAGCGACGCGACCUUUAAACCUAGGAGACUUCUGAUCAGGGGAAUGCUUCAUAUUGGAACUUGUGAAGCCGGUUGAUCAGAGUCAGAGGGAAAGCACAGAUCCUCUGACCAUUGUAUCUUCUGAUUCUGAACUCAGAGGGAAGAACAUGGCCUUCAGAGUUUCUUUCUUCUGGACUUCAGAGUUUCCACUAUUCAGCUUCUGGAUCUUCAGAGUCUUCUACACCAUCAGAACAUCUGAACCUUCAGUGUUUCUUGGUUAUCAGAACUUCUGGAUCUUCAGAGCUUCUAGUGACUGAGUCCUCAUCAGAGUUUGUAUAACUUCAGAACUUCUGAAGCUUUUCCACUGUUCAUACUGAACAUGGUGAAUGCGAAAGCGUUGCUUGGGUCACUCUUUAUACACAGUGCUUCUGAUUUGUGUGAGAUUGAGUAGAGGUCAGAACCUGCAAAUAGCACACUCAGAAAAACACGUUAGAGUACCACAAUUGUUCAUAUCAAAAGGUUAACUUGUAAUCAUCAAAACAUAGAGUUGUACUACUAGAUCAAAACUUGAUCUUACAAUCUCCCCCUUUUUGAUGAUGACAAAACUAAGAUUUUUGAUGAACAAUUCUUAAACAUUAAACUGAAUUCACUCAGAGUUUAGAGAUAUAGAAUAAGACUUAUCCUGAUGUGAAUAGUUUAUCUUGCUCAUUCUGAAUUCAAGUCACUGCUUGAUUCUGAGCUUAGCUCCCCCUGAAUCUAAUACUUGAUGAAAACGUUAGUAAAGUCUAGAUUCUAAGCUAAAUGAUAUAAGAGUUCAGAGGAAAAACUUAUGACAUAGAUGAAAAACGAGUAAUCAGAGCGCAUAAGUAAUCAGAGUCAUGGACAAGGUAUCAGAGUCUUGGGUAUCAGAGUCAACUUAUAAUCACUUCAGAAGAAGUGAAAUGUAUUCCUUGUAUUUGCCCAGUGACACAUCUAUGGUCAUGAAGGUGGAACUCUUAAAAUCUCCAAAAGAAAAAAUAAAUCACACUAACACAUCUUACACAUCAAAAACUGGGUUUACUCCCCCUUUUUGUCAUAAGCAAAAAGCUUGGGGUGUGAAAAACUUAGCUUGAAGUACAAGGUACUCCCCCUUAGAGAAGGUCUAAGUUUAAAGGAAAUGAAAACGAUGCAAGAAUCAGAGUUAGGCGAAAUAAAUAGAAGAGUUAAUGCAAGAGAAGAACGUUUACCACCGGUCACGUGAGUAAAGAGAAGGGUCAGUUACCAAGAACUUAACCUCGAGAAACCGUAGGAGCAUUAACUUUCAGAGAGAAAGUGAAGCCUAUAUAAAGCGUGGGAGAGAAAGGUAAGCUUCACACUUCGAACAAUUUUCAGUAAAGAAAAAAAAUGGCAUCAUACAUCGUAGCACUAGCAGAGCUGAGGAAGAAGGCCUUUGAGGAGGACUUGUUCCUGAACAUCCGACAUCCAGAGGGUACAACGACCAUCUCGGAGCUAACACGAACACUGCUGGAAGAGGACCUGCGUCCAGAGUUGGAGAGAGACUUGAAGGAAUUUCUUGCCUUCGUUGAGGAGGUGCAAGAACUCAGCCGGCUUGAACUCAAGCUGCUGGAAGAAAAAGAAAGUUUGGAAGAGAAGCUCAAGACUUCAGAAGAGAUUCUGGAGAGGGAUGAGCUAAAGAACAGGCUCAGCAACAUCCAGCAUGUACUGGAGCGUCUGGAGAAGGAUAGGUCAGAGCAGCGCCAGGAGUGCAGAAGAAUGAGGAGAGAUCCUCCAUUCUAGACUUAGGGAAGGAAUGGAUAAUGUAAACAUAAAGAAUGUAUGAUGUAAAUGAAAAAAAAAAUAUUAUGAAUAAAAGGAUUUUUGCAAACAUAUGUGACACAAAUAUAUAUAGAGAUGCAUAUAUAAUCACAAACGAAUAAAGUAGAAUAGAUAAAUAAAAAGAAACAGAGUUUAAAUAAAACAACGUUAAAGAAAAAGAAAGAAAAAAAGAAGAGAUCCUAAAACUAAGGUUUGUCAGAUCGUCUCAGAAGUUCCAUCAUCAUGUGCUUCAUCUCAAUCAGCAUGGAUUCAUGAAUGUCAAGACGUUGUUCCAUGAUGUCGAGUCUGGAUGAGCUGGACUGAGUAGAACUGGAAGGGACAUUCUGAGCAGCUUGAGAGUCUGGAAUGGAAGCAGAAGCAGCAGGAGUAAACACAACUGGUGCAAGUGCUUGGCAUCUAAGAGCUUCAGCCUCAGCUUCAAGUCGCUCUGCCUCUAGUCUGGCUUGUUCAGCUUGAGCUGCUGCUUGACGUGCAGCUUCUUCUGCUUGAGCUUUCUUUCUCUUGGCUUCUUCAAUAGCUUCAAGAAGCUUAUUUCUCUGUUCUUGUUCAUGAAGAGCCACCCUUCGAGCAAACCUUUGCUUGGCAGCCUCAAUCCUCUGACUGCCCUCUGCAUGCAGGAGCUGCAUCAUAAUUGGAACUUGAGCCACUAGCCAAGUGCCCAGAUUGUUCCACUCAUCAGCCACACGUUCAGCAUUCUCACUGAGGUCAGUCUGACCGUGCACAUUGCGGAGCCUCAAGGAGGCUUCAUGAUAGAAAAUAUUGAUGCACUCAGAGAGAGAUGUGGGUUGGAGGUGAGUAUAGGGAAUUAUGGAGAGGUUGGUUUCAGGAGAGGCUGGGUGGUUGCUGCUAUGAGCUUCAGAGGCACCUUGUGGAGAACCAAUGUUAAUCAUAUGAGCAUUGGGUUCAGAGGUUCCAAGGUGAGGGUCUGAAGUUUCAACCAGAGGAUGGGGUGAUCUAACCGAGGAUUGGUUAGACACUGAUUGUUCGGGUUCAGGUUCUGGUUGAAUAGGCUCUUGUUGGUCAGGGACAGGUUGAGCUUGUUGAGCCAAAGGGUCUGCCUCUUGUAAAGGAUUGGCCAAGAUAGGUUCAUCUGGGUCAACUAGACGUUCAGGUCUAGGGCCACGAUAUCUCCUAGGGCUUGGACAAGUGAGGUAGUAUUCCUCUAAGGUAGACACCUUUUCCUUUCUGACCUCCAUGAAUUUUCUAAUGGAUUCAGAGUUAUUGGAGGGAGAAGAAUCAGCAACAUUGGUUGGGAAGGAUACAGGUGUAAAGGCUGUGGAAGAAUCUGUAUCCGUGGUUCUGGCAGCAGGACGUGCUGAUGCUCUGGGAACAGAGUGAUCAGACGUUCUGGGUUGUGGUUCUGUUUGGUUGGGCUCUGGUUGUUCAUGGAUGACGGGUUCAGAAGAUAAUGGGUCGUACGGGAUGGUAAGGAGAGAGGUUGGUUCUUCUGACCUAGAGGGUUGGUUCUGAAGCAAAUUCCAGAGAGGUGCUUCAGUAGGGGAAGGUUGAAAGAAGGAAGAUCUUGGGGAAUGUGGUGGAGUGGUGGUUUGUGCGGCUGGUUGGGAUUCAUGAAUAGGAGUGAGGGGAUUUGAGGAGUGUUUGAGCAUGGCAGAAAUAGGGAGUGCAUCAAAUAAAUUCAAAUCAUCAUCAGAAGCAAGUGCAGGCUUACUUGAAUGUGCUGAUGAUCUAGUCACUCUGGCAGGAGGUUCAGUCCUUCUGACCACUUCAGCAGCUGGUUCCACCCGAGUAGGCUUCACCACGAUUCUGACCUGCUUCUUCUUCUUCUUCUUAGGAGGACCAUCCUCAUUGUCACUAUCAUCACCAUCAUCAGGCUUUCUCUUCUUCUUUGUGACCAGAGGGACAUCGGAUUCCUCAGAAGAUUCGUCCAGUAGCAUCUUCCUCUGAGCUUUCUUCUUUGGAGGAGAAGGAAACUCUGGAGCUGGCGGCAGUCUGCUGACGAAAUCAUCAAGAUCAAUUUCGAAUCCUUGAGCCCUGAGGUCUUCAACAUAGCACCUGAUGGCGUCAGGAUUGUCUGCCUGAGUCCACAGAGGGUAGUCAUUCAGAGGCAUCCUUCUGCUUCUGAUCUCAGAAGAUGUGUCUUCAUGAGCAGGAGCAAUCUUCUUCUGGACCAAACCCAUCUUCUUCAGAGAGUUUGCAGUGAAGACAUCACUGACCAUGGUGCUCAGAUCCUCUACACAUCCAGCAUUGACCAGAUCUUGCACCAAGUUGCUUUCAAUAAGAAAGUCUGAGAGCAGCCUCCCAAAGGGGAUAUAUUUGAUUGCAGACUUGAUGGAGGCAGUGGUGCGAGACUUCCGGAUGCAUUCCUUCAAGUAGGAGAACAGGAAGUAGGGAAGGCAGAUCUUCUUCUGAUCUUGGAUGAAGAACAACAUCACCUUCUGGUUGAAGUUGAUGUAGUCUGGAGAACUGCCCUUCGGUCUCUGGUUUAUGCAGUGGAGUAGGAUCUUGUGCCAGAUCCUGAGCUUGGGAUGAAGGUCCAUCACCUUGUAACUCGUCUUGCCCGGUUUGAAGGUGGUGUACAGGGCCUGGUUGAUUGUAUCCUUGGUGCUGGGUUUCAGCUUCGAUUCCGUCAGUUGGAAACGAUACCCAUAAGCAGUUUCUGCACCCAGCAAGUUCACGAAGGACUUCUCCGUGAUGAUGAUCUUUCUUCCAAGAAUAUGAGAUACCACCUAAGUAUCAUCGCAGUCGGCGUGCUUCCAGAAUUCCUUUACCAGUCUAUCAUACACCGGUCCUCGAAGUCUGUUGAAGUAAUUUCCCCAACCUUGAGCUUGGACUUCGGGACGAAGAUCAUACCCAUUUGUAGCCAGGUUGUCGAGGUUGAAUCUCCAUUUUGCCAGGACUUGGAGUUCCUCAGGAGGAUAUACGCAGUGAACGGCACAGCCCCGUUCUGCAAUUGGAACACUCUGUUCUUGAGCUUGAACUGGAUCUUGUGUCGGAUUCUCAGGGCCCCUUUGACCCGUUGCUAGACCCACUACCAUGUGAGGGAACUGGGGUGCAUCUGCAGUAGAUCUUCUGGUUUGUCUCACCAUUUUUGAAGUGGUUGAAGGUUUGAGGUAGAAGAUGAAGGUUGAAAGAUGAAGAGAGAUCGAGAGAGAGAUCGAGAAAAGGCGGUUUUGAAAAGCAGAGAGAGCGAGAGUAAAAAACGGAAGUGAACGAGAACGUGUGUGUAUAGUGGGUUUUAUCAAAUAACCGUUGUUGAUUCAAAAAGCACUUUAAGAUCAACGGUUGAAAAUUAAAGAUAGAUAGUAACAGUAAAUACACAAUCACACACAUGAGAGAAGCAUAUCUACACGCAAUCAUAACAGACUGUCACACGGGCACAAGGAACUAUGCAUCAGAAAAACUGACACACGUGUUGUUGUCUCAGCUUCAGAGUCAGUACCAGUGGGUACACACACUCUGAUUGAGUUACCUUCUGGACUAGACAUCUUCUGAUCAAGAAGUAUCAUAGUCAGAGGUUCUGAUCCAUCUUCACUCUGGACAAAAGUCCAUGUUUAGAUUUUUCAGAAUAAAAUUAAAUCUAUCCUCUGCUAAGGGCUUUGUAAAGAUAUCUGCCCAUUGAUGGUCAGUAUCAACAAACUUCAGAAGAAGUACGCCCUUCUGUACAUAAUCUCUAAUAAAGUGAUACUUUACCUCAAUGUGCUUUGCCCUUGAAUGCAAGAUAGGAUUCUUACUCAAUGAGAUUGCAGCAGUGUUAUCACAAUAGAUUGGGAUAUUGCUCUCAAGGAUCUGAUAAUCCUCCAGCUGAUGUUUCAUCCAGAGCAUCUGAGUGCUGCAUAUUGCUGCUGAGAUAUAUUCUGCCUCUGCAGUUGAUAGUGCAAUGGUUGAUUGCCUCUUGCUUGCCCAUGAGACUAGAUUGCUUCCCAGAAAUUGACAAUUUCCAGAAGUACUUUUUCUCUCUGUUCUAUCUCCAGCAUAAUCAGCAUCACAGUAACCUGAAAGCUUAUACUCUGAUGUUUUCUUAUACAUCAAGCCAAGGUUGGUGGUGCCUUUCAGAUACCUUAGGAUCCUCUUAACAGCAGUUAAGUGGGUUUCCCUUGGAUCUGAUUGGAAACGAGCACAUAAGUGAACACUAAAUAAUAUGUCUGGCCUAGAUGCAGUUAAGUAUAGAAGUGAACCUAUCAUGCCACGAUAGAGCUUCUGACAUACUUUACCACUUUUAUCUUCUUUCUCCAGAAUGCAUGUAGGAUGCAUUGGAGUCUUGGCCACUGUAGAUUCCAGCAUAUUGAACUUCUUCAGAAGUUCUUUAGUGUACUUGCUCUGAUGGAUAUAUGUUCCUUCUGGUGUUUGAUCAACUUGUAUUCCCAGAAAGUACUUUAAUUCUCCCAUCAUACUCAUCUCAAAUUCAGCCUGCAUCAUCUCAGAAAAUUCUUUGCAUAGAGAUUGAUUAGCAGAACCAAAUAUAAUAUCAUCAACAUAAAUUUGCACAAUUAAGAUAUCAUCUUUAUAAGUCUUGCAAAAAAGAGUUGUAUCUACUUUACCCCUUACAAACUCAUUCUCCAGAAGGAAUGAGCUAAGUCUCUCAUACCAUGCUCUGGGAGCUUGCUUCAGACCGUAGAGUGAUUUCUUCAAUUUGAACACAUGGUCUGGUUUCUUCUCAUCUUCAAAACCUGGGGGUUGAUGAACAUAGACUUCCUCUGAGAUAUAACCAUUUAGGAAGGCACUCUUUACGUCCAUCUGAUGUAGAACUAUGUUGUGAUUUACUGAGAAAGAGAUCAACAGUCUGAUUGCCUCCAGUCUUGCUACUGGAGCAAAUGUUUCAGUGUAGUCUAUUCCUUCCUGCUGGCUGUAGCCUUGAGCAACUAGCCUUGCCUUGUUUCUGACUACAUCUCCUUUCUCAUUCAGCUUGUUUCUGAAUACCCACUUCGUUCCAAUAACAUGGACACUCUCAGGCUUCUUCACUAAGCUCCAAACAUCGUUCUUGGAAAAUUGAUUCAGUUCUUCUUCCAUGGCCAGAAUCCAAUCCUUGUCCUGAAGAGCUUCAUCUAUGGACUUGGGUUCAAUUAAGGACACCAAUCCUUUCAGACUGAGCAAGGUCUCUUCAGAGGGUCUGAAGGCAGAUCUGGUUCUGACUGGUUCGUCUUUGUUGCCCAGAAUCAAUUCCUUAGGGUGAGCUGCAGUGAUUCUGCUCUUCUUCAGAGUUUGGGAGAUAGAGGGACCAGCAUCUUCCUCUGGUUCAUCUUCCUCUGGCUCAUCUUCCUCUGGAGCUUUGCCUUUGUCAGAAACAUUAAUGCUUAAAUCUGCAAACUUUUCAACUAGCUUUGACUGGUCAGAGUCAAGCUUAUCGUCAAAUCUAACAUGAAUAGAUUCUUCAAUAGUCUUAGCAUCAGUAUUAUAAAAUCUAAAACCUUUAGAUCUCUCAGAGUAACCGAGUAAUAGACACUUAGAAGACUUAGCAUCAAAUUUAUGCAAUUUAUCCUUAGUAUUGAGAACAUAACAAACACAGCCAAAAGGAUGAAAAUAAGAAAUGUUGGGUUUUAUGUUCUUCCACAAUUCAUAAGGAGUCUUAUUCAGAAUUGGUCUCACAGAGAUUCUGUUCUGAAUGUAACAUGCUGUAUUUACUGCCUCUGCCCAAAAGUGCUUAGCCAUGCCAGUUUCUUGGAGCAUGGUUCUAGCCAUCUCCUGAAGAGUUCUGUUCUUCCUCUCAACAACACCAUUUUGUUGAGGAGUUCUGGGACAAGAGAAAUCAUGUGCAAUUCCAUAGGAAUCAAACAGACUCUCAAACUUGUCAUUCUCAAACUCUCCACCAUGGUCACUUCUGACACGCACAAUCCUACAAGCCUUCUCGUUUUGCACUUGAGCAAUGAAGGUAGAGAACACAGCAUGAGACUCGUCCUUGCGGGUUAGAAACUUUACCCAUGUCCAGCGGCUAUAGUCAUCAACGAUAACCAUCCCAUAUCUCUUGCCACCUAUAGACUCAGUUUUCACUGGUCCAAAAAGGUCGAUAUGCAGAAGUUCCAACGGCCUUGAGGUUGAGACAACAUUCUUUGCCUUGAAAGGGACUUUUGUGAAUUUGCCUUUCUGACAUGCUUCACAAAGAGCGUCUGAAGCGAACUUCAGAUUGGGUAAGCCCCUGACAAGGUUUAGCUUGCUCAGCUGAGAAAUCUUUCUCAUACUGGCAUGCCCUAACCGUCUAUGCCAUACCCACUGCUCUUCAUUAACAGACAGAAGGCACUUCACAUUCUGAGCCUCCAACUCAGAUAAUCUGAUCUUAUAGAUGUUGUUCUUCCUCUUGCUGUUAAACAGAACAGAGCCAUCGAUCUGACUUACAGCCCGGCAGGACUUUUGAUUGAAUAUAACAUCAUAACCCUUGUCAGCUAAUUGACUUAUAGACAAUAAGUUAUGUGUUAAGCCGUCUACCAAUAACACAUUAGCAAUGCAUGGACUACUAUCUACACAAAUAGUACCAGUACCAACAAUUUUACCCUUUUCAUUUCCUCCAAAGCCAACUUCGCCUCCAGGCUUAAGUUUCAGCUCUUGGAACAUACGCCUUUCUCCCGUCAUGUGACGCGAGCAUCCACUGUCCAGAUACCAUGAUUGGUGUUUCAGUGGAGCUAUCAAGGAUAUCUCAUUUUCAUCGUCUGAGUUAGGAUCUCCUUCUGAUUCUGAGUCAGAGUCAACAGCUUCCUUUGACUCUGCUCCUUUGUCUUUGACAAUGGCCAUGAGUCCUUGGACUUCACCAUCAGAGUCAACAUCCUCUGACUCUGAUUCAUCAAAUGUCACCAUCAGACUCUUCUUGGUCUUGAAGUGCUUCUUUGGCUUCUUGUCCUUCUUCAAUCUUGGACAGUCACUUUUGUAGUGCCCUGAUUCUUUGCACUCAAAGCAUGUGACUUCCUUAAGCGAGGACUUCUUCUGACCUGAGGAUUCAGACUUUCCUCUUGCCUUUCCAGAGCCUUUGAAUUUGCUCUGCCUGUGCUUCCAGAUGCGAUUGAGUCUCUUGGAGAUCAGAGUCAGCUCAUCUUCAUCAGAAUCUUCUGAUGCUUCUUCAGAUUCCUCUUCUUCAGCUUGAAGAGCUUUUGACUUCUCAACCUUGGCCUUUUCAGAUUUGGAUUUCAAGGCUAUGGACUUUUUCCUCAGAUCUUGCAUCUCUGAGCGCUUCAGCUCAUGACAUUUCAAAAUGCUGAUGAGUUCUUCUAAACUCAUAUUCUCAACGUCUCUCGUGAGCUCUAUUGAAGUCACCAAAGGCAUCCAACUUUCAGGAAGACACCUGAUGACCCUUAUGACAUGAUCUUUUGUUGUGUAGCUCUUGUUGAGAGGUCGUAUGCCAGCUACAAGCAACUGAAAUCUGGAGAACAUUUCUUCAAUGGACUCAUUUGGCUCCAUGAUGAAGGAUUCAUACUUUUGGAUCAAAGACAAUGCCUUUGAUUCUUUGACUUUCUUGUUUCCUUCAUGAGACAUCUUCAGAGAUUCGAAAAUGCCUUUAGCAAACUCACGAUCUGUAAUCUUCUGGUACUCUUCAUAGGAAAUAGCACUUAGAAGAAUUGCUCUUGCUUUGUGAUGUUGUGAGUACAGCUUCUUUUGAUCUGCAGUCAUCUCUGACCUUGGGAUCUUCUUGCCAUCUGCAUCAACUGGACGCUCGUAGCCAUCCAUAAUAAUAUCCCAAAGAUCUGCAUCGAAACCCAGAAAGAAACUUUCCAGUCUAUCUUUCCAAUAUUCGAACCUUUGACCGUCGAACAUAGGAGGCUUUGCAUUGUAACCAUCUCUUUGAGUUUCACUGGUGGUGGCAGCCAUUGUUUUUCACACCGGCCCGGAUCACUGAACACUGUUAGGUGUGGUAAUCAGAACUUGCGCUCUGAUACCAUUUGAAGGUAUGAAAAACGGUAGAAAGGGGGGUUUGAAUAACGUUUUCAGUAUAAAACUUCCACCUUAAAGAUUUUGACAAAUCUUUCGAGAACUUUAAUUGCUAAAGAUAAGAGAUAGAAAAGCACACAAGGAUUUUAUCCUGGUUCACUUGAUAAAUCACUCAAGCUACUCCAGUCCACCCGUUAAGGUGAUUUCUUCCUUCUUAGAAUGAAGGCAAUCCACUAAUCAGGUAAGAGUUACAACUGCACUUGAAACCUACAAGUGACUAACAAUUACACUGACUUAGCUCACACUAAGAUUCACUCUCUUAGUCUUCUCUAGGAUCCGAUCAACCUUGAUCUCCUAAAGGAACUAAACAAACUGUUUAUCAAAGAAUUGUUUACAAGAGAUUUGCUUCUAAAAAGCUAAUAGUAAACUCAAUGAAUUUCAGAUGAAAGAAAACUUAGAAGAUUUUGAAUAUGUCUUGCGUAUGUGAAUGCUUCUUGCCGUUUCUUUCAGUCUUCAGCCUCUUUAUAUACUCCAAGGAUUAGGGUUGAGUGAUGCAUGGGAAAUGCUACCGUUGGAGGGCAGUUCUGGAAAAUCCAGCUUCUGCUGUGGCUGAGAACGUUAGGUAGGUCGUCAGGAAGGUACAGUAGCUUUUGUACUUGGAUAGCGACGCGACCUUUAAACCUAGGAGACUUCUGAUCAGGGGAAUGCUUCAUAUUGGAACUUGUGAAGCCGGUUGAUCAGAGUCAGAGGGAAAGCACAGAUCCUCUGACCAUUGUAUCUUCUGAUUCUGAACUCAGAGGGAAGAACAUGGCCUUCAGAGUUUCUUUCUUCUGGACUUCAGAGUUUCCACUAUUCAGCUUCUGGAUCUUCAGAGUCUUCUACACCAUCAGAACAUCUGAACCUUCAGUGUUUCUUGGUUAUCAGAACUUCUGGAUCUUCAGAGCUUCUAGUGACUGAGUCCUCAUCAGAGUUUGUAUAACUUCAGAACUUCUGAAGCUUUUCCACUGUUCAUACUGAACAUGGUGAAUGCGAAAGCGUUGCUUGGGUCACUCUUUAUACACAGUGCUUCUGAUUUGUGUGAGAUUGAGUAGAGGUCAGAACCUGCAAAUAGCACACUCAGAAAAACACGGUAGAGUACCACAAUUGUUCAUAUCAAAAGGUUAACUUGUAAUCAUCAAAACAUAGAGUUGUACUACUAGAUCAAAACUUGAUCUUACAGAUGUUCCAAAAGUUUUGUGCAAGGUUCCUACCUUGUACAUAUGGAAGAAAGAUUGAUGGUAAGGAAUUUCCUUCCUAACACCAAAGGAAGAAGAGUCCACCUAGGACUAUAACUUAGGGCUGCUUGGGAGACGACCCAAGUCUUGUUUUAUUUCGCUUGUUUGUUUGUUGCAUUUUGUAGGAGGAGAGAGCAUGCAACUCAAUAGUGGGAGGCGGUUCUAUAGCCUCCGUGCUUGACUUGGAGAGGAGGUGUAUCUCUUUCCUUUAAGUUAAUUCAUGCAUUUUUAGCAUAUUUUCUCUUUGUAGAACUUUCUUUUAUGUUUCAUCAUGCACAGUAAGUUAGAGUCGUUUUGGGGUCUUUACUUCCCUAUACUCACAUGUUGUUGCCCGCAAGUUUUGCUCUCUAACGUGUUGCUGGUUUUGAAAAUGUUUUUGUGAAUACUUGUGUUGUCUUUUGGGGAUGAAUGAUUGCAUGCUUUGGGGAAGAGAGGAGGAGACUUUGGUCUUCCGAGUGUUUCUUAAUGAUAGAGUUGAUGUGAGUCCAUAAGGGUCCAUCUUUGACCUUUCACCAUAUAAUUUCUCUGGAGGAUCCUGUCUCACUCGUACUUCUUGGUUCUGUAUUGAUUUCACUCUUUGCAUGCUUUGUGAUACUUGCACAAUUCUUGAGACUUGAACAUUUGUCCCUAGUUGUCCUUUUUGAGCUUAUAGAAUAUUUCUUUGUUAGCCAAGUGAUUGGGGCGGAUGUUUGGUUGGAAUAUUGGGGAGUGAUGGUCCUUGAUUAUAUUUGUAUGGAGCUGAAAAAUUGUGAAAUAGUCUCUUGCCCCGAAAAGAAAAAAUCAUUGAAAAAAAAAGAAAAAGAACUCCUGAACAAAAGCUGGAGUUGUAAAAAAAAAAAGAACUCCUGAACAAAAGCUGGAGUUGUAAAAGAAAAAAAAAAGAAAAAGUUGAAAAAAGGGGUCAAGAGACUUGUGCUUAAAAAGUUUGUUGUUAAAGCUCCGGGGUUACUAAUAGGACCACACUCAAGAUGCUUGAAGCUCUAGCCUUCCUUAGGGACCAACCACCUUGUACUUCACCAAGCCAACAUUUCAACCCUUUGAAGUCUCAUUGAAUUUGUGCAUGUUUGAUCUCUGUUGCUCUUGAGUGAAUGAUAUCCAGGACCUAUGGACUACUUGUGUGCUCAGUGCACUUAAUAUAUAUCUCAUCAUAGGAAUUUUAGAUCUAUAUGAUUCUCAUGAUGGACUCUACACUCUCCUUUGUCUAAAAGUUGCAUGAAGUGGAUUGUUGUGUCUUUCUUUUGGAACCAGCUGUAGUUGCUAAAUCCCCCGGUUUUCUUAAGUAUUCCUUGUUCAGCACUUGUGUUGGGAGCAUUUCUUGCGUUUGAGGGCAAGCGAGUGUUGUUUACGCUCGAGGGCGAGCUGUCGUUGAGUAUAGUGGUGUGAUGACCCUAGUUUAGUAGUGUUUUUAGGGUCAUUUCUUUGUUUGUUUUAAGUCUUUUUGUUUAGUCUCAUGUAGUGUUUCAUGCAUUCUCAUGCAUUUUUAUCUUUCUUUGAGUCUUUACUUUGUUUUGAUAAUUUUGUAGUUUUAUAGGGACUUUUCUUGCAUUUUAAGUAAGUUUAGGACUUGCAUGAUUUUCUUAUGUUAUUUGAGGGUCCUCUUUGCUAAUGAGCUCUUUGAGCUUCUGGAUAUUUUCCUUGGCUUGUUGGUUUUGUUUUCACAUCAGAAACUGAAGGAGAAGGAAGGCCAAGAAGCAUGGAAUUGAAGGAGGGGUUAAAGAGGCUUGAAGAGGAGUUACAAAGAAGCUAAAAAGUCUUUCCAGCGAGCUUGGAGCGCCUAGGCGCUGGGAAUUGACGCCUAGGCGCUAGUUAUAUUUUCUGAGCCUUCUGGAAUUGGCGCCUAGGCGCUGGGAAUUGGUGCCUAGGCGCUGGGAACCUUCCAGAGAGCAUGUUCUCAGCUAGAAUUGGCGCUCAGGCGCUCUGAAUUGGCGCCUGAGCGCCCAGACUCGAUUGUUUUGCCUAUAAAUUGGUUUUUAGACAUUUCUCUUGGAACCUUUUGUCAUUUUAUCAUAUUUUCAUAAGUUAGAAGAGAGGGUUUCAGUUCUGGAGCUUGAGGAGCUUUCUCUAAGCCCUAUGUUUCAGGUUUCAUCUUUAUCUUCUUGUAUGGAUUUCAUAGCCAUGUUUGGCUAAAACCCCUUUUGCUUUUGGUUCUUUGUAAGACUUAUGAUGUUUUAAUCUUAAUUCCUAUUUCUAUUCAUGAUUCCUCUGAGUAAACCCUUGAAUCCCAUAUCCAUGCUUUAUGUUUCAAGUUAGAACAUGUACUAGCUUUAUGCUUUUCUAUAAUAGAACGGAAGUUUGUUAUAGAUUAGGGUCUUGUUGUGGGAUUACCUCUUCUAUACUUGCUACUAGGAAUAGAGGAAGGGUUGGGGUUUGUUGGCCUGAAUUGCAUGCUUAAUGCCUUUAGCAAAUGUUUAGGUUAUCAAGGAAUUGUGCCUAUCUUUUGGCUUGAGAGGAUUGUCUAUGCGAGGCAUCGAUAGAUGAUUGAUUAGGCUAGAACAUCAAGGAGAGAUUCAGAGUUUUGUGGAUAGAAUAGGUUGAUUAGAACUGAAUUAGUCAAGCAAGAACCCAAGGCAUGCUCACCAUUGUUCUCACACACUUAUAUUUCAAUUGCUUGUUAAUUAGUCACCUAAACAAUCAACCUUAAAACUGAAUUUUACUCGCUUUCUUACCGUGAACUCGAGGCUUAAACUGAAUUCACAUUCCAAUUCCCUGUGGUUCGAUAAAUUAAAACCGGGUAGAUUCUGUACACCCUCAUAAUGACCAACACCUAUCAUUCCAUGGCAAUCCAUAUUAUUUUUUUUCGGCACAACGGAAAAACGGCAAUCCAUAUUCUAAAUUCGUAAAAGCAAUGGAUAAUGUUCUUGAAAUAACACUUUAAAGUGAAAUAAUCAUGUAUUUACUUAAUGCAACUAUUGUUAAAGAGAGUUUGUCCAAGUUUGCUUUUUGUAAUUAGCAACUAUUUAAAAGAAUUAAUUAAAAGUUAUUGUUUUUGUCUGAGGUUUAAAUUGUCUUGAAAUCUUAAGAGGUUAGUCUAGUCGUGCAUGACAAGGUCUUGUACUUGAGCAUCCUAUAAAUUUAUGUAACAAAAACAAAAAUUGCCUUUGAAAGGCAUGUUUUUAAUACAAUUUAUGACACUCAAUUGUAUGAAUGGUUUCACAGAUGAAAUGAUUGAGAUCUAAAAUAUCAUAUAAAUGGAGUUUUAGAAAGUAAUGACGAAUUUCAAUUUUACUAUCUAGGCGAGUUAUAAUAUGCCCAUUGUCUUUUAAAAAGUUUUUCUUGUUAAGUUUGCUGGACGUUUUGCAAUUGAGAGGGUAAGUUAAUAGAAAGACUUUUAAAGGUAUCAUGUAAAGAUCAUAAGUCAUAAUUAUAAAUUUGAAGGUGAUAUGAGAUGAAGUUCUUUUUAUCUAUAAACUAUUUUUAUGUCCCCACCUCAAAGUUCAUCGAUCAAUGAUCUGAUACAAAGAGCACACCCAUGAAAUUAUAUUAUUCAUGCAUCUGAAAUACAAAAGUCAACACUGACAAAUAUGUAGAUGACUAAUAAACAUGAUGUUGUUAAUUUAAUUAUUUAUCAUCAUUAACACUGCAGUCCUAUUUACUGAUCUCAUUACUAAUAAGCUCAAAGCCAUGCUGGGUUCUUCAAAGGAGUAAGAACUGUCUUCCUUUGCAAACUACUUUUCUUUUUCUCUGCCCUAACCAUUCAUCUUGUAUCCAACAAAUAUAAUUGCAGAAUUUAAGAACAAAGAAGCUGAGCAGAUAAAGGCAAGGAUGAAACUUGUCUUCCCCAUGGGAUGAGGUGAAUUUUAAUUCAAUAUGCAUUUUUUUCAAAUCGAAGUUGUUGAUAGAAGGCUCCAUAAAUCUCAAGUGACCUAUCUAAAAUUCAAACUUCAAUGUGUAAAGCUAGAUAAACCUACACUUGGAAGGAUGAAAAACCACAUCAUUUAUUUGCAUAAAUUAAGAGGCUUCCACCAGAAAAAAGAUGGAUGCAUUAGAAAUAAAGCAGUUUACUUGGUCACAUGGAGUAAUACAGUUUCACAACUCAAUCGCUGACAACUUCUGCAAGCACACAAAAGUAAAAUGAGGGAUAUUUCCAGAGACAUGCUCAAAUUCCAGGGGAGAGAUUCUUUCGCAAUUGAUAUAUCUUAUAAAUCAAGAGGGGAUAUGCUCAAUGAUAGAUGUUUCCAAGGACAUGCUCAAUUUCCCGGGGAGAGAUUCUUUCAUAGCUUAUAUGCCUUAGAGAAAGUCUCAGGAGGUGGAUAAGCUGAAACAAUAUAUCAAAAUAGAACGCAGUGAGCAAAGUAAAAGCAUUCUUAUUUGUCCUUCCACUGUACAAAAGCCCCAUUUAGCAACCUAACUUCUACAAUUUAAGUCAACAAACAAAAGAAGAUCAAUAUCGAGAAAUAAAAAGCAUAUGAAUAUCAAAUUAUAGUAAAAGACUGUAAGCGAUUGAUCGGAUGGAUACAUUUUCUUGUUAAAAUUAACUUAUGGCAUAACAGUACUAUGUUGUAUGAGCCUAAGAGAAAAGGAACCAUUCAAAAGAGCAAAGGAAUUAACAUAAAAUGGUAUGGUAAAGUGGUAGUAUACUUUUUUUUUUUAUAAGCAAAGUGGCAGUCUACUUAUCAACAUUACUCAAUUUAUGAUCUUUCUCAUGGGUCUAUCUACUUACUCUAUCUCUUGGCCUUUCUUUUAAUAGAUUUAUCUCCCUUUCCUUCUCUCUAGUUUUAUCUUUCCCCUCAUCCUUCUCCCCAUCUCUAUAGAACCUUUCGUAUUUUGCUUAGAAGAUAAGCCUUGCUAAAUGUUUCCCGGUGAAGCCAUAUUCAGAACGAUGCACAGAAUGUCGUCUCGACAACCUUCACCCAUUUAGCGACUCCAAACCUAGCAGAAUGGAAACGAAUCAACCCUAGCGGAGAACAGAGAAGACGUGUUCUGAAGCAUGACUACUCCCUAGGAUGCAUAAUUGAGCGGGCUGACAACACCAUGGCAAACCAUAUCAGCGGCUCAGGCGGCUGCUCAGCCGUCAUGGCGGAGAAUAUUGAUCGGUGAAAGCAAAAAUAGGUGUGUGGUGAGGGAAAAAAGUGAGGUUUGGGAGUUUAAGAGAGUGUAGCUUGAAACGGUUGGAACGUAAGAGGAGAGGAAGUGUCGCUUGAAAGUUUGAAAUGUAGGAGUGGAGAUGGGAAAGAAACAGACGGUUGUGAUUGCAUAUCUAGAAAAUAAUCAAUGGUUAAGAUUAAUUUAUUCUCAAAUUUACAUAUAUAUCCAUGGAAAAAUAUUCACUCAUGUGCAUUACUGUAUUGAAUGACUGAUUUGCCCUCAAGGCUGCAGAAACUCUACUUUUAUAUAUAUUACUAGUUUUUUUUACCCGAGCGAUGCACGGGGAUAUUCAUUUUUGUUUUUUUUUUUUUUGUAGUUUUUAAAAAUUUGUGCUAUUUUUUUUAAAGAUAUUUUUUAAUCAUAAAUUUGAAAGGUUAUAUUUAUUUGUAUCUUUUUUUUGUUUAUAUAAAUGUUACAUUAUUUAUUUAGCUUUUUAUAUAACGAUUUAAUAGUUUAUUGCAAAUAGUUGGAGUAGGUGAGUUACACAUAUGUGCUAAUGAAAUAUACUGGUUAAAUCCCUCAAAAAAAUUUCAACUAAAAUAAUUAUAUUGAAAAUAAAAUUGGAAAUUAUGAUUCUCUUAAGGAAUUUUCUGAAAUAAAUAGAAAAUAAAUUAGUUCAAUGGGCCAAUUUCAUUUUACUUUGUUUUAUAAUUUUUUUAAGCUUAUAAAAAUCACGGACUUAUAUAAUAACUACAUCGAUGACGAAACUUACAAUUGUUAUUAUCGUAACAUAUUUCCUCAAAAGAAAAACAUAAAAGAAUACUUAUGAGUAUAAUUUGAUUGAAUGGAUUUAUAUAGAUUUUGACUUAUAUAUAAUGAUCCAAAGAACUGAUAUGAUAUUGUAAAAAACUUCUUUAUAAACUACAUUUGAAUUAGUACGGAAGGGUGGAUAGACCGUCCACCCAUUGUCACUACCCACUUCUACUAAGGCUGAGCUUAAUAGGAGUGGUCAUCAUUAUUGUAAAUGAGCAUUUUUAAUCAUGUAGAAUUUAUAACUCCAAAAGAUGCUACAUAUGAUUGGUUAUGUUAAAAUGUCAAUUUCGAAAAAUAUAAACCAACAUAUUUCAACUUGAGGCGCAUCACUUUUUUUUUCAGAAUCUAACAUAUAUGGAGCAUCAUCACCCACAUAUCCACCAAGAUUCAAUGGAACUUUUCCGAAUUGAAGGAUGAGCUCAUAAUUUUUAGCUGGAAAGGGCUAUAAAAAUGUUGAUUGUAAACAUUGUUAAAAAUAAAUAUAAUUCUUCAAAUUGACCAUAAAAUAAAGACAUAGUGAACGAUGCUUACCAUCUAACUUAAGACUGACCAGUAGUUUUAGUGUCAUAACACAUGAAGGUAACUAAUUUUAGGAAAUUAUUUUUUGCACACCCCAUUGUUUUAUUUUACCCAUUCAUUUCUUUUGAAAUUGAAAUCUAAAAAUUAUGAGUUUAGGGUGUGUAAAUAAUAAAAAAUGGGUGUGUGAAAAGCAAUCCCCUUGAUUUUAUAGCACGGAAAACAGCUGUUUCACUUGCUUUUUCAGUAUGGGUUGACACAAAUAGUUAUCCAAAAUUUAUUAUAAUUAUUAAUCAUAAAUUGAAAUGUGAAGAGUUUAUAUUUAACUGUAUAUAUAUUUAUUCAAGGCACUUCACUUUUGUAACUUAUGUCCCUCAAGCUUCACUCAAAUAAUUUAUGAAUUCGUUAAUUAUAUUUAUGUCUUUGAAUGACUUACAUUCUGUAACUGUUAUAUAUUUAUUGGGGGAACUUUAUUUUUGUAACUUAUAUCGUUUUAUUAUCCACUUUCAAAGCUUCACUCAAUAGAUUUAUGAAAUCAUAUUAUCUAUUCCUAGGAGGUUUAAAUAUAUUUUUGGUUACUCUAAAAUUUGGGUUCUUUGAUUUAGACCCCUCUAAAAUUAUAAUUCUUUGGUUUAGGUCCCUUUAAAAUUAUGCCACGUCAGCGUCCGUUAGGUGAUUCAGUUGAUAAUGGAUGAAAGGUGACGACAGGGGCUGAAAAAAAUUACUUAGAAGAGCCUGAAUGUAACACCCCGAUUUCGGUGGCGUCACUUUAGUAACCAAAAGAAAAUAAAAGCGGAAAAACGUGAAUUUUUUUUUUUCGAUAUUUGUUUUCAGUAAAUAAAAGACUUGUCGAAUUUAAAGACGUAUCGACGAAAGAUAAACAAGACUAAUAUACAAUAUAUAUACACUCCCCACAGUAAACAGCAUGCCACGUCACGAGUAACCUCCAGUGAGGGGAAAGUAGUGCCUGUCGGCAAAUAUGUACAACACAAAAUAUAAGGUCAGUAUUCUGAAUACAGUCCUCCAAAAAGAAAGUAGGUCAGCUCAAAACAGCCCGAAGACCUCCUAAUCCGACCAACUCCCUGUGACUCCCGUAAAGAGAACCACACAAAAAGCUAAAGGUCGGGGACCUACCCUGCCCCAAAAUGAGAAAAACUGAAGAUCAGAGCCACGACGCUACUCCUACCCUAAUCCUGACUAGAGGAGUACUACACACCACUCCCAGCUACGCAUCACCAUGAUCGUCGUCUGAAUCUGAAUCCAAGACGAUCAGGUCAAUGACUGCAUCAGUCCUCACAGCGGGUCCCACGGGUACUGUACCCGAUCCCAAAACAGCAGCAGUCGCGACGGUGGGUGAGCUAGACUCAGAUGAAGCCCCUCCUACAGGCAACUCCUCUGAAGGGUCCUCCUCGUCCUCAGGCGAUGGCGGUGGUACUACAACCCCAGGGCCACAGUGCACGCCCGGUGGUAGGUUGAAGCUAACGGUGUGGCGUCUCAAGACUCCAUGCGUCAGGUUUCCCAUUCGGUCGACAUGGUCCUCCAUUAUUCGCCCCGUGUAAAUGGCUCGGUGACCGGCGGGGUCGACCACCCCAAGAGCCCGGGGUGUCCGUGUCCAGCAACUCAAACCUGGUCCCCCUCGAAGGGACGACCAUCUCGAACCAAUCGGCCAUCGACAUCUGACAAAAAGGGCAUACAUAGCCCCCCAUACACAGGUAGCACGCGCAAGGGUCAACUCAAAGAAUUACAUAAUAGUACAUCCAAUAGGCAAAGUUUAAAUAGUAGCCACAUAGGCUUAGUUAUGAAUGAAAACAUUAUAAAUUGUAUAUCCUGUCAACGAAAAUAAAUAACAUUUACUGGCAAUUAACAUAUCUCAAACAAUGUUAACAGGUAACAAAUACAUUCAGCAACUAAAUCAGCAUGAAUGGUGCAUGAAAUGCAAAUGCAAAGGAACAAGAUAAAUCCGGAGGGAUGAGCACCAACGAGUCAGCCCUAACACCAGCCACGGUGGGACCAUUUCUGCUCGGGCGUCUCUUAUACCAAACAAAGUGUAGUCAGAUCAGCAGCAAACCCGCAGGCCUGCCAUUUCCGUCUGCUACCAAGAAUCACCGCAGUGUUCUUAUGUGGAAAUCCGGGUCUUAUGACCAUUUUAGAAUCCACCGAUGUCCGGCAUCCCACCGUGUAUUAACCUCAAAAUGAGUGCAUGAAUGCAACGUGAUUAGCCAAACAACGUCUCCGACCUCACUCGUCACGUGUUCUAGCUAACUUAUUGUCUCUAAAAAGAAUACCCUAAGGUAAAUGUCGAUUCUGCGACAAAAGACAAUAAAUUAUAAAAAGUAACUCAUGAUAAUUUCUCGAAUCAUCCGACUCAUCUCCAUCCGAUGGUCAAAAACUGCUCAGCGAGCAAAAAGUACCAUUGUACUUGGAAACUACCCGUUUCCCGGCUUAUCUUUCAGAUAGCCCAACAACAAAUCAGCUCAUCGAGCGAAAGAGUAUCAACGUACUCGGAAACUUAUUAAUAUCCCCGACUUAUCUUUUAGAUAGUCCAACAACAAAUCAGCUCAUCGAGCGAAAGAGUAUCAACAUACUCGGAAACUCAUUAGUUUCCUCAAAACUUGGACUCGACGACACUUCUCAUUUUUCCAAAACUAAUAUUCAAGUCCUAAGCUCUUAUUUGCAAUUGUGAUCAUUAUUUAAAGAUUCAGAGGUUGUUUAAUGUCUUAUGAAUUUUUCUUGUAAAAUAGUUUCCAUUUAGUUUUGUCUCUAAACUUAUGAGUUCAAAAGAUCCCGUAAUCCCAAGUAAUUCCCAGAGAAGGUCUCGAUCCAUCAAAACAACAACAAGGCCCGAAUCUCUGUUCGUCCCGUCAAACUCUCACAAAAUCUCACGACAAAUUCUGGCAUAACUGCCCGUUAUCCUCACUCUGACGAACAACAUAUAUAUGUGUAUUUGCAUAUUCAAAACAGUACAAUCCAACAGUCAUGGCACAUAUAUCAACACAUUGAGGAAUAACCAUUUAGCACUUAGCAUAUAGGGCAAAUAUCACACAUCCUAGAUUAACCAGGUAGCACAUAGCAUGUGAAUCAACCUCACAACAAUCAAGCAAUAAAAGAUUAUCAAUUGUCAGCCGUAGCCUCAGAAAACGUUUUUCCCAGUCAAACACAAUCAAGUGCAUAAACAGUAAAUCAAGUCGAAAUCGUCGACAACUAAUUCAUUAUCUAGUAUUAAGUGUGUAGCCCUCACCUGUAGGUUUUCCAGCUUGUUCCUCAAUUCUUCCUUCACAAUCUUCCUCGUCGAAUCCACAAAGUUCCUCAAACGAACCUUAGAGCAAAUUCACAGAAAUCAAUCACAAUGAGUCAGAAACUCAGCAAACAAUACGUACUAAGGUUACACGAAACAUUAUAAACUCCGUAGUACGACAAUCUAACGCGUUAAGACAAGUUUUCGAAAAACGAAAUUUCCCCCCCCCCCUUAAUGAGGAGCUCUCGGCCACUUUUCACAAUUAGGUGGGCCGAUUUUUUCUUCGAUCAAACUUGGUUCCUAGGUUAUCAUUAGCCGUAACUAAGACAAAUCUAAGCUCAGAAAAAUUUUCAGAUCAAAAACUGUCGCAGGGGUAUUUUGGUCAUUAUUUUCAGCUCAGAAUUUCAAAACUGGAUUUUCGAAAAACAAAUUGGAUGGGGACGUCACCAACGACGUUUAUGACGACUAAUCCUACUAGCGCUAAGCUAAGUCGUGAAUUUUCAGCUUAAAGAACGAAACUUUGUCCAGAAAUGGGUUUUUCCAACAGAAAUGAAUUCCGGCGACAUUCGGCAAAAUGUAAUCCGCUAAACACGCUCAAGAGCAUGCAGGGAAUAAGUUUAGACACUAAAAUCAGUUUAUUUGGACAGUUUUACAAAAAGCUCAAAACUUUGAGCACAGAAAGACAUAGAGAAAGAUGACAGAAUUGACGAUCAGAAGUGAGAUAUGGUAUCUAUACCUCGAAGUCUUCGAUUAGCAACGAACGGUGCAGCAAUCGGGCAAGAAACGACGAAAAUCUUUUUCUUCCUUCUCCUCCUCCAAGCUCGCGGGUUCAAGAGAGAAAAUGGUGAAGUUUUUGAAUAUUUUUCAUUUUCUCGCUAUUUAUAGGUUUUGGAAAAUUUGGAAAAAUGAAAAUUUCGCGAUUCCGAUUUUUCCUGCGUAUUCCUCGGAGAAUUCUAAGAUAGGUUCUGGCGACAGAAUUCCAGAACUCAAAACAGGUUUCUUGAAAUUUAAUCAAACGAUCAAAAGUCGGUGUAAAUCGGUUUUACCCGAAAAGUUACUUUUUGCAGUUGAUGUCGGAUGAGAAAACUUCGUUCUGAAGAAAGAUUAGAAAUAUCAAGAGAAAUAGGCGAAUGCUUGUGGAAUCUUCGUUGAAGCUCCGAAUAGAAAAAGUCUUCAUCGUCCGUUGGUUUUAGGGUUUUUGAACUAUCAGUGUUUUGGUUUCGGCAAACUUUCGAGUAUUGGAAUUUGACGUUCGUACAUUCCAGGGUUACGUAUCGAAAUGCUUGUUUAUAGACGAAUAAGAGAAGUUCUAACAUUUCUCUGAAGAUUUUUGGAAUUAGCUUCCAUCGUGUCUUAAAGAGUAAAUUAGCUAUUUAUUAGCGUUCUUGACCUAGGUUUAAGCGAAUACUAAUCGUGGUAUAAUCUUUAUCGACUUUGAUACAAUCCUUAGCUUUUUCCUGAACUUUCUCCUUCACAAAUUUAUUCCAUCCACUAAACACUUGUUCAGGUUUUCCUCCACGUUACAUCUAAUUAAUCGUGAAAAGGAAUUUUAUUCGGUUUAUUCCAAACUUAAAAACUUGGGUCUCACACUGAACUAAAGAACCCUGAAUUUAGAUGGACCAAAAACAUAUUUAAGCCUGUCUAGAAAUACUAACAUUUUAGAAGAAUUUAGAGUAAAUUACACUCAAAAUAUUACACUCAGAAUAGGGUAGAUUGUAAUAUUUGAGUAAGUUUGGAGUUUAGUGUCAUAUAAGGAAACCUCAAGAUAGUGCAAUGUAGUUCAAAAAAAAAAGGUGGUGCAAUGUAAUUUAAUCAAGAAUUUAUUUGUUUAUUUGAAUCAUUUGAAACAAAAUAUGUUACUACAUUUUCUUCCAUAAUAAUUGUAACAAAAUAAAGUUCCAUAAUUUGAUAUUGGUUUUAAUUCAAAAUUUUAGUAUUGGAUGGUAAAAAAAAAAUCAAAGAAAAUCUUUUUAAAAUCAAAUAUUUGUGUUUAUUUUAAUUCGAGGAUUUGAUAUAGAUCUUAAAUCUAUAUCUCUAAUUUUUCUUCCUCAAAUAUUAAUUCAUUCUAUUAUUAUUUUUAAAAUUAGUAAUUAAAUUAUUUCAAACAUUUUCACAUUUCUCAUUUUUCUAUCAUUACCACUACAAUAAAAAUAAAGAUGUGAGCGUUAUAUAUUCGUAUUCAGAUUUUAUUAGAACUAUAAUUCAUAAUUCAUUAUAAUUAUUAAUCAUGAAUUGGAACUUCAAGAAUUCUCAUUCAAUAACUGCAGCUUUUUUUUUAUUGAAGGCACUUAAGUUUUGUAACUUAUGCCCCUUUACUAUCUACUUGAAAGCAUCACUCAAAUUCCAUGUGAAUGAUUUUGUAUCGAAUUCCAUGACUCAUAUUAGAUUUAUCAAUUUAUGAUUAGAUUUAUUCAUUCAUUAUUUAUAUUUAUAUGUUUUGAUCCACUAUUACAAUUUGUCAUAUUAACACUAUGCAACAAUUUAUUUGUUUAUUCUAUCCAUUUGAAGCAAAGUAUGUUUUAUUAUAUUUUCAUCUAUAACUGGAACAAAAUAGAGUUCACCUUUUUUUUUAGCUCAUGAGCAUCCCAAAAAAACUAUACAAUUUAAUCUUUAAAUGUCUCAACCCCAUAUCACAAUAAAUUUCACAGCCUUAAGACAAAAUAUCCAAUUUUUCAAUGUAAAAAGGUUCAUAGACCAAAGUAAACUUCAAUUUAUAAAGAACACCCUACCUAUACUCAAUUACCUAAGGACAUGUACAACUGAUUAGUUUUCAUAAACUUCUCUAUGAUAUUCUUCCAUGCAGGAGCACCAACAACAAAUCCUACCAAAACAUGACUUACCUUCUUCAGCAGCCAUACAAAGCUUUGAAUCUAAAGGAACCUUACCGAGAAAGGGUACCCUCAUUUCAUUGCACAUCUUCACUGAUCCACUGCCACUAUUGUCAAAUGCUUCAGUGCAAGCAAUCAAAAUUACCAUUUCUAGUGUUUUUUCUCUCAUGUAAUCCAAAAUCCACCGUGUAACAUCUUUCUCCACACUGUUUUCUGACAACUUCAGAGACUUGAAAUCUGUGAUUGGCUGGAAUAGCCCACUCAUAUUCUCAAUCUUCAUACUCUUUAGGGUCUUUGAGCUGGUACUGCCAGCAACACUUCCAUGAUCCUAUCUAAUUUUCCCUUAGAAGAAAUGAAAUUCACUUAUUCUAAUGCAACAUCCAAGAAUAAUUUAUCUGCAAGUUCAUCGUCUUCACCCUCUUAGCAGCAGAAAACUGAUUGUGGCCCAAAGAAUAUAACAGGAAUCCUAGUAAGUCCUCCACUGUUAUUCUUCAAGAUCUUCAAGUUAAAAAAGCUCCAAAAUCAAACUGGAACCCUUCCACAAAACCCCAUUUAACAGAGGUAUUGAUUCCAACAGAGGGACCAACCCAAUUGCUCAAACAUCCACCAUUCCACCCAACAGCAAAAUGAUAAGGAAAGGUUGAAGAAAUAUUCACAAUAAAAACUUAAUGACUGAAGGAGAGAUUUUAAAAAAGAAUCUUGUGCAUACCUCAUUACAAUCCUUAGGUUCCUCUAUGGUUUUCCGUUGGUGCAUGAUAAAAAAUCCUCCUCCAAUGUGUACAUAGUACGUUCAGUAGAUGUACAUACAUUCCAACUUCACUACAUGUUCCAACUUCACAUAAGCUCUUUUGUUCUCUUUGGUAAUAUUAUUGUGUCCAUGAUUUUCAAUGCAUAUACAGUUCUCGUGUCCUCCUUCUUUGCCCUUAAAACCUAUCAACAUAAUAAGUAAAAUAUUGGUCAACAAUUGUCCAGUAAAAAAGAAUAUGAAUCACAAUUAAAGAAUAAGAAUUUAACGAAUCACGGUAUCAUAUGAAAAGAAGAUAGAGAAGAAAUCACAAAGAGAAGUAACCCAGAGGAAAAUAAAUUAUUGAGAAAAUAUACCCAAGGUUAUGUACACAGGCAAAAUGUGUCUUGCAAUGUACUAAAAUGUAGCCUCACUGUUCUGGGAAUGAACAUUGAAGAUAGGGAUAGUACCUAGAGAGUGGAAGAAUGUGCUAGAGAGAGAAUGAGAAUGAGAGAGAGCGCUGAAUUUUGUAUACUCUUUAUUAAAUGAGCUAAAAGUCCCUUACAAUUGAUGUUCACCUCCUAUUUAUAGAACUUGGGUACUACCUAUUGGGCCAAUUGGGCCUCUGAAGUUGAGGCCCAACUAGAGGCCAGGCUCUCGCUCUUGGGCGGGACGAACCCUGGGCGUCGCCCCUCUAGGGGCUCGCCCAGUCCACUAGUCCACAAGACACCGAGCUCGAAGUAUGAGAGCUAAGUGUGUCUUUUAAAUGCUUUUACAUGCAUCCUAUGGUGUGCUGGAAUCUAAGCUGCCAACAUGGCUUAAGGACAAAAGAAGAAAACUACACCGCCGACAUGGCGUAAGCGAAAGGAAACAAGCAUCUUUAAUCGCCCAGUCCACUGGUCUUGGCGAGCAACCCAAACCGGCAAGUCCACAAGUUCACUGGCGGCGGGAACGAUUGCUUUGUACUGACGAUUAGUUGGAGUAGGCGAACGUCUUUCGUUCGGCGAGCCAGGUGACAGGUGUUAGUCAUGUACUGAUCAUCCAAGUGUUGGCUGGCGAUGCCCCUGGCGGGCGGCUAAACUUUACUGGCGACAUCGUUUGUUAGGCGAUGGCAUUUAGUCUUUAUGGCGGCGAGGCCUUUCGCGCUUUCCCUUGUUUCAAAAACCUUUCAAAUCUCUAACUGCCCCAUGUGAUACGUCAGUUACGUCAGUUUUCCCCUUUCUCCGCAACCGUCACCUCACUCCUCAUAACUGUCCAAUCAUGCGCAGUAACUCCCCAUCACACGCGACCCACUUCCCAAAAACCAUCAUGACCUCCAGCCUUCCACACGCGUCCACCACGCGUCACCUCUCCAACUUCCCCCCCUUGCCUAUAAAAACCCUUUUCCCCUACAAUCAUCCCUUUCCGAAACCUCUCUUUACCUCUCUUAUCGCUUACCAAGCUCCCUCUUCCAACUUCCGCUCUGGUGCCGUCGCCUUUCACCCUUUCCGCUACCCACUCUUCACGUCCUUACCCGGUGAGUCCUUGUUCCCUUAUCUCUGCAUCUUAUCUCUACUUAUCUUUCCUUUUCCCUUACUUAGUUGUCAAAAAUGGCUUCAAACCCUAACUCCCCUAAUCACACCACCUCUUCUUCUGAGAAUGACCCCGACUCUACCGCAGCCGGCGGCCUCCGUCUAGAGGUCCCGGAGAUUCCCCAGUACCGAACGAAAACCUUUGCAACCCUGCCCCUUCCAGUCCAGAUAGCACCCUCCCACGAAGCGAUAGACCAACCCUCCGUUUUCCAGGAUAGGGAGCCUAUCGUGGAAUUCGUGAGCAGCCUUGGUGGUUUAUCUGACGAUGAUGAAAUAAAUGACAAACUCAGGAUUUGGCCCUGCAGUGCUGAGGACCGCCCCUAGCUUCAUAGGGCCAACGACGAUGUGAAAAGAUCCCAUUUUUUCUUUGUUUAUGAGUAUAUGUUUGGCGAGCUUGGAGUCAGGCUUCCUUUCUCGCCCUUCGUUCAAACCGUCCUCCGCGAUAUUAAUGCGGCUCCUUGUCAACUCCAUCCCAACGCCUGGGCCUUCAUCCGGUGCUUCGAGAUCUUGUGCGCCGCUGUUGGCACCGCCCCAUCUCCCACCAGCUUCUUCUACCUCUACGAUGUUGACCCCAAGUCCAUCAAAAAUAAAGGAUGGAUCUCCCUAAAGGCCCGAGCCGGCCGUAAGUGCCUGAAACCUCAUAAGAGUAACGCGAAGUCCUCCUUCGCACGACGAUAUUUCCGCGUGGCGGUUCACCCCGCCUAUCCCGAGGCUUUCACCCUUAGGGACGGGACUGCCCUUUCUCUCAAUGACAAAGCCUUUUUGAAUCUCCUCGCCCCGCUUCCUAUCCUUGACUGCUCGACAAUCCUUGAUGGCGCUCGCCUCUCAAGGACACCCAAAUACUUAGGUCACAUAAUUUAUUUUCACCAUCGCCAUUUCUCUUCUCACCCCUUAUGUUGCUACUGACCCUCUUUUUUUUUGUUUAUUGUUGCAGAAGAUAUGAACUUCACCAACGCCGAGCUCUUGAAAGCCCGUGAGAGGAAAAUGGCCCGCUUUUCCCCGAAGUUCAACACUGAGGGCGACGGGAAAAAACGGGGCGGUGUUGAGAACCAAGCCGAGGGCGCUCAGGCCCCCAAGAGGAGGAGAUUAGUCAAAGGCUCCUCCGCCAGCUCUUCCAACCCCGACGCUCAACCCACCGCCGCCGCUGUGACCAAAGGCAAGAAAGCUGCCACCACCGCUGCCAUUGCAAGCUCCAAGUCUCCAACUGACGGGACGAGCCAACUCCCUGCCGCCGAAGCUUCCGCCGCCGCGGCCACUGAGCCUGUCACUGUCACAGCCCUCGAUUCUGCUGCCGCUGGUACAGCCACCGGUGCCGCCACCGGUGCCGCCUCCAAAUCUGCCAAUAUAGGCGGCACAACAACAACCGCUGACCAGUCGUCGACUGCUGGCAUAAGCGCAGCGGCUGCCGCCACAUGCUCCAAUGCUGCCGCCGGGGAGAAAGAAAGAGAAACAGAAAAAGAAAACCCAAAGUCUCCCCCGCGCCAAGUCACACCUCCUAGCCCGCCUCCCACGAACGAUGAGCGUUCCUUGUCUCCCCCGCCUCGCCAAGAAGAAAGACCCUCUCCCGAUGCCGCCACUACUUUCGAGGCAGCCCGGAUUGAGCAAGCCCCUGGUAACAGAGGUGGUUCUUCUGGCCACUUCAACAUGCUACCCAAUGCUAUUGAGCCCUCAGAGUUCUUGCUCACUGGCCUCAACCGCGACGUCAUAGAAAAAGAAGUGUUGAGCCGAGGCAUUAACGAGACCAAGGAGGAGACCCUUGCCUGUCUUCUACGCGCUGGGUGCAUCUUCGCCCACGCGUUUGACAACUUCAACUCCGCAGCUGCUGAAGCUGAACGGUUGAAGGCUGAGAGUGCUCAGCACCAAGAACCCGCUGCUGCUUGGGAAAAGCGCUUCGACAAACUGGUGGCGCAGGCGGGAAAGGAGAAAGUUCAUGCCGACAAGUUGAUUGGCGCGGCGGGAAACAGGAUCGGCGAGCUGGAAGACCAUCUGAAGCUGAUGAAGGAAGAGGCGGACGGCCUUGAUGCAAGCCUCCAAGCUUGUAAAAAAGAAAAAGAUCAAGUAGAGAAGGACUUGGCCGCCGAAGGCGAGGCGCUGGCUGCCAAGGAGUUAGAGCUUGAAACAUUGGGCGCUGAACUGGAGCUAGCAAAGAAGGCGCUGGCGGAGCAGGAGAAAAAGUCUGCUGAGUCUUUGGCUUUGGUGAAGGCAGAUCUGGAGGCGAUGCGGGCUACUUCUGAAGAGAUCAAGAAGGCGAACGAGGCUCAUGGGGCAACCCUCGUCACGAAAGAUGCUGAGAUUACUUCCCUUCUUGCGAGGAUCAAAGAGCUAGAGGGCGAGCUAUCAGCGGAGAAAGCCAAAGCCACUGAGGCGAGGGAACAAGCCGCCGACAUUGCCUAUGACAGUCGCGAACGGGGCUUUUACCUCGCCAAGGACCAGGCUCAACACUUGUUCCCGAAUCUUGAUUUUAGCGCCAUGGGAGUAAUGAAAGAAAUCACUGCUGAAGGAUUGGUUGGUCCUGAUGAUCCUCCUUUGAUUGACCAAAACCUCUGGGCCGCAACUGAAGAAGAAGAAGAAGAAGAAAUAGGAGAAGAAGAAAGAAAUGAUGAAUAGUGUAAUUUUAAUUUUUACCUAACCUUUACCGCCAUUGCUUUCACAUCGCCUUUAUAUUGAAUGAUUGUUAGGUUUAGGUGAUUGUUGAAUGAUUGUUCUCGCCGUAAACCCUUUUGUUCGUUACUUCGCGAAUCGCCGCAUUCUUAUUGUUAAAAAAUUUAAGAAUGAAUUUCAUAGUUAAACGCCCCGACGUACCGGAGUAAUAAAAUACCCAACAUCCUGAGUGACUAAGCACUUGUUUUCCGCCUUAUUCAUUCGCCGACCUUAUAUCUUGCGCUACUUUUCACGCGUCAUGUGAUUGAAUUACGCCUAACGAUUUCGUGCGUUAAUUUUAACUAGGGCUUGUUGCUUGGCAUUUCUCCGUCAAGACUUUAAACAUUUUCCACAAAGGGAUAAAUGGCCUCCAUUCUUGAGGGCUUCGCCCGGGGCUUUGCCCGCUCGGGGCUUACAAUGCUUGGGUCCCAAUGGCCAUUUGGGGGUCCCAAGACUUUUGCCUAGUUAACGGCGCUCGUCGUAUUCUGGCGAGACUUACCCAGCACAUCGUUUACGGGACCGGCGAUCACAUCAGAUUUUCCGGGGGGAGAUUCCCAGGCGUCCAAGGCCAUUUGUGGAAUCGCCGCCACCUUCAGGGUUCCAGCAAGCCCCUUUGGGGAUCAAGCCUGUCCCACCUAGUGAUCGCCGUAAUUCUUUACAUCGAUCGGCAAUUCCGAUCAUCAGGGGAUCCCUGGAAUCUUUGGACAUGAAUUUCAUGAAUUUUCGUUUUAUUUGAUGGAGCGCCUCGUUAAAAAACUCCUUUCGGAGAAAAAGAGCACGCUUUUAUCAUGGCAAUACAUUGGAGAGUUUGGAGAUAUUUUUUAGAGAAAUUAAAGACAUCUGACUUUGGAGAAUUCAUCUUGGUCAUCAGAAGUUCUUCCUUGGAGCUUUCCACCUUUCCAGCUUUCUCGUCCACGAUCAACUGUAAUAAUAGCGUAGGCUCAAACCAUUGAAUGACCUGGGUAGUGGCCUCCCAUCAAGCUCUUCCAAGUGAUAGGCCCCUGUACCCAAAACUUUGACAAUGCGGUAGGGACCUUCCCAAUUCGGAGUCAGCUUGUUUCUCGGGGCUCCUGAUCGCCACUUGAGGACCAGAUCGCCAACUUGCAUAUCUCGGACGCGAACCCUGCUAUUGUACUUGGCGGCCACGCGCUGCUUCAUCGCAGUUUCUCGAAUGUGCGCCUCGUCACGCGUUUCAGACAAAAGAUCCAACUCCAUCGCCAUAUUGGCUUGAUUCUCCCCUUCGAAAUCCGGCUGAGUCCGCCAUGUGAAAUUGUCAAUCUCCACCGGCAACAUGGCAUCUACCCCAUAGGUCAUUCUAAAGGGGGUUUCUCUUGUAGUAGAUUGCACAGUGGUGUUGUACGACCAUAGUACCACUGGGAGUUCAUCCAGCUAGGCACCCUUAGCUUCCUCAAGCCGUCGCCUUAAUCCACGCAGAAUUACCCUGUUUGCGGAUUCUACUUGCCCGUUCGUUUGCGGAUGCUCCACAGAUACGAACCUCAUCUGUAUACCCAUUUCCUUGCAAAAUUCCCUUGUUUGGUUGCUUGAAAACUGGGUCCCGUUGUCGGAUACGAUCGCCCUUGGGAUCUAGAAUCUGCAAACAAUACGCUUCCAGUAAAAGUUGACUAUUUUUGCAGAGGUUAUUUUGGCCAGGGGCUCGGCUUCAAUCCAUUUAGUGAAGUAGUCCACCGCUACUAAUAUAAACUUCAUUUGCGACCUGGCGGUCGGAAAAGGUCCUACUAAGUCCACACCCCACAUGGCGAAAGGCCAUGGGGCGCUCAUCGUUACCAGCUCUUUUGGCGGUGCCUUAGACAAAUCCGCAAACACUUGACAUUUUUUACACCGCUUCACAAAGUCCAUACAAUCCUUCCUGAGGGUGGGCCAGUAGAAGCCCGCCCUUAACACCUUGCAGGCCAAAGACCUCCCCCCGAUGUGGCUUGCACACACUCCUUCAUGCACCUCAGACAUUAUUGCCUCGUAUUUCUCUGGCGGUACGCAUUUUAACAAUGGCGUCGAAAAACCACGGCGAUACAAGUGUCCGUCAAUGAGAGUAUAGUGGCUCGCCUCUCGCCGUUGCUCCUUCGUGCAUUGCUCCACUUCCGCCGGGUCCCCCGCCAAGAUAGAUAAUAUGGGUCCCAUCCACGUCGCCCCUCUGUUCACACAUGCCAUGAGCUCGCCUUCAAUGCUGGGGCACGCUAGCGUUUCCUGAAUCACACUUUUGUUGUUGCCGGGCUUCCGUGUGCUCGCCAAUUUGGCCAACGCGUCCGCCCGCUGGUUUUCUGCCCGAGGAACAUACUCUACCACCACUUCUUGAAAAAGUGUCAUCAAAUAUCGCACUCGCUCAAGGUAUUUGAUAAGAUUGGGAUCCUUGACCUGGAAAGUUCCCUUCACUUGAUUCUCUACCAACUGCGAGUCUGUUCUUAUCAACAACCUUCCGAUCUUUACUUCACGCGCCAACUUCAAACCGGCGAUGAGAGCUUCAUAUUCUGCCUGGUUGUUUGUUGCCUUGAACUCGAAUUUCAGCGAUUGCUCCAAUACUAGAUCUCCUGGUCCUUCCAAUGUUACUCCCGCGCCACUGCCACUGCUAUUGGAGGAUCCAUCUACAAAGAGAGUCCACUGAGUGUCCACUCUUUCAAACCGGUCUGGGGUCAACUCCACCACAAAAUCAGCCAGUGACUGUGCGCCAACCGUGCCUCGCUUAUCAUAUUGCAACCCAUAUUCAGAUAAUUCAACCGACCAGGCGACCAAUCUACCUGACAAAUCCGGUUUUUGUAACACUUGUCUCAGAGGCAAAUCCGUCCGCACCUUCACUGGAAAACUCUGAAAAUAAGGUCUCAACCGCCGGGCGGUGACAAGGACCGCCAGUGCCGCCUUCUCAAUUUUCUGGUAUCUGACCUCUGCGCCCUGGAGUGUGUGGCUAACAAAAUAAACAAUUCGAUGCUCGCAAUCUAUUUCCUGCAGUAUCACAGAACUCAGAGCACUAUCACUCACAGCAAAAUACAAGUGCAGCGGGUGUCCCUGUAUUGGUUUUGACAAGAUUGGCGGUGACGACAUGAGUUCCUUGAGGCGAACAAAAGCUUCUUCACACUCCGCCGUCCACUCAAAUGCAACAUUUUUUCGAAGACACUUGAAAAAAGGGAAAGAUCUAUCACCAGACUUAGGAAGAAAUCGAGAUAAAGCUGCUAUUCGCCCUGUUAAACGUUGGACUUCUUUCACAUUAGAGGGGCUUUUCAUCUGCUGAAUUGCCUUGCAUUUGUCUGGGUUUAUCUCUAUUCCUCUGGAUGUGAUCAUGAAUCCUAAAAACUUGCCGCCCUGAACACCAAAAGAGCAUUUCUCCGGGUUGAGGCGCAUAUUGUGCUUCCGUAUCUCGCCAAAUGCUUCUUCCAGAUCUUGAUGAUGGUCCAAACCACGUACUGAUUUAACGAUCAUAUCAUCAACAUAAACUUCCAUGUUUCUUCCCACCUGUCCAGCAAAAACCCUAUCCAUCAAUCUUUGGUAGGUCGCCCCAGCAUUCUUUAAUCCAAACGGCAUGGUGCGAUAGCAAUAGUUGACUCUGGCGGUCAUGAAAGCCGUUUUGUCCUCGUCUGCCGGGUGCAUGCGGAUUUGAUGAUAACCAGAAUAAGCAUCCAUCAAACUAAGCAGUUCGUUGCCCGAUGCACCAUCAACGAGACCAUCAAUGCUGGGAAGGGGAUACGAAUCCUUUGGGCAUGCCUUGUUUAAGUCUGUGUAAUCCACGGACAUUCGCCAUUUUCCAUUCGCCUUCUUCACCAUCACGACGCUCGCCAACCACGUCGGAUAUUUCACUUCCCUGAUGAAUUCUGCCGCCAGCAACUUGUCAACUUCCUGUUGAACCGCUUUUCCCUUGUCUCCGCCCAAGCGCCGCCUGAGUUGUGAAACUGGCUUGACACUUGGAUUCAAUGCUAAUCGAUGGCAGAUGAAGUUUGGAUCUAUUCCGGGCAUGUCCUUGCAGCUCCAAGCAAACAAAUCUAAGUUCUCGCCUAGCAACUUUGUCAGGCGCGUCUCCUGCUCGUCCGUCAAUCUGGUCCCAAUCUUCAAAGUGCGAUCGCCAAACUUUAGCGCCUUUGUUUCCUCAAUUGGCGUGGGUCUGUUCACUCGCCCCUCGCCACGUGGGUCAAGAUUUUCAUCCGAAGUUUCAAUUUCAUAACAUCUGUGCCCAACCAACGCACUCUUCUUGCCAUACAGGUUGAGGCAAUUAUUAUAACAUUCCCUCGCCAAUUUCUGGUCAACCUUCAGUUUCCCAACCUUGUCGUUGCUUAGUGGAUACUUGACCGCCAAGUGGGAUGUUGAAAUUACAGCACAGAGGCGAUUCAAUGUAUUUCGCCCAAUGAUGACAUUAUAAGAUGCCACCACCUGGAGGACCAGAUACCUUACCUUCAAAACUUUUGCACACUCAUCUUCCCCAAAUAUUGUGCCCAGAUCAAUGAAUCCUCGCACCAUUACUUGCUCUCCUGCAAAACCCACCAAGGUUCCCGCAUAUGGAGUCAGAUCAUUGUCAGUCAAUCCCAACUUGUCAAAUGCGUCACCAUAGAUAAUAUCAGCCGAACUACCCUGAUCCAGGAGUACCCUUCUAACGUUGAAACUAUUCAACCUUAAUUGCACUACUAUUGGGUCAUCCUUGUGAGGCUUUAUCCCCUCAAAGUCUGCCAUCAAGAUUGUUAUGUCAGGGUGCACAAAUCCGAAAGCAACUUCAUGAACUGAAUUAACUGCACGAACAUGGCGUUUCCGCGCCGCAUGGGUGUCGCCACCACCGCCAAAUCCUCCAGCGAUGGUGUUUAUGGUCCCUACGGGCGGUCCUGAGUGUUGAGCGAACGUGUCAUCAGCCCCUUUUGUGGCGAUAGCCGCUGAUUCUUGCUUCUUCUUGCCCUUAUUGUCCGUUCGCUCCUCCUCUCGCUUAUCCGUUUUGUUGUGAUCGCCGUUGUUGCGCCACUGGCCUUGGCGAUUUCCUCGAUAUCCCGCCCGAAUCAACUUAUCAAUCUCCCGCAGCAAAGUCCAGCAGUCGUCCGUGUCGUGCCUGACGGACCGAUGGUAUUCACACCACUUCUUGGGAUUGGCGUCCCGUGGUUGAUACUUCGGGGCCUCUGGCUCAUCCACUAGAUUUGCGCCCCUCGCCUCGCGGAGCAUAUCCGUUAAAUCUGUGUUCAUCACCAUGUCCGCCUCCUCCCGCUGGCGAUGAGACUUAGAUUGCCAAGGCCGGCGUUGUUCAUAAUCAUCACGCCGUGGAUACAACUGCUCCUUGGUCGGCUUCAAUACCGCCUUCCCUUUAUCUUGCCUUUGCUGCUUGCCAUCCCCCUUAUCUUCGCCAUUCUUAUCUUUUUUCGCGCGCUUGGGUGACGUGUCGCGUUUUUCCAGUUUCGCGCGCUUUCUUUUGAAAGCAUCGUCCUCCUCGUCAAGAAUAUAAGUGCUAGCGCGAGCACGCAUCUCUUCCAUCGAACGUGCCGGCUUGCGUGUCAACUUGCUGUUCAACCCUCCCGGUAACAAACCAUUCUUGAAUGCUAGAGCACAGGCUCGAGGCUCCUCGUCCUCUACCUUGACCGAUGCAGCGCUGGACCUUGCCAUGUACUCCUUCAGUGACUCUCCUUCUUGCUGGCGAAUGUUGUAUAGGUCAUUGAUCGUCACCGGCUGAUUCUUAUUCGCCGAGAAUUGCACUAGAAACUUGGAUGAGAAGUCUCUGAAAUUCGAAAUCGAUCCGCGCGGCAAAGUUGUGAACCAUGCCAUCGCCGUCGAUUUGAACGUCGAUGGAAACAUCCUGCACUUCACCGCAUCUGAUGCCGCAAUUAUCACCAUCUUCGUGUUGAAAUACAGAAGAUGAUCCUUCGGAUCAAAAUCUCCACUGUAAGAAUCCAGAACUAACGUUUUCAUAUUAUCUGGAAUCGCCACACUCUCAACGUCCUCCGAGAACAGACGGAACUCAGCUACGGAAUCCGCUUCUCUGCCUCCAUCAUCUUGUUGCUCGCGGCGGUAGAAAUCCAACUGAGCUUGUAAAUGCUCAUUCCGCUGCUGGAUGUCACCAAUGCUGCGCAUCAUACGGCGCCAUUCCUCCUGCGUCACAGCCGGUUGUCGCUCCGGAGUAGGUGAAUUCUCCAGUGAGCGUUCCGGAGAUCCGAUCUGCGAAGGCGAUGGAGGAGGUGGUGGUGAUGGAGGAGGAGAAGGCGGCAAAGAAGUACGCGUAGCCUGUACUCCCGCUGUUCGCAUCGGAGAAUCUAAAACAACUCGCUGAGGCCGCCGAGGCGGCGAGGUUCGCCGUCGCACCGGCGAAUGAUGCUGCUUCCUGCGUCGAGUCUCCAUCUAAACCAGGAAUGACACAAACUCGAUCGUAAAACAAGCACCGAUCACAGAAUCAAACCAAGAAAAACUUUAGAAUCACCGAAUCGUAACCAGAAAUCGCCUCUUUGCACAAUCAGUCCACGUGAAUGGGAAUAGAAAGUUUAUCGUUCCCCACAUACGGCGCCAAAUGUUCUGGGAAUGAACAUUGAAGAUAGGGAUAGUACCUAGAGAGUGGAAGAAUGUGCUAGAGAGAGAAUGAGAAUGAGAGAGAGCGCUGAAUUUCGUAUACUCUUUAUUAAAUGAGCUAAAAGUCCCUUACAAUUGAUGUUCACCUCCUAUUUAUAGAACUUGGGUACUACCUAUUGGGCCAAUUGGGCCUCUGAAGUUGAGGCCCAGCUUGAGGCCAGGCUCUCGCCCUUGGGCGGGACGAACCCUGGGCGUCGCCCCUCUAGGGGCUCGCCCAGUCCACUCACAAUGCCAGAAUGAUCUAAAUGACUAAGACUAUGCAUUCCUCAACAAUUGUCCAGUAUAAAAAAAAGACAUGAAACAGUAAAAAUUACAAAAACAAUUUCCUUCAACGUCUUAAGUUUUUGUGCAUAGGCAGCCAAAGAAGUUGGGCGAAGAACGAAAACGAAUCAUAAAUCAAGCAAGACAGAACAGGGAAUGCAAGUGCAAGAGCUAGAGGGUCAUGAAUUCCAUAACACUGAAAAAAUAGGGAACUCUAUAUUCUGUACAGAAAGUAUGAGAGGCUGAAAAAUUAAUCACCAAGAAAGAAGGUUAUGAAUUGGGUUGCGACCUAACCUCUGGGUUGUCCUAUUCUUAAUGCUGUCAUAGGAGGCUCCGCUGAUACCUAUUCGAACCAAUUACACACAAAAGUACUAAAAUUAGCACAUAUAGAGAGGUCGAAGGAAGUGAAACAGGAGAGAGAUCCAAAUCCAAAGAGAGAUUGAAUUAUGUGAUUCAAGAUGUAAAUGAUCCAAAUCUGAAAUGAGCACAAAGAGGUAUUAGGGAAUGAAAUUGGGGAGUUUGAAGGGAACUAAAAUUGAAAUAAGAGAAAUUGAGAGAUUGAUGUUUCAGCACAGACACUAAAGUUACCAAAAAAAAACAAUGUAUUCAACCUGACCACCGCCAGAGUAGACGAAAUUUCAUCAAAGAAUCAUAUGCAAUGCAAUUUCACAUACCUAAGACCAAUUUGAUAUAAAUCUGGGAUUCAUCUUGUGAACAAAAACUCUAGCGAUUAAAGCAUGUAGUCUCCGGAAUUUGAGAAAAGACGCCGCAAUGUGGACUUCGAUUACAUGGCCAUCUUGGUGAAAAUUGAAAAACCUAGAAAUCUCACAAAGAGGUGCAGGAAGAGACACGUCCUUCCAAUGCUGCUCCAUUAUAGCAAAUACUCUCUCCAUUCCCAGGCUUACACCAACCGCUGGAACUUGAUCUGAACCUAAUACCCCAACAUGUGUUCUCAUAUCAGUCACCACCAACAAUUGAACCAACUUGUAUAAAAAUCAUAAAUCCAUGCUUUAUUGGUAUACAUAAAGCUUAAUUUUGCUAUUCAAAUACUUCAUCAUACUCACCCACAAAAGGGAAACCGGAAGAGGUGAAUGGAACGGCGGCGCCUUUAGAAAUGAAGAGGUGGUAGAACGGUUCUGAAGCCUUGAUGCAUCUCCGACACAUGGGGGUUUCAUGGAGCCCUAAUUCCCAAUUUCAAAUUUCAGAAAUGAGAAGGAUGUGAAAUCAGAAAAAAUGCGGAUGAGGCAAAUCCAGAAGAAGAAAGAAUGGAUGUAUGGGGGGAGAACGAAUCCCAGAUGUGAGAAAGAGAAACAAACCUGAAAAAUUGCAGAAAGCCUCACUCCCAAAUCUGUCAAUUUCGGACCCUCCAGAAUCUCCAUGACUCGCGCCUUCUUAGUCCUCCCAGUUCUGCAAAAGUUACGAAUCAGGCAAGUGCAAGCAAUAACAUCAGGUAUAUCGCCUUGGUAGGUCAUUCGCUGCAAAAUCUAAAACAUCCUACAAAAGAAUGUGAAUCCUUGACUGAAGCAGAUAUGGGCAGAUACAUGAAAUUCUCAGAGGAAGGUUUUAAAUGAUUUUGAAACCCUAGAGAAACGGCUCAAAGAAGGAGAAAAGGAACGAAGGUAAUGUGAAAGGGGAAGCGUUUCUAUUUUUUUUAAACUGAAAAGCGUUUCAAAUUGAAUGAAAGAAGGAGUCAAACUGAUACAAUUGUGAAUCAAUGGCUGAGAUCAAAUCUGAGUGAAAUAAAAUGUUUUUUUACAAAAAUAUCCAUGCUCAGCUUUCAUAGUUUUUGGAAUAAAUUGUUGAAGGACUUUUUUGCCCUCAAGGCUGCAGAAACUCUGCUUUUAUAUAUAUUAUAGAUAGAUAGAUUUUAGAUUAUAGAUAGAUUAUAGAUUAUAGAUAGAUAGAUAGAUUAUAUAAUUUAUUUAAUUUUUAAUUAAAUUCAUAAUUAUUUUGUAACAAAAAAAUCAUAAUGUUACUGUUUGUAGUUCAUUUCAAAGCUACACCAUUGUGUGUGUGUAUAUAUAUAUAUAUAUAUAUAUAAAAGUAGUGUUUGGCCUGAUUUACUUUGAACUUAAAAGUAACUUUUAAGCUAAAAAUAAAAAUAAGAUCUUUUUUAAAAACUUAAAAGUUGUUUGACAGUUUUGAUAUUUUUAUAACUUAAAAGAGGCUUUUAAGUUAAAAAAGUGUUUGGUAAAUAAUUUUUCAAAAAAAAAUUAUUUUAUUUAAAACGAGUAAAUAUGAAACAAUCUUCAUUAGUUUCUUUUAGCCCUAAUAGUGCGAACCAACAUGUAUCCUCUAUGCCUCUUAUUAGAAUUGAAAACCUCUCUUCCUGAUUUCAAAAUUUUAAAAUAAAACCUCUAUUCUUCUAGUUAGAAUUGAAAAAAUGAACUUCAAUUACAACAAGGACUUAAGAAAAAUCUAAAGAAACAAAAUCUAAAUUAAUGACAGCUUCAAUUGGAGCAUGUCAAGGUGGCAAUUCAUAAAAAACCCAGAAAAAUACAUUCAAAGGGAAGGGAGAGUGCGAGAAAUUGGAUUUCCCACUCCAAGUAUUAGAUUUGCCACCCAGCAUUUUUUAAAAAAUGCUAGGAGUACCCUUCGGACCAUAAUCUUCCGAAAUAUGUUAUGUUCGUAAGAUAAAUUUCCGAAACCCGCAAUAUUUCAGAACAUUAAUUCCCGAAACUAUUAUUCACAGCAAACGUUGGUUUUUUAAGAUUAUAAUCCAUAUUUCGGAUCAUUAAGAUCCGAAACCAAUCAAAAGUAGAUUUAACAGAUUUACCACCUCAUUUUCUUCAGUUUCGGUAGAUAAACUUCCGAACCUGUUUAACAGAUGCACACACAGUAGCAGAAACACGAACCAGAAACACCUCAAUGAGAAGCAAUGAAGAUACACAAAUAAAGCAAUUGAACCACAUUAUGAAUCAAAACACCUUAAAUUAAUAAUUAGAGGUCUUAAACAUAGUCUUGAACAUAGGAAAAUUUACAUAAAUCUCAUUCAUUGACACCAAUUUACAAACAUCAAUCAUUAGUCUAUUGUGAUGUCUAUGUAGUCAUUCACACUUGGAACACGAGGACCACCAAUAGCAGCCCUCCAAGCAGUGUGUUCAAGCGUAAAUCUGGCCAUACGGUCUUGAUACGGGUUAAUCCAUUCGGUCGUGGGUGGUAGGACGUUGUAUGGCCAUUGGGGAGCAAUAUACGGAAUAGGAUGUCCAUGCAACAACUUCAGCUACAUUUGAGAGAGUAUAACAAUAAAAUUAGAUAACUAACAUAAAUUAUCUAGCAAUAAAAAUAAAUUAGUGUACAUAACAAAAGAUAUACCUGUACAAAGUGGUUGGGCACAUGACCAACAGCUAUAACUGUGUGUACCUCUGGUGGGGCGCCUAUCAAUGGAAGGUAAGUGUAACUUGAUUUUUCCGAAAUGGAGAUAAAUACCACCUGAAACCUUGUAGCAAUGAGAUACCCCAUCUUCGGUAAGUGCAUCCAUUUGUCGUCAGUGGCCAUCUGAUCAUGAGGGAGGGUGAGACGAAAGUGUAAGGCCUGAACUAUAUCAAAACCCCACAUGCCCCCCCAACAACCGCACGCAGGUCUCAGCCAUCUCAAGUCUACUAAGGGCUGCCGGAGUAUAGAACCUCCCACUGGUCGGGAGAUGAAGAAGGGCCGACACGUCGUCCAGGGUGACAGUCAUCUCCCCGAACGACAUAUGGAAGCUGCUGGUCUCCUCGUGCCACCUCUCCACAAGGGCCGAGACAAGUCCAGAGUCUGUCUCCUGAUAACUGGACCUGACGAGAUGAAGCAGUCCGGUCGCCUCCACAAGUGUCAGUACAUCCCUAUGAGCAUCGCCCUCCAAUGGCAUAUUCGCCAGCUUUAACCCAACAUUGGACACCUUCAACUCAAGUCGGUCCUCAUAACGAUCGUCAGUGGUGCCUAAACUGGAAUGCCACGUCCACGACGCUAUGUGGUCCGGGUAACGGUGUAAGAGAGACAGCUCAAGCGGCCCGCCAGCAAACGGUGGCUGUUUGUGGAUCGUCAGCGUCGUCUUAACCUGGGGAGCCUCCACCUCUACAGCAACAUCCUCUGACUCGCUACCACUGUCAGACAUAGACUCACUGCCAGACCCAAACUCACUGCCUGACCUAGACUCAAUGCCGGACUCCUGCACGGCGGAGCGCUGAGAAGUCGGGAGAGGGGAAGGCUGAUCAGUCGGUUGAGGAGUCGGGUGAGUAGAAGGCUGAGGAGUCGGCACAGGAGGUGGCACAUGAGUAGGGAGGGGAGGAAUCUCAAUAGUUGGCUGUCGGGAAGGCUGAGGAGUAGGGAAGGGAGGAACCUCAUGAGUCUGCUGAGGAGAAGGCUGAGGAGUAGGGAGGGGAGGAACCUCAGGAGUCUGCUGAAUAGAAGGCUGAGGAGUAGGGAGGGGAGGAACCUCAAGAGUCUGCUGAGGAGAAGGCUGAGGAGUAAGGAGGGGAGGAACCUCCGGAGUCGGGUCUCCCCGCUGUGAAGCAGCCCUCUUAGCUCCCUUCUUAGAUCCCUUCGUAGCUCCCUUCCGAGGUCGCUUCCGAGAACUCGAAACAUCCUCAUCAUGCUCACCUCGCCUAUGAGAAGCGUGGAGAUAGGCAUGGCGAUCGACAACUUGUUGUUUCGUUACCCGGUUGCUCCCCUUCGUCCUCGGCAUCUAUUAAAACAAAAAGGACAUAAGGCAAAUAAGCGAUAUGUCAAAAUUAGAGCAAAUUUUAACUUGAAGACCAAAGAAAAAUAUGGACAAAUAUGGAGACAAUUAGUCAUUGUUUAAGCAUUAUGCGACAUUUAUGAGAAUCUUACUGCAUCAUGAACUCCUAAACAUGAAAGUUCAUCCAAUGCAAAGCAAAUUCAGAUUAAAACAAAUCCAAGUUUCAACCCAUGAGCUUCACCACAGACCAUUUAUGAGAAUCUGACAACUUAAAACUAGCCAAUUUCUCCCAUUGCCUCGGGCAAAUUUAAAACCAGCUCUCAAUUCAGUUCUGAAACUGAAAUUCCUUGAGCAUGACAAUAAGUGAUGGCCCAAAAUAAUGAAGAAACUGAGACAUUUAAAAGAACUUGACAGCAGCUAUCAGUUAUGUGUAAAAAGAAAAUGAAACACUUUUGAACUACUAUACAAAUGUGUUACUUUCAAAAUCAUAAAUUCUGACCAAUGAACAACACUUUUGAACUACUUACUAUACAAAUGUAUAACAGAAAAUGAAACAAAAGCAUGAAUUCUUCCUCAUGCAUUACAUAUUGCUACACCACACAAUUAGUAGGACCAAGAAAUGCACCUAUGCUAGUUUAUAUGAUUAUUGACUCAUUAAAGAUUCUAACCCUGAACUAGUCUUUAAUUAAGCAUUACGCAACAAUGCCUCAUGACAUGAUUUGAAACUUGCAAAUUUGAAAUUGCAUCCAGAAAACUCAGGCCUCAAUUCAACUAUACGUCUCCAACUAUACCUAACCCAAAUAACUAUGCGCUGUUGUUUUGUUUAUUUUUCUCUCAUUCUAUCCAUCCUAUGUUUCUACAAAUACAAUCUGGUUUUCCUUCCCAAAAAAAACUAUCAAAUAAGUAAGAAAUCAUGCCAUAUUCAAGCAAUUGAAGCUUAGGUAUAAUUUCAACAAUGAAAAUAUUAAAUAUACCACCAUCAGUUGAUAAUCCUACCAAACGCCUACCAAAGCAUUCACAUUUUUGACUCAACCAACAAAUCAAAAGAGAGUAGACAAGGAACAGUGGAAAUUUAAUCGAUUAACACAGCUUGAAUGGCUCAAUUCCAAUCUCUUUCAGUCAAUUCCCCUAUGCUUGAAUCCCUCUAACCCCACCCCACGAACGGUGAAUACCAAAAACCGAGUCUCGCAAGAACCCUAAUCUACAAAAUUUGAUGAAGGUAGGGUUCAACUCACCUCUACACUUGAUUUCUGACGAAGAUGAUGAGAAACCUCCCCGCUGAUGAUGAAAGUUGAAGAGGUGGAAUGGAAUUCGCCGGAAUCGCCUCCUUUCAAGGUCGGAAAGUCGAAGAGGGAGAGGAUGUCGAAGAGGGAGACGAUGGGAGUGAAAUGCAAGUGAUUGGUUUGGAACUGGGAAUUAUAAAAUCGAUAAGUUUCGAAACAUAAACUACCGAAAUCUUUCGAAUAUUUAUCUCCCAUAAAAUAACACGGAGGGACAUUUUAGUAAUUCCCCACUUUAAGUGGGGUGGCAAAUCUAAUACUUGGGGUGGGAAAUCUAGUUUUCGGAGAGUGCGGCCUUGCGCCACUAUGAUAGAGCCCCUCAAUAUCGAGGUUGAGAAGAAGAGGAGCGCCGCCACUGUGGAUGGGAAAGUAGGUGGCCUCGUACCACCGCAGAUCGGGGAAGACGUCGCCGACGUCUAUGGCGGCGAGCGGACUUGGGCUGUUUGUGAUGCAAAUUGGAGAAGAAGAUGCCACCGGCAUCUAUGGCGGCGAGUGGAGACUUGGUUGUUGUCGUAGUUGCUUGUGAUGCAAAUUGGGGAAGAAGACGUUGUUGGCAUCCAUAGCGAUGAGCAAAAACUUGGGUUGCUGCCGUAGUCGUUAGUGACGCAGGUCGGAGAAGAUGUCAACAUCGAUGGCGGUGAAGAAAGUGAAACAACGUUGAGAGGUUCAGGAAAUUACAGAAACAUAUAUAAAAGAAGCAUGGCUAUUUUUUUAUUUAAGUAAAUAACACAAAUAAGCUGCUUAAAAGUAAAAAGUUACUCUCCCUAACUUUUUCUUAAAAGUUACUUAUUUUCAUUUCGUGUUGUAAAAAAUAAGUUACUUAAAAAUUUUAAAACUUGUUUAAAAAUGUGUUUGGCCCAACUUUUACUUAAAAGUCUAAAAUAAGUUGGGCCAAACACUACAUAUAUAUAUGUAAAACAAUAAUUGAUUAAACAUUUUUAUUUUAAUUAAUUUAAAAAAUAUUAAUGUACGGGAUAAAAUACAAGUUAAAUCGUCUAACUUGUCUAUUGGAAAGAAUUCUCUCUUGCUCACGCUGAUGCGCACUUGUAGGGUUCUAAGCCCUAGUUGGUCCAAGACGGUUGAGUCCGCCCAACGCGGUGGCGACAACUUUUCUUCACCCUCUUUUUGCUCCAUACGAUCCUCUUCUUCGCAUUCUAGGUUUUUAUUUCCUGGUUUUUUAUUUACAAAUCGAUUUCAUGCUUGUUUCCCCUCUUUUAUUUUGGGAAAUCAUCUUUCCUCCUUUCCAGCUUCAUGGGCCACAAACCUUUUGUAGGCAGCGGCUCUUCGAACACUGGCGCAGACCAAGAAACAGGCGCGGGAAAUGGUCGUGGAUUUGAGGCUGGCAACAAUGAUUCAGUCCUAAGCAAGGAGAAAAACGCUUCUAUUGUCACGCUCUUUGUCGAUGCCAUCCAAGAGCAUGUUGGUUACCACCAAGUCUGAGGGUUUUUCGCCCAAAUUGGAAGGGUUGUAAGCGUUUUCGUUCAGAAGCAGUAGAGUUGAGUUCAUGCGGUUUGCUUCGAUGGAGAUGGUGUCUCGGGAGAUUAUCCUCCUCAAUGGGUUUCACUUAGGUGAAGUUCUUCUGAUGGCGCCCUUGGCGAGAUUUCACGUCACGAGUUUGUCGAUAUGGGUUUGGCUGUAAACAAAGUUCAGGAAGCACCAGGGUUUUUUGGGUUUUAUGCCGGAAAAGGGUUAAAGGGAAUUAACCCGUGGCGUCUUUCUUUGAGGAUGAGAAAAUGAUAUUUUCAAGCAUCUCUAGGGCAUGCUCGUCUUCCCCAAGGUUCCUUUCUCCUGUGCUUUUUCCUAUAAUCUCCUUUGCUGAUUGCAGGUUUGAUGUUUUCUUAGAGCCUAGAGAUGUGAGGUUGUUUUCAUUUGGUGGUGUUGAUAAUGAAGGAAGGUCCCAAAUCCUUCACGUAUCCUCGUGAUGGUCUAAAUCUUUCUCCCUACGGUGUUAUGCUUGUAAGGUCGUCUUGUGGGAAAGAUGAAGCUGAAGAGGGUGGUUGAGUGGGUGAAGCCGGCUGUGGGGAUCUUGAAGUUUAAUGUGGAUGGUUCAGCUAGGGGGCGCAUGGGGAUGGUGGAGUAGGAGGUGUUUUGAGGGACAGUGAUGGUGAAAUAAGGGGGGUUUUUUCUGUUGAUGUGGGUCAGGUUUGGGCUUUUGAGGCAAAAGUCUUGGCAAUCAGGCAUGCUUUGGAAUUUAGUCAAGAAUUUGAGGUAAACAACUUGAUCAUUGAGAGUUACUCAACCUUGGCAGUGGGUUGGGUUAACAUAAAGUCUAAUCGCCCUUGGAAGCUCAUAAGAGAGUUGAAUGUGAUAGAUCUUUUAUUUGAGCAGGUAGGGUGUUUGGGUGUUUCACAUAUUUUUUAGGGAGGCUAAUCCGAUUGCUGAUUUUUUGGCAAAAACCGGGUGUGAUAGAGAACUUCGAUUAUGGGAGUUUUGCCCUUAAUCUUGGAAAAUCGCAGAACUUGGGGUGGUGUCGGGCUAGCUGUUUUUGCAUAAUUGUGCUGCAUUUUUUUGCCUAGUUCUUGGAUGCGUGGUACAACUCGAGGACUUCAAAAUGCUGGCAAGUGAUGGUAUGGGAGAUUGAUUUAUUUAUGGCUGUGUUUUGGUGCCGGUUACUUGAGGACCAUGUCUGGUGCAAAGUUUUAGCAUCACGAGGCCAUAUCAAUGUUGCUUUUGUAUUUCAUAUUUUGUAGUAGCUUUGAAUUGCAGCUUAUAGCUUAUUUUGUUUAGGCUUUUUGGUUGCUCACUUAUGCUUUAAGUACUAUUUUUCCUUCUCUAGGGUUUUACCCAAUGGGUUUUUACUAUGAAGGUUUUAAUGAGGCAUAGGCAUAAGUUGCUUAAGCGCCAAAUUGAUCUUUUUGCUAUAAGGCCGGUGGAGGUUUCCCCCUAUUUCAUGAGUGGGUUGUUCUCAUGUAUUGUUUCUCGUGUUUCUCUUGUACUGUUCGAUUUUAGUAAUAAUAUAUCCAUUUUGUUGUAAAAAAAAAGGUCGUCUUGUGUUGACCUUUUUCUGUUCCUUUGGGGAUUUCUCAGGAUCUUGGGUUUGUGGAGGGCCCCUCUAAUUCUUCUUUGGAGGUUUAUCCUAGCGUUGCUUUAAUCCGGCUCCAGUGGGUUGUUGUAGCUUCUUUCGCUCCUCCCUUGCAGGGGCGGAGAACCUAUCACUAUCUCGGUUGUGCUACUGGAGGCUGGACUCAGAUGCUGAUUCGAGAGGGAGGGAGUUGAUGGUUUUGUUGAAGGAGUUUUCAGAGUUUUAUGACAUUCUGUCUAGGGAGAAGAAUGUCAUUUCGAUGGGGAAGCGACUUGGCAUGAAGUGUGACUGCACAAAUGAUGUUGCCUUCUACCAGAUUGCGACCCAUAUCAAUGAAAGUUUGGUCUUCUUUGGGGAAUUGAGAUAAAUUCUUGGGAGUUUGGUAGUUAUUUCCUUUGGCUAAUUUCUAGGCUUUUGGUUUGUUUUGGUACUUUGGGUGUUAAUAUUUUGACUUUGGGGGCCUACUUUUUAUUUGGGUCCCUUUGGUUUGCUUGCUCCCCUUUUCUUCAGCUGGGUUGUUGCCGGUUUUGCUAGUUUUUUUGUCUCUUUUGAGAAGGGUUGUAUAUCCUGAAUAUUUUUGCCUCAUAUAUUCAUCAUUUUCCCCAAUGUCGUGCUCUCUCUCUUCUUCCCUAACCUCUGUUAGGGUUUCAGAAUCGAUCUUUGACCUUCAACAGUUGGUGUCCUCAUCCGACAACGGCCCAACCCCGGGUGGAGACGAGAACGACGACGGUGAGGUAGAUGGGGAGAGCGACAGCGCAGAUCGAGGUUCCAGGAAAUGAGGGUGUGCCAAGUCGUCGACCUUCACGUUAUUUGUCGACCGAAUCUCAGAGGUGGCCGAUUACUACCAUAUAUGUGACCUCUUUGGUCAAAUUGGAGGCUUGGUGAACGUUUUCGUGUUGGGACCGCGGAGGAUCGGGAAGGCUUUUCACUUUGGUUUAGUGAGAUACCAAUCUCUAGAGCUGGCCUCUCUCGCAAUCCAUAUUUUUAGUUUUACUCUAUUGGCGACUCGGUGCUUUCGGUGGCUCUAGCCAGGUAUCCACGUUCAGUGAGUUCCCAGUGCCAUCACUUGGACGUCGUAUUCUAGAAUAUCACGCUAUACUUAGGAGUACAUCUAGUGUUUACACAUCAUACGAGCAAAUAUGAUGAAGAGGAUACUCAGACAGUUUCGACAUUUGCAAGGAAACUCUCAUGCUCCUUUACUUGCACAAGACUUGUGGUCGAGGAGUCAUAUGAGAGUUAGGCCACAUUUGUCACUCGAGUCAUUGAUCGAGGAGUUGGGCUGCGAUUUCGGGAGAGUGCGUACUAGAGUACUUGACAUGGUAUCUUCGGGGAUCACACGUCCACAGUUGGUACUUCCGAGUCAUUGAGAGCUUGAUAAUGUUUUAAUGACGGUUAGUUAUUUAUGUAUAUCUUACUUUCAUCUAUAAUACUUUCGCUAGUCCUCUUAGGGUGAGGUAAAUGUAAGUCUUCUGUAAGUACCAAAAAAUAAUACUUUCAUUCUUAUCUAAUAUGAAAUUAAGUUUUAUUUAGGCUAGGUACAUAGAUCCAAAAGUGGCUGACCAAAGAGCUUGAAGAAGAAAGUGGAGGACUCGCGCAAGACGCAAAAGAAAUGGAUUAUAUACAAAGGCUCUUGGACUUCACAACACGUAAUACACAUACCAACAUAACAUAUCAAAGGAAAAGGAAGACCACAUCCACACUCAUCUCUGCUUCAUAGAGCUUCUGUUAUGUUUGUACUUUGGUUUUGGAUGAUGUAUUUUGGAUGAUUUUAGACAAUAAUGUUUAGAUGAUGAUUUUGGACAAUGGUGUAUUUUGGAUGAUUCCUGUUAUUGAUGAUCUUAUUAUUUUGUAUGAUUCUUGUUAAACUUUGGUAUAUAUUAACGCAAAUCCUGAAAACUUAAGUUUAUGGAGUUAAAAAUGAAAACGAGUGUAUCUAAUAUUUUGAGAUUUAAACCCGGUAAAUAAAUAAACAAAGGGUGUCGCCAAGGGCGGACCCACAGCCAAGUCAGGGGGUUCAUCUGGGUUCAGAUGAACCCCCUGGAAAAAAAAACAUUCCUACUUACCUCCUACAAUGUUUUUUUUGAACCCCCUGAGAUUUUAAAAUUGCACCCAGACCCUAGUUACUCUUUUCUCUCUCUCACGCACUCACGUCAGACUCUCAAGAUUCACUCACGCCUCACCCUCUCGCACUCUCUAGUCCCACCUAGGUCUGUGGCCGUCAUCAUCAAGCACCCACGCACGAACCGGCCGCACCGCGCACCACCACCGGCCACCACCGUCCACCUCUACGACUACUUUCUCAAGCUUAAUUAACCCUAUGUAUGGCUGAUUAAGAUUUCCCUAAAUUGAUUUCCUUUUCUUCUCCUUUCUCAAGCUUGAUUAACCGUAGGUGUGGCUGAUUCAGAUUUCCCUAAAUUGAUUUCCUUUCUCUUCUCAUUUCACCCUAAUAAUUUAAUCAUUAUUCAACAUAGUAUAAGGUUUCUAUAUGUAAUUGUAAUGUAUAUAGUUUUGAACUCUAUAUCUUUUUCUGGUACAAGAAGAGGACUAUUUCUAUAAUGUUGAUUGCAUGAUUAAUUAUGAAUAGGGAAUUGUUAUUCAGACCAACCCCCCCCCCACAUCUAUUCAGACCCUUAAAAAUGUGUGAAAUGGUCAAUUACCCUCUUUUAAAAAAAACUUCCCACAACCCCGACUAACUACCCCACUUCUUCCCACUAAUUCAAAACUUCCCAACCCCCCCCCCCCCCCACAUUAAACCCAUUUCAUCACUCAUUCCCGCUCCUCAUCAAACCCAUUUCAUCCUCUCAUUCUCUCACUGCCACCAGCCCCUCCAAUGCCACCGAGCGGCCACUGCAGUCGAGUAGACCCGCAGCCCCCGCGAAACGCCACCCCAUCUUGCUCCGUCGCGUUUCGGUAUGAUUUUGACCCGACCCAUCUAUUUCUAUUUUUAGUCGCUUUUAGUAUGUGCAUCUGAGACGCUCCUUUAACGUGCGUUUGGUUUACACAUUGAAGGUUAGUGUCCAUAACAGACGCACCUCGAAGCAGCGACUCAGACGUUCCUUGAAGGUGCGUUUUAGACGCUCCCUGAAGGUGCAUUGUAGACGCUCCCUGAAAGUGCGAUUUAAUGAGUAUCUGAAAGUUUCUGUUUUGUGUCUUAUGUUUCAGAAAUGGCAAGAACAAAAAAUCAGGGCCGCUCCCCAAGUGUCCUCCCCCCCCCCAAGUAAAGCCCUAGCAAGAGAGGCAGAGCCCGCCCCCCAAGUAAACCCCCUAGAAAGAGCAACAGAGCCCCCCCCCCCCCCCCCACAAGAAGCAGAGCCCAGGCUAGCAAAGAAAGCAGAGUCCACUCCACGACAUCGAUACGUAGGGCAUGUCAAGACGCGGCCCGUAAAAAGCAAGAAGAUGGCCGUAAGAAGCGUGAAGAGGCAGCACGUAAAAGGCUAAAGCGAGUGCAGUACAAGAGCCUGAACCGGUGGUUGCUAAUGAACCUGAGGAAGAUGAUGAUGAUGAUAUGGUUGAUGGUAGCCUUGAUAAAGUGGAGGAGGGUUCUGGUGAGGAAGAGGAGGAGGGUUCUAGUGAGGAAGAGGAUGUCCAGCAAGAGGAUGAUGAUGAAAUAUUCUUUUCUGGGGGGGUCUUAUGACAAUAAAUUGCUGAAGACCUUCAAGGGACAUUUAGCGAUGUAGGUGUGGAAGCAUUACAAGAAACCGACUAUAGUGUUUGAUCGGGGUGUGUUGAAAACCUACCACCAUGGGACUGCUAUGCUAAGGAAGGACAAAAAGAAACAUAAAGAGGUGUUAAAAUUCUUUUUCUACAUAUGUUAAGGGAAGAGUUGAGGCUGCUGGUCUAUUGCUUUUGCUGACAUGCAACCUUCCCUCAGUGGACAAGACCAUGUUGUCGACGUUUGUUGAGAGAUGACAGCCGGAGACUUCAUAUUUUCAUAUGCCAUUUGGGGAGAUGACUAUCACACUUGAUGAUGUUAGCUCUUUGCUACACAUCCCUGUGGUGGGAAAAUUCUUCAGUCUCCCAACCCUGACUCGUGAGGAAGCAGCCAUUGUAUUGCAUAAGCAGCUUGGUGUUACGCAAGCAGAGGCUGAAGCGGAGAUUCGGAAAUCCUUAGGACCUUAUGCUCGGUAUACAUGGCUUCUGGAUAUAGCUGAGAAGAUGGCCAAGGACAGGAAGACCAAGAAAGCUGCUAGAGCCUUCUUGCUGCGUUUGGUGGGGAUGACGAUUUUCUGUGCCAAUACAAACAACAAGGUGGAGGUUUCAUAUUUGGGGCUGUUUAUGGACUUGGAGAAGGUUGGGGAGUAUACAUGGGGCGCCAUGACAUUGGCUUUCCUUUAUGACCAGCUUAAGGAGGCCACCAAAGUCAGCACCACUAGCCUUGGAGGGUACUUAAAUCUAUUUCAGGUAUGAGUCUAUAUCUCUUAUUUUAGUUCAUUUGUAAUUAAUGUCUAUGUUUGAGCAUGUGACAUUUUUGGUGCAAUUUGAUUGCAGGCAAGGAUAUUUGAGUAUUUUCCCGCCAAAUUGUUUGAAAAAAACCUGAACAAGAAAUAUGUUGAGGGAGAGCCAAGAGCUUGCAAAUGGGUCACAAAGAGGGGGAAUAUGGACCUGCAUGCGAAGAGGAUUGUCCUGGAUGACCUUAUAGGUAGCAGUGUCAUAUGGACACCAUAUGACGAGCAUCGAGUGCAUUGGCCCUUCCAGCAGGUGUGUCUUUUUAGCGGGUUGAUUCGGCAUUCAGGCAUGAUCCGGCCAUAUCUGCCCGAGCGUGUUAUGAGGCAGUUCCAAAUGAUGCAGGAUCAACCCAAUUUACCACCAGCCAGCAUUCCCCAUGUUGAGGAGAUUGAUGAUAGGUUUCUUAAUUUUACUCUUCACUGCGUGGCUGCUCAGUAUACUCUAAGUCCAAUGGUAACGCCUCGGUACUUCGACUAGUACAAGAAAAUCUCACACUGCCUUGUGGUCCCUUCUGAAACAAGAGGUCUGGUGGAAGUAACUCUUUUGGUAAGUAACUAUCAUUUCCCUCAAACUUGGUUUUCUUACAAUUUAUGCACUAAUGUUUAUUUUUGUUACACUUGUUGCUUUUAGGGUGUUCUCGAGCAAUUAAAAGAGUUAAGUGCUAUCACAGUAGACCCCAACGAGUCGCCAGAUCGGAUCCUCGUUGCAAACCAGCGUAUGCGGGCUAUCAUACUGCAGAAUUUGGAGCAAGGGGCUGAUGUUGAUGAUGACAGUGGCAGUGGAGAUGCAAUCCAUGGUGGAGGUGGCCCUAACAAGAAGAAGAAAGGAAAAGUGUCUGAUGUCUCUACCUCCAAGAGUAGUUAGGACUAGGGACCUAGGAUUGAUUUCAGGAUGCAUGUAAUUUAAGUACAAUUGUAUACUUGUGACUUAGUUUGUGUUUAAGACUAAUUAGCUAUGUAGCUUCAAAUUUUAGUACAUAUCUAAUGAUGUAUUUUAUAUGCACUGUUUCUGUUUAAGUAUGUUAAUUAGGAUGUGUUGCAAUGUACCUAUUUUCUUCUGUUCUGGUUUCUAUUUUGAGAGUGCAAAGUUACUGCUUCAGGUUUCUUAUUUCCAUAUAGGUGCGGGAAAGCUGUUGAAAGAUAUUUUACCUAACCACUUUCGAAUCUUUCAAGAUUCAAUUGUAGUACAACAAAGGGUUUUUAUCGUCCUCAAGGAAUUGGAAUACAAUUCCGUUCUCUAGCUAAAUCACUUAAGCAAAGAGUCAAGAAAGUUUUGGUUGAUUGUUUUGCGCUACGUUGCAAAAUUAAAAGAAAGCAGUAAUAAAUGAUUGGUAAACAAGCGGAGAAAACGGUUGGAAUUGGAGUUCGUCAAUUAACUCUUCGGUAUUCUUAUGAUUUCAUAUACAAAUUAUGUCCUAUAUCUGAUUUCAUUACACCACAUCUUAUCUUUUUCAUAGUUCCCUCAUGAGAAAGAUCAUCAACUUACUAACUAAUCAUCAAUUCCUUGAAUAACUAAGAAAGCAAGUAAUAUUAAACUUAGGUGUUAUUUGACUAUUGAACUAAUCCUAUUCCUAGGCCUUAGAUUCAAUUGAUGAUCCAAUCUAUUUCAGAUUCAAUUAAAUGGUUUCCACCAAUUUCUCAAAUCUAACAUCAAGUUCUAGUUGAUCACUCUAAAACUAGCAUUAAGAGCAAGAUAGAUCAUUGAAAUCAUCACAUAGAAACAUGAAUUUAUACAUGGAAAUCAAAGUAAAUACAUUCAAGUUAAAAGACUACAUCCAAUCCCAACACAAAAGGUAUAGCAAUCCAUUUCCAUGGAUGCUAUAAGCUUACAAUAAGGGAAAAUGAAGAAGAUGAUUCGUGCGGCGUCGGCGUGUUCCCAACUCGACGGAAGGUCACCCAGCCUCCAAGUUCCUAUUCUUUCUCUUCUAUUUGUGUUUCUUCUCUCAAAAGUUGGUUCUGAUGUUCCCAUUUCUGUUCUGAUUUAACUUUCCUUUUAAAUGACAAAUUUGGACACGACCGCUCAACCCCUUUUUUUUGGCCGCUCAGCGCCCUGUUACUUUAGGGAUGAGUUUUCCUUAACCGCCUUGAAACCGCUCAGCCCCUUUCCUGGCCGCUCAGCCAUUUUCUGACAUGAUAAAAGGGGCUCAGCUGGUUUCUAAAGGGCUCAGCUGAUUUUUCCCAAACCUUCCAAAACUCUUUAUUUCUUCACCAAAUCUUCAUUUCUUCACUAGAUUCAUGUCCCUACAACAACAAUUGAGAUUGGAUCUCCAUUUAAACACAUUCUAUCUCAAAAUUCACAUUUCUACAAGUUCUAAUCAAAAGAGAGUCGAUUUGCAAGAUCUCAUGAAUACAAAAGAUAAGUGUCAAAAUAACAAUUGAAAACAUGGUAAAUUAGACAUUUAUCAGACGCACGUUGGAUGUGCGACCGAGACGCAAGUUUACAUUGCGACAUAACUCUCGCUCAUUCAACAUGCGUUUGAGGCGCUCAUCCAACAUGCGUUUUAGACGCUAGUUGGACAUGCGAUUUAUUUCAGGAUUUCAGAAACAAGCACAGAUUUAAGCUUUUUCAAUGCCAAGGCGUGUAGUGGCACGCACAUAAGACGUGUGGCAUUGUCGCUCAUUGAGCAUGCGGCGUAGACGCUCCCAUAAGGUGCGGUGUAGACGCGCCCUUAAGGUGCGUUUUUUUGUUUAUUAACAAUGUGGGAUGAUACAUGAUACAUGAAAAUUUCAAUAAAACAUACAAGAACAAUGACCCCUAGACCCUAAGCCCUAAACUUAGUACUUGAAAAAUACAAGUACAGUGACCCCUAUGGGAUACAAUCAGGAGGAUUCCAAUCUUUAUCUUCUUCUGGUCCUCUUCCUUGUCUUCUCCUUCUUCUGGUCCAGCUCCUCUUCUGUCUUGUUGGGAAAACCAGCAGUGUCGCCAACUGAGCCUAGAUGUUUCCAUCAUCACCAAUUUUCUCCAAAAGGGAACUUUCCCCAGAAGAUUGGUGUAACACCCCGAUUUUUCGGUGUCACUUAAGUAACUUAAAAAUAAACUUUAAGCGGAAAACAUGUUUUUUUUUUCGUUUGUUCCUUUUGUUGAAAUGAAAACGUCAUAAAGAUAAAGACAUAAUCCCGCAAUUUAAACCUAACCGAUGUACAUCAUAUAAACAGGUACAGCCUCAGCUGCACUCCAACGUCACGCGCUCUCGCAGUGACUCCAAAGUAGUGUGCUCGUAGGCAAAUAUUUACAGAUCCAGAAACGUGAGUGAUAAUGUUAUAAAUACAAUCCUCUAGAAGAAAGUCGGCCCUCAAAAUGGCCUAAGCAAAGACCCCUACAGUCCGACUAACUCUCUGUGAUCCCUCAGCAAGAGAACCACACAAAAAGCUAUGUGUCGGGAACCUACCCUGUCCCAAAACAAAACGAAUCAGAGCUCUGCACAAAAUAUGGCGCCCACCUAACCUACCCUCCAGUACCGCUCAAAGCUCCUCCUCCUCCUCGUCGCUCCCGACGUAGUAGUCGACAUCAGUGUCAGAAUCAGAGUCCACCAUGAUGAUCUCCGCGUCCAAGUCCACGACCUCCCUCCUGACUGUCCUGCGUACGACCCCAGUCGAACCCAUCUCAACAUCUACCUCCUCAGAAAGGGCAUCCUCCUCCACCACACGCACCAUGGGUUCCACGCGGUAGCCGCGUGAUGAAGUAAACGGAAAACGGCGAGAGGCAGUCGAAACAACAGGCUCCCUCUUCGGCUCCACGAGCCUCAAGGACGACGCAACGUCGAUAGGAUCUACAACAGUAGCAGGAAGUGGCGCGACAGGUGCCUCAGUAUCAGCCUCGAUCUUAGAUGGAUCCUCGUCAUCGGAUGAAGAUGAAGGUGGUGAAGGUGGUCUCCGGCCAGUGCCCGGUCCACCGCGCACCGAAGGUGGUAAGUUGAAGCUCAGCUCCAUGCGUCGUAGAACUCCUCUCGUCAGACGUCCACGCUCAUUAGUCCGGUCCUCCAUGGCCCUUCCCCGAGACGUCGCCCGAUGAUCCACAGGAUCGAUCACCCAAGCGGUGGGGGCAUGUCGGUCAACCAGCUCAAACCUGAUCCCCCCCGAGGGAGAGACCAUCGAAAACCAAUCCGCCAUCGACAUCUGGCAGCAGGCCGACCGCCCAAACACAAACAUGAAACCAAAGCCAAGGCGUUAGGGUCAACUCACGGAAUAGAGUAAAUAUACAAACAACAUGUGAUUGGGGUAUAUAUAUAUAUAUAUAUAUAUAUAUGUUUAUAUAUAUUCCUAGCAUGUUAUCGGCUCUAACAAUAAUUCAAUAGACAAUAGCACACAAAUCCAGCCAGGGUGCAUGUAUGCUUGCAAUGUGUUUCAAAUGAUCCGGAUAACUCAAUUGGGAUGGGCACCAUCGAGUCAGUCCUAACACUGGCCUAGUGUUUAACCAUUUCCGCUCGGGUGUCACUUACAAACCCAUGCAUAGUCGGAUCAAUUCUAACCCCUCCAGGUUGAACCAUUUUGCCCGCUAUGCCGAAGAUAUACUCUUGGUGUUCUUCGAUGAAGGCCAAUCUUGAUACCAACACAAAGGUGUCCUACACUUUCGACCAUACAAAGCCUCAUACGGUGCCAUACCGAUGCUCGCAUGAAAACUGUUGUUGUAGGUGAAUUCGAUCAAUGGCAGAAGAUCAUCCCAGCUUCCUUUGUUGUCCAACACACAAGCACGUAGUAGAUCCUCUAACGACUGAAUAGUUCUCUUUGUCUGCCCGUCAGUUUGUGGAUGAUACGCCGAACUCAAUCUCAGCUUGGUUCCUAACGCCUCAUGAAGAGCUCCCCAAAAGUGCGAAGUAAAUUUCGGAUCUCGGUCAGAAACAAUACUCGUCGGCACUCCGUGUAGUCGAACAAUCUCGACCACAUAAAUCUCAGCCAACUUCUCCACGUUAUAGGUGGUUCUCACUGGUAGAAAAUGUGCAGACUUGGUCAAACAGUCCACAAUUACCCAAAUCGAAUCAUACCUCUUCUGUGUCCUUGGCAAAGCCACCACGAAAUCCAUGGAGAUACUAUCCCAUUUCCAUUCUGGCACGUCUAGACUCUGUAGCAUACCAGCAGGCCUCUGAUGCUCUACCUUAGCCUUCUGACAAGUCAUACAUGCAGUUACAUACUCGGCCACUUGUUUCUUCAUUCCCGGCCACCAGAAAUUCAGUUUCAAGUCUUGAUACAUCUUUGUCAUUCCAGGAUGAAUGCUCCACUUGCUCUUGUGUCCUUCAUCCAUGAUUAGCCUUCUUAAUUCUGGGUUGUUGGGUACACAUACUCUGUCUUUGCAUCGUAGGAUGUUGUCAGCUCCUACCCUGAACUCCGGGUCUUUCCCUUCAGUCACCAAGUUUCUCUUCUCUAGCAGAAACAUAUCUUGCAAUUGUUGCUCUCUAAUCUCUUCCAUCAGUCCACUGGCGAUUCUGAUCAUGCCGAACUUCAGCAUUCCCUCAGACGGUGUCACACCCAAACUCAUAUCUCGAAAUUGUUCCAGCAACUCCAGCUCUUUAACCAUCAUUGACGAGACAUGCAUCUUCCUACUCAAAUCAUCAGCAACUACAUUUUCCUUCGUAGGGUGAUAUUGCAACGUAAACUCGUAGUCCUUGAUGAACUCCAUCCAUCGUCGUUGUCUCAUGUUCAGCUCCUUCUGAUCAAACAAGUAUUUUAGACUCUUGUGAUCGCUAAAUAUCGUGAAAGUACAACCAUAGAGGUAAUGCCUCCAGAUUUUAAGAGAAAACACAAUAGCAUCUAACUCCAAAUCGUGCGUCGGGUAGUUCUUCUCAUGAGUCUUCAGUUGUCUCAAAGCAUAAGCCACCACUUUCCGAUAUUGCAUCAGUACACAUCCCAAGCCGUGAUGUGAAGCAUCACAGUAGACUUCAUAAGGUUCCUCCGGUUGUGGCAAAAUAAGCACAGGUGACGUCGUCAAACGUUCCUUCAUAGUCUGAAAACUUGUCUCACACGCUUCUGUCCAUGCAAAAGGUUGAUCCUUCCUCGUAAGUUGAGUCAAAGGUCCAACAAUCUUGGCAAAACCCUCAAUGAAACGUCUAUAAUAUCCAGCUAAGCCCACAAAACUUCUGAUUUCUGUCACUGUCUUCGGUUGUUCCCAAGCUAAAACAGUCUCCACCUUCAUUGGAUCCACAGCUAUGCCUUCCUUUGAGAUGACAUGGCCUAAGAAUUUGACUUCCUCAAGCCAAAACUCACACUUGGAAGGGUUCGCAUACAGCUUUUUCUCCGGCAACACUUGUAAAACUUGAUGCAGAUGUUCCUCAUGCUCCUUAGCGUCCUUCGAAUAGAUCAGAAUGUCGUCGAUGAACACCACCACAAACCGAUCCAAGAACUCAUGAAAGGUACGGUUCAUGUAGUUCAUGAAAACAACAGGUGCAUUCGUCACUCCAAACGGCAUCACUAGGUACUCGUAGUGUCCGUAGCGAGUUCUUAAAGCAGUCUUCGGUAUAUCCUCAGUCUUCACUCUGAUAUGAUGAUAGCCUGAUUUCAAAUCUAUCUUGGAAAAUACGGCAGCCCCUCGAAGUUGAUCCAUCAAAUCAUCUAUCCUUGGCAACGGGUAUCUGUUCUUGACCGUCGCCUUGUUGAGCUGUCGAUAGUCCACACACAAUCUAGACUUUCUAUCUUUCUUCUUGACCAAAAGCAUUGGCGCUCCCCAUGGUGAGACACUUGGUCGAAUAAAUCCUUUCGCCGAAAGAUCCUCCAACUGAGAUUUCAACUCCACUAGCUCUGUAGGUGCCAUACGGUAAGGUGCGAUCGAAAUCGGUCCGGUUCCGGGUACAAUGUCGAUUACAAACUCCACAUCGCAUACUAGCGGUAGUCCAGGUACAUCUCCAGGAAACAUUUCAGCAAAAUCUCGAACCACUGAAUACCAUGCACAUCUGAGUCUCUCCUACUCUCUAGAUUCUGACGUCUCCGAUUCGAAACUAAACGCCCUAAUAUCAUGUGUAUAGUAUCCAUAAGGAAUUUCCCUAAGAUCCUAGCUUCCUUAUCGAUGCAUCGGUAAAAUAACUUCCUAGCUCAGCGUGCUAUUCUAGACCUCGUAUAACUUCUAUAGUUAAAUCACGAGCAACUUCGAAUAAGGUCCUAGUAGGGAUAAUAAUCAUAAGGUCAAAGUUUAAGUAGUAAACGCAAACAAUUAGAGCGAAAAUCAUUCUGCAGACAAUCAAGUUUUUACUCUUUACAGAGUCACACAAUCUAGCACAGAAGACCUAUUCCCCAAAGACUCCCAAAAGACUCGACUAAGCUCUGAUACCACAAUGUAACACCCCGAUUUUCCGGUGUCACUUAAGUAACUUAAAAAUAAACUUUAAGCGGAAAACAGGUAUUUUUUUUUUCGUUUGUUUCUUUUGUUGAAAUGAAAACGUCAUAAAGAUAAAGACAUAAUCCCGCAAUUUAAACCUAACCGAUGUACAUCAUAUAAACAGGUACAGCCUCAGCCGCACUCCAACGUCACGCGCUCUCGCAGUGACUCCAAAGUAGUGUGCCCGUAGGCAAAUAUUUACAGAUCCAGAAACGUGAGUGAUAAAGUUAUAAAUUCAAUCCUCCAGAAGAAAGUCGGCCCUCAAAAUGGCCUAAGCAAAUACCCCUACAGUCCGACUAACGCUCUGUGAUCCAUCAGCAAGAGAACCACACAAAAAGCUAUGCGUCGGGAACCUACCCUGUCCCAAAACAAAACGAAUCAGAGCUCUGCACAAAAUAUGGCGCCCACCUAACCUACCCUCCAGUACCGCUCAAAGCUCCUCCUCCUCCUCCUCGUCGCUCCCGACGUAGUAGUCGACAUCAGUGUCAGAAUCAGAGUCCACCAUGAUGAUCUCCGCGUCCAAGUCCACGACCUCCCUCCUGACUGUCCAGCGUACGACCCUAGUCGAACCCAUCUCAACAUCUACCUCCUCAGAAAGGGCAUCCUCCUCCACCAUACGCACCAGGGGUUCCACGCGGUAGCCGCGUGAUGGAGUAAACGGAAAACGGCGAGAGGCAGACGGAACAACAGGCUCCCUCUUCGGCUCCACGAGCCUCGAGGACGAUGCAACGUCGGUAGGAUCAACAGCAGUAGCAGGAAGUGGCGCGACAUGUUCCUCAGUAUCAGCCUCGAUCUCAGAUGGAUCCUCGUCAUCGGAUGAAGAUGAAGGUGGUGAAGGUGGUCUCCGGCCAGUGCCUGGUCCACAGCGCACCGAAGGUGGUAAGUUGAAGCUCAGCUCCAUGCGUCAAAGAACUCCUCUCGUCAGACGACCACGCUCAUCAGUCCGGUCCUCCAUGACCAUUCCCCGAUACGUCGCCCGAUGAUCCACAGGAUCGAUCACCCAGCGGUGGGGGCAUGUUGGUCAACCAGCUCAAACCUGAUCCCCCCGAGGGAGAGACCAUCGAAAACCAAUCCGCCAUCGACAUCUGGCAGCAGGCCGACCGCCCAAACACAAACAUGAAACCAAAGCCAAGGCGCUAGGGUCAACUCAUAGAAUAGAGUAAAUAUACAAACAACAUGUGAUUGGGGUAUAUAUAUAUAUAUAUAUAUAUAUAUAUAUAUAUAUAUUCCUAGCAUGUUAUCGGCUCUAACAAUAAUUCAAUAGACAAUAGCACACAAUUCCAGUCAGGGUGCAUGUAUGCUUGCAAUGUGUGUCAAAAGAUCCGGAUAACUCAAUUGGGAUGGGCACCAUCGAGUCAGUCCUAACACUGGCCUAGUGUUUAACCAUUUCCGCUCGGGUGUCACUUACAAACCCAUGCAUAGUCGGAUCAAUUCUAACCCCUCCAGGUUGAACCAUUUUGCCCGCUAUGCCGAAGAUACACUCUUGGUGUUCUUCGAUGAAGGCCAAUCUUUCGACUGUCUCAAACCUUCGUGAAGCCGACUGAAGCCGUCUCAACUUCACCGAAGCCCGAUCCUCCGAUCGUCUCAAGCCCCGAAUGUAUGCAUGAUGCAAUAUGGUUAGCCAAACAUGGUAUCGUCCUCACCAUAUAAUGUUUAGCUACGACUCUUAAUCCAAUAAUGCCCGAAGGUCAAAGUCGACUCUACGACUAGGCUGUAAGAAGCCGAAGUACGCAUCGUACUCAGUGACGUAUCUCUGGUCACUGUGGUUCAUCCUCGUGACGACCAUCAAAUCUCAGCAGCUCCAAAACUUGUCGACAUUUCCCCGUCUUUCGCAAUCAUUUAUCCACUUAAGUUCCCUAUGGUUUUAUUCGUUAAUAAAAAUAUUUAAAGUUGAAUUAGUCAAGUUAUGAGUUUCAUUCUUGAAAACUAAGUUCCCUAAGAUCUCUAGUUCCAAAUUCUAAUCAUUCCAAGUUUGGCAAAAUACCUCCAAAUGUAAUCCCCCGGGGAAAGUCUAAGUGUUCCAAUCGGCUUAAUCUCAAACCUCGAGUUUGGACUUGCCUAGGGUUGUUCAUUCAACCCGAAAUAAUACAAGUAGGACGUUCCAUGAUUCCACACUCCGUAGUCGCGACAAGGCGCACAGUUCAAUAACAAUGUCAAUAUAACAAUAAUUCAGUGCGGAAAUCAUAAGACGGAAACCAGUAAACGACUGAAGCCUCUCAAAAAAUGGAGACACACGUCUCAUAUAAGUUUACUCGGCCGAAGCCUCCAAAAAACAUUUUCCAAUUCAAAGCGAUAAACAAUAUCCAAGCAAUAUUCAAUAUCAAACAAUAUUCAAGUCGAAUUUAUCGACGCCUACAAUACAAUAGCUAGUAAGUAAGUUGCCCUAACCUCGAGUUGCUCCAGCCUCGCGGUGUAGGUUUUCCUCACAAUCUAGCUCAGUAAUACCCAAAGUUCCCUCAACUGAACCUUUGAGAAAACAAAGCGAAAAUCAAUACGAAAUCGAUUAGCUCGAUCACAACAAAGUUAAUUAACGAUAGACAAAGCUUACGAAGCUUCAGAGUACAACAAUCGAGCACGAGAGGACGAGUUAUCGCGAAAAACGAAUUUCUCCCCCCCCCCCCCCUCAAAACAUGCUCUCGACCACUUAAGGAAAAAGGGUUCCGGCACUUUUUCUUCGAUCUAAUUUAAUUCCUAGGUAAUUUUAGGGUAAAACAAGGGCAAAGAAAUUGUCGGAAAAAUUUUAGAACGACCGGGUUGAAUUACGACUAGUUAGGGGCACUUUGGUCCAAAAUUAAAGCUCAAAAACUCAAAGUUGAAACUUCGGAAAACAAAUUUGAUGGGGUCGUUCACAACGACAUUUAUAUCAACUAAUCCUAAGGGCAUUAAGUCGGAUUGUGGCUUUUCAAAGAUAAAGUUUCAAUAUGUGCGUAAAUGGGUUUUUAUACAGUUUUUCAGAUCUUUGGCGACUCGAUCGAAAUCGGCGCGCAUCGGCGAGUGAUUUAGCUUGUUGGGCAACUAUAGAAGGUAGUUCAAAAGAAAAAUCGGGAAAAUCAAACAGUUUUACGAAAAGCUCAAUACUUUGAGCUCAUAAAGAGAUAAAGAAAUGCGAUAAAAAGAAUGAUCAGAGGUAAGAAGUGAGUAGAUUACCUCUGUGCCGUGAAGUAGAGACAAACAACUCGAAGAUCCGUCAAGAAACGAAGAAAAUCUCUCCUCUCCCUCUCCUCUUCUCACUCGCGGCCACACACUUGAAGAAUGGGUAGUUCCGAAAUGAAACACUGGUCGAGGGAAAAAUAAAGAGAACUUCUUAUUUUUCCAAGGAUUUAGAAUUUCGCUUAAAGAAUGCUUUAAGAGCGGAAUUAGCCUAUUCUGGACACUCUCGCCAUAAGGCGGGUGUGCAGACGACUCGUGUUAACUCCUAAAACGUCUAUGGUACUAUCCUCAACCAAUUCCUGAACUUUCUUCUUCAUUAAACUUUCCCAAACAGCAAACUCCUGUUACGCUUACACCGAUCCUACGCGUGAGUCGGAAAAAUAAUUAUUUAAUCCAGUUCUGAAAUCUGGGUCUUACACUUGGACCAUUCCAUUUAGCAAGUUUGGGUACUUUGAAUAACCAAGGAUGGUCACCCCUACAUUAGCAAGUUUGACACUCUGAAUCUGAAAUAUCACUCUCUAAGUACUCAAACUUGCUAAUGUUGAGGAUAAUAUCCACAUCACCCCAACCAUUGAGAACUCUAAACCAUAAGAGGUAUGAAUAAGAAAGAGGGUAAGAGGAAGAAGAGAGAGAAUUGUGUGAAAAUGAAGAAGGAAGAUACCCUAUUUAUAGUGCUCGACUAGCAUAGGUUAUAACGAAAAAAAAUAGGAUUUAACGGAAGCAAUUAAUAGUUUUUACCGGUUGUUGCGUUAUGGUCAAUGGCUGGUGCGUUUUAGACGCAUGUUCAAGGUGCGUAAACGACGCGCACUCCAGAAGCGUCACUGUCGCACUCACGAUAUGCGGCUUAUAGAGCGACAGAGACGCGCUUUGAGGGUGCGUUCGAUAGGGGUAAUUUCAGAUUUCACAAAUUUCAUUCGGUUUGGAUAGAUGUGGGGGGGGUCUGAAUAACAAUUCCCUUAUGAAUAUUAGGGUCUAAUAGCAUGAAUUUGAAGGUGUAUGUAUGUGAACUGUGAAGUCAUGGAAGAUUAAAUAAAUUUGAUCCCUUUUUGGUUGCACUGGUUUAUGGUGACUUGCAGUUUUCAGCACUGGUUUUGUGAAUGAUGCAUAGGAUAUGCUGCUUAUGCUGAGUUUGGGAACACCAAGGCCAUUGUAUCUGUGUGAAUGGUAAGUUUUAUCUCACAAAAUGUGUCAAUUCAAUCACCUUGUUGAAUCCUGUUUUUGUCUGUUAUGCUUCAUAAGUGCAUUAUUAAUCCUCUGCGGUUCCUUUUCUGCUCCAUUCUUUUAUGAUUUUAUCCUCUAAAUUUCUUACUUAAUUGACAGAUGUGUGUUGCACCUGCCGCCAUUAUAGACCCAAAGUGGUACUAAUAAAACCGCUUCAUUGAAAUUGAAACUCAACCUUAGUUGCUAUCAGAUUUAUUAUAAAAGAAAAGUAGAUCAAUUCCCUCGGUUGAUUUGUGUGGCCGAAUGAUAGCUCCUAAGUGAUAAGAGUUGGAGAUAUAUGAGUUGGAGGAAGAGUUCAGAUAUCUAUCCGGAAGACAAUAAUUUAUCUUUCGGAUGUAAAAGAAAAAUAAACAAAGGGUAUUCUUUGGAAAUUACUAUGUGAGUGGUUGGUGGGGGUGGCGGGAUUUAGGGUUAGGGGUGGUGUUUUGAACAUCCCCUCCAAAGUUUGAUUUGAAGUCUUGAAUUUUCCAGCAGCAAAACGAGGACGUUUGACUGUGUUAUGCAAAUUCAACAAAUACACAGUAGUGUCUCCGCUCCACAGUACUCUGUAUCUGAUCCAUUUAUUAGAGAUCUCUCUUUGCUUUUUCCGCUGCACAAAUUGUUCAAAUUUCUGAGUCUCGCUAUGGCCACCGGAGUCAACAGAAAAAUUUAUGCAGCGUCAGCCCGUUCUCACACCAGGAGGACAAAGAAAACCAGCUCGUUUCAGCUCCCUUCAGGUACCUCUUCGCUCUUCCACUCUCUUUUGCUCUUUCCUUAUAGCACUUUGCUCAUCCAAGUUCCGUUUAUGCUGCAACUUAUAAGGUUUCUUAGUCAUGCUGCAACUUUAGUUUCUUGUUGAUGUUUGCUGCAACUUUAUAAAGUGAAUUUAUAGCUAGUCCUAACUGUGCUGAAGAUAGGGUAAACGGUUAUUUAUGUUUUAAUACACUCUGGGGAGGAUGAAGAGCCUUAACUGUGACUAAAUCAUGAAUCUGACGGAAUCCAACGGGUGACCGGACACCGAAUAUUUAUAAAAAAAAAAACGGUUACUUAUGUUUUAAUUUCUAACUAUCUGUUCUUUUAAUUUCAUUUUUUUGAUUUGGUAAUACAAACUCAGGAAUUCUUAGAACAACACUAGCAGUGUUGUUUAUUGGGUUUGUAGCAUGGGCUUAUCAGGCUAAUCGACCUCCUCCUCCCAAGAUAUGUGGCUCUCCUGAUGGACCGCCUGUAACGACAGCAAGAAUCAAACUAAGAGAUGGGAGGUAUUUGGCAUACAGAGAGCAUGGUGUUCCUAAAGACGCAGCCAAGUAUAAAAUCAUCUUCGUCCAUGGUUUUGGUAGUAGCAGUCAUACUUCUCCAGUUGCAGAAAGCCUAUCACCUGUAAUUAUUUAUGUUACGUUUUUCUGUCUUUCCUAACAUUCUUUAAAAACUUUGUAGUUUUCAUAUCUAUAUCUGUUGUGGUCAUUUCCAGGCUGUUGUUGAGGACUUGGGGAUCUAUAUUGUAUCUUUUGACAGACCUGGUUACGGGGAAAGUGAUCCUGAUCCAAGUCGAACACUAAAGAGUAUUGCAUUUGAUAUAGAAGAGCUUGCUGAUAAGCUGGGACUAGGGUCCAAAUUUUAUGUAACUGGUCUCUCCAUGGGUGGACAGAUUGUUUGGAACUGCCUUAAGUACAUACCUCAUAGGUAUUAUUUACUCCGGUUAUUUGUAGUUCUGUUGACACCAAAUUUGAAGAAAAUAGAUUAUCUGUUAAAUUUCUGUUAGGAUCGGAAAAACCCUAACACCUUCGAAAGUGGAGGUUUCUCUUGGAUCAUAACAAUUUCUCUUUAGUAUUAUUUGCUCUAUUAUGCUUACAUGAUUACAUCUGCUUGCUUUUAUUUCAUACAGUGGUCAACCUCUGUAUUUCUCAGUACUCAAUUUUUACAAUGCUGACAGGCUGGCAGGUGCAGCUCUCUUGACCCCAGUUGUGAACUACUGGUGGCGUGGUCUUCCGGAAAACUUAACUACUGAAGCCUAUUACCAACAAAAACUACGAGACCAAUGGGCACUUCGUGUGGCUCACUACACACCAUGGCUAACUUACUGGUGGAACACUCAAAAAUGGUUCCCAGUCGCUAGUGCAAUUGGUGAUGUUCAAGGUGUCCUUUCAAAUCAAGACAAACUGCUUGUAUCUAAAGUAACUAAGAGAAAGAGUCAUGUGGUAAGUAUCCAGCAUUUAGGUGGUUACAACAUUGUGAAAUUCUUUUGCAUUCAAUACACUGAAUGAUUUAGCCUGAUAUUUUGUAUUGAUAAUCGGUUAAAUUCAUAUGAUUUGAUUUUGAAUUUUGUUGGGGAUUAUUUUGCCCAAGAUAAAAAAUCGCAUCAACUGCUGUGUGGAAUAUAUUGUUUAGAGUUAGACCGUAAUGGAUGAGUAGAUAUCUGCAUUUUUUGAAGUUUAUGUGAACAACUCUCACUAUUUAUUAUUCAUAUAUUUCUGAUUUCUCUGAAAUCAUACUCUAUUGUUGGUUUUUAAUUUUAAGCUGAGUAAAAAGCCGGUUAUAACUAUUGAAGUUAAUAGCAAAAUAUUCUAUCGUUAGUUAUGAAUAUUAAGGAUAUAUAAUAACAUAGAUAGACAGGAAAAUUGAAACUAUGAUCAUUAAUGCAUUUUAUCAAUACCAAUUUAGGAGUAGAUGCAACAUUUGUGGACAAAUAUUAGAUUGGUCUAUGCUAAAAUAAAUUUAAUAGUUUCCUCACCAACAUGCAAAAAUAGAAAACUUUCAAAAAGAUUAUUUGUAGGCUUUAGCAGUUUAGUGCCGACUAAGCUGGCACUAGAUUACUUUGUUCUUCAUUCAUCUCCAUUCAAUUCUAGUAGUAGUGAUUGCUGCUUUGAAAGGGAGCCUUAGCGCAACAGUUAAAAGUUGUUGCCAUGUGAUUGAGGUUAAGGGUUCAACUCAUGGAAACAAUCUCUUGUGUAAAUACAAGGUAAUGUUGCGUACAAUAGACCAUGUGGUUGGACCCUUCCCUGGACCUGCGCAUAGAGGGAGCUUUAAUGUUUAGGACUGCCCUCUUGAAGCAGUGACUGCUGCUUUGACAUGGAUAGCUGGGCAUAGCAUGCAAAUCAAUUAUCGUAAUUAGGGAUUUGGAAAUUCUAAAGUUUUGUGCAUGCUGCAUUCUUGUUGAAACACCACACAAUGGAUAUAGGUUAUCCCACUUAGUGAGAAAAGACCUCUAUUAUUGUUUUGUAUUCUUGUUGAAACAAGACGUUUAUUCUGAUACUUGUGCACUGUUUUAGUUGAUACUUGUUAGUGCUUGGUUAGCAUGUCCUUUUGGUAAUUGAUUUUAAAGCUAUCUGACUAUUGUAAAAGCCACUUUAACUUCUACAAGCACCCUUUUAGUAAUGAAUUUUUGUGAAUUUCUUCUACUGAUGAAUAAAUAUUAUGGUGAGAAUUGGGUUCAUUUGAGACCUGGUUGAUUAAAUUUUUUUUGGAAGGCGACCUGGUUGAUUAAUUGAGCCAUUGAAUUUCUAUUUAGCCUCGUUUUUAAGGAGUGUGCAUAAUAUUCUUCUGCUGUUUUGUCUUCGAUAAAUUUUUUUCCCAUGAUAUCUAAAUAACAUGCCUUGUUUCAGUUAGAAUAUUAACAAGGAUCUCUUUCAGCUCCUCCAAAACAUCAAUUUCUUUUUUCUUAUCUGAAAUUUCAACACAGAUUUAUAAUUUUUUUUUAUGUGGAUUCUGCACUGCAGGUGCAUGCAAGACAGCAAGGUGAAUUCGAAAGCCUCCACCGGGACAUAAAUAUUGGAUUUGGAAGCUGGGAAUAUAGUCCUUUGGAUCUUGAAAACCCUUUUCCAACUAAUGAAGGUUCUGUCCAUCUUUGGCAAGGAGAUGAGGACUUGUUGGUUCCUGUUACAGUGCAACGGCACAUUGCGCAAAACCUACCAUGGAUUCAAUAUCACGAACUUCCAGGUUCCGGUCACUUGUUCUGUCUUGGAGAUGGUAUUAGUGAUACUAUUAUUAAGUCCCUUUUAGGUGUGAAGUAAGCUUCUUUAUUGAUCACUUUCUGCUAUCUCAGAUCAGCUUCGACAUUUAAUAUCUUUGUUUUGGAGAAUUCAAACUGUUGUUGAUCUCGACAUGUAUGAUAAACCCAUUGAAUCACAUUGAGUACAUUUAACUGUACUUAAGAAUUAAAUUUGAGCUUUGCUGUUUUAUUUGUAAAUUUAUUUAACAGAAGAUGCAAAGUUUCUCUAUAGCCUCAUUUUGUUACUCUCAAAAUGACAUGAUGACUGUGAUGAUGGCCAUGUUCGGUUAUCUACGAUAUGAACUUCCUCAAACAUGUAAUUUAUAUGCAGCAAGGAUCAAGUUUUUGUAGGGUUAUAAAUAUGCAUAUUCUUGCUUUGAAUUUUCUCUUUAUGUAAUCAAAACCAUGUGCCCCACUUGGAAACGAAAUGGAAAAAAUGGUGGUUUUUUUAUAGUGAAUAUAUAGAUAUUUUAUUUUGAAGCUUAAUUUAUGUCAUGUUUGUUUUGGCUGUGCUGCUCAUGAUAUCUUUCAUUUGCUUUAUGAAUUCUGCUUCCCACAUCCUUUUCCCAUUUUCUUAAUUGGCAAUACCUUAUGAUUGCAACCAUCUCUUGCAAAACGCCUAUAAUGAAUUUUUAAGUUAGAUUAGUAAAAAAGAAAAAACGAAAAAAGAAAAUGUGUGCUGCACAUUUGGGGCCAGGUCUAUUCUUUGUCAUCAAUUAUAAUCAUCUGCUUAAACAUGUGCCAAAAAAGAACAUUCACAGCACCAUCACUUGAAUCUUAUCAUAUUUACUGCUUUUCUUUCUGUUGACCCCAAAGCAUAGUAAAGAAUUUUGAGAGAACACCACUCUCCCUUUCAUUGAUAUUCGUACCAAAUAUAUACAGAAGAUGAGUCAACUGUUACUCCUAAUAGACUCCUAUCAAAUCCCUAUGAUUAUGCAAAUUACAGCCUAAUACAUUCCUAAAUUAGAUGUACAAUAAUACAAGAACCUCUGACCAGAUUUGACAGCAAUUGUACAGCUAUAACAAUCCCAUAAUUAUCUCACUGCAUAAAUGACAGCAGCUGGACAGUGAUGAGAUAAUUCUAAAUUAUCUCAUUACCGUAAUUAUCUCAUUACCCCCCCUCAAGUUGGCGCAUGCAGAUUAUGAAUGCCCAACUUGGCCAUAAAAGAGGUAAAUUGUGAUCUUCCAAGUGCCUUUGUAAAUAUGUCAGCCAAUUGUGUAUGAGUGGAGACAUGAGUUGGUUGGAUGACCCCUUUAGCAAUCUCAUCUCGCACGAAGUGACAAUCAACUUCAAUGUGCUUCGUGCAUUCAUGAAAAACUGGGUUCUUGGCAAUAUGAAGAGCCGCUUGGCUAUCACAAUAGAUCUGUAUGGGUUGAGGAUGAUCAACACCAAGACAAGACAAAAUGCCCAGAAGCCACUUCAGCUCGCAAGUAGCGGUUGCCAUGGAACGGUACUCAGCUUCAGCUGAUGAGCGAGACACAGUAUGUUGCUUCUUAGUCUUCCAAGAAAUUGGUGACUGCCCCAAAAGCACAAACCAUCCAGUGAGAGACCUUCACGUUAAGGGACAGCCAGCCCAAUCUGAGUCGCACCAACCAUACAACUUUAAAUCACUAUCUUUUUGCAAAAGGAUUCCCUGCCCGGGACUCCCUUUCAGGAAGCGAACUACUCGCAAUGCUGCCUCCCAAUGCUCUUCUCGUGGCUUCUGCAUAAACUGAGAGAGAAUGUGCACACAAUAUGACAGUUCUGGCCGUGUAAAACACAGAUAGAUAAGUCUUCCUACCAAUCGUCGAUACUGGUCGGGGUUGGUAAUGAAACCACCAGUAGCAAGACCCAAGCGAUGAUUCUGUUCCAAAGGUGUGCUUGCUGGUUUUGCUCCAAGGAGUCCAGUUUCAGCAAUUAUAUCCAAUGCAUAUUUCCGUUGGCACAAAAAUAUACCAGUUGAGGAACGAGCUACCUCAACGCCGAGAAAGUACUUGAGAAUUCCCAAAUCCUUCAUAUGAAAGCAGGUGUUCAAAUAGCUCUUAAAUUGAGUGAUGGCUUCAUGAUUGUUCCCAGAGAUAAUAAGGUCAUCCACAUAUACUAGAACCACAAGUUGCAGUUCAGAUUUUUGCAACACGAACAAGGAGUAGUCGUAGAGGGAUUGUGUGAAUCCGUAGCUCUUGAGGGCAGUGGACAGUUUAGAGAACCAACACCGCGGAGCUUGUUUCAAUCCAUAUAAGGAUUUUCUCAGUUUGCACACCUUAUCAGAUUGCUGGACAGCAAAACCCGGUGGCAUUCUCAUGAACACCUCUUCCUGAAGCUCCCCAUGUAGAAAUGCAUUGUGUACAUCCAUUUGGUGAAGCUCCCAAUUUUUUGUUGCUGCAACAGCUAAUACUGUCCGAACUGUCACCAUUUUUGCAACAGGAGCGAAGGUAUCUGUGUAGUCUAUUCCUUCGACUUGAUGAUUUCCAAGAAUCACUAGCCGAGCUUUAAAUCUCUCCACUGUUCCAUCUGAUUUGUGCUUUAUCUUAUAGACCCACUUGCAACCAAGUGCUUUCUUUCCUAUGGGUAAGGAUGUCACUGUCCAAGUCCCAUUGGUUUCGAGAGCUUGGAUUUCACUACGCAUGGCUUCUCUCCAUCGACUAUCUUUUACAGCUUCAGCAUAGGUAUUGGGCUCUUGAUCUUGCAUGAUUGCUGCAAGAAAGGCACGAUGUGCAAAAUUGAAUCUGUUACAAUUUACAUAGUGUGUUAUAGAAUAAGGCGCACCUGAGGGAUGUGUUGGAGAGGAUGAACUUGAGAAUGGGCUCAACUUCUGGAUGGUGUUAGUUACAUAGUCACGCAGCCGUGUGGAAGGCAUUUUUAUUCUAUGUCCUCGCCCCAACGAACAAGACUGAUUGGGCACAACAUCUACUGCCGCGUGAGAGGUUCCAUUGCAUCCAUCACUUGGAUCUGUUGUGUUUGCAUCAAUUUCACCCCCCUGACUUCCACAUUUGGUUCAAUGUCUAAGGUGCUGUCCAAAACAUCUACACAGUCCUCAAGAUCCUCAACCAGUGCCUCAUUGUGCGAUGGUUUCUCUUGUGUAGGACCAUCAUUUUCAAAAGGAUAUUCUGACUCACAAAACUCAACAUCUCGUGAAACAAAAAAUUCCUUGGUUUCCAAAUCAAACAAUUUCCAACCCUUAUUACCAUAUGGGUAUCCAACAAACAAACACUUUCUACUCCUGCUAGCAAAUUUAUCUCCUUUCCUUCCUUGGUUAUGAGCAUAGCACAAUGAUCCAAACACCCUCAAGUGUUCCAAUUGAGGUGCUUGUUUGUGCAACACUUCAUACUGAGUUUUUCCUUCUAACAUAACAGAUGGUGUCCGGUUGAUCACAUAACCUGCAGUCAAUACACACUCACCCCAAAAAUCAAUAGGAAGAUUACUUUGAAAACGCAGUGCUCGUGCCACAUUCAAAAUAUGGCGAUGUUUUCUUUCAACCCUCCCAUUUUGUUGGGGUGUGCCCGUGCAGGAUGUUUGAAAAAUAAUUCCAUGAUCGAGAAAAUAUUUCUUCAUGCAAAUGAAUUCUGUUCCAUUGUCACUUCUAAAUGUCUUGACAUGUGUGUUAUAUUGCCUCUCUACCAAAGCAAAAAAAUUUAGUAGUGUUUGUGGAACUUCCCUUUUAUCAACAAGUGAAUAAAUCCAAACAGCGCGUGAGAAAUCAUCCACUAUUGUUAAGAAAUAAAAGGCACCACAUGAAGAAGGUGUUCUAUAUGGUCCCCACAAAUCACAAUGGAUUAAUUCAAAAGCUCCUGUGGCUCUGUGAUCACUCAAUGGAAACUUCUGUCUAGUUUGUUUGGCUCUAAGACAUACAUCACAAGCCUUAUUUGACAGCUCACAAUUCUUAAUUUUACUGACACUAGGAACUAGUUGCAUGAUUUUCCAAGAUGGAUGUCCCAAACGUCUAUGCCACAGUUCUGCGUGGUUCACCCCAUUAGUCUUGAAGGCCUUCACUCCUUGAAUUCCACGAAAGUAAUAAAGCCCAUUCCUUCGUUCACCCGCACCAAUCAGCAUCCUCGAAAUGCGGUCGUGCAUAACACACAAUUUUUUAGUAAUCAACAAGUUACAAUCUGUGUCGUCCACUAAUUGCGAUACUGAUAUCAAAUUGCAAUUCAGCUUGGGAGCAUAGAGAACAUGUGAGAGUUUUAAACCCCCAUCCAGCACCACGGUUCCUUCUCUGGUUGCAACAGUGUGCUUUCCGUCGGGAAGUCCUACGGGGCAAUCUUGAAUGUCAUGUAACUCACACAUGCUCUUCAAAUCCCCUGUCAUUAGAUGCUCCAGUGUCAAUUAUCCAUGGGUUGAUAUAAUGCUUACCUGUCAUCUUCUCACCGGUGUUUGCCUUUUGAGAAUUCAACAAUUCUACCAAUGUCUGCCAUUGUUCAGUGGUCAAUCCAGUAAUCCCAACUUUAUCUGCCUCUGUGAAGGAUGCACUUGCACUCCCUGCUGCACUAGUUACUGCAGCAUUAGCACGAACUGCUCCUCCUCUACCGCGUCCUAGUCCCAUCCGUUGAUCUGUCUUGGCUCGCGCAUCACCUUUUCCUCCAUUUUUUGGUCUGUCUCCCCACCAUUCAGGAUAUCCAAUCAACUGGAAACAGUUUGCAGCUUCAUGACCUGUUCUGUUGCAAACUUUGCAAGUCACAUUCUUGUCCUUUGUCUCUCCACGUCCUUUUCCUCUGUUGCUUGAUUGAACAGCCAGUCCCACGACCUCUCCUCUUUCUUCCUUGGCCCGAGUGAUUGUUCUCACCCUUUCUUCUUGUAUUAGAACUGAAUAUACCCUAUUCAGAGAAGGCAAUGGAUCUGUCGCCAAGAGAUUGGAACGCACAGUUCCAUAAGUUGCAUCAUCCAAACCCAUGAGAAACUGAUGCACCUUUUCAUCCUCCCUGCGUUUCUCCAACUUAGAUUUGAUAUUGCACUUGCAUCCUUUGCAUGUACAAAUCAGAAUCUGGUCAUAGUUGGCUAACUCGUCCCACAACAUCUUCAGUUUUCCAUAAUAGGCUACCAUUGACAUUCCUUCUUGCUUACAACUUGCCAAAUCAGAUUUCAGCUGCUGUAUUCUUGGACCAUUGAUGACUGCGAAUCGUUCCUUGAUGUCUUCCCAGAGAUCCUUAGCAUGUUCGCUAUAAGUCAUUGUAGAACGCAAGCUUGGUUCUACGGUGUUCAGGAUCCACGAUACCAACAUGGACUGAACUGUCCACCAGUCCUCCAGAUCUAUUGAUCCUUCCUCUGGUUGCUCUAUUGUUCCAUCUACAAAUCCCCAUUUUCUUCGAGCACGCAACGAAGUUCUCAUCGAACGUGCCCAUUCGUCAUAGUUUUCUCCACGAAGCUUCACCUGGGUGAUUAUGUUUCCAGGAUUAUCACUGGCGUUGAGAUCAUAUGGUGAGGGAAUUCUCUUCCCUUGGUCGACAGGUUGUUUGACACUUCCUGCCGCCUUUGGAUCUUCUUUUUCAGGCCCUGAGUUUUCUUGCUCUGAUGCCAUAAAGAAUUUUGAGAGAACACCACUCUCCCUUUCAUUGAUAUUCGUACCAAAUAUAUACAGAAGAUGAGUCAACUGUUACUCCUAAUAGACUCUUAUCAAAUCCCUAUGAUUAUGCAAAUUAUAGCCUAAUACAUUCCUAAAUUAGAUGUACAAUAAUACAAGAACCUCUGACCAGAUUUGACAGCAAUUGUACAGCUAUAACAAUCCCAUAAUUAUCUCACUGCAUAAAUGACAGCAGCUGGACAGUGAUGAGAUAAUUCUAAAUUAUCUCAUUACCGUAAUUAUCUCAUUACAUAGUUAGCUAAGUAGUGAGAGGUGAGAUAUUUGGAUGUGGGAGGUUUAUGCUGCAUAGUUAGCUAGAAUUCAUCUAUAAAUAGGGGAUGCGAUCAUUUGUGACAACAAUAACUCAAACCAUCAAUACACAAUAAAUUUUUAGCAUAUCUACGUUUACUCUGCUUUCCUUUGCUUUAUGCCUUUCAUUUCUGUUUCAACUUUAAAGUUCUUUUAUUCAUUUUCCUUUAGCAGUUUGCUUUACUUUCCUAGCCUUUUACCUUUUACCUUUUACCUUUUACCUUAGUUGUUUUUCUUCUCAGUUCACUUCCUACUUCUCAAUAGUGGCUAAUUAAGAGUUCUUUGGAAUAUCUUAAAAAUUUUCAUUAAGGAACAAAAUCUCUUCUUUAAACAACUAAUUAGGGAAUUAACCUAGUUAGUUAUUUGACCGAUCCACAUUAGCCAAAUUCCCUAUAAUAUUUAUUCAAACCAACACUUUCUUUGAUAUUGUUGAUUGCUGUUUUUUUUAUAAUUUUUUUAUAGGCAAAUGUUAGUUGUUAAUAAUAUUAGUAAAUUAUAUCUUUCACCAGGUUUGAACCCUGACCCGAACACCCUUCAUUCCCUCAUCCAUACCACUAAUGUUAAUUGACAAUUUUGAAACUCUGAUUUGUAUGUAGCUCAAGUCCCAGAGACUUAAGUUUACGGAGAAAAAUGAAAAAAAUAGUAUAUUAAAAUUUUAAUUUCUGGCACCUAUUUUGAGAUUCAAACCCGAUAAACAAUUAAAUCAAGGAUAUUCUUGGAAAUUACUAUAUGUGAGUGGAUGGUGGAUUUGGGUUGGGGGGUGGUGUUUUUAACAUCCCUUCCAAAGUUUGACUUGAUUGGAGAAGAAAAUAAUUGAGGACAUUUGACCAGCAAAGAAUCAAACGGGGGUAUCUACAAAAUAGUCUUCGCUCCACAAUACUCUCUAUCUGAUCCAUUUUGUAGAUCUGACUUCGUGGGGUGCAUCUGAAACAAAACUUCCUCGAUAUCCUCCAUAGUAAACGGAGCCGACAAAAGAGUAGAGUGACAAGCUAUCACUCUGUUCGCAACCAAUGAUACUACCUCAUCGAUCCCAGAAGUAAAGGUAGAAAAAAAUUCAUAAAAUAGCUCGAAAGAACACGAGGGAUAUCCAUAUCCUGCACAAACUCACGCCCUGCUCAUCCUUGAUCAUGCCUAUCAUAUUCCGCUUCCUCUUUCGAGAUACUUUUUGGUAGAAAAAUCUAGUGUUCUUAUCUCCAUGGCGCAACCAUGUAGCUCUUGACCUCUGACUCCAACCCACCUCCUCUUGCUCAAGAAGCUGAUUAAGCUCUCUCCCUCUCUCUCUCUCUCUCUGUAUCUUGGACAACUGAUAAAACCUGCUUAGACUACACCUGCCUCUGAUGAUUGUGAAGAAGAACCCUUGCAUCAGAGAACUUCUUUCAAAUUCCCAAAUUGUUGUUGUCCCCAGCUGAGCAACGCUGCACCAAGCUAAUCAAUUUUAGCAAUGACACUCGACCUAGACCCACACCAAGAGUCGACAAUGAUCUUUGCACAAGCCUCCCCUUCCUAGAGCCACAAUUCCUCAAACAGAAACAUUCUCUAACGCCUCGUCUCUGUCCUCAAACGGUUAGACCCACAAUUAAAGCAAAAUAGGAUUGUGGUCAAAGCGAUACCUGGGCAAGUGAGCAACCAAGGAUACCAACCACAAAACAUCCCACACAUCAUUAACCAGUACGUAGCCCAAACUCAUCAAUCAUCGCAGAGGCUUUUCGCUUAUUUGACCAAGUAAACAUGUAGCCCAAGUCAACAUCAUCAAGACCAUGGGUGCCUUGAGAAUUCAGUUUAUGAAACCAAGGGUAUUCUUGGAAAUUACUAUGUGUAAGUGGGUGGUGGGAUUCUCCAAGCAAAGCAACAAAACGAGGACGUUUGACCGUGAUAUUCAAAUUAAACAAAAGAAUCAAUUGUUGGAGUCUCUACACAGCACUGUCUUCACAGUUCUCUCACUCUGAUCCAUUUCUUAGACCUCUCUUUGAUUUGUGAGUCUCGCUAUGGCCACCGGAGUCAGCAGAAAAAUUUCUGCAGCAUCAGCCCGUUCUCACACCAGGAGGACAAAGAAAACCAGCUCGUUUCAGCUCCCUUCAGGUGAGUCAUGCUGCAACUUUAGAAAUGAGGUUACAAUCCAAAACAAGGAAACUUCGUAAAAAUCGAUGGAAUUUAUUAGUUGUUGUUAGAAAAAUUAUACAAAACCAUCAGAGCCUUUUACCCAACAGCUUAAGCUUUUGGGUAAUUGGUUCGUGACGUGGUAUCAGAGACUCUAUGACUGUUCGUGACGUGGUAUCGGACUGUGGUAUGAGUCAGGGUUGUUAAUGGCGGAUAGCGUAGUGUAGUGGCAAGCCAAAAAAACGCUAUUUUGAGGGCUAUUGCGGCUCUAUAGUGGCAAAUAGCGGUGAAUAGUGGAAUAACGGUGAACCCCUAGGGACGCUAUAGGCUAUGGCGCCGCUAUAGCGCGCUAUUAACAAGCCUGGUCCGAGCAGUUAAGGAUUGAGUUGUAUUAGCCGUUAGUUUGUUAAUAUAGAGAGCCAGCUGCUAUAGGAAGUUACAAGCUCGGGUAGUUAGUAGCAGAUCAGUUACUUUCCUAUAAGUAGGGGGAAUUCUGGGAAUAGAAUCUGGUGGGAGAGACCUGGCCUCAAUAACAGUGUUCUUCAAUAAGAGAAGUUUAUUCUCUCAUUUCUGUGUCUGUUCAUCUCUUACCUUCUCCCGGAUCCUGUUUCUAUCAGUCAGUUGGUUAAUUUGUUAGUUAGUUAGCAAAGCCAGUUUGCUUCCAUUACACGAGAUCCUACUCUAUAUAAACGAAACACCCCGCUCCUUAUUCACCGAUGAUAUUAUAUUAGAUCCAAUUUUCCUAUGCUAAAUUUCUAGUUGAUGGUAUGGUAUCCUAGCUCCAUCUUUGUUGCCUACUCAACUCAUGUCCCCAAGAAACUCCAAUCAACUAGUUUUGAGUGUCUCAGUCUUAUACUCAAUCCAUCGCGGAGUCCAACUUCCCCGUGCUAUCUCUAUCCUUGAGAAAAUCUACCUGUUGUAUUGGUUAGUCCCCCUCUCUCAGUUGAGAACUGUCAUGCAGGGAAAGAUCCAUGAAGAGAGAACUGAUUUCUAUGAAAUUCCAAUUUAUGGAUAGUAGGCAUUUGGUUCGUGAUAGAUUUGAUCCUAGUAUCGAUGCUUGGGAAAUGUGUAACAAUCUAGUUCAUUCACGACUAAUGUGGUUGCUCAAAGUUUACUCUAUAUAGAUAUAUCUUCUAAAGUGUGGAAUGAUUUAAGUGAAGGAUUUUCCCAAGGUGAUUUGGAUAGAGUUGCGGAAUUACAGCAAGAGUUGUAUAGUUUCAAGUAGAACUCUUUGUCAGUUACAAACUACAUUACUAAGCUCAAAACCCUCUAGGAAGAAUUGGAACAAUACAGGUCAACUCUUCCAUGUGUCUGUUCUGUUAAGUGUGGCUGAUUCUUGAUGGGAUUAACUGAGUAAUUUAGCGUUUUUGAUCUCAAGUAUUACUUAAGGAUCCUUUGCCUCCUUUAUAUCGUAUCUUUUCAAUGGUUAUACAACAUCAGAGGAAGCGUGAAGUGUGAACUUGUACCUGAAGAAGAUUCACAAGCUAUGAUCAAUGCAACUGAAGGAAGAAACUCAUAUGGCAGAAGGGAAGUCCUGCUGUUCUGGAGAGCGUGGCUUGGACUUGGAUAUGAAAAGCUAUAUAAUAUGAAAACAAUGUAGAUUGUGAAGGUUAUCAAAAAUGUCUCUCAUAUUUGUUCGGUAGUAUUAUUUAUUAGUAUUUUAUUUUGUUUUUCUUCGAUGGAUGGCGCUUAUGAUUUUUUCUGAAUUAUUUGUGUUGUGUGGGCAUUUUCUUUUGGGAAAAUCCUUAAGUAAAAACCAUUUUCUAAUGCUGCAUAGCUAAGGAUGUCUCUCUCAUUGGUAUGUGUAUAGACUCUCCUCGGCAAUUAAUCUCCUUGUCAUUUCAGUGUACUGCAGUUAAUCUCCUUCCCUUUGGUAUUGCAAAUGUUUCUUCUAUCUAUAUCAUUUUGAAUAACUUUUGAACGUUGGAGACCGAAACCCCCAACCCGUGAAGGGUCGACCCGGGUUUUACUUUUUUCUGGCUCACCUAAAAGUGAGCCGGGUUGACUUGACCCUUUCACCUCCAACCUGUGGUGAGCUGGAUCGGCCCACUUUGAUAACUCCACUACCUUACAUAGAAUUUUUCAAUUACAUCGGCACAUCCAUCAACUUAAUAUUAAUAAUGCCAUUUUACACGGGGAUCUUGAAGAGGAUGUCUACUGGGUGAUUCCCCCAGGAGUUUCUUGUGAUGCUCCCAAUAAGACUUGCAAGCUGCUUAAGUCAUUAUAUGGACUCAAACAAGCUAGCUGUAAGUGGUACCAGAAGCUCUCCUCUCUCUUACUUCAAUGUGGAUACCUCCAAGCUCUCUUAGAUUAUUCUUUAUUUGGUAAAGUGGCUUCUGGAAGUUUUACAGAUCUCGCCAUCUAUGUGGAUGAUAUCAUCCUUGUUGGAAAAUCAUGACAUGAGCUGCAAUCAAUCAAAUCUACUCUUCAUGUGCAGUUUGGCAUCAAGGAUCUUGGAGUUCCUAGUAUUCUUGGGCCUCGAGGCUGCCACACAACUCAGCCAGCUCCUUCAUUGUCCAACGAGAACUCAUUUCAAAGCUCCCCAGCAUGUUCUUCACUACUUGAAGGGUGGACACAGCGGGGGGCCCUUCCCCCACUCUUUGUAAAGUGUAGGACAAUUCUCACCUCUGAGCUAGCUUUUGGGGUAGAGUUAGCUCAAAUUCAAAGAUGAUAUUAGAGUCAAUCCUAGAUCCCUUGUUGGGGCCAUCCCUGAUGGGCCACUUGUUGAAGUUUAAAUUUCAAUAAUCCACUUGACCCGCAACUGUCAAAAAAAUCAAAUGAAUUCAAUCUGGCCCAUGAGCUAUUUCAGGAGAAUUUAUGUAAUUUAAUCUAGCCCCAUAGAUACCCCUUGAUGGAGAUGAUGGCAUUUUGAUAAAAAUAUGACGCUAGUGAUCUCCGCGCUCCACAUGUCCAACACUGGGCGUGGGGGGUGAGUUAAGACCCCGCAUUGACUAGAAAUACAGCUGAAGAAGUCCUUAUAAAAGGUAGGACAAUACUCACCCCUGACCUGAGCUAGCUUUUGAGGUAGAGUUUGGCCGAACCCGAAUUCUAAAAGUGGGUCUUCUUCUUUGGUGACUUUCUUAUAUAUUUGCUUUCCAAAAAGUAACAAACAGUAGCCAAAUUAUGUUAUGAAGGGGAGUAUCCUGCAUUGGCAGCAGCUACCAGUGAGCUCCUGUGGCUGUCAUAAAUCUUGCCAGAUCUUUCUGUCAUUUGUGCUAAGUAGACUGUUCUUUAUUGCGACAACCGCAAUGCACUCCUUAUCACGGUCAUCACCGUUUGUCAUGAGAGAACUAAGGGCCUUGACAUAUAUUACCAUACAGUUAUGUAAAAAUCCUUGUUACCAACAAAAUUUCAGCAUCUUUUUUCCAAGAUGGGGUUGGUGGAUAUCUACCCCCUCUAUCUUGUGGGGGCUGUUAUCAAGUUAGUCGUAAUGUUGGUUCAAUCAGUUAGUAUGUUAAUUCAGUCAUGUAGGUUGUUCAUUAGUUAGCCAAGCGGCUUCAGUUACACAAGACCCUACUCUAUAUAAAGAAAACACCCUGCUCCUUAUUCAGUAAAUGAAAUCCGAUCUGAUUUUCCUAUGUUUAGUUCCUUGUUGACGUUUGCUGGAAACAAACCUAGACCUUUUAAGUAAUUUCUUCGGUUCAUACCAACUGAAACCAACCCUAGUGGGCCUUAAUAUGAGGUUUAUAGCUAGUCCUACCUGUGCUGAGAAUAGGGUAAUCAGUAACUUGUUUUUUGAUAUUUUUGUGAUUGACUUGGACACUGCAAAUGGUUAUUUAUGUUUUAAUUUCUAAUUAUCUGCUUUUUUUUUUUUUUGAUUUGCUAAUACAAACUCAGGAAUUCUUAGAACAACACUAGCAGUGUUGUUUAUUGGGUUUCUAGCAUGGGCUUAUCAGGCUAUUCGACCUCCUCCUCCCAAGAUAUGUGGCUCUCCUGAUGGACCGCCUGUAACAGCACCAAGAAUCAAACUAAGAGAUGGAAGGCAUUUGGCUUACAAAGAGCAUGGCGUUCCUAAAGACACAGCCAAGUAUAAAAUCAUCUUCGUCCAUGGUUUGGGUAGUAGCAUACAUGCUUCACCAGUUGCUGAAACCCUAUCACCUGUAAUUAUUUAUGUUAUGUUUUUCUGUCUUUCAUAGAAUUCUUUGAUAUCUUUUUAGUUUUUAAUAUCUAUAUCUGUUGUCGGCAUUUCCAGCAUGUUGCUGAGGACUUGGGGAUCUAUAUUGUAUCUUUUGACAGACCUGGUUAUGGGGAAAGUGAUCCUGAUCCAAAUCGUACACCAAAGAGCAUUGCAUUUGAUAUAGAAGAUCUUGCUGAUAAGCUGGAGUUAGGGUCCAAAUUCUAUUUAACUGGUCUCUCCAUGGGUGGACAGAUUGUUUGGAGCUGCCUUAAGUACAUACCUCAUAGGUAUUAUUUAUUCCGGUUAUUUGUAGUUCUGUUGACACUAAAUUUGAAGAAAAUAGAUUAUCAGUUCUAUUUUUCUAUUGUAUUAUUUGCUCUUUUAUGCUUACAUGAUUACAUCUGCUUGCUUUUAUUUCAUAGUGGUCAACCCUCUGUAUUUUUCAGUACUCAAUUUUUACAAUGCUGACAGGCUGGCAGGUGCAGCUCUCUUGACCCCUGCUGUGAACUACUGGUGGCGUGGUCUUCCAGGAAACUUAACUACUGAAGCCUAUUACCAACUAAGACUACGAGACCAAUGGGGAUAUCGUGUGGCUCACUACACACCAUGGCUAACUUACUGGUGGAACACUCAAAAAUGGUUCCCAGUCCUCAGUGCAAUUGGUGAUGUUCAAAGUGUCCUUUCACAUCAAGACAAACUGCUUGUAUCUAAGAUAACUAAGAGAGAGAUUUAUGUGGUAAGUAUCCAGCAUUUAGGUGGUUACAAGAUUGUGAAAUUCUUUUGAAUUCAAUACACUGAAUGAUUUAGCUGAUAUUUUGUAUUGAUAAUUGGUAAAAUUCGCAUGAUUUGAUUUUGAAUUUUGUUAGUGAUUAAUUUGCCAAAGAUAAAAAACCGCGUCAACUGCUUUGUGGAAUAUAUUGUUUAGAGUAAGACCGUAAUGAAUGUGUAGAUGUAUGCACUUUUUGAAGUUUAUGUGAACAAGUCUCACUACUUAUUGUCAUAUAUUUCUGAUUUCUCUGAAAUCAUACUCAUUUGUUGUUUUUUAUUUUAAGCUGAGUAAAAAGCCAGUCUUAACUUUUGAAGUUAAUAGCGAAAUAGUCUAUUGUUAUUUAUGAAUAUUAAAGAUAUAUAAUAACAAACAUAGAAUAGACAGGAAUGUUGAAACUAUGAUCAUUAAUGCAUUAUAUCAAUACCAAUUUAGGAGUAGAUGCCACAUUUGUGGACAAAUAUUAGAUUGUUCUAUGCUAAAAUAAAUUUAGUAGUUUCCUCACCAACAUGCAAAAAUAAAAACAUUUCAAAAAGAUUAUCUGUAGUCUUAAGCAGUUUAUUGCUGAUUAAAUCGGCACUAGAUUACUUUGUUCUUCAUUCAUCUCCAUUCAAUUCAAGUAGUAGUGAUUGCUGCUUUGAAGGGGAGCCUUGGCGCAACAGUUAAAAGUUGUUGCCAUGUGAUUGAGGUUAAGGGUUCAACUCAUGGAAACAGCCUCUUGUGUAAAUACAAGGUAAGGUUGUGUACAAUAGACCAUGUGAUCGGACCCGUCCCUGGAACCUACGCAUAAGUGGGAACUUUAAUGUACCGGACUGCCCUCUUUGAAGUAGUGAGUGCUGCUUUGUUUCAGUUUCAGUUAUAAUAUUGACAAGGAACUCUUUUACCUCCUAUUAAACAUCAAUUUCUUAUCUCAAAUUUCGACAGAAAUUUACUAAUUUUUGUAAGUGGAUUCCGCAGGCGUAUGCAAAACAGCAAGGUGAAUUCGAAAGCCUCCACCGGGACAUAAAUAUUGGAUUUGGAAGCUGGGAAUAUAGUCCUUUGGAUCUUGAAAACCCAUUUCCAACCAAUGAAGGUUCUGUCCAUCUUUGGCAAGGAGAUGAGGAUUUGUUGGUCCCUGUUACACUGCAACGACACAUUGCGCAAAACCUACCAUGGAUUCAAUAUCACGAACUUCCAGGUUCCGGUCACAUGUUCUGUCUUGGUGAUGGUACAAGUGAUAUUAUUAUUAAGUCUCUUUUAGGUGUGAAGUAAGCUUUAUUGAUCACUUUCUGCUAUCUCAUAUCAGCUUCGACAUUUAAUAUCUUUAUUUUGGAGAAUUCAAAUUGUUGUCGAUCUCGACAUGUAUGAUAAACCCAUUGAAUCACAUUGAGUACAUUUAACUGUACUUAAGAAUUAAAUUUGAGCUUUGCUGUUUUAUUUGCAAAUUUAUUUAACAGAAGUAGCAAAGUUUCUCUAUAGCCUCAUUUUGUUACUCUCAAAAUGACAUGAUGAGUGUGAUGAUGGCCAUGUUCGGUUAUCUACGAUAUGAACUUCCUCAAACAUGCACUCCCUCCGUUCAUUUUGUUUUAGCAUAAAACUCUCUAACAAGAUAGUUGAUUGAUAGAGUUUUUUCUCAUUCUACCCUCUCACAUCUCAAUCAUAAAGUCAUAAAGCUCUCCAACCAAGAUAGUGGAUGGUUAGUUUUUUUUCCCACUCUCAUAUCAUUGAAGUAAUUGGAAUGAGAGUUAUUGAGAAAGGAGAAUUUUAUGGAAAAUGUAAAGUGGAGUUAUUGAAAAAGAGUAUAAUUAACAAAUUGUAACCUUAAAAUACCAAAAUUGACAGUUAAAUAGGAAUAAAAAAAUCUUCUAAAACGACAUUAAGAAAGGAAUGAAGGGAGUAAUUUGUAUGCGGCAUGCAAGGAUAAAUAUUUUGAAGGGUUAUUUUUUUUAGUUACAAAAAUGGUAGAACGGAGAAAAAGCACCUUCAGACUAUAGGCAAGCAGAAGCCCACUCCUAAAAGGAGCGCCGAGGAUUUCCCCGAGGAUUGUAGGGUUAUAAAUAUGCAUAUUCGUGCUUUGGAUUUUCUCUAUGUAAUCAAAACCAUGUGCCCCACUUGGAAACGAAAUGGAAAAAGUGGUGGUGUUUUGUAGUAAAUUUAUAGAUAUUUUACAAUAAUUAUUUAUUCACACCUCAAAAUGAGGUGGAAUGAGGUGGAGGAAGAGAGAGAUAGAAAGAAAAGAAAAAGUAAGAGUGAGAAAGUAUAAGAUGUGAUAGAUAAUAAGAGGAGAGAGAUAGAAAUAAAAAUAGGUGGAAAUGAAGUUGUUUACGGUGGUUUUUAGUAAACAAAUAUCCUCUUAGUUCGACUAAAGGAAGUUUAGAUUCAGGGUCCUUUUGAGAAAACGUUUUGCCAAAGUGUUGUGUGUGAGUUGAUAUUUUUCGACAACGAUGAACAAUUCAAAAGAAACUGGAUUUUAUUAAACACGGAUCAAUUACAUGAAGAUCAAAGUGUAACAAAGCAAAAUGAAAACUGCAAGAAACGUAAAUUUCAACAGGAAACUAAACGACAGGACUGGUAAAUGACAAGCUUAAAUGCAAGAAAGAUAAACAGCUGGUUCUGCAACGUACUCCUCCAUCAUCACGUCUUGCUCCUUGAGUCUCAUUGAUGCGGACAUUAGAGCUUUUUAGUGAGUUUUUCAUAGUUGAGUUGGGAACCCCUUUUUUUACUUGAAUUCUCCUAUUUAUAGAGCUCCAUGUCCCGCUUGUUCUUAGCGAUUUUCUUCUUCUUGGAUGGGUUAGUGGGUCUGAUUUUAUCUUCCCACGAUCUGAUGCUGGCUCUGGAAGUUCUUUGCGUAGUAGUGGAGAUCGUGUGCCUCAACUGCUUCAACCACUUCUUGGCCACAUACUCAGCCAUCGUGGUGAGAAACCGACUCGGUCAAUGCUGCACAUGUUAAAUGUGCCCGUGUUUAUAGCAACGGUUCCCUUUGUCGAAUUCGACUGCCUCUUUAUCUUAGCGCAUUUUUCCUUUCCUUUCUUUAGUCCAUGUUCGACUGCCUUGUGCGCUUUGGGCCGAAUGUCUUUGGGCCAAAAUAUUGGGCCAACAGAAGUGUAUAAAAAAAUAGGUGUGUAUAUAUUAUUACCCGAUAUUUUAUUAUGAAGCUUAGAAAUGUCAUGUUUGUUUUGGCUGUGCUGCUCAUGAUAUCUUUCACUUGCUUUCUGUAUUCUGCCUCCCACAUCCUUUUCCCAUUUUCUUAGUUUGCAAAACCUUUAUGAUUGCAACCAUCUCUUGCAAAAACGCCUAUAAUGACUUUUUAAAGUUAGAUUAUUAAAAAAUAAAAAAAUAUAAAAAAAGAAGUGCGGCACAUUAGGGGCCAGGUCUAUUCUUUGUCAUCAAUCAUCAUCUGCUUAAACACGAUCAGAACAUUCAAAGCACCAUCACUUGAAUCUUAUCAUGUUUACUGCUUUUCUUUCUGUUGACCCCAAAGCAUUUGAACGACUCAGCUGAACUUUGGUUAGCUGAAGAAGUUAUAGCCGUCAGCCGAUUUGAGAGCAAUGGUUUUGACAGCGAAAUAGCCGUAGUAGAAGAAAGCUUUGCACACAAUUGAACAAGUAUCAUUAUGAAAACUUAGGAUAAGGAUUAUCAUGAAUCCUUAGGUUUUUAUGAAUAGAAAUCAAAAUUGUUCUAUAAUGAUACUAUUUUUUAGUAUCAAAGCAACACUUUCUUUGAACCAUCACUUUCUUUGAUAUUACUAUUAUUGUUAUUCUUGGGAGAGUGGAAGGGAUUGAUUGUUGCUUUAGGUUCUCAAAGCAAGCUAAUGUGAACUAACUGCACUCCAUUCUUCAUUUAUAGUAGUAGUACAAUGGUAAUAACACAGUGGGAGAAGGGGUGGGAUUUUGAAAAAACUCAAAACAAAGAAAGAAGAAAGAAAACUUAAACCCCAAGAUAUAACUCAAACUCUGAGAGGAAAUGCAGAAGAGGACUAUCUUUUUUAGUGAUCUACCUACCUAGCUUGUUUGGGAUCAAAUUUCCUUCUCAUGGUUCCAAUCUGCUUAGAACUCAAUCCAAAAGCCUUUUGCAAAAGCUCCUCAUCAAUCCCGGAACCAAACACAGCAGAAGGUAUCUUCUGCAUACCAGGAUUCUGGCUAUUGAAACUUCCAAACAGCGUUGCAGGCUCAUCACCAACAUUCAUCAGAAAAUGCAUAAGCCCUCUGGGAAACACCAUAACCUCGCCUCGUUCGAGCAUUCUAUCAAACACCCUGUUGCUGGAAUCCACAAAACCUGCAUACACCUUCCCCUGCACCACAUGAACAAGUUCCGUGGCUCUUGGGUGAAAAUGCGGCGAGUUGAUGCCUCCAACUUCAAUAUCUGCUCUUGUGAACGACAUGCCAAGAGUGUUGAGACCUGGGAAAUUGGUGGGAGUUGCGGAUACCACAGCGAGUCCUAUGUCUGAGAAGUUCCCCGCGGCUUUCAUGCCGGAGAAGACAAAGUCAUCGGUGGGGGCCCAAGGGAGAAUGGUGUGGUGAGGAGUUUUUAUGGAGGCAAAAGUUGGGUUUGGUAUGCAGAAGUCUUGAACUGGAUCAGGGUCUGAGGCCAAUGUGAUUGUUACUUUGAGGGAGAGAAUAGCAAGGAAAAGCCAAAGGGUCUUUCUUGAGUACAUUUUUCUCUUGUCUUGCUUUCUUCCUUUUUGGGUGAGGGGCAACUUGUUUGUUGAAUGUGAGUUGAGUAGGCUUAUAUAGAAGUCAGAAUUGCUAUUUGGCUAUUGGUUUCAUGUGGUACUUGGUUCUCCUAGUAAAAGGUACCGCGUUCGAGUAUUGUCUAUGAAAAAACUCAUAGAGAGCUAAUCCCACGAUAAUGUGAAUAUGCAGCUCGUAUAUGAUUCCUUUAUGUGGAGGAUAUAACUGUGUUAGGUAAAAAAUUAUUGAAAUCAGAAUAAAAAAAAGAUUUAUAGCUAUUAUACAAACUUUCAGAAGGUAUCUUACAAGUUACAAGUUUGAAAUUAACUACAUCAGGCCAUUGAAAUGAUUACAUGGUGGUAUAAGAUACAAAAGCUUUAUUACAGGAUCUAAGGCACAUGUUCUGUAUAAUUAAUGUUUCUAAACCAAAAUUCUAGCAAAUACAGUCCUACUCAUGGUCAACUCUUAUAACAAGUACACUGUUUACCAUAUUAUGAUGAAAAGAAACCUUAUUUAGAUGAGCUAACAGUGAUUAAAUCAUAAGCUAUUCCACGCCUUGUAUAAAGCGGCGCUGACAAGAACCAUGAUUAAAAUGAUUAAUUAAGAAUCUGUGUUUCUUUAUUUAACAGGCAAUAUAUACACCCUGCUUGCACCACCACUAGCAUUAAGAUGUGUUGCCAAAUGCUGGUUCUUUAGAAAACCAUUCAUUUCAUAUGCUAUGCUCAUGCCAUACACUCAUCGAUUAUAUUGGGCUGUUUCCCAUUGCUUUGCUUGUUUCUGAAGCAAAGCAUGCGAUAGAGUUGGAAAAAUCAGAAAUGAUGAAUUUUAAUCCACGCAUUGGUGUGACGUGAUUAUAUGUCAGCAAUAGGCCAGAAAAUGAAAAACAAGGAUAAAAGGAAAAUGCUAUAAAAUAAUUGAGGAUAGGCCAGUGAGAAUAACGGUCUUUAUGUGCAUUCCAUACCUUUAUUAUUGUCUCUGGUGGAUGGUUCGGAAAUCCGAUUAUGACUUUGUUUGCCGAAAGGCCAGUGUACUGUGUAACUGAUUGAUAUACAAAACAAAAAUGCAAGUAUUCUUCCUCUUAUAAGUAGUGUUGGCUUUAAUACUAACUAGGAAAAAAUAGACGCAUCGUCGCAGCUAUCAUUAAAUGGUCUGAAGCUAAUUUUUAACUUCGGUUAUGAGGUUGACGCUCUGCUUCAACCUCAAUUUAGCAUAAUCUAAACCAACGCAACUUACUUAGCAUAAGAGCCGACACAAAUUCGUAAUAUUUAACUUCAGUCGUUUAUGCCCACUAUAAUAUUCUAAUGCUAACGACGGGAUCGAGUUCAUUUUAAUUCAUGUUGGCAUUCGGCUGUAUGUUGUUUUUUCACAAUUUUUUUCACAAGCCUAUAUAGUUGUAUGCUGGACCUCUUUUACAUAGGAGGAUGAGUUUCUCAUUUUAAUGGUCUUUCAUUUGUUGGGGUUGGCUUCAAUCACUCUAUGAGUGAGCAUGAAUCCUAGAAAUUUCUCUCAAUGUCCCCUAAAUGUGAACUUUUCAGGGUUUAACUUCAUAUUAUGCAUCGUGAGUUCGUCAAAGAUUUCCUGAAGAUCCUGUGUAAAGGAUGCCUCCUGGACCGACUUUACCACAAUCUCGUGCGCAUAUACCUCGAGGUUCCUUCCUAUUUGGUUUUGGAAGACCUUGUCCAUCAAGAACUAAUUAUUUCUCGUUAGAGAGCAUGACACGAUGAUAAUAAUUGGCCCUGUAAGUCAUAAACAUUGUCUUCUUUUCAUCCAAGGGGUACAUACAAAGAUGGUUGUAGUCUGAAUAAGAGUCUAUAAAGCUAGGUAAUUUAAAUCAUGAUGCCACACCCACUAACCUUUCAAUGCUUUGAAAAGGACAUGAGUCAUUGGGAUAUACUUUGUUCAGAUCGGUAAAGUUCACACACAUUCGCCACUUCCCAUUGGAUUUUUUGACCAUGGUUAUGUCUUCUAACUGAGAGGGGUACUUUAUUUCUUUCACAAAUUAUGCCUUCUUCAACCUUUUAGUCCCUGCCAUCAUUUCCUUUCAUUUCUUUUCUCCGAAACUACUCUUCCAUUGCCUAGUUGGUUUGACAUCCGAGUUGAGGUUUAACUUGUGACAAAUGAGAUUCGAGUUGAUUCUGUGAUAUCACUAGCCUUCCACGAGAAGAUAUUAAUGUGUUGCUUCAUGAACUAGAUGAGUUCCAUCUUGGUGGGCUCGUGUGGUUUGGAUCCGAUCUUUGUGGUUUGAUCGACCAAUCUGAACGGUCUUUAGUUUCUUUUAGGGUUUUGGCCUUUUCUCUACCAUGAAAUAGCUUCGGGGAUCAACAUGAAUUGGGACAUCUCUACAAGCCCACGUUCGGACUUACCCUUCAAGGAUUAUCUCUCUAUUGGUGUCUUCAAUUGUCCUAGUAACCCUUCCAAGCUGACUCUCGGUUUUCUUUUAGAGCACCUAUCUCAUCGUUCUUUAAAGGAUAUUUCAUGGUGAGGUGGAAGGUGGAAAUGAUGGUGCAAAAUAAACUCAAAGGAUCUCUCGUACUGAAAAUAUUGUAAGAAGACGACGCAUUCACCACAAAUUUUUUAUUUGCACCACCUUGGCCAAAUCUCCCACUCUAAAGGUUGUCUAAAGUUUAAUGUAGUCGUGGACCUUGGUUUCCUCCUCCCACUAGGACCCAUUUCUGGUUACAACUUCUCCUCAGGCAACUAGAAGGCCUCCUAAUACAUGAUGUCAAUAGAGACCCCUUGAUCUAUCAACACCCUAUUUCACAUUGAAACCGUUUAUUUUGAGGAUUACUGCCAUGGGGUAUCCUUUGUGAUGGGGCUGAGAGAUUCCCUCAAAUUCCUUUAGAGUGAAAAUAAUAGGGGAUGGUCAAACACAAAGCUCCCCAUGUUAAUCGAAAUAACCGAUUGAGCAUACUUUUCAUGUGCGGAGCUGCUUUCUCCUCCUUCUCCAAUGAAUCCUGCUGCAAUGGUGGCACCUUCCUCAUCCACGUCGGGGUCCAUACCACUUGGGUUCUUCUCCUAAAAUUUAUCCUCCCUUCCGGUUUUGCUUCCCUGGGUUGAGCAUUCAAUUUGUUUCCUUCCUAUGUAUUGCUUUAAAUGGACCUUGUUGAUGAGCCUUUCAAUCUCCCGUUGAAGAGUCUUGCAGUGGCUUAUGUCAUGACUGGAGGUUCGAUGGUAUAUAGGCACCAUUUCCAAACAUCAAAACCUAAAUUAUGCUUGUCCAAAGGGUUUCGAUUGACCAAACGCAUCUUGAAUGCUUCCUUAAAGAUCUAGGCCUUGCUCGUGAUCGAGGUAAUGGGAUCUUCUCUAUGCUUGGGAACCCUUUCCUUGUCUUGUCUACUUUCAACAGGUUAGCAAAUUCUAUGGUCCUAUGUUCGCCAUUGGCUCCACAUCAUUUUCUCCUUUCAUCUUUCGUUUUCGGCUGAUCCUUUCCUUUGUUUUGCGACUUCUUGGAAAUCUUUGUGCUUCUCCUUCUUCUUUUAUGAACGUGCAUGAUUGCUCUGUCAUGGAUUUCUUCCAUAGAGAUUGUCAAACUUCAAUAAGGCUUUUUAUUGAAGUCUCCUAAUCGUAGGCCACUUGCAACAUGUAGUCGAAGGGUCCUUCUUGACCAAAUGAUUUAUGCAUUUGUAAAUCUACCCAGAUAUUGUUUGAGGGAUUCCCUCAUUUUUCAUCCUCAUGUGAAAAAGUCCAUGCAUAAUCAUUCUCUCAGUCUUCUGUGUGGAAAAAUGCUCCAAAAAUUCACUGGAAAAAUCCCUAGAACUAGCUUUGGACCAAACCAACAGGAUAGUGAACUAGGUUCAACCACGUGGUCGUGGGCUCUUGGUGAGUGGAGGUAGGUAAGUUUUACCAUACCACCAUGAUGGGCGCCAUAUGUUCUCUCCAAAACUCCAGGGGUAAGAUUAAUGACAAGACCAUAACAUAGCUUCCAAUAUCAAUGCUAGAGUGAAGAUGCAUUGCUCUUUGUUAUCUUAGGUUGUUUUAUCGAAUUAAGAUUACCUUUUAUACUUUUAGGUGUUUUGGAGGUAUGUUACGUAAUUUAUUAGUCAUUAAAUAGCAUAAUGUUACACAUCCCUUUGGUUCAUGGAUGUUGUAUGUACAUGCUUUUAGUCUGACCUACCCACUUGCCAGGGUCGCUUGUGAAGGUUGCCAUUUAGGCCAAGCUACUGAGGAUGGUAUCUUAGUAGACACAACCCCGAAGCUGAUGCGCGUGAAAAAGAAAAGAAUUAUUCCUUGUUUUUGCCAUAGUUUUAUGGCUGAAUUUUGUAUUUUAUAAUCAGAACUCAUGUGUUUUAUAAUUUAUUUGUAAAAUGCAGGUGAAAAUAGGAAAAUCGAAAAUAUAAAGCAAAACAGGUAAAAUGGAGCAAAAAUGUGAAGAUUGACAUGCUGAAGAAGAAGCAUGAUCUUGGUGUCCGGUAGACACGACUGUGCUCAUUAAAAUAAAGUUUCACGACCUUGUCAACCUCAUGAAAGCCCGUAAAUGCUGAUCUAGUAGCUAAGACCAUGCUUCCUGAGCGGUAAGACCGUGCCUUCUUACGUAGUAGAGAGCCCGAAAUCAACCUAAUAAUUUUGUAUUUAAAGAGGGCUUGGGAAAAGGAUAGCAUGUGACAGAGAUCAUCAUCAUCAUCAUCAUCAUAUCAUCGAAAUGCCGCUACAAAGCUCUAGAGAAGAAGAAGUACAGAGAGGCAGAAGCAUUGAAGACUUAUUCUUUGUUUUUGUAAGAUGUUUAUCAACUAGGAAUUUUAUGAUUUCUAAUUGUAUUAUGAGUAGCUUAACUUCCUCUUUCAAGGUUUCAAUAUAGGGGAUGAUUUGAACCCGAAUAUGUUAUAUAUUUUAUUUCAAUGAAGUUAUAACUGUGUUUACUCUUUGCAUGCUUAAUUCUUUACGACAUCAAAUAGUAGGAAAGUUUACUCUUGGUUCUGUCAUGGAUUUCUUCCAUAGAGAUUGUCAAACUUCAAUAAGGCUUUUUAUUGAAGUCUCCUAAUCGUAGGCCACUUGCAACAUGUAGUCGAAGGGUCCUUCUUGACCAAAUGAUUUAUGCAUUUGUAAAUCUACCCAGAUAUUGUUUGAGGGAUUCCCUCAUUUUUCAUCCUCAUGUGAAAAAGUCCAUGCAUAAUCAUUCUCUCAGUCUUCUGUGUGGAAAAAUGCUCCAAAAAUUCACUGGAAAAAUCCCUAGAACUAGCUUUGGACCAAACCAACAGGAUAGUGAACUAGGUUCAACCACGUGGUCGUGGGCUCUUGGUGAGUGGAGGUAGGUAAGUUUUACCAUACCACCAUGAUGGGCGCCAUAUGUUCUCUCCAAAACUCCAGGGGUAAGAUUAAUGACAAGACCAUAACAUAGCUUCCAAUAUCAAUGCUAGAGUGAAGAUGCAUUGCUCUUUGUUAUCUUAGGUUGUUUUAUCGAAUUAAGAUUACCUUUUAUACUUUUAGGUGUUUUGGAGGUAUGUUACGUAAUUUAUUAGUCAUUAAAUAGCAUAAUGUUACACAUCCCUUUGGUUCAUGGAUGUUGUAUGUACAUGCUUUUAGUCUGACCUACCCACUUGCCAGGGUCGCUUGUGAAGGUUGCCAUUUAGGCCAAGCUACUGAGGAUGGUAUCUUAGUAGACACAACCCCGAAGCUGAUGCGCGUGAAAAAGAAAAGAAUUAUUCCUUGUUUUUGCCAUAGUUUUAUGGCUGAAUUUUGUAUUUUAUAAUCAGAACUCAUGUGUUUUAUAAUUUAUUUGUAAAAUGCAGGUGAAAAUAGGAAAAUCGAAAAUAUAAAGCAAAACAGGUAAAAUGGAGCAAAAAUGUGAAGAUUGACAUGCUGAAGAAGAAGCAUGAUCUUGGUGUCCGGUAGACACGACUGUGCUCAUUAAAAUAAAGUUUCACGACCUUGUCAACCUCAUGAAAGCCCGUAAAUGCUGAUCUAGUAGCUAAGACCAUGCUUCCUGAGCGGUAAGACCGUGCCUUCUUACGUAGUAGAGAGCCCGAAAUCAACCUAAUAAUUUUGUAUUUAAAGAGGGCUUGGGAAAAGGAUAGCAUGUGACAGAGAUCAUCAUCAUCAUCAUCAUCAUAUCAUCGAAAUGCCGCUACAAAGCUCUAGAGAAGAAGAAGUACAGAGAGGCAGAAGCAUUGAAGACUUAUUCUUUGUUUUUGUAAGAUGUUUAUCAACUAGGAAUUUUAUGAUUUCUAAUUGUAUUAUGAGUAGCUUAACUUCCUCUUUCAAGGUUUCAAUAUAGGGGAUGAUUUGAACCCGAAUAUGUUAUAUAUUUUAUUUCAAUGAAGUUAUAACUGUGUUUACUCUUUGCAUGCUUAAUUCUUUACGACAUCAAAUAGUAGGAAAGUUUACUCUUGGUGUAGGAAUUAGCCUAUGGAAAGGUAAACAGGAUUGAGUAAGUAUUAGGAUUAGUUAUUUUAUGCUUUUGAUUAUCCUAUGAUUGGUUAGUGAAAUAUCCAUUAUGUAGCUUCUCUGUUUUAAUCCUUAUUUAAGCAAUCACGCUUACAUGACAAUUGUGGUAGGCAUAACCUGACGGUUAAUCUAGCACAUUAGAAGUAUAGUGAACACAUAGGUUCUUAAGAUAACAUAUAUGAAAUCACGUUAGAUGACUCAAUUACUUUGCAAUCUCGAGGCAUUUCACCUUGUCUAAUCUCUAUCUUGAUAUUUGUUUGCUUGCAUGAUCACAACACCAAUUUUUUCAUUUAUAUUCGCCUAAACUAUGAAAACACGCUUAAAAUUAGUUUGUUUUUCUGGUAUAAUUGAGACUCACAAUCUUACCCCCUUUUGUUUUUCAUAGUUCUACUGAACUAUGAAAUCUUGUAUUUAAGUGCACUUGCAAUGAAAUACAAAUACAUGAAUCACAACUACCAAGGUGAUGUUCAUCACACAGAUCCUUUUCGUGGUUUGUCGUGGUAUCAGAUACCUUACAAUUAAGCUUUUGCAUGCACUCACUCAUCUAUCUAUCUAUUCUAUUAUAAUAAUAUAAGAAUUGUGAAGCACACGAUAUAACGUCGCCACCUCAUCAUUUAUACUCCUUGCAAUAGUGUGCAACUCAUUAUUUUUACUGACGUGUCACAUUAGAUUUUUACUUCGACGAUUGCUUCUCAUUGUCAUCCCUCUAAACAUCUUCUAAUCAAUUUUAAAAAAAAAACAUCUUCUAAUCUUAGAUCAUUUACAAUGGUUUUCAACCUUCAACACCACUUUUCCUCUUCUCAACACUCCACAUCAUUUUCUCUCUCUAAUUCAACACUCAUUCAACUUUUACCCACUCCAAUAGUUUUUCAUUCAACACCUGACCCCACUACUUUUUUAUUUCAUAUUUUUAUUUAAUUUUAUAUUUUUGUUUAUGAUUACAUAAAAUUACAAUAAUCAAUUUAAAUUAAAUUAAAACAAUAAACACUUAACAGUUUUUUUUUAAAAAUAUAGACAAUAAUUUAUUUUAUUUCGUAACUUAAAAUGCAAGACAACAAACUAAGCACACAAUAAUUUAUUUUUUCAAAACAAAGGCUAAUAGAAAGAUAAUAAUAUUAAGAUAGUGAAAAACUUGGUUUUUUUUUCGGUGUUCAAAUCAAACGAACCAAGUCUCUAUUUAUAGAGGAAAAGAAAUCAUGAAUUUUGGUUAAAAUUUUUUUUCCAAAAUAAUUUUUUUGCAAUGAAAUAAUUGAGUUUAAAAGAUUAAGAUGAGAAAAAUCAAAACAGCGAAUCGCAUGAUGCCAAGUGUCCCUCCCUUUUUAGGUUCAACAUGUUGAACUCCCUCAACACAUCUCUCAUCGACAUCAUCUUCAACAAAACUCAACAAACCACUACACUAUCUCAACAAAACUCAAUCUCUCUCUCAACACCCUCAUUGUGAAUGGUCUUACUAGUAAGGAUAUAAUUGACAAAAUGAACCUUAAAACAUCAAAACCACAGUUAAAUAGGAACAAAAAAAUUUCUUCUAAAACAAGGAACGGAGGGAGUACCAUAAUACAAAAGCCGGGAGUACCAUAAUACAAAAGCCGUUCUCACCCUUUCCUUUCGGGUAAAUGGUCACAUUGGUCCUCAAAAGUGUCCACCGACUUCACAUUCAUCUCUGAAAGAAUUUUAUCCAUCAUGCGGUCCCCCAAAGUGUUAAACGUCCGUCACUUUAGUCUUUCCGUUAAAAAAAGUAUGACGGACGUUAACAAUUUCCUUUUUUUUAAAGCUGAAAAAUCAUUAAAUUAAAUUAAAAUAACAAAUGAACUAAAUAUCUAAUUAAUUAAAACAGAAAAAAAAAAACUAAACUUGAUGAGAAUCACCAACAUCAUUCUCUGUCUUCUUUUUCUCAUCUUCUUCAUCAUCUUCACCAAUCCUUCCAUCAUAAUCAAACCCCACCACAAACCCCAUUCUCCACCCCCACCGAAAUGCAGUUCUCGCCAUCCUGAUGAGACUUUCAAACCCACGGAUUUGAAUCUAGAUUUACAAACCCACAUAAAAGCUUCAAUCUUUCCCUUUUUUGGUUUGAAGCUUCAAUCCAGAUUUCCAAUCCAAUAAAAUCUUUUACUGUGCACACGAACCUAGGUCAGAGUGGGUGAAGGGGAUGAUGACUCGAUCUGGGUGAAGGUGGCAGAAUCAACCUCGGGAUUACCAUGGAUGAAUAUGUUGUUGAAGAGAUAGUGUUUGUUGUUUUGCCUCAGAGAUUGGGACCAGAUGUUCAAGAAGAAGGAGAUGAUGAAGAAAAUGAGAAGAAGGAGAGAUUUUGUGUUUUUGAUUUGUAAUUGAGUUUUUUUAAUUAAUCAAUUUUUUAGUUAAUUUGUUUUUUUUAAUUUAAACUAAUGAUUUCCACCUAGGUAAAAAAAAUAUAAAAACGGAAAUUGUUAACGUCCGUUAUACUUUUUUUAACAGAAGGACCAAUUUGACUGGCAUUAGCCACUUUGGGGGACCGCGGGAUGGAUAAAAUUCAUUCAGGGACGAAUAUGAAGUCGGUGGACACUUUGAAGGACCAAAGUGACCAUUUACCCCUUUCCUUUCCUUUCCUUUUUCUCAUUCGGAAACGAUUGCGCAUCCAAGUGGAAUCCUCUAAAGAAAAACAUUUCUCAGUUGGUGCGACUGCUUCUUACAGGACUCCUUCCCACGACACAAAUACGAGGUCGGAUUCCAAUGUCUCCUUCACCAAACUCUAUGUCGUCGUUGACGCCAACAUUGACCUCCCUCCUCAUUAUACUCACAUUCUUUCAAUUGUUUGAUUAUAAGAGAAAUUCAUUUAAAGGGAUUUUCUUCCCUGAUUGGUUAGGUUACUGGAUCAGGUAUAUAUCCAAGUUUCAGAGGUUGGUAUUUUUUGCUUUCUCUGAAAAUGUGUUUUUAUUUUCUUUACUAUGAUUGAUUUCUGCACUUGCACUUGCAGGGCUUUUGGUUGCUGUUAUAGACACUGUGUGUAAGUGUUGCCACUGCUACUCUCAAGAAAAAACGCUCUUCUUCAUAUGAAGUCUCAAAUUAGUCUCUAAAAAUUGUUGUCUGAGGUACAAAAGGAAAUUGUAGCUUCAUUAGUAACUAGCAUUUGAGCUGAACAGAGAGAUUUCAGGUUUUUUUUUUUCUCUCUAGUCUUUAUAUAUUGCAAUUUGCUAUGAUGUAAUGCAAUCAUAGUUAUUCAUGUUUUAGUGGUUUAGUGCUCUAUCCUUUAAGCAAGUGGUUGAUAGUUGGAACUUGGAAUUUCAAUUCUUGUGAAUGAAAAAACUCCUUACUGCGCUUAGUGCGCUGAUAGUGGAGCGAGAGAUUAGUCUCAGUUGUGAGACACUUUGAUCAAGACCAAAGGUUUUAUCAGAUUAGUGUAACAUGGAUUUUAUGAGAUUAUAUAGACUUUUACAAGGCAAAGUGUGUAUAUAUUUCAGCCUUAAUUGUCAGUACUAUCAGCCAGCCAUAGCUGGUAGCUAAUUGUUUUGGUUUGAUUUUGUCGGAUUUCUCUUCAUUAUGAAUAAUGUUCAUGUAAAUUGUGCCAGCAUGAGGAUUUGGUUGUAACUACCUUUUUAUUUUGGUUGAGAUUGUAUUAGCUAAUUUUGUAUACCACAUUAGAAACUCUUCUAUUUUGUUUUGGGCAUUCCAUUUUCACAAUUCUAUGUUACACCAGGUUAAAAAUUGGUGCACCACCAGACAACUAUAUUGUUACUACUAUGGGUUUGCGAAUGAAGUGUGGUUAGGAUGUUGUAUGCUCCCACUGAGAGUCUUGUUCCGCUUCUUGUGUCAGAUAAGAGUUGUUGUGCUAUACAGGUAGUCUUUGUUUGUGUUUUAAUUUCGUUGCAAACCAAUAUUUCUUACUACUAUUAUUUAGUGUAUAUAUAUUAUAUACAAUAUGUUUAUUAUAAGUUAAUUUGUAGCAAUUCCUUUAAAGUUCAGUUUAGGAAAAUUACAGUAUAAUCUUCAUGACAAAGACUAACUCAGUACCUCUACUAUAUUUGGCACAAUAUUAAUGGAUAAGGAGGUCCAUACCAACUGCCAAGUGCACUGCACUUCUUUCAAUUUAUAGACUGAUGGUAGUGGUGCAGUUUCAACUUAGCAGAUACAGAUAAGGGUUUGAAUUUUGUUAGUCGAACUUAGUGUAGAGAAAGAACUUCACGUCAGUGGAACCAAAAAAUCAUUGAGACCUACGCAUAUGUAAAUCUAUCUUGAUCCAGUUUUGGAUAAUAUUAAAUAAUACAAAGAAUUUUAGAAAAUAUAUAUGGUUUGUUGCUACUAAACGAUGGGGAAAAAGGAGCUGCUGAUCCUGAGGGAAGCACAAAGCCCCCAUAAUCUAUUAUAUAGAAAAUUUAUUCUCUUAUUUCAAAGGCUUAUUUUUGUUUUAGCUAACUGAUCCAUUACUAAUUGUUGAUGUUGGUCAUCAACAUGCAGUGCAGUUUUGGUUCAUAACACUGCAUUAAGUGCCGGUUUGGAUAUGAGCUUAUUAGGAUUUACUUACUCACUAAAUAAAAUCUAAUAAUCUCAAAUAAGUUCUCUUCGUUUGUAUCAAAACAGGUACUAAUUCAACAAUUGUCUCUAAUGCAGGUUUCUAGUGCUUAUAGUUGGAUAAUAUCUGAAGUUCUUGUGCAUGACAGAAGCAAAUUGACUAUGUUGUCUCGAAGCAGCCCUCUAUUUUCACGCAUUGAAGUCGUGUACCUGCUAUUCUCGGAUUCCUCCCACGAAAAAGACAGAAGAAAGAAAUCAAAUAAAAAUUAAAAAAAUGAAACUAUUGUAACCAAUUUGCGUAUGGUUUGUCAUCUCGAAAAUCUUAGGCAGGUAAACAACUCAGAAUGGAGAAAAAUGAUAAAUUUCCCUUUAUUUGUAACAAUAAAAACAAGAGAAAAAUAUAUUUACCAUCCAUGUUCUUAAAUUAUUUUAACCUUAGCUUAAGUAGAGUUCUUAAGUGUUUGUUUGAGUCAUUGUAAAUGCAAUUGCGUUAAGUAAAAGUUCUACCCGUAACUGACUCAAGAAUAUAUUUAAAUUGGACGCUUCUGUUGCAGGACAAAGUAAAAGAGAAAAUGGUGGUGACGGGUUCCGAGAUGAACUCCCAAGGAGGUGACGGGGUGUCGAAUCAGCAAGAAGCAAACAAGAACCAUUCAUCAUUCUCAUCGCUGGGAAGACAAUCGUCCUCAAUCUACUCCCUCACGCUCGAUGAAUUCCAGCACACACUCUGCGAACCGGGCAGGAAUUUCGGCUCUAUGAACAUGGACGAGUUCAUCAACAGCAUUUGGAGCGCAGAAGAAAACCAAGCCACCAACAACAACAACCCUAACCAAAACAACAACAACAUCAACAACAACAACAACUUGUCUCUGAGCGAAACCUCGACGGAGAAAUUAGGCUUCAUAAGGAAGCAGCCAAGCCUCCCUCGACAUGGUUCUUUAACAAUCCCUGCACCUCUUUGUAGGAAAACAGUGGAUGAGGUUUGGUCUGAGAUUCACAAAGGGCAGCAAUCUCAGCAGCAGAACAACAACAACAACAACGGUCAGAAUACCGAGUCUGUCCCUCGCCAACCUACUUUUGGAGAGAUGACUCUGGAGGAUUUUCUAGUCAAGGCCGGGGUAGUUCGGGAACAAGGUGCAAAUUCAAAUGCAAUGCCUCUCCAGGUUCCUUCUUCACAACACCAGUUGCUGCAGCAGCAGUUUGGAAUGUACCCAAAUGUGGGGCCCUCAUUUAGGCCCACGAUGGCGAUUGGUGCUGGCGGUUGGGGAGGGAAUGCAAUUGCGGUCGCGGUUGCGCCACCUUAUCCAGUUGUGGCUCACAGUGGCAGUGGUGGUGCAAUUGUGGAGAGUAAAAGAGAUGGUGGGUAUUCGGUGCCAGGGGUUGGUUAUGGAGGGCAGGUGAUGAAUGGAGGUGGUGGAGGGUAUGGGGGUAAUAUGGGAAUUGGCGCGCCGGUGAGCCCAGUUUCGCCAGACGGGAUGGGUGGAGGUGAGAACAGUGGUGGUCAAUUUGGGAUGGAGAUGGGUGUGUUGAGGGGACGAAAAAGGGGUUUGGAUGGUCCUGUGGAGAAGGUGGUGGAGAGGAGGCAGAGGAGGAUGAUCAAGAACAGAGAAUCAGCAGCCAGAUCAAGAGCAAGAAAACAGGUACCUCAUUCAUUUCAUUUGAGCUUUUAAUUUCAAGCAAUUAUAUUGUUCUAUGUGUUUUCCUUUGGUGAAAUGAUCUUUUCUAUUUUUGUCUUGGUAGGCAUACACAAUUGAAUUGGAAGCAGAAUUGAAUCAAUUAAAAGAAGAGAAUGCACAGCUGAAACUAGCUCUGGUAUUAACACAGAAUGAUACUUUCAUUGAACAAUAUUGAAAUCUUUUUAUUAUGUUUUAUUUGUUGUGCUAUAUUGAAAAACUUUUUAUUGCAAUUUCUGACUUGGACAUCAUGCUUCUAUUCUUCAGGCCGAGCUUGAGAGGAGAAGAAAGCAACAGGUAACUACUACUCUGAUUUAAUUAAGAACACCAAUUUUCUUUAAAAUUUAGAAGAUCUUGAUUACUAGAGAUUCAGAUCCUUCAUCUCUAAAUGGUGUCUCAUUUCUCGUUUCAACCAAUGAAAUUAUGUCAUAUGACAUUUAUAACCUUACAUAGGUGGUUCUUAAUUAACAUGACACAAUCUCAUCGGUGGGAUAUGAAAUAAAACAUCAUUUGAGGACAUAGGAUCUUAAUUCAAUUAUUAGAGGAUUUUCUUUCCAUUUCCAUAAUGGUUUUAAAUCAAGGUCUACUGCCGUGAUCUCGGCUGUGAUUUAGGCCGCGAUUUGGGCCGUGACGUUAGGAUUUUGGAGCUUUCUGAAAUUGCGAUAUCGACCACAUACAGAUGUUUAUUCAUUAGUUUCUGCAAAAUUUGGAAGAUGACUAGGCAACUGUGACGCGUGAGGACGUUAGGAUUUUGGAGGUUUCCAAAAUCACGAUUUAGGCCACAUACAGAUGUUUAUUCAUUAUUUUUUACAAUAUGGAAGCUCACAAGGCAAUUGUGACGCCAUCACCGAAAUAGCUUAAUGGUAGAGCAUAGCCUUGACCACAACCCAAAACACUUAGAAAGGUUAAAAAGGAAGCAAUGAAUUACAUAUAGUUUUUGUCCUCCCCCUUUCUUUUAAACCAAAUAAUUUAAAAGCACUUUUAAAUGUUGAUGUUUUAAUGACCUGGUGCAGUAUUUAGAGGAAACGAAUGGGAUGGUUCAAACCAACGCUCAGAAGACCAAGAAGAAACUAAGUUCAUUGAGAAGGACUCUAAGUUGCCCUUUUUGAGAAAAUUAUUAUCUGCAUCUGCAACCAGUGAAGUUCUUGAAUUCUAGUACACAUAGGAAUUGGCUGUUGAGUAUCUUCAUGAGUGUCUUACAUGAAGGAGAUUCCAUGAAACCAAAGCAAGAAUGGAGGAACCAGACAACGAGAAAACUCAAGACUAGUGCAGAAACCAGCUUGAUGGAGAGGUGUGAAAUUUAUUUUGAGUAAGUUCUUGAUUAAUCAAGGAUAAAUUAGCUCUUUACAAAUGAUAAGUAGUUAUUUAUUGUGUAAAAAAGAUAAUUGUGUUAGUUAUUUAUGACAUUGACAAUGAUGUAACUACCUUAUUAAUAAUGCUCAUUGUUUUCACUAACAAGUCGAUUGAUUGCUUCGGUUUGGCCAUUAGUUUGAGGAUGAUUGACCAACAUGAAAACUGAUUAAGAAUUUCAUGAUGACCAUUAAAAUAAAGAUUCAUAACAUGAAUAACAUCUUUUGUUUUCCAACAUUGAAUAAAAUGUUCUAUUCUUUAUAAUAACCACCAUCUCCAGCAUGCUUUUAAUGAAGCAUCCUUUUAAUGAAGAAUGAGCUUGUACUUAUUCUUUACCUAUUGAUAUGUGAUGGACUUCUCCAAAUGAUAGGGAUUGCUUGUAGUUUAUUCUAUGUUUCUUUGCAUUUUGUUCCUAUCUUUGAUUGUUUACAUCAAAACCAAUAGUCAUUAGGUAUCCUCAUGACUUGCCAAUUACUAUGGAUUUUUGUCGUUAAAGUGUAGAGCAUAAUACCCGAAUGAGAAAUUGUACUGUUAUCUGAUUUGAUUUUCUCAGUAGCAUUAAUCGAUAAUUUCAGUUGCCAUGGAAGUUGAGGAUUUAAGGUCGAACCGUAAAUUGUAUGAUAUGGUUAUGUGAAAAACUAUUUUCUGUAAUCACAUUGAGAAAGAUUGCCUUAAUUAAAUUUCUGCUAUACCAACUAUAUCUGAAGUUUUGGAGUAGAGCAUAAAUUUUUCACUGUGUAUUCUUUGAGGCCAACAUAAUUCAUGAUGAUCAACCACCCCUGAGAUAUAAAAAAGAACACUUCGCGUGUCUAUUCGAACCAAACUUGACCCAUCUUAUUAUGUGAUGCUUUGAUUUAACCAUUAAAUUAUAUGUAUUUCAUCGUACUCCUUCGAUAGAGUUGUGUUUUAUAUUGUGUUGGUGCACCAAGUACAUUCUUAGAAUGCAUAAUUAUGGAAGAUGUUGAAGCAAGAGACCACAAGAUAACAAGAGACAUAUUUUGAAUUAGAAGAGAGAUUUCUAGGAAUGGCAGAUCAAUCAAUUUAGGGGCAUGUACACUGUGAGUAAAUGGUUGUAACUCAUCAUCAAUACUGCCUUGACAGUUAAUGUUUGCUUUGGCAUGGCUAACUCAAAGUUUUGUUGAUUUUCUUCAUCGUACAUAGUGAUGGCCAGAUUGAUGCUAACUAGAGUCGUUCUAUACGAUAGAAGCUAAUUUUAAUGAAUUUGGGUCAAUUGAAGUGACCAUGCUCUGGUAAAUGCAAUAUAUUUAUUACUAGAAUGUUUGCUCUAGGUAUUGAUAUGCAUCUAUUUUGCAUUAUAAUUCAUAUAUUUUAGUAUGAUUUUUAGCCUAAAUAUUGCAUUACUCUACAUCACAUGUGCAAUAGGAAGGUAACAUGUGGAAAAUGUAGAAAAUAGAAGGAAAACACGAAUGAGCGCUUGGUAAAUUUCACAAGUUAUCAAUUAUGAGCAUUUUCCGUAGAAUAGUUAUUGUAGAAUUGUUUACCAUUGAUUGAGAUGAAAUUUUGAUAUAGUAGUCACAACAUCUGAACUUGAAUCUGAGCGGUUAAAUCGUCGAUAAGCUGUACGUGCAAAGAGAAAAGUGCAAACAAGUAAGAACAAUCGUGUAGGACUUUAGCACCCAUGUGCUAUCUGUAAUUUAACUAAGCACGGUCGUAUUAAUGUUAAGCACGGCCACAGAUGUGUUAAAAACAUGAAAUAGUGUUUAGAACAGGUCAGGUCAGUUUUUAGAAAACCAAAUAUAUUGAUAAAGGAGUAUCAGGGUUUGUGGCUCUAAGCAGAGAAAUACAUGUCAGCUAUGCGCAAAACCAAGAAAGGAAAAUCCCCAACCCACCAUAGGAAAAACCACCCCACAAACCACCCUCUGAUGAGAAAACUGAAACACCCUUGAACCAGAAAAGCAAAGGCCGAAAAUCAGAACCAAAAAGGUUAAACCUGAGACCUUAACCUAAAACAAUGGUAAGAACAAGAGAAAACACAGCGCUCAAGGCGGCCACCACUCCUUCAUUUCCUUUUUAAGGUUGUGAGUAGGCUCCUCAUCACUUCUGUUGAACACCAACCCCACAAGCUAGCUUUCCGAUAAGACAAGCCUUCUUAGUGCGCGUAAAGUUAAAUGGAGCUGAACAGACUAUGGGUGAGGUUACAUCAGAAGCAGAACUCACAUCACCAACCGCAACCAAAACCUCACAAGUGGAAGUGGGCUUUGAACGGGGCUUGCGACCUCUCUUGACUUUUUCCGAACAACCUCGCCCAUGAGAUUUGAGGGCACGAGCUACUAAGAUCUGCUUAUUAAGAAGGCAUAGGUCUUCCUCAACACCAAAACCACCAAAAUCCAAACCACCAAGGGCAAGGGAGGCACCAAGAGAAGCAAAAAAUUGUUGCAAUCCAUUUAGACUAAAAAAUGGAGCCAACACUGGUUGCUUCACCUUAACCACACACACUUGCAAUAUCCACAACGACUUCAUCCAUGCAAAUUGCGCCAAUGUAACUCCCUGUAGAUAAGAAGGGGAAGCUAAAACCACUUGACUAUGCAUCGAAACACAGAUCAGGCAAGGAUCCCCCCAACAAAAUCCAUGAAACAUCCCUUCUCCUGCUGAAAAUCCCACCCUUAUAUGAGCCAAAGCCAGAAGCAAGCAGACGUAAAAAAAGGUCCAAUGAACCAAGAAAGGCUCCUUAAACUAAAGGGGCAUAUGAAAAAUCCAUAUUCAGAACAGCUCCAAUAGCACCAUUAAUAUGGAUCAGAAUGUCCUCCCCAAUAACAUAAUCCAACCUCACAAUGUGAGGAGAAUUGGUUCCUGCAGAAAUUCCAAUGAGUAUGAAUCCUUUACCAGUAUGUUUAAUAAAUGCAGAGUUAUAAAAUCCUAAAGCUUUCCCAAUCAACACUUGUUCAACUUCCUUUUUCCCAUUUUCCCUAGUUUUGCAAACUAAAAUCUCAAGGAAGAGAACCUCAUACGGAAACCCAACAAACAAAUCAUAGCACCAAUUUAGAGUAGUUGUCAUUGAUUCCUCCUCUAGUGAGAAAAAGUCCGAGAGGCCGCCUUUCGGAAAGCCUUGCACAGAGUCACACCAGGAACGAGAGACUGAAACAAGGGAGAUUUCUUUUCUCUUCUAGACCCUGUCCUUAGAACACACAAAAUCUAGAGGGCACCGAGCAAGUUGCUUGAGAUAUUUGGCCACCAAACUGAUAAGGGAGCAACGUUAGCCCUAUUGUUGUUAAGAUGACGAAUAGCCUCCUUCGUCUGAGAUCCAGAAACAAAUCAAACAAAACCAAAAUGAACUCUUCUUCCUAGAUUCCUUCUACUUUGGAUGGACAGAUGUGAAACCCUCCUGAGUUGAUCAAACAAGACCCUAAUUUGAAGAUAGCUCUAAUCAUCUAGUAUGCCAUGAAUGAAUAAGGAUGGAUAGCUCCUCUCACCAGAAUCUUCCUAACGGCCAUCAUCAGACACUUUCUCUCCCUUCGUAACUCCCUUAGCUGUCUUGGCCUCUUCACCAUCAUCUUCCUCUCUUAGCCCACCACCAACGAGAGCACCCCCAUGGCCAUGACCUGUUGAACCCUUGGAAGAGGCGGCUAUGAGUGAUGAAACCCUAGUAGAUCCAGAGAAACGCUUCAUUGUUUUUUAUUGAACUUCCCUUUUUUUCUUUACAAAUGGGGUCUAGAGCAGUUAUAAAUAUAGGGGAAGGACCUAAGUUCUAGAGGACUCAGUAGCUUGAUUCUUAGACUUGUUGUGAAGAAGAACUUAGAGUGCGAUGGAGGCACAAGAACAAGGAAAAGAACUUGGAGGAAGUCCAAAGGCGGAGAAGGUCCUUAUUAGUUCAUAUUUUCUUAUUUUAUCUGAGAUGUUAGCCAUGAUUAGUUUUCUUUUAUGAUUGAUAUUUCUUCUUUGUCUUUAUGUUGUUGUGAGGUAGCAAAUCUUAUGUUAGGGAGCCCUGGAUUUGGCACCUCAGGACUUAGAAAUGCCACCCCAGAUUUUUUAAAAANNNNNNNNNNNNNNNNNNNNNNNNNNNNNNNNNNNNNNNNNNNNNNNNNNNNNNNNNNNNNNNNNNNNNNNNNNNNNNNNNNNNNNNNNNNNNNNNNNNNNNNNNNNNNNNNNNNNNNNNNNNNNNNNNNNNNNNNNNNNNNNNNNNNNNNNNNNNNNNNNNNNNNNNNNNNNNNNNNNNNNNNNNNNNNNNNNNNNNNNNNNNNNNNNNNNNNNNNNNNNNNNNNNNNNNNNNNNNNNNNNNNNNNNNNNNNNNNNNNNNNNNNNNNNNNNNNNNNNNNNNNNNNNNNNNNNNNNNNNNNNNNNNNNNNNNNNNNNNNNNNNNNNNNNNNNNNNNNNNNNNNNNNNNNNNNNNNNNNNNNNNNNNNNNNNNNNNNNNNNNNNNNNNNNNNNNNNNNNNNNNNNNNNNNNNNNNNNNNNNNNNNNNNNNNNNNNNNNNNNNNNNNNNNNNNNNNNNNNNNNNNNNNNNNNNNNNNNNNNNNNNNNNNNNNNNNNNNNNNNNNNNNNNNNNNNNNNNNNNNNNNNNNNNNNNNNNNNNNNNNNNNNNNNNNNNNNNNNNNNNNNNNNNNNNNNNNNNNNNNNNNNNNNNNNNNNNNNNNNNNNNNNNNNNNNNNNNNNNNNNNNNNNNNNNNNNNNNNNNNNNNNNNNNNNNNNNNNNNNNNNNNNNNNNNNNNNNNNNNNNNNNNNNNNNNNNNNNNNNNNNNNNNNNNNNNNNNNNNNNNNNNNNNNNNNNNNNNNNNNNNNNNNNNNNNNNNNNNNNNNNNNNNNNNNNNNNNNNNNNNNNNNNNNNNNNNNNNNNNNNNNNNNNNNNNNNNNNNNNNNNNNNNNNNNNNNNNNNNNNNNNNNNNNNNNNNNNNNNNNNNNNNNNNNNNNNNNNNNNNNNNNNNNNNNNNNNNNNNNNNNNNNNNNNNNNNNNNNNNNNNNNNNNNNNNNNNNNNNNNNNNNNNNNNNNNNNNNNNNNNNNNNNNNNNNNNNNNNNNNNNNNNNNNNNNNNNNNNNNNUUCCUGCCUCUCGAUGUCCCACCCUUAUCCAUUGAUUCUUGGAGUAAUUAAAAAACUUACUCCAAAUCUUUGCUAUUGAUUCAUUAGAUAAUAAAGAGUGAGAUUAUAACAUUUUAAUCCCUCACGUGACCUAUCCUUACAUUGUAAUGUAUACACUGACCAGAACCAACCACAUACCUCAUGCGAGAAAUUGCUCACUUGUAAUGAAAACUUUACAAUUUGGAUAUGUUGAAUGUCUGAGGAAAUAUUUUAAGUGUUAAAUUCAAUACGUUCUAGUUGAACGAUUAACUUUAUAUUUUAAAUUGCUUAUUUCGUAAACUUCACUUAUUAUGUGAUUAACUUCAUUUAAUGUUAUUUAAACUUUUGUAUUGAAUAAGAUUUAGUUGCCUUAUCGCUUGUAUUGAAUUAUAUAUUUAAUUUCAUCUUUAUAACCUAACCUAAACUCUACCUUAAGCCAGUGCAGGGCUCAUAGAUGAAUUUUCCUGCACAUUUGAUGACUCUAUUUCUUGUGAAAACCCUAUGCUAGUUCCUCCAACUUCACUAUGGCCUUCAUUCUCAUCUUCAAACCGGUGACCUACCUUCUGAGCUGGACCUGAGCUGGACCUGGACUUUUGAAUGGCGUAGAACUUUGAAUAUUUUCACUUUUGAAACCCCCACUUAGCAGUUCUGUAUCAUGGAAGAGACACGGAUUUCUGCUGUUAUCAUUUGUUUUCAAGGCAGCAGCCUCCAAAGGAUGACCAUGAGAAAUGUCCAUGUUUGAUGCAUAUGAUGGAUCUUUGAAAGAAGGAGAUGGAUGUCCAUCAUGUUCAGACCUAGAUACAGAAAAAGGUGGAAGGAGGGAAGUAUAUUUUGAAGUAUGAGUAUGACUAUACUCUGCGUUCAUUAGGGGAGUUUGUAUCUGUAUACAUCCUAAAGAUUCAGAAUCAGUGUUUGGUCUGCGCUUGUGGAUGCUAUCCUGAGAAGUAACUCCACUGGAAGAGUCUCCAAAGGAUUGCUUCAGAUUUGCAUAUUGCUCUACAUGAGUAGAGGGGUGAUCAGAAUCACCAUUAUUUAGGUAGCCGUUUUUUCUCUUUCCUGUUGAUGGCUUUGACAGCUUCCUUUCAAUCUAUCAAUAAAGCGACAUACAAAUUAAGAGACAAUUCAUUUCAGUUUAUAAGUUCACCUGAAUUAAAUAGACCAGGCAGUCAAAUUAGUUCACCUUCAGUAUAAAGCAUUAGCCAGAUGAAUGCAACAAAACACCCAAAAGGUAAAACAGCCGUAAUUGAGUACAGCAAAAAAGGUCAAGCCCAAGCAUGGAUGGACAUGUUAAAAAAUUACUGCGCGCAUAUUUGGGCUGUACGCACAUGAAUUUUUUUACUACGCACCUAUAUGGAAAACAUUUCACAUAUUUGGGUUGUAUCUCAAAGUAAUUUAGAAUAUCUUCAAUUAUAUUUAGGAUAGGUUUCCACAUUUCUUUAUAUUUCAUGAUUUGUUUCUUUAUUUAAUUAGGAUUAAAAGUAUAAUAUAUUAGUAUAUGUAAAGGUCAGUACUUUGUCUCAUGUAAUGACAUCCAACAUAUCAUUAACAGCAAUUUCAAUUUAUUAUUCUGUGUAUUUCUUUCCCCCCAAUACCUAAAAGACUUGACCGUAUAACUUCUAAUUGGUAUCACAACCUACAACAUAACUUAUUGCUAUUUUACCCACGAGUUUCCAAAAAUCUAGACUUUUUAGCCUUGUCUAGACUAUUUCGUCACAUCUUUAGAGAAUGUGGGAUCUUAACAUUUUCAAAAUAUCAACUGAAUUGAAUUCUAAAACAUAUAAAUUUUGACAAUAUAGCAUUGAAAUGUCAAACACAAUCAGGUCUAGUGCAUAAAUCAUAGCAUACACAUGUAAUACCAUGCUUCAAUAAUUUAAUUCAAUGGCAUUAAGAAUUAACAAGGUUUGAGGCAAACUCAAAUUUAUUGUGUCAUAUGCCUUUGAGAGGUUCAUUUUGUGAAUGAAUAUAUGUCUCGACCCGUGUGGUUUGGUUAAAUAAUCCACACAGAAUUGUAGCUAUAUAAUCUGAAAUUGAGAAACUAGGAAUCCAAGUUGUAAAAUGAGUCUUUUUUGACAGUAAAAAAAGGAAAAGAAACGGUUCCAACCUUUGGUUUAUGCACCAAGCCAUCUUCAACACCGGACGUCAUGUCUGAUUCACUGAACAUUGAUAACGAAGCAGGAACAGCAUCAUGGUCGACAUUCAUCUGAGACUUCAGAUUUUUAUUAAUAGGAGAUGCCUUUCUGCUGCAAUCAUGAAUUGUCAGACCUUCAAUAUUUUCAUUUGGGUUGAUAUUAUUAUCUGAUAUACUUUUGAAUGGACUUGCUUCAGCAGAUGAAAACUUGAAGUCAGAUUUCAGUGCAUCAUCAGAUCCCUCAGUUCCAUGUGAAGAUGAGAGCCAGCAGAACUCCUCUUCAUUAUUGAGGCUCCCCAUUCCAAAAGUUAAGUCACAAUUUCUGCAAUUUUCAAAGUAAUAUGCAGAUAUUUAUGAAAAUCAUGAUCAUGAUGAAUUGAAUGGCAUUCAUACAAAGCAAAAGGCAAAUAAACUUUUGUCACACAGGAGAAUUUCUUACAGCAUCGUCCUAUCAAUAUCUUCAAAGUUUCCAAAAUCAAGCCACCCAUCAUUAUCAAGGAAGCUAAGUUCAUUAUCAGGUUGAGAUAUGUGACUGAUUGAAUAUUGAGACACAGUAUCAUCCUCCAUCAAACACUUGUCUCCUAAGAUAGUAUCAUCCGCACAAAGUUCACCACCAGUAGAAUCUAAAUUGCUGCUCUUGAAAUAAUGAUCAGACAUACUUCUAUUAUCUGAUGUUUCCCUUUUCUGUUCUUUGCAUGAAUCACCAACACAUGGAGAAAGCAGAUCUUCAGGUUUGUGAGACCAUGAACCUUUCUCCGACAUUCUUUCUUAUUUAUUCAGAUUUGUUGAGACAAUCCCUCUUUACCCUGAGUACAAUAGCUACUCACAUAAUCAGCAGUUCAUGAAGUGAUUUCUUACAGCUAUCACACUGUAUUGUGGACUGGUCCUUAUGCCUGUCACCGGCUGGAGGCACUAUCUGAUCAUCAGUUUCACCAAAUUCAUCUGACACAUAUCUAGAAGCUGCGACACCAAGACAGAUAUUCAGAAAACUACUUAUAACCUGGCAUCACAGAACAUCAUAAAUCCUCAUAAACAAAUCACUGAACCACAUAUAGACAGAAACAAAGGUCAGUACUAGGUGGCUCCCUGUCUCCCUCAACAUUAAUAUAUCCUAAUAGGCUAAUACUCACUGGGGAAAAAAAUUAUAUCAUUCCAGACAGCAUAAGUUCAACCUCUCUAAACUUGUGAAGUGACAAACACUAGAAAAUUUUACAUCUUUGUUGGCAAAUAAACCACAGCUUCUAAUGUUCAAUUGGCAAAUUAAACAUGCUCAGGUAGAUUAUUAAUUCCAAAGAAACUAAGAAGGAAACAAACUGCUCAUGAGUCUGCAAUUCUGGAAAAAUGUACUCUCUAAAGCUUUGUCUUUGAGUCAGAACAUUCAAUGUAGCUUUAAAAAAUGUAUAACAGGAUUGACAUUAAAGUUAUAGCAUGUAAAGAAGUGUGGAUACGUAUUUAAAUAUAUCAUCUGCAUCUCUUUGAAUCUAGAAUCCUAAGAUAUAUUAUUAUGCAUCAAUCUGUAAUCCUAAAUGGUGUAUGAAGGAGCAGAUGUCAGUGCAAUAAUGAUAAACCUAAGGAGAGGUCGGUGCAAUUUGCUAUUUUUUUAAAACAAAAUAUAAGCAGUUUUAAAGUGUUUGUUUCUCAUCCAACUACUUGAAUAAGGAAAUGUUUGAUGCUGAAUAAAUGUAUAAAAUGCCCUCCAUUGCACUAAGUGUUUUCAGCAUUUCUUCACUUGAGUACACUUUUGGUAGGUACUAAACAAACAUCACCAGACCAUUUUCAUUUUGAUAACUUCUCAUUUCAAGCACUGAAUUGAGUUUUCAAACAGCACCUGAAUGUUCCAAUUGCAUUCAUUAUCCAUAUAAACUUUCAGCAACGACAACCAGUGUUAUCAGAUAGCGGCGUAGUGUAGCAGAUUUAUGGCUAAUCGCGACGCCGCUAUUGCCCUCUACAGCGCGCUAUUCGCCGCUAAAUAGCGGCCGAAAUAGCGGAUUUUUGGCUCACCGCGAUGGUNNNNNNNNNNNNNNNNNNNNNNNNNNNNNNNNNNNNNNNNNNNNNNNNNNNNNNNNNNNNNNNNNNNNNNNNNNNNNNNNNNNNNNNNNNNNNNNNNNNNNNNNNNNNNNNNNNNNNNNNNNNNNNNNNNNNNNNNNNNNNNNNNNNNNNNNNNNNNNNNNNNNNNNNNNNNNNNNNNNNNNNNNNNNNNNNNNNNNNNNNNNNNNNNNNNNNNNNNNNNNNNNNNNNNNNNNNNNNNNNNNNNNNNNNNNNNNNNNNNNNNNNNNNNNNNNNNNNNNNNNNNNNNNNNNNNNNNNNNNNNNNNNNNNNNNNNNNNNNNNNNNNNNNNNNNNNNNNNNNNNNNNNNNNNNNNNNNNNNNNNNNNNNNNNNNNNNNNNNNNNNNNNNNNNNNNNNNNNNNNNNNNNNNNNNNNNNNNNNNNNNNNNNNNNNNNNNNNNNNNNNNNNNNNNNNNNNNNNNNNNNNNNNNNNNNNNNNNNNNNNNNNNNNNNNNNNNNNNNNNNNNNNNNNNNNNNNNNNNNNNNNNNNNNNNNNNNNNNNNNNNNNNNNNNNNNNNNNNNNNNNNNNNNNNNNNNNNNNNNNNNNNNNNNNNNNNNNNNNNNNNNNNNNNNNNNNNNNNNNNNNNNNNNNNNNNNNNNNNNNNNNNNNNNNNNNNNNNNNNNNNNNNNNNNNNNNNNNNNNNNNNNNNNNNNNNNNNNNNNNNNNNNNNNNNNNNNNNNNNNNNNNNNNNNNNNNNNNNNNNNNNNNNNNNNNNNNNNNNNNNNNNNNNNNNNNNNNNNNNNNNNNNNNNNNNNNNNNNNNNNNNNNNNNNNNNNNNNNNNNNNNNNNNNNNNNNNNNNNNNNNNNNNNNNNNNNNNNNNNNNNNNNNNNNNNNNNNNNNNNNNNNNNNNNNNNNNNNNNNNNNNNNNNNNNNNNNNNNNNNNNNNNNNNNNNNNNNNNNNNNNNNNNNNNNNNNNNNNNNNNNNNNNNNNNNNNNNNNNNNNNNNNNNNNNNNNNNNNNNNNNNNNNNNNNNNNNNNNNNNNNNNNNNNNNNNNNNNNNNNNNNNNNNNNNNNNNNNNNNNNNNNNNNNNNNNNNNNNNNNNNNNNNNNNNNNNNNNNNNNNNNNNNNNNNNNNNNNNNNNNNNNNNNNNNNNNNNNNNNNNNNNNNNNNNNNNNNNNNNNNNNNNNNNNNNNNNNNNNNNNNNNNNNNNNNNNNNNNNNNNNNNNNNNNNNNNNNNNNNNNNNNNNNNNNNNNNNNNNNNNNNNNNNNNNNNNNNNNNNNNNNNNNNNNNNNNNNNNNNNNNNNNNNNNNNNNNNNNNNNNNNNNNNNNNNNNNNNNNNNNNNNNNNNNNNNNNNNNNNNNNNNNNNNNNNNNNNNNNNNNNNNNNNNNNNNNNNNNNNNNNNNNNNNNNNNNNNNNNNNNNNNNNNNNNNNNNNNNNNNNNNNNNNNNNNNNNNNNNNNNNNNNNNNNNNNNNNNNNNNNNNNNNNNNNNNNNNNNNNNNNNNNNNNNNNNNNNNNNNNNNNNNNNNNNNNNNNNNNNNNNNNNNNNNNNNNNNNNNNNNNNNNNNNNNNNNNNNNNNNNNNNNNNNNNNNNNNNNNNNNNNNNNNNNNNNNNNNNNNNNNNNNNNNNNNNNNNNNNNNNNNNNNNNNNNNNNNNNNNNNNNNNNNNNNNNNNNNNNNNNNNNNNNNNNNNNNNNNNNNNNNNNNNNNNNNNNNNNNNNNNNNNNNNNNNNNNNNNNNNNNNNNNNNNNNGAGAAAACCGAGGAGAGAGAGUGUUUCUUACAUGCGUGGAGGCGGCGAAGAAUCAGGCACGGUGGUUGCCCGCCGCUACGGGAGAGGGGCUCGCGGAGGCUGGGUCGAUCUGCAGAUAAUUUAUUGCUUAGGGCGAGGAAAAUCAAUCAACACCCACUUGAGGCAAGAUGCAGAACUCAAAUGUUCAGUUAACGGAGGGAGUGAGGGAUACAGGGUUUACCUCGGCGGCGAAAACAGAGGAGACCGAGACGAACCGCACAGUUAGCGAGCGACAGGGAACGAACCAGAGAGGCGGAGGUGAAGGCGGCAACAGAGAGGGUGAUAUUAGGGUUUAAUUUCUUAUUGAAUUUUUUUUGGUACCGGUAGGUAACCGUUUUCCUUUUUUUUAUAUGAUAUUUUUUGUUUUAGAGUUAACUAACUAGAUUUUCCGAUGAAAAAAAAAAGAGUUAACUAAUUAAGCGGCAGGAGGAUGAACACUGAGUUUAUGGUAGGGCUAGACAAUAAGUCACAAUAGUGGAAUUUAGACGGUCGAUAAAUCACUACGUACGUCAACCCACUUUCUUAUUAUUUUAUUUAUAAAUUAUUGACUACAAUUUUGUUUAGAUCCAAGUGCAAGAAUCUCAGUAUGUUAAAACUUUUAUGCAAUCCUUGUCACCAGAAAAUAAAGGCUUCUCAUGGAGAUGAAAGAUAAUUACCCAUCAAGAGGAUUUACCAACCCAGGGUAAUGAUCACCAAAACUUAUUUUGUUGAUUUUAUGGCUUAUCUGCAUCACACACCAUACUUAGAAAAUUAAUCAAGAGAUUACAAGCAAAGGGAAAAACAUUGGAAAUUUAUCACAGGUUUCACAGUAUCAAAUGCCCCGGUAGCAAAAGGAAAAUUCCCAGCCACUUUAUUAACUUCAAGAGAUCCAUGGAUAUUGCAUCCUUCACCUUCUUCAUCCUUUACCUUUUGUACGAACCCCUCUCUUUCACACUAAAAGCAAAACUAAUUGUUAGAAAACUAUAGUCUAGCUCGACAAACAAUCUCAAACUGGAUGAUGAUUUCCACUUAGAAACCGCACACACACAAAUAAAAGGCCAAAAUGUGUCCUGUAUUUGGAUAAAAGAAGAAAUUCAUUAAGAUGAAAAAGAGAAAAAGAGAAUGGAGGAUAUGAGGAAUUCUCCUAAACAACUCCNNNNNNNNNNNNNNNNNNNNNNNNNNNNNNNNNNNNNNNNNNNNNNNNNNNNNNNNNNNNNNNNNNNNNNNNNNNNNNNNNNNNNNNNNNNNNNNNNNNNNNNNNNNNNNNNNNNNNNNNNNNNNNNNNNNNNNNNNNNNNNNNNNNNNNNNNNNNNNNNNNNNNNNNNNNNNNNNNNNNNNNNNNNNNNNNNNNNNNNNNNNNNNNNNNNNNNNNNNNNNNNNNNNNNNNNNNNNNNNNNNNNNNNNNNNNNNNNNNNNNNNNNNNNNNNNNNNNNNNNNNNNNNNNNNNNNNNNNNNNNNNNNNNNNNNNNNNNNNNNNNNNNNNNNNNNNNNNNNNNNNNNNNNNNNNNNNNNNNNNNNNNNNNNNNNNNNNNNNNNNNNNNNNNNNNNNNNNNNNNNNNNNNNNNNNNNNNNNNNNNNNNNNNNNNNNNNNNNNNNNNNNNNNNNNNNNNNNNNNNNNNNNNNNNNNNNNNNNNNNNNNNNNNNNNNNNNNNNNNNNNNNNNNNNNNNNNNNNNNNNNNNNNNNNNNNNNNNNNNNNNNNNNNNNNNNNNNNNNNNNNNNNNNNNNNNNNNNNNNNNNNNNNNNNNNNNNNNNNNNNNNNNNNNNNNNNNNNNNNNNNNNNNNNNNNNNNNNNNNNNNNNNNNNNNNNNNNNNNNNNNNNNNNNNNNNNNNNNNNNNNNNNNNNNNNNNNNNNNNNNNNNNNNNNNNNNNNNNNNNNNNNNNNNNNNNNNNNNNNNNNNNNNNNNNNNNNNNNNNNNNNNNNNNNNNNNNNNNNNNNNNNNNNNNNNNNNNNNNNNNNNNNNNNNNNNNNNNNNNNNNNNNNNNNNNNNNNNNNNNNNNNNNNNNNNNNNNNNNNNNNNNNNNNNNNNNNNNNNNNNNNNNNNNNNNNNNNNNNNNNNNNNNNNNNNNNNNNNNNNNNNNNNNNNNNNNNNNNNNNNNNNNNNNNNNNNNNNNNNNNNNNNNNNNNNNNNNNNNNNNNNNNNNNNNNNNNNNNNNNNNNNNNNNNNNNNNNNNNNNNNNNNNNNNNNNNNNNNNNNNNNNNNNNNNNNNNNNNNNNNNNNNNNNNNNNNNUUAUCAACAAAUUAAUAUUUUUAACCACUAUGUAGUUUUUGAAAAAUUGUAACCUAAUAUUAACCCAACGAUUUUUUUAAUGAAACCAUGAAUAUCUUUUAAAACACAUUCACUUAUUCCAUUAACUUUUUUAACAUAUUUCGUGAAUAAAAAAUACAUUUAGUUCAUACUUCUCUAUCAAAAGAUUGAAUUUCAAAUUCAAAUUCGUUCUUAAUUAAAGAUUGCUAUUUUUUUUAUCAAUUUUGAAUCUUAAUUUUACUUUGUAAUCUUUUACUUAUAUAUUAAAUAUUUAAAAAAAUCAAAUUCGAUAAUAUUUUAAAAUAGAAAAUUUCAGCGAUUUUAUUUUAUAAAAUUAAAUCUUUUUAUUAAUUUUUUAGUAAAUGAUAUAGUUAUAUUUUUUUCAAAUUUCUUCUUCUCCAAUUUGAUUAUUAAUUUUACUUCAAUCCCUUUCCUUAAUAAUUUAACUUUUAUAAAAAAUGUAUAUCAAAUGAAAUUCCUAAUUGUAAAACAUAAUUUAAUCCAUUCUAAUGCUUUGCCAAAAUAUAGGGGAAAUGAAACUGAUACAAGUUGCAUUAUAUUAGAAUUGAAAAACUUUGACUAGAAAUUAAACCCGUGCGUUGCACGGGUUUGUUAUUAAGUUAUGUGUCUAUUAUUUGUAAAAAUAAUUUAUGUAAUAUGAAAAAUUGUUGAAUUGUAGAUAUUUAAGAAUAUGAUAAACAUAUGUAAUGUAAUUAUAUUAAUGAAGCUCAGUAAAAAAAUUAUUGUACACUAAUUUUUUAGUGUUUUUUUUUGUAUAAACAUUUGGUACCGGUAAUCCUUUGGAUAUACAGACAAAUUCAAGAUUUAGUCACAAUUAAAACUCAUGAUCCCUCUCCCAUAGUGUAUUGUGUGGGGAUCGAAACCGAGAGCUCUUCACACACGCUCAGUCUGCGUUGCCACNNNNNNNNNNNNNNNNNNNNNNNNNNNNNNNNNNNNNNNNNNNNNNNNNNNNNNNNNNNNNNNNNNNNNNNNNNNNNNNNNNNNNNNNNNNNNNNNNNNNNNNNNNNNNNNNNNNNNNNNNNNNNNNNNNNNNNNNNNNNNNNNNNNNNNNNNNNNNNNNNNNNNNNNNNNNNNNNNNNNNNNNNNNNNNNNNNNNNNNNNNNNNNNNNNNNNNNNNNNNNNNNNNNNNNNNNNNNNNNNNNNNNNNNNNNNNNNNNNNNNNNNNNNNNNNNNNNNNNNNNNNNNNNNNNNNNNNNNNNNNNNNNNNNNNNNNNNNNNNNNNNNNNNNNNNNNNNNNNNNNNNNNNNNNNNNNNNNNNNNNNNNNNNNNNNNNNNNNNNNNNNNNNNNNNNNNNNNNNNNNNNNNNNNNNNNNNNNNNNNNNNNNNNNNNNNNNNNNNNNNNNNNNNNNNNNNNNNNNNNNNNNNNNNNNNNNNNNNNNNNNNNNNNNNNNNNNNNNNNNNNNNNNNNNNNNNNNNNNNNNNNNNNNNNNNNNNNNNNNNNNNNNNNNNNNNNNNNNNNNNNNNNNNNNNNNNNNNNNNNNNNNNNNNNNNNNNNNNNNNNNNNNNNNNNNNNNNNNNNNNNNNNNNNNNNNNNNNNNNNNNNNNNNNNNNNNNNNNNNNNNNNNNNNNNNNNNNNNNNNNNNNNNNNNNNNNNNNNNNNNNNNNNNNNNNNNNNNNNNNNNNNNNNNNNNNNNNNNNNNNNNNNNNNNNNNNNNNNNNNNNNNNNNNNNNNNNNNNNNNNNNNNNNNNNNNNNNNNNNNNNNNNNNNNNNNNNNNNNNNNNNNNNNNNNNNNNNNNNNNNNNNNNNNNNNNNNNNNNNNNNNNNNNNNNNNNNNNNNNNNNNNNNNNNNNNNNNNNNNNNNNNNNNNNNNNNNNNNNNNNNNNNNNNNNNNNNNNNNNNNNNNNNNNNNNNNNNNNNNNNNNNNNNNNNNNNNNNNNNNNNNNNNNNNNNNNNNNNNNNNNNNNNNNNNNNNNNNNNNNNNNNNNNNNNNNNNNNNNNNNNNNNNNNNNNNNNNNNNNNNNNNNNNNNNNNNNNNNNNNNNNNNNNNNNNNNNNNNNNNNNNNNNNNNNNNNNNNNNNNNNNNNNNNNNNNNNNNNNNNNNNNNNNNNNNNNNNNNNNNNNNNNNNNNNNNNNNNNNNNNNNNNNNNNNNNNNNNNNNNNNNNNNNNNNNNNNNNNNNNNNNNNNNNNNNNNNNNNNNNNNNNNNNNNNNNNNNNNNNNNNNNNNNNNNNNNNNNNNNNNNNNNNNNNNNNNNNNNNNNNNNNNNNNNNNNNNNNNNNNNNNNNNNNNNNNNNNNNNNNNNNNNNNNNNNNNNNNNNNNNNNNNNNNNNNNNNNNNNNNNNNNNNNNNNNNNNNNNNNNNNNNNNNNNNNNNNNNNNNNNNNNNNNNNNNNNNNNNNNNNNNNNNNNNNNNNNNNNNNNNNNNNNNNNNNNNNNNNNNNNNNNNNNNNNNNNNNNNNNNNNNNNNNNNNNNNNNNNNNNNNNNNNNNNNNNNNNNNNNNNNNNNNNNNNNNNNNNNNNNNNNNNNNNNNNNNNNNNNNNNNNNNNNNNNNNNNNNNNNNNNNNNNNNNNNNNNNNNNNNNNNNNNNNNNNNNNNNNNNNNNNNNNNNNNNNNNNNNNNNNNNNNNNNNNNNNNNNNNNNNNNNNNNNNNNNNNNNNNNNNNNNNNNNNNNNNNNNNNNNNNNNNNNNNNNNNNNNNNNNNNNNNNNNNNNNNNNNNNNNNNNNNNNNNNNNNNNNNNNNNNNNNNNNNNNNNNNNNNNNNNNNNNNNNNNNNNNNNNNNNNNNNNNNNNNNNNNNNNNNNNNNNNNNNNNNNNNNNNNNNNNNNNNNNNNNNNNNNNNNNNNNNNNNNNNNNNNNNNNNNNNNNNNNNNNNNNNNNNNNNNNNNNNNNNNAAUAAUGGUACACAAAUUUAAUAAUAAAGUCACUCGUGCAAUGCCCGGGUAUUCAACUAGUUUUUAUAUCAAUCGAAGGGAGAGAUACACAUACAAAAUGAAUGUAAACAAAUCAUUUUUCCGAUACAAAGAUAUCCAACCUGACACAAGCCAUGUAACUUUGCCACUCACCAUACCUAAAAAAAUUUGUUUGGUUGACACUUCAAACACAACUAUACCUAAUAAGAUAAGGUGAAUUCUGUGGUACCUAAAAAUUAUUUUGGGUAUGAUACCCGCAUUAAGUGAUUUAGUAGAUUAUUAUCAUGUGAAAUAAUAGAGUUUUAACCGUCAAGGUUUAUUGAUGAUAGAGAGGACGACAUCUGGAGAUCGUGACCGUGAAUGAUUGUACCCAACACCUUUGUUUUGAAACAGAUUUUUGGCAAUACAGGGGAGAAAAAGGGUUGUGAACUGUCUGGAGGAUUACUUUGCAAAUAAUGUGCUUAUAAAAAAAAAACUUUACAAAUAAUAAUAAGAAUAUUAACAUUUAAAAUUUAGAGCAUGUUUUUUUAUUUGUACGCAUCAUUUUUGUGAUUCAAUUAGAACAUGUCUAUUAUUGAUACACAUCAUUUUAGGUACCAUACCUUGAUCUGGUUUAAGCUACCAUAACAAGCACCGAUAAGGUAAUAAAGAAAUAAGAGAAAAAUGACAUAUAUGUUAGAUGAUAAAUAAGAAUAAAAGAGAAAUAUAGAGAGAAGGUGACCGAAAAUAUGAUAGAAGAGAAUUUUUAGUGUAAAUGAAUCUAAUACUCUAAAAAAUUAAGCAAAUGCAUUAUUCACACUUCAUCCACCUCACUUUAGAGAGAAAUAGGAAGUGAAGAAAGAAAAAUAAAUGAAACGAAAUGAAAGUGAUAGUUAGUGAGAAUAUAUGAAGGUUGGGAAAAAAAAAGAAAAAAAAAAGGAAGAAACUUUUUUGUGGGUGACGUGUGAACUAAUUUCCCACCCAUUUCCUCUGCCGUAUUCACCCACAGAAUACCACACACCAAAUCUUGCUUUCCACAGAAAAGAUUGUGACAGAGAAGCAAUCCACAGCACACAGAAACAACAACAAUACAACUUGAUCACUCUUCUACAUGCUCCACCUCUCAUCUGCAUGAAAGAAAAGAAACCCCCAUCAUCAAUGGCUCACCACCAAUCCUCUGCUGAUCAGAUUCCUCAUCAACCAUUGGAACUGCACCAACCCAAAGACAACACCACCACAGAGAAAGAACGACAAGAAAAAGAUGAUGCAUCUGCCUUAAAAACCCAUUUCAGUGAUGUUGAGGCAACUACAGAGUGCAGUAGUGGACGUGAGAGGUUGAAGAGGCAUAGAGUUGAAGUGGCUGGGAGGGUUUGGAUUCCUGAUAUUUGGGGACAUGAGAAGCUCUUGAAGGAUUGGAUAGAUUGUGCAGUGUUUGAUGCUCCUUUAGUUCCAACCAAACUCCUCAUGGCACGACAAGCUCUUGUUCAAGAGGGAAGAAGAAUGGAAAUAUAGGUGUUGAAUUUUAUUUAUUUCUGUGAUUUUUGUAAUAAUAUUAUUUAUUUCUGUGAUUUUUACUAUGAAUAUAUUGCAUAUCCGCCAUGUGAAUCUUAAUUUUAGAAGCUGUUGAUACUUGAUGCAUCAUAAAAUUAUGGUAUUCUGAAGAUUUAAAUCUGGAACUCUAAUUGAGUAUACAAAAUUCCUUAAAAAAACGAGUAUACAAAAUCACACUAUUUCACCAACAAGUCUAGAUUUGCUCAGUUUUUAAGCAUUUAGUUAAAAAUUCAAUUCCUUAACCAUGUGGAAGGAAGAAGAAUUUGUUGCGAGAAACUUAAGACCAUACAAAAUUCGCACCAUUAUAUUUAAGUCCAAGUUUUGUUUAAUUCUUUUUUCUUUUCCAUUAUUUGCUUUUCUGUGCGCUGAAUGAAUGAAUUCAAGUUGCAGUCCCGAUAUAUUUACACUUGCUACGGUGCUCCACUACAAUUGCACUCUAUACAUAAGCAUUUGUAGUAUAGGUGUUCAUGAAUUACAUUGAAUUGAAAGAAAAAAGUCAUCCGAUCCAAUCUCACAAGUUUCAUUAGUUUAUCAUCCAAUGAAUUUAUCUAUAAAUUCAAAUUUGAUGGGAUCUAAUAUAUAACAGUUUGGAUUGGAUUAGAUAUUGUUCAGUUUUUGUUUAAGAUUUUCAUUUAAGGUAGUAAUAUAUAAAUCUUAAAAAUAUGUAAUAUAUUACAAAUACAAUGAUAAAAAAUUUAUUGCAUUAAUAUAACAUUUUUUUAACUGAAUAUAGCAUUGAUAAGUACAUCAGUACAUGUAUAUGAUAAGAAAUAUAAGUAUGACUAUGUUAACAGAAACAACAGAGAAAAGGGAAAAACUGAAUGACUUUGAUUGAUAAUUGGUAAACAGUACAUAGAGGUGUUCUCCUUAUAUAGAGAAGAGAGUAGCUUACUAAGCAAGCUUUCUAGACUCAACUGAAUCAUAACUGACUCAUAACAGAAUGACAGCUCAGCAACUAACUAACUGACUACUCUAACAAACUGUUAUCCAGCUGGCAUACCAGCUGGCACAGCACAUGCGAUAUUCAUAUAUCACUAUAUAUUCAUAUACACUAAUAGACUAGUAUAUGUAUAAAUGAAAUUCUAUAUAUUUGCAGUGUUUUUUAAUUGGAUUGGUUCGGUUUUGAAAAUCAAAUCUGAUCCAAUAUAUACCGCUGAUCCUCCCCCAUCCCCAUUGCCAAUCUAACCCAAAACAUCACUAUUAAUUCCCACCGACGUUAAAGAUAAACAACUAUAGUAGUAAGGCAUGUUCAAUAGUUUUAGGCUCAGUGGACACAGUGGGCCGGGCUCAAAGUGAUUCUUUUCCUCGAAAGGUUCUCUCGAACAGGGAUAACAUGUGACUCACUUUUCAGAGAAAGCGUUUUAUCUUCUGUGAUAUAGGUAAACCCCAAAUGGUGUUCCAAAUUCUUUUAGGUAUUGUUGUGGAAGAACUGAGAGUGUUAAUGUUUGGUCUAGUAUGUUUCACUUCCUUUUUAGCUUUAUGGUAGCCCCUCUUGAUUGUAUCUCCUUCAUUAUUAGUUUAAGGACAAGUAAGAAUCAAUUCCCCUUGCGUGGUUCUAGUUGGAGUAUUCAGAAUUUAAGGGUUGAUGUAGGCAAGGACGGAUCCAUUCACAGCAUGUUGGGGUUAACUGCCCCACAAGAUUUUACAAUUCUUUUAACACGUUUGUUUUUGGAAAAACCAAAUUCAACUUUUCCAUCAAAAGUUUACUUACGAAGUUAUUCUAACUUAUUAAUCUCACUACAAGAAAUAAUGCUUUCAGUGAUAAGCAUUUUCGUCAUUAAAAGCUUAAAAUAUCGUCACUAUGAGUAUUUUAUGACGAAAUUUGUAAUCGUCACUAGUCGUCACUAGUACUUAAGUCACUAAUACAUAAAUUUCAUAUCACUCAUGCAUAAGAGUUUUUUUCCCCAAGGUAUCCCAACAACGGGUAUCCCAUAAGAGGUUCUUCUAAGACUCUAAGAUAACGUUAAAUGGGUAGAUUUCUCCCAAUAAAUGUAUAAAAUGUCUUUACAUACUUCUAAUUAGUGUUAUUAGAUUCAGCUCGGACCAACCGGUUGGGUCAGUCCGACCGAAAAACAGAUGGGUAAGUUAUUCGAGUCAAAUAUUGGAUCGGCCAUGCAUUCAACCUGGCGAGAAUCGGUAUGAAUUGCAACGAACCGGUCGGUUUCGUGAAAAAUCGGUAGCUUGAACCGGCUGAGUUUUGCCAUUUCAAAGAAAGAGAUGAGCUUCACUCAUCUAGAAAAGAAUCAAAGAUAAGGUUCUGAACAUGCAAUGGGGUGGAUUAAUGGAUGAAUGGAGAAGAAAUGCAGAUGAUUGAAAAUUUGAAAUAGCCCAAGAUUCCAGUCUCUCAGCCGUGUGGUAUCUCACUAGUCUCACAACAUAGAUGAUAGAUCUAGUCGCCGGUACAAGAAAAAUGAAAAAAGAAAUGGUGGGUAGAGGAUAAAAGAGGGAUGCAGGUGUAACUCCAAAAUGAAAUAUGAGGAAAAUGAUAUAUUAGAGUUUGAGUUAUUUGGGCUUUACUUUGCAAAGCCUAAAAUUAAACUAUUAAUUUUAAUAAAUAUUUUGGUCUUAAAUGGGCUUAAGCUGCUGCCCAAUACGUUAUAAAAGCUGCCCAAUAUAAAAAUUAAAACUUUCACAGGUGAAAAAAACAAGAGGAAUUUGUGCCCUUUGAAUUCGAACACAUGACCUGCAAAAGAAAGAAUUUAUGUCAACCAUUAUCACAAUAAGUAUAAUAUGUAUGUGUACUAGUUAUAUAUUAUUUGAUAUAUGUAUUUUCGGUUUAACAAGCUGAACUAGUGACUCAGCGGUUGAACCAUUGGCCCAUUGAACCGGUAUAUCAACCGAGUGAGUCACUGAAUCGAGUUUAAUUACACUGCUUCUAAUUACAUUAUUAUCCUGUUCCAUCCUAUUCUGUCAUGUUUCGUUCUGUUUUAUCCUGUUCCGUUCUGUCACCAAACGCUACCUAUGUAAUCUGGAACACGUUGGUCACAUGAGGCUAAAGACAAAUGGGGAAGAAAUAUCAAAUAUCACAUUAUGUACUUUGGUUAAUCUUUUAUGGACCCUUCAAAUUUGAUAUUAUUCAAUUUGAGUGUUUGGUAUUCAGCCAACUCAGAUGCAGUACCAAAUCACCAAUAGUGAAGUACCUGUCACUCUAUACAAUACAAUUGGCCAACACAUUACCAUCAAAGCAUUUGACAUUUUCCAAAACAAAACCAGAACACCAAUUCACACACACCAACCAGUUCAAAGUUCAAACUCCCAAUAACAGUGCUGCAAGGUUGGAAGAACCUCUCCAUCUUCCAAACUCAUCAUGGCUAUGGCAGCAGGAGGAACUCUGAGUCUCUCCCAUUUCUCAGUUCACAGACCAAUUUCAUUGCCCAGAAGAAGAUUACCCAGAAGCAAAGUGUGCAUUAGAGCCAUGUCAGAAACCUCUUCCACUUCCACCCAACAAGAACCAAUUUCAGAUGCUUCAUCUUCAUCUUCAUCUUCAUCAUCAUCAGUGUCAUUUGCUGCUCCCGUCGAUUUCAAGGCCCCUGAGCCCAAACCCUUUACAGUAAGCUCUGGCCAAACCGGUGAGGUGUUUAAAGCUGUACUUCCCUUGGUCUUUCGCUUUGCUACUGGAGUUUUCGUUUCUGGGUAACAACCAAAUUCUCCUCUCUCCAUAUUGGUUUGUAUGUUGGUAUUUUUUUCCUUCAGUUUUUACCACCAACAUACCUAAAUUCUAACGCUUUUGUGGUCUUUGAGAUCAGAAACUCAAAGGUUGACUCUUUCUUCAGUUGUUUAUAUUCUUUUACAUGUAUCAGAUUGAAUUCCUUGUCGUUUUAAGUUUUGGGGUACAAAAUGAGAGCAUGUUUACUGAUAAUAUGUUUUUGACAUUUUGUCCUGGUUAGAUUGAGCAGAGGUUGUGAGUUGAAGUAUCUAGGUAGACUGGUGGUAUUAUUGGCUUAAUGUUUACAUAUUUAAUAUUUGAUGUUAUUGCUGUUUCAAUAUGGUUGAUUCAUGUACUACUUGAGGCAUAUGUAGACUAGAGAUCAAUGAAUAUUCCCAACUCGCAAAUGAAUAUUUUCCGUGAAAGAUAUCUGUAGUCCUAGACGAAAAAAAAGAGGGAUCUGGCCUGAUAUUAUGACUUUUUUGCUAGAAGGAUCAUGAUACUGUGAGAGACUUAGUUUGGAUUGGCUUCCCAUUAAAGAUGAUUAUUAGAUGUUAUAUUUCAUAUGCUUUCCAUUAUGUGCAUAUUCUUUUUUAGUUGUGUUGAGGUUUUCCUAAAAGGACCAUGUAAUAGUUGAAAAUCUUGAAGAGACUGGCAGACCAGAUUCUAAUUUUUUGUGCUUUUGUUGUGCAAUGCCAGGUACUCUUUUUCAUUUGUUUCUAAGGAUGAAAUUCCACCGAAUGAAUACGCUUUGGAAGUUAAUGGUAGCAUCUACUGUCUAUUAUGUUUAAUGCUCAUGGUUGCAUGCUAGAUUUAUUUUUCCAAUUCUCAAAUACUCAUAGAUAUCUGGUUGACUUGCAACUGUGACUUAGAAGGUGGAAACAUAGAAAGUUGUAUGCCAAACUUUCAAUGAUUAUAAAUUAUUUGUGUCAUGAACCAACUAUCUUAAAUGCUUAAGUUGUUGGGUGAAGACACAUGAAUGGUUUUAUAGGUCCCCUAAUUCGCUAGUAAGUUGAGAGAGUUAGUUAGUUGUCCGGGAUGGAAUAUUAUAAAUAAGAGAGUUUAGGACGAUGAUCAUCUUUGGGAUCAUUUAGUAAUUAGGAAGUAGGGACAGGUGCUGGGACUCUUGAAUCACUUAGCAACCGUUAUAGUUCAUUUGAUAUUCUUGAAUAAUAGCAGAUCUGUUCUUCUUUUUGGCUGGUUCUUAUCACACGCCCCCUUAUGCAAGAGCCCAUUGCCCUUAAUCUGUUGGGAAACCAUAGCGCAACCUUCGUUACUGGCCCAAUUGGUUCAUGCGUCGACGAUGCGUAGGUCCAUCUACAGAGACUCUGAUAACAUGUCAUGAACUAGUUAUCUUGAAAGUUCAAGAUAUUGGGUGACAUAAAUGAUUUAUAUUAUAUUAGUAACAAUGUGGCUUACUAUUUUGUCUUUUGGUAGAUUUUUCCAUGGAAAAUUUCUACAAAAAUACUUGUUGUCUGUGCAUGAAAGGCUUCCAAAGAAAGAUCUCUUGAACUGCCUUAUAUAUAUAGUAUGUGUAUGUUGUGUGAUAGAGUAUUUGCAGUUUUCCAGUUGAACAUUCCUAUAUUUUCUGUGAUGUUCUGAAAAUACUUAUCUCAUAACAAAUACGCUCAACAAGUCAUGUUUUUUGUUUAUUUAUAUUUUAAUUAAUCAUCUAGUUCCUUUUUCUCCUGUUGACAAUUGACAUAAGGAAUAUGGUUUUCAGGCUCUAUGGUAAAAGAAACAUCAAAGGUAGGCCCUCGCCCUGAGAAGCCUAUUGAGAUAUAUGAGUUUGAGAGGUAAUCAAUAAUUCUGUGUCAAUAUUUUAAAAUUCCUUGACUAAAUACUUCUUGAAUCCUUCUUCUUCCAAAGCAAAGAUGGAUAACUAGCUUUUAAAUUUGCUUUGUACCUUUACAUUAAUCAUUGGAAUUUUACAUGCCACUCUAAGGAUUAUGGAAUAACCUAAUUUGGUAUGAUGUUUUGUUUUUUUACAUAUGUGCUGUCAUGGAUCGUGUGCAGCUGUCCAUUUUGUCGAAAGGUAUGCAUUUAAUUUUUUUUCUAGAUACUUUCUGCCAGCAUAUAUUUUUCAAGAAUUUGUGUUUCAUAUCUAUGUUCACGUGCGAAAUGUAAGUUACCAAAAUGGAUUUUUACCAUGACAGGAAUAAACUCUUAAAGUAUGCAAGUCAACUUCCAUUAUGCUAAUCUUUUUAUUUUAGGAAUUUGAGUUAGAAUAUCAGACAUGACUUUUCACCAGAACAGGCCAGGAUAAACUCUAAUCCUGCUAUCCAGUAUCAGGAUUAACUGCUGUUUCCUUUCCUUUUAUAUAUUGGGGAGAAUAUUAGGCUUAAUAACAAAGUUAGACCUUCAAAAUCUCCAUCAUUGAUUGUCUACUGUUGUCAUUCUUCUGUUAUUAUAUUAGCAGCCAUUCUUUUUUUAUAUUUUGGGGACUAAUAUUUUGUCUUUACACAGGUUAGAGAAAUUGUUGCUAUUUUGGACCUUGACGUUCUUUUCUAUCCUUGUCCAAGAAACGGACCAAAUUUCCGUGCGAAGGUUCUUGAGAUGGGUGGUAAACAGCAGUUCCCUUACAUGGUAUGAUUGAGUCCUUAAAAACUACCAGCGAAACAAAAUUGGUAGUCUUUUAUUACGAUUUUUGGGACAUUUUGAAAAUUAUGGGAAGUAUCCUAAACUACUACAGUGAAAUUCUUGCAAAAACUAUUCUGCAGUUCAUGAAUCCUUCUGGCAUCUUAUAACAUCAACUCUUGCUAAUUGGCUAAAAAGGUUUGAGUUUUAAAGAAAAGUGUAGCCUAUAAUGAGAUGCUGCUAUCAGAUACUCCUGGAAAGAAAAGAAUCUGCAUUCAAAUAGUUAUAUCUGAGAGAGAUAGAAUGUGGAAUUAUUCCUCUAUAAACUUGUAUUUUUGUUCUAUUCAUAUACAAAUCUUUUGACAUUGUGUACUGGCUCAAAUAAAACAGCACCAAAAGAACCGUCUAAAGGUGCAGUAUAAUUUUCCUCUUUUAUGAAGUUGCUUCUGAAAGCUUUGCCUUGCAAUUAUUUUACUAGUUAUCUAUUUAUCUAUCAUCACUUGCCUUUUCACGCCUCAUGUUAAUCGCUUAGUGUCUCUGAGUAAGAACAACUUUCUGAUUUUCUUGGUUACAGGUUGACCCAAACACUGGCGUUUCAAUGUAUGAAUCAGAUGAUAUAAUUCGGUAUUUGGUUGGCAAAUAUGGUUUGUUUCUUAUGUACCCUUUUCUUUUUCAUUCUUAUGUUUCAUAGUCUUUCUCAUUGCAUUUUCAAUCUUUAAAAUUGGGGGUGCAAUUUUUCAAAUAUGAUGAAAACUAAGUAUCUUCCUUCAAGAGCAAUAUAAUUUACUCAAGCAUUAAAAAAUAAAAGCUAUAGACAAGUCCUUAUUUUACAUACCUCUGAAACCAUCUACUGACAUUGCAGCAUAUACAUGAUUAAGCACCUUAACUUUUAAGAUCAUUAGUUUUACUGCAAGGUUCUAGGCUAAUACUAAUUUUGCAUGCUUUACCCAAAAAAUAUCCUAUUGUUGAGUGUUUACUAAUCAUUAGCUAUUCUGCAGGUGAUGGAAGUGUGCCUUUUACUUUGUCACUUGGAUUUUUAACGGUUAGAAACUGACACCACCUCCAGAAACUUGAAUUGUAUCAUUGAUGUUAGUAUUUAAACGCUAUAUUUUUUUCUGCAGAAUCUGACUUGUGGUCUUGCAAUGCUUAGUCGUAUUACAAAGGUAAUAUCACCUUUCUCAAGUGGGGUGUUUAACUAUGGCCCAGUUCAGAAGAACUUGUUUGAGCUUGCUUUGUAGCAUAAGCUGUAAGCACUUAUACAAGUAUUUGGAAGAACUUCUGUAAAUAGCUUAUGAGAUACCUAUAAGAUGUUUUGAGCUUAUUUUUAUAAGCUGCUCAGAUUAGCUUAUAAAUAAGAGCUUAUGCUUAUCUGUAACAUUUUUUUAGUUUAUUUCAGUAAGUUUCUCAAAUAAUCAAAUUAGCUUAUGAAUCAGUGCUUAAUUAAGUUAUUUAUUCAAACACCCAUUUUUUAUUGAGAAAUAAUCCUUUCUUCACAAUUAGUGAAGGAAUUACUAGCAAAAUGCGAAAGUAAUAUAUAUGAAUUUCAUUUUUGGUUGUCAUUGAGAUUUCACUAAUAAGUAUUCAAAUUUCUGUUUCCAGGGGACAACUUAUACUCCAGCAAAGUUACCUCCACAGCCUCUUAAGUUAUGGGCAUAUGAGGUUGGUGGAUAACAUGCAAACCAUGCAUCCUAAUGUUUAAUGAACUCAGGACUGCUAUCUCUAAAUUAUAAAUUGGCAUGCAUGAUAAUAAUGUAACCAUUAUCAGCGGCUAGAGAAUUUUUAAUUUGAAAUGUUUUCUUCCAUCAGGGGUCUCCUUUCUGCAAACUUGUACGUGAAGUACUAGUCGAAUUGGAGCUUCCGCACAUCCUUUACAGGUACAAUCCAUAUUUUCUGAGCUGCCAGCUGUUAGAUUUGAUGACCAAUAGAAAAAAAUGAAUGGUUUAUGACUAUAACUAGGGGUCUAACCGGCCAGGUUGGUUCAAGUUUGAGGUGUUUUAAAAUCCAAACCAAUAAAAUUGGGGAUUAGGUUGGUUCGGGUUGCUCAAUUUUUUAACAAGGAACUCGAACUGAACCAUCCUGAAACUGACUUGGUUGGUUCAGGUCGGUUGGUCGGGUCAGAUUAAAAUAAUAUUUUUAACUAAAUUUUUUAAAGGAAGCCAGAAAUCCCCUUUUUGACAAAAAAAAUCUGGUAACUAUAACCACUGAAUAUUCUGUCAUCCAAAAGUGAAGGUUAAUGCAGUAUACAGCUGAAUAUUCCGGUAAAGUUUAUUGUUUUUUUCUUUCUGUAUAUCCCUGUAAAUAGUUUUUUCUUUAUAUAUCACUUUUCUGUUGAAGUUCACUCCUUGUCUUAGUCUUGAUUGGUGCAUUAUAAAUUUAUAAUGCAUACUUAAGUUGUGUUUUUUCUUGUUACUUACAUUUAAUAUUUCAUUUUAGUUGUGCUAGGGGUAGCUCAAAACGACAUAUACUAUAUCAGAGAACUGGACAUUUCCAGGUACUGAUUUAUUCAUGUAGUGAUUCUUUCAAGCCUUUCCAAACACACACUUGUUACAAGCUUAAUGAGAUGGUGUUUGAUUAGUGCAUAUGAUGUCAACGUUUAUGGUUAUGGUUCACAGGCACCCUUUUUGGAGGAUCCAAACACGGGGAUAGAAAUGUUUGAGAGUGCAGACAUAAUAGAGUAUCUCAGAACAAUUUAUGCUCUUCAGUGAGUGAUGUUAUGAAGCUUCUAAGGGGUUUUAACCCAGUCUCGACCUUCAUGGCAUGGCAUAUUGUAAAAUUCAAAAUGAUUUCUAACAUUGAGGUAAGUUAAUUUGUUACUAUACAAUAAAUAUAAAAUAAUUGAAUCACAUACCUCAACACUAAGCAAUUGUUUGAGGAGGUUAAACUGUAGGUUGUAAAGUAGGAUUCUAUUUCGUUCUUCAUUAUUGUCCUACAAGGCCUUUAAGUAUAAGUAUAAUGCCUUUGAAGAUGAUCAUCCUCCGCAAGUUGCAUAAUAUAUUAUGAUAGUUUGCUAUGAGUGAAUUAUUAUUUAUUAGAGGAGGGAUCCUCAUGUGAUUUUUGCUAUUUCCAUUGUUGACUUAUACUUAUUUUUGCCCUCAAUGAUUUUAGUUAAAUUUAUUAACUUCUAAAUUGGAUUAGAAGUAUAGUUUUUACUUUUAUGUUACAAAAGUGUACAUGAUAUUAAGUUUUAAGUAUACUGAUAACGAAAUUGUCAUUAACCAAUUAUUAUAAUAACUUUAGCGUUAGAUGAAGAUACAUGAAUGAUUUUACCUAAUAUUUUCAGCAUACCUUUUCGUUUAAGAGUUCAUUGCCUAAUGUUUAGAUUCAAUUACUUUUAUCAGCAUAAAUAAUGCAACAAAUGUUGAACUCUAGACUAAAUGCAGAUAAAGGAUUUGAAAUUUGAUAUUGUACUCUCUUAGCCGGUCGGCUUGAAGCCCCUAAAGAAAGCAUACCUAUAACGGAAGUACUGGACAAAGGUUCGUUCAACUAAGUCUGGCUAGUUUACACUUUAGGACUCACCAAACAGUGCAACACUCUUAGAUAACUCACCAUUGCAAGGAAUGAGGAUCACAUGCGAUAAUAGUGUGGAAACAUAUCUUGUAAAUAUAGGAAAUAAGAGCGAAGUGAAGCAUUGAUUUCUUGGAUUGUCGGUAGAAGGAGGGUCUCAUAUGCCUAAAAGAAGAAAGGGAUAACAUUGCUAUAAGACAAAAUGAAUGAGAGAUUGGGCUGAAGCUAGGAAGACUCAAAUAGGGAAAUAAAAGGGGCUAAGAAAAAAAGAGAAAACAUGCCCACUAAGAAAAUGCAUAGGACCAUAGCAAUUGAGACUAUCUCUAUCUCUUAGCCUUUCAUUGUGUAUUGUUACUCUUGUAAGAGCAUAUACUAUGUUGUUAACCAAUUAUUCUAAAGGUGUGUUUGGUUCAACCAAUUAUUGUAAUUGCCCAUAAAGUUUUAACUUUUAAAACAUGAUAAGAAAUAUUUUUGUCCUCCUAGUAGAGGGGAGCCACAAUUGAAUAUAAUGUGUAACAAGUAACAACAUAAGAUAGGUGCAUGUAUGAAGGUAAAGGUGGGGACCGUGAUUCCAAUAUCUGACACAAGGCCUGUGUCCACACACUCAUCAAGUAUGGGUCUGUUUCCCUUCAUGUCUCCAGCUGGGGGAGGUUCAUUUGUGCUUUAGGCUAAAAAAGUAUUUAGAAAGACCAAACCAAAAGCGGAAACCAAAUUAUAAACUAUUUUUUAUUUGUUAAAGUAUUAUAAACGCAUUUCAAAAUGUUCAUUUAUUUAAAACCUCACGUUUAUCAUCAGAACACUGUUCACUUUGAACUUAGAUUUGGUGCGAUGGUGACAUACAAACUCAUCUUUUUUUAGUGGAGAGUUUAUAUCUCUUGUGAUGUAAGUGGGGAAGGUAUGAUCAGAAUCUAGGGACAAAAUCAGAAAAAAAAAAAUGUGUAACAAGGAAAAUAUUAUAUACAUUAAAUUUAAAACGAAUAAUUGAAUAACAUAUCAAAAAAGAAAAAUGCUAGUUAGUACAACAGGAAUUGCAAGAAUUGAAAAUCAACUAUCACCAUGCUCUCCGUUUUAUUUUUCACCCAAUACAAAUAUUUUGUUGCCACGUACUUUAUUCUUGCGUUUCUAGCUCAUGUUUCAUACUAAUUAGCCAUUGUCAUGUGAUUACUAAAACUUUGAGGGGACAAAUACAACAUUUGAAUACAUCCGGACAUCUACACAGAAUUCUGUUAGAUGUUUGAAAGUUCUUCCUAAUUGAUGUUAAAGUUAAAAUUUAAGGGUUUAUUUUUUGUCAUAAGAUUUCAAAUGACAACACUUUCAUUUUUGCCAGAUUUGCAAGUUUGUCAGACGUUUUAAUUUUUUUUAUUCUAAUGUCAGACUAUUUAUUAUCUAAAAUGCUUAGUGUUACAAAACAAUAUCACAACAUAUUUAUUUUUGGAUAAGCUAUAUGUAUAUAUAAAUAAAAAGAAAUGAAACGGCACCAACAGUGCCAUCCAUCCAGAAACAAUACAAGAGAGAGAGAGAGCCCAAAAGGGGCAAAGGGAAAGAAAAAACGAAAGACAGGCAGAAGAAUAAUACAGAGAUAUACAGGAACAUCACAACAUAUGAAAACAAAUACAUUUGAUUGGUUGAAGUUUGUUACGUUGUAUUAUGCAUGAUAAUAUAAGCUUAUACAAUACAUUGUAGAUAUAUGCAUUAUUUGGUUUUAACGUUGUAUUGUAUAAUUUUAUCUAUCAAUCCACUCUUAUAUAUACACAGUAAAAUGAUGGAUUAUUCAAUCCACUCUAUAAAUGAUGGAUAAGACAUGAUAAGAAUGUGACGUAUAAGCUACUUGAAAAUAUUUAAUCCCCUCCGCCUCCACCACCACCCUCCAUCAUUGUCACUGUCAUUGCCACCAUUGCAAUCGCCAUGCCGCGACCGCCGCCACCACCACCACUCGAACCGCCACAGCCACUGCAGCCUCCACCACUCUCCAUUGCUAUUGUCACCACCACUACAACUAACUACUGCCACAAUCCACCACUAUUAGACCGCCACAACCACCUACCUCCACCGUUGCCACCACUCAGUAUCACCAUUGUCACCUCUACUGCCACUGUCACUGCCACCACUAUCGUUGCAGCGUCGUCGCCACCAUUACCCAUCACCACCACCUACUCACACAAUCCUCAUUAUUAUAUUAUCUAUCAUUAUGCAAUAUUUUACAAAAUAUAUGAUUAUAUUAACUUAAAACAAUAUGAUAGGUUAUACAGUGUGAGUGUAUGACCAAAUGUUAUAUAGUAUUGAGUUUUUUAUCAUAUCUUAUCCUAUAUGGCUUUAUACAACAAAAAAUCCUUGUAAGUAACUUCUGAGUGCUAAAAUUAAUUAUGAAAGAAUAAAAAUUUAUCUAAACAUAUAUUUUCUUUAGCCUACAUUUUCCUCUCAUGAUUCGUUUCCCUUUUUUUCCUUGACAAACUUAUUCGGACACAUGUGGAGAAAUUAUAUGACAGUGUUAAAAAUUUAUGUGAUAAAACUUGCAGAAUCCAUAUGGUAUACUUAUAGAUAGGGAUGACAUCGAGUCAGGCCGGGUCUUGCCUAUCCCAAACUCAAACUCUCAUAUUAAACUCAAACCCACACUCGUUAGGUUUCGGGUUUACCCAAACCCGUUGUAGCCUCAAAUUCACGUCCUAACCUAAUUUGAUGUAUAAACGUUUUUUUGCAAAACAAAAUGCAACUUGUAUUAUUUUGUUGUGAAAAAACCUUUUAUAUCUUUUUUGCCAAAAAAUAUGAUACCUUGAUGUUCAAAUAUGAUCAAAUUGUUAACAAAUUAAGUUGUUAACAUGAUAUGUAAGAGUAGUUUUGCAAUUUCAUAUAUAUUGUUCGGGUUUAGGUGUGAGUUUCACUAAUACCAAACUCAAACCCAAACUCAAUCAUAUCGGGUUUUACCCGUAAAAUCGGGCUCGAGCGUGCCCCACGGGUUGAGAUUCCGUUGUUAUCCCUACUUAUAGACUGGUAAUAUAUCGCAUGGGAUGUCUAGCUUAUUAUUUCUACAGUUAUUAUAUUAGUCGAUUAAUAAAUUAAAACUAUUUAAUUACAUUGCCAUUCAGAGUCUAUCUACACAACAGAGAAAACUCACUCGAAUCUCACAUUGAUCGAGAAUGAUUAAGGAAGAAAUGAGAAAUAAAUAAGAGUUAUGAUAAGUAAUGUAAUAGAAAAAGAAGAGAGAAAUAAAUAAAAAAAUUAAGUGUGUGAUGAAAAUGAGAUAGAAAUAUAUAUUAGUGUUGUUCGGGUCUAAGGACUAACAAUGGAUAACUAGUACCCUUAAUAAACCCUAACAGAGCUAAGAGAAUAUAAAUGAUGUAAGAAUAAGGAAAUUAUCUCAUUAAUGAUCAAAAAGGUACCUAGUACAAGGUGAGAACACCCCCUUUUAUAGUGGGAGUGAUCCUUAUCUAGAAUAUUUAUAGAUUUGGACCUUACAUGCAAAACUCAAAUCCCAAUAUAAAAUAAGACAAAUACAUAUAUCAUUAAUAUGAUGAACAAGACAAAAUAAACUCAGGCCCACAUCUGCAUGCCGGGACCCAUGCCUUACUUCAAGGGUAUUACUCUUACUGGGCGGGUCUAUGGGCUUGUACUAGCCCGCCCAGUCCGCGUGUGAAUGAAUAAAACCCAUUACAACACCUGAUCAUAUUAAUUUUGUAGAUGUUAGUUACUCCGUGAUGUCAAAAUUUUACCAUGUAAAAGAAAAAGAAAAAAAAUAGAGCAGCGCUCAGGAAACCAUGUUAAAUUUUAAAAUCUUUCAAAAAGGGGUUAUUCCUGAAGUUAUGAAAGGGUACAAAAUAUCUUUUUAAAUCAUCCUUGUCUAUUUUAUUGAUAUUGCAUGUUUUAAUUAAAUUAUGUUUUAAAAGUUUAUUCCCACAUUGAUUGGUCAUGAGCUCUUGAAAGAGUCUAUAAGUCAAUGUGAUAUUGAGAUUGUACAAUUGCUAGUAAGUGAUCAUUUGAACUAUUGUUCAUGAGAUGAUUCACAGCCAAAGUGCCUCCAGAAAUUGUGGAUGACAGUGCUUGGGGUGAUAAAGUCGAAGAGUACGGCAGAAUAGUGUGAAUCUACAUUGGGAGAGGUGUCUUUGAAAGACACUCUGACGCUCAAGUUAGCUUAAGGUCAGAGAGAAUAUCUCAAAGACAAAAAAAAAAUAGUAUGUAGCAAAUGAAUAAUGUUUAAGUUAUGAAAUGAUCAAAACCUGUAUUUAGAGUUUGAUAUGACCAAUGAUGAAGGUGUUUAACCUUGGUUUAGUCAUUAUAAGUAGUUAAGUAGUUCAUGAGAUAACAACUUUUCUUGAGUGGUCUUUGAAUCAAUUAGCUUUACCUUUCCUUUUUUAGUUACUUAAAUGCGUUAAGGCUUCAUUUUAGUCGUCCUGGCUGACCAAUACGACGCUCACUUGGUCGUGAAACCUGUGGGCUGACUAUGGUGAUGAUAGGCUUAGUAGUCAUUUGGGUCGGCCAAAAAAUGAAUCUCUUAGCUUGACAUAUAAUGUGGAUACAAUGGCAAGAUGAUAAAGUAAUGCAAGAAUUUAUGAAGCAUGUAUCGAGGAGAAAUUAACUCGAGAUGCUUAUAAAAGCAAUUCGAGAUAAACAAUUUUAAAAUCAUUUUCGGGUUAAGAUAAAAAGUCUGCUUUUCCUUACAAAUGGUGGAGACAUGGCAUUCAAGUUCUCAUGCUUGAACAAUUCUUUUAUGUUUUCAACAUCGUUUGCUUCGACAUGGAGAGAACCGUGUCCAAGAGUCAAAUCCCUUUAUCCUGCUCUCUCAUGUAUUAGAACAUAAAGUAUAUUCUUAGAGUCAAAUCUCAUCUUUAAUACUAUAUAGUUCAUGAGCUUAAACUUCUCAACUAUCACUCUUGUAAAGAAGAGAUUUCAGUAGAAGCAAACGAUCUUGAGAAGUUUUGUAUAAUCCUGUAAGGAGAAGUCCUUAGAAUACUUGUAAGGAGAAGUUAUGCGAAUACUUGUUGGGAGAAGUCCCGAAGAAUACUUGUUGGGAGAAGUCCAGGAGAAUCCUUUUUUGGAGAAGUCCUCGAGAAUACUUGUUGGGAGAUGUUCUGGAGAAUAUCCUUUAUACUUGAUUAAUUAGUAAAAUUUUGGUAUAACCAAGGACUGGAUGUAGCCCUAUCGUUCUGGGGUGAACUAGGAUAAAAAUCUUGUGUGUCAACUGUUUAUUACUUUGCUUGAUUAUCUGCUGCACCAAACGAUAUUGAAGAACUAGAUGAAAUUGUCAAUCGUUUGGAAAACCAACAUUUUGGAUAUGACCAGGGCCGGCCCUGGGCCUGUGCAAGCAGGCCCACAGCCCAGGGCCUCCAAAAUGAAGGGGCCUCAAAAAAAAAUUCUCAAAGGCUACGGUUUCUAAAGUGUGGCCUAAAGUUUUUAUGCAACAGCUUUGAAACUGUUGCCUUUUCUUCUGCUGAUCAUAACCGACGCAGAUGCACCUUAUAGCUCCACUCUCCAGCUUUGUCUUGAGUUGCUUCCUAAAGUGUGGCCUAAAGUUUUUAUGCAACAGCUUAGAAACCGUUGCCUUUUUAGAUUUUUGGCCACGGUUUUUUGACUGGAGCACACGUCCGUUGCCUUUUCUCAAAAAACUACCCUACUUUACUAAAUAAUUUAAAUAGAUAAUGUUCCUUAAAAAAAUUAUUAAGGGUCCAUUUUUAUUAUUUGCCCAGUGCCUCCAAAAUGUCAGGACCGGCCCUGGAUAUGACACAAUUCAUCCCCUUUCUUGUGCUAGUUACUUCUGAAUAUCUCAAGGUUGUGCUGACCCUAUUCGAUCACUUAUAUUUAGCGUAGGCAUAUCCAACACUAACUUUUUAUUUCAAAAAGCAUUGGCCCCUCAACGCUAUGUUUAAUCUGUGGGAGUUGAAUCUUCUAUUAGCGUCAGAACAAGCCAAUGCCAGUUCAUAAAACAACGCAACUUCAUCCUUUAUGGUUUGUGAAGCGGGUUUGGCCGACGCUACUUUGCGGCAGAUUAUCCGACUAUUUUUUUUUAACUCUAAAAUGACCUAGUAAUGUAUGUAUAGCGCAUUAGAUUGUAAAUUUGGUAUUCAUCAUGAAUGAAUGAUACAUGUCGAGUGGAUUGGAUUCAAUAGGCAGGAUGGACUUUGAUGGCUUCCGCAUGACUUGGAUUCAACAAACACACCAUGUGUGGCUGUGGCAAAACGAGGAGUCUUUUCUUUGGGAAUAUAUAAGGAACAGUGGGGCUCUUCGGGUGACAACUGGAAUUUCUAGCUUUGUCCCUCACUUUAUGUGAUAGUGAAUUUAAGAUAAUUCUUAUCAUAGGGGCGUAUCUAGGUAGGGGCAGACAGGGGCCACCGCCCCUCCAAGAAUUUCGAAAUGUUCAUCGACUAUAGGUAUUUUUAUAUAGAAGAUGUUAUAACAUUUUGUGAUGCUCAUCAAGUUGAAGUUCCUGACAUGAAAACCUCUUAUUUUAUGAGUAAUGGUCGUAAUAAGAAAUAAGAUGGAGAUAUCAAACAUCAUUAUAGGAUAUAUGUAUUUUAUUGUGCAAUUGAUUUGCAACUAUAUGAAUUAAAUAAAAGAUUUAAUGUAGUGGCAUUGAAACUUUUCAUACUUAGUUCAGCUUUAAAUCCUAAGGAAAAAUUUAAAUCAGAUGAGAAAAUCUGUAAGUUUGUUGAGAAGUUUUAUGCAGAUGAUUUUUCCGAGCUAGAAAAGAGAAAUUUGUCAUUCCAACUAAGACAUUAUCAUUCAGAUGUUUUUCGAGAUCUUAAUUUAGGAAAAAAUUUCAUUUUAUCUGAGUUUUACCAGAAGUUAGUUGAAACUGGAAAAACAACAAUAUUUCCACUUGUUGAUAUAUUGUUACAUCUUGUUUUGACAUUCCUUGUUUCAACAGGAUCUACAGAACGAUCUUUUUAUGCAAUGAAAGUUGUUAAGACUUCGGCUUUGCAACAAAAUUGAAGAUGAUCUUCUUAGAAAUUUAUUAGUUAUAUAUAUCGAGAGAUAAAUUGUUGAAGAAAGAACGGAGUGAACUAAGAAAAAAUUGGUUCAUAAAUUGAAUUAAUUUUUCUACAAAUUAUUAUCACGUAAGGAGCCUACUAAAUAUUAGUAAAAAAUAUAUGACUCAUGCAUGAUGCAUGAACUAAUUUUUAAGAUGAUCUAUCCUAAAAUUUGCAGUCUUAAAAUCCAUGUACGUGUUCGACAAAAUGAAAAAUCCAUGUGAGUGGUGCCAUCUAAGAGCAUUGCUGUCAAACUAGCAACAAGAUCUUCGUUAUCUCAAUCAAAAUAUAAUUGUCCAGUAUUAAUUAAAAAAAACGUUUGUCUGCGAGUGAAAGCAUUAUAUUAGUCGAUACUGAAAGUGGUAAUAAACUUUCUAAUACACAUUUUUAAUUAGGUAAAUCCAUGUGAUGCCAUUGCAUAAAAGAAUAAUAGAAUCCCCAAAUAAGGAGUGAGACGCACAUAAUUUAAUGGGUUCACUACAAAUUUAUCCGAAUUACAAAACUUUACAAUCACAAUAAAAAAGUGUUUGAUGAUUAUUUUUGCUGGUAUAGUUCUCAAUUGGGUGUUAUUUUUCUUGUCGUGGUUCUUGUGUAAUUUUGUGAAGAAAAAAAACAUUAAAGUGGUGAGUUGCUUAUCUGUCAAGGAAAUUUUACUAUGUACAUUGUGGAUAUAAAACAAAUUGAAUCUGAAUUGAUGACACAAACAUUUAGCAGCUCUAUAUUGAAAGUCGGCGAGAAUAGGUGUAUUGGUAGCUAGCUGUACUAAUUAAGCUUUUUUACUCAAAAAUAUUAUAUAGGUGUUUUUCUUUCUAUCUCUUAAAUGAUGAUAAAUUGUUAGUAGUAUUUCAUAAACUUGCAGUGGUGUGGUUGAAUUUUCUUCUAUAUAAUAUCAAGAGUUCAAAUUAUAAAAAAUAAGAGUACAACAAUACUUGAUGAAAGUGUAUCAUAAGAAAUAGAAAAAGUAUGUUAUCAGCAUCAUCUUCUAUUCAUUUUUCUCUCAAGUGUAAUUAAGUAGAAAUGGGGAGGGGGGUAUGCAUUAUUUUCCUAUUAUCAUUUGUCUUCAUAAGUUCUAACACAAACACAAGGUCCCCCUCUUUCCUAGCCUCUUGCACUGCUUUUGUGCACCCCUAUCCAUGUUCCUCUUACUUCAAUCUGUGUCACCCAAAGUGGACACUUUUACCAUUUCAAAUUUUUGAUCAUGUGAAUGGUCAUAUUUAUAUCUGAAAAUGUUGGAUGCUAGCGAGUUUGUCCAUAGAAGAAGAAAAUCUCUCUCCAUGCUUUCUAAUUGCGUAAAAUGUUAUUAACUUGACCGAUGUUUUAUCUGAUUACAUGGUCUAACUUGACCGACAUUUUACAAAAUCAAGUGCUGUGGAAAUAUUUUCUCAAAUUAGGGAGAAACUUGCCGACGUCCAAACGAUUUUAGAGACCAAUUUGAUCAUUCAUGUUUUUUAAUCACUUCGGCUCUAAGACAUGGACUCUGACAACUUGAAAGACUUCAGAUUAGGCCUUUUGCAUAAAGGAAAAUAUAAAAUAAAUUACAUUAGAGUAUCUUAAUAAGGUGAAAAACAUUAGAUGGUAAUCCAAAGUAUUUUAUUACCAUGCAUAUAUGUUUCGCUCGUGGAAGAUCUCUUCUUAUAGAUUUACUACAUCGUACAUAAUGUUGGCCAAAUUGACGUUAUUUAGAGUUGACCUAUGUGACGACUGAUGUUAAUUUGUAUAAACUUGUGUCAGUCAAAAUGUUAAGUGAGUUGCGUCGGCUUAAAGUUGGCUAAUUUUUUUUAAAAAUUAAUCUGAAAUACUAUUAAGCGCCAACCGGCAAUUGAGUCAUUACAUCAGAAAAAACCAAAUGAAAAGCGGCUACAAGCACCUCCUCCACCCAUACUAAAUUAGCAUAGGUUUCAGCAUUCCUAGCUAGAAAAUCUGCAACGGUGUUGCCCGUGCGUCUAACAAAAGAAACACUAACAGAAUCAAAAGCAGAAAGUAAUAAACGACAAUCAUGGAUAAUCGAACUCAGAUAUGAACGCCCUUCCUGACUUGCUCGCCAAUGGUUGAAGAGUUGUAGACAGUCCGUUUCGAAGCACACCCGGCGGAAUCCUAAAUCAAUUGCCAAUUGCAUAGUCCAUCUCAUGCUCAUCGCCUCAGCCAAGAGGAGGGAGGGGGUAGUGAUAGGAAAAGAGCAAGCCGCAGCCAUUACCUCCCCAUUACUGUUCCGAGCCACCAUCCCCAAACCAGAAGGACCCCGAUCAUGAAAAGAAGCAUCAAAGUUGCAUUUAAUGGUACCUGGUGCUGGUUUCUGCCACCUCGCGGGCAAGGCUGCCAUAGGCCCUCGAUCACGGUCAUGCACAAUAGCCUCUUCCAUCGAGCUGCUCACACGUCGAAGAACCCCUGCCACCACAAACUCACGCUGCUUGAAACAGAUGUUGUUUCGUGCCUCCCAUAGUGCAUAAACCGUGGACUGAAUCGUGGCUAUCGCAUCAUCAUCAUCAAGCUCCACCGCUGCUAGCCAGAACUCCUUGAAGGACGAGAAAAGGUCCACCCGAACAGCUAGCUGGGACGCGAACCAGACCUGCUUCGCUGCUGGACAAUGCAGAAAUAAAUGGUCCUCAUCUUCCAACUCCGCUGCACAAAAGCUGCAGCUAGGAUCCACAUCAACGCGACGUCUGAAUAACCGCUCCUUCAACGACAAAUAACCCGAUAUAGCUCUCCAACAAGUCUCCUUGCAGCGAGGUAAAGCACGGGAAGCCCAGAAUUUUUUCCAAAACUUUGGAGCUAGAAUAACUGUGGUGGAUGAAGAAGCUUCAUCUCGGGCCAGCAACUUCCUCAAAAAACCGUAGCCUUCCUUGGAUGUGUAUUGACCAUCGCUAGUACCCGGCCAGUGUAACACGUCACUGCCUCCAUGCAUACUCAAGGGAAUAGAGAGAAUGCUAGCUUUUGUGCUUGGAUUGAAUACAAGUUCAAUCAAAUCUCUCCUCCAACAAUGACCAUCAUGGUUAAUGAGCAUAGACACCUUUGAGAGGCUUAGCUCAUCAAACAAACCCUGGCUAUAAAUCAAAGGCCCUCCUCCGGGCACCCAAUUAUCAGAACAAAUGUUAACUUGGGUACCAUCUCCAAUUUUCCACAUACCUCCUCGCUAAAAAAUCCAAAUAGUCUUCAAAAUGCUAGUCCAUGCAUAGCUGGGGCGAUACCCCUUCUUUGCCUCCCUCAUAGUGCAACUGUUAAAGUACACAACUUUAAAAACACGAGCCAAUAAGCUCUCAGGACGAGUAUAGAUACGCCACCAGUUCUUUCCCACAAGGGCCAAGUUGAAUGCCUUAAAGUCUCUGAAGCCUAGAUCACCUUCCUUUUUGCUCUUACAUAGGUUCUCCCACUUUGUCCAAUGCAUACUCCGGCGAGUUGGAUCUCUACCCCAAUAAAAUUUAGAGAUCAUAUGAUCAAUAUCUGCACAUAAACCAUCGGGUAAAAUAAAACAAGACAUGACAUAGGAAGGUAUGGCCUGAACCACAUAUUUAAUAAGAACCUCCCGGCCUGCCCUCGAUAAGAACUUUUCCUUCCAGCCUUUAAGCUUUUUCCAGACUCGAUCUUUGACAAAAUUAAAUACUUGAGUCUUAGACUUACCAAUGAUAGUCGGAAGACCCAAGUACUUGUCAUAGCUUUCAACCGCAUUUACUUCCAACAGCUCUUUAAGCUCAUUAAAACGAGUAUCAUGCACAUUUCGGCUCACGGAAAGCUUGGACUUGUCAAAAUUGAUCCUCUGACCUGAAGCCUGCUCAAAGGCGCCCAGAAUGUUCUUCAAACAUUGGGCCUCUUCCAUUGUCGCUCGUGCAAACAGCACACUAUCGUCUGCAAAAAGCAAGUGAGAUAUAACAGGCGCAUGCCGACUAAUUUUAAUACCACUUAUGUCACCAGAUGCCAAAGACUUUUCUAACAUGGCAGAAAAUACCUCGCCACAAAGGAUAAAUAAAUAUGGAGACAACGGGUCACCUUGUCUAAGCCCUCUCUGAGGAGCAAAGCUCGGCUGAGGGUUACCAUUCAAUAAAAUAGAGAAAGACACCGUUGUCACACAACUCAUAAUGAGAUUAACCCAACACACCGGGAAACCCAUCUUUUGUAACACUGAUUCAAGAAAAGACCAUUCAAUUCGGUCAUACGCUUUGGACAUUUCCAAUUUAAGCGCCAUAGUGCCAUUGCGGCCAGUAAUUCUCUUCUUCAUAAAAUGGAAACAUUCAUAUGCAAUCAGUGCAUUAUCAGUUAUCAAUCGCCCAGGAACAAAAGCACUCUGGCUUUCACAAAUUAAAUCAAGCAAAAUCUGUUUGAUUCUAUUGGCUAUUGUCUUAGUGACAAUCUUAAAGAUGACAUUACACAAACUUAUUGGUCUAAAUUGCGCAGCAUGCUCAGCUUUCUUAAUUUUUGGAAUAAGAACCAAUAGAGUGUGAUUAACCAUACAUGGGGAAAUCUCCCCCCUCAGAAUCUAAAUUGACAACAAAGAGUAAGCGUUAAUCAUACGACCAAUGCUAUUAGUUAGUUCAGGCCAUCUAGCAUGAGUGUCUCGACGUCAACGUUAAAUCGGCUGUAGCGUCAACUCUUGGCUAUUAAGUGUCGGCUCUUGACCAAGACUAAUCAACUUUCUUGUAGUUGAUAUCCUCUCAUUGUAAGUUGUGGUUCAUUAUUACAUAGCUACAUUCAACUACUUUUUGUUUCUUGUUAUUCUUGUUUCACUCCUGGCAAACAAAUUUCUCAACGUUGUGAAUAUUUGAAUCCUCUUCUCUAUGCGUUUGACGAAUUCAUCAAGUAUUGGAACAUGAUUUUCAAGUUGCCCUGAGGAGAAGGCUUCAGCAUAUUCUAAUUAAGGCAUUCCCAGGGGAUGCUAUUUUGGAGUGAAUCUUGAUGAGCAUGUUGUUUGUGUCUUGUUCCAUCCAUGAUAUAUGGAAUUGGUUUACAAGCUUUCACAUAGAUGGCGCCAAUUGUUCUUCCAGAAUCUGAGCACAGUGAUUCUCUGAUUUUGUAUGUCUUGGUGCACUGUGAAUAGAGAGAGUCCACAACAUGGAAAAUACAUGAUGCCCAAAUUAACAAUGGAGAUGAGAAGACAAUGGUUAACUUAUAGAGUUAACCAAAACUAUAUUUAGAGAGAUUCGAGUGAGUAGUAAAGAGAAUGUUUAACCUUUUUUAGGUUGCUGAUGACCCGAUGUUUAUUCUAUCUUUGUCGAGUCCUUCUUGUUUCUUUCUUUUACCUUUUUAGUCCUUUAUUGAGUUAUUAGUCAAGUUAAGUCCCUUUUUAGUUCAUAAAUGCAUUUGCAUUAGUUUAGUUUUUUUUAAUCUAUUUACUUAAUCUUUUUAUUAGUUUCUAUUAGUUUUAGUUUGGGGUUAAUUCUUUUGGUCAGACUUAAACUGAAACUUUGUGAGAUUAUGAGUGUUGAUGAGCUUUUGGGGGUUUUUGUUUGCUGGAUUGAAUGGGGGAUUGAUGAAAUAUUCAUUCAUGAGAUAUAUUCAGGAGUUACAUGGUUGUUCUCAUAGAGUUCUUGAGAUGCUUUUCAGGUUUGAUAGACUCUUGAUGGCUAAUGAUGAUGGUUGAAGGAAAAGUAAUGAGCAAUGAUAAUUGUGGGAAAGGGAGUUACAAAGCUGCUGAAAAAACUGGUGAAGACCACGCAUGUGCGUGGUGGAGACCCCGCACAUGCGUGGUGGUUCUGUAUGAGGAAGGGGCUGGAACGUGAAGACCACGCAUGUGCGCCGUUAUGGCCACGCACAUGCGUGGUAAACAGACUUAAAAGCUGACAAUUGACAGAUUGGCCACGCAUGUGCGUGGUGGAGACCCCGCACAUGCGUGGUGGCAAAAUCUGAUGCUGCGAAUUGUGCGAUUUUGAGCGUCUUGCCCACGCAUGUGCGUGGUGGAGACCCCACACAUGCGUGGAUUACCGCUGGAAACUCUAUAAAUAGGGAUUUUGUUAUUUCUUUUAGGGAUCUUGUACUUUUUUGAACAAAACUUAGAGUUUUAGUUCCUUGGAGCUUGUGGGAGGCUUCUUGGCCCUCUUCUUUCAGGUUUUUGUUCAUUUAGUUUGCAUUAUGAAUUCCCUAGCCAUGCUUGGCUAGUUUCUCUUUGUACUUUGGGUGAAGUGAACCUUAGUUCUGAUUAUGGUUUAAACUUCUUAUUUUCAUAUAUGAAUAAAGUUUCUUUUCCAUGUAUCUUUUCUCUGAAUCAAUAUUCUCUUGAGUGCACACAAGUGUUUUGCUUUCUUCUUGCACAAUGGAAGUUGGUGAGGAUUAAGGGACUUGGGAUGAGAUUGAUUUGUUUGCUAUCACUUAGGAAUAAGGGUAGAAAGUUAUUGUGUUGGCCUGAACUUAUAAACUUCAUUCUUCAAUUGAAUUGACUAGGCACUAAGGCAUUAGGUUUGGCAAAUGAAAUUGAAUGAUUUACUUGAUUAAGGAAUUAACAAGUAGAGGUAGAGGCUAUAACAUCAUGGAUAAGGAUUCUGAACUUCAUAUAAGAAUUUGAUUUGAGAACCAUAAUUGGACUAAGUGGAGCUUUGUCCAGGGUACUUCUUUAUCUGAAUUAUAAUUCUUGCUCUUCAUCACAAGUGUGUUAUUCACACAACAAACCCUCAAACUUAUAUUGCUUUCUUUUUCACAUUCUGAACACAAAACUCUUAGAAGCAAUUGAUGAACAACUAUCCUUGUGGUUCGACAAUCUUUUGUAUUACUUCGAUCAAUCCGUACACUUGCGGAAUCGCUAUCAAGUUUUUGGCGCCGUUGCCGGGGAUAGUUUUGUUUUGUUGAUUGAGUCUUGAGUUUUGCUGUUUGAAAAUUUUUUUACCAUUGCUUCAUUGAAUCGGUGCUACUAACUCGAAGGUAAAAAGCAAAACAUGCAAAAGACUCGAUGCAUUAACUACCUAAAAAGAAAAUGUUUUUUUUUUCAGAGAAACACAAAAUUAAAGCAAAAUCAAAUUAAAGAAAAACAAACCUGGACUUGGGAUUAGAUUGGUUUGUUUGCUAUCACUUAGGAAUAAGGGUAGAAACUUAUUGUGUUGGCCUGAACUUAUAAACUUCAUUCUUCAAUUGAAUUGACUAGGCACUAAGGAAUUAGGUUUGACAAAUGAAAUUGAAUUUUUUACUUGAUUAAGGAAUUAACAAGUAGAGGUAGAGGCUAUAACAUCAUGGAUAAGGAUUCUGAACUUCAUAUAAGAAUUUGAUUUGAGAACCAUAAUUGGACUAAGUGGAGCUUUGUCCAGGGUACUUCUUUAUCUGAAUUAUAAUUCUUGCUCUUCAUCACAAGUGUGUUAUUCACACAACAAACCCUCAAACUUAUAUUGCUUUCUUUUUCACAUUCUGAACACAAAACUCUUAGAAGCAAUUGAUGAACAACUAUCCUUGUGGUUCGACAUGUAUUACUUCGAUUAGGUUGCUAUAUAUGUAUUGGCUUUCAAGCUGUUAGCCAUUUAGUGGUCUUGAGUCAUUAACUCUAUUUUAGCCAUGUGGUCAAGAUUUUGUCUUGGUUGUUCGGGCUUACUAACAUGGUGUUCACUUGAUUGUGAUCCCGUCGGGACGGUCGGGUCAACUAAAAUGAUGGUAAGCUGGUAAGCUCGCUAGGUUGAAUUGUUGUUUGUGCCAACUAGAACAAAACAUAGUGUAAAAUUUAGAUAUAUAUAUCUUUGAACAUUAAGAAGGAAGCCUUAAGAAUUGCUCUUGAAAAUUAAAAUAAUUAAGAGUCUUGCAAGUAUCUGGGAACAUUGAGAACAGAACAUUGUUCCUUUUGAAAUAUAAAUAAUUCAAAAUCUUUAAAAUACUAUGGAGAAGGAAUCUUAAGAAUUCCUCUUUAAAACAUCUUAGUUAAAUCUUGAGAGGUUCCCUAGAAAAUAUCUCUUAAGAAAGUUGUGUUGUUAACAAUGAAAAAAAUAUUGUGCACCACACAACAGCAAAGUAUCACAACAUCACAUCACAUAUGUUAUAUAUAAAAAGCUUAGGCAUAAAACAAAGUCCCACAGAUCAAGGCAUACACAGCUAGCUAUCCACCAUGGCUCUCCGGAUUUACAUCUCAACCCUGUCCAUAGCAAUUUUCUCUCUAUGCACUUCUGCAUAUGACUGUAAGAUUUCAUUUUUCUUUGAGUUCAAAUUGCAUAUGACUGUUUUCUCAUUCUGAAAGCUGUUAUUAUUAUGGUAAAAUUUGAUGUAUGGUUACUUGUUAAUUAAGUUGUCACAUACAUGACUGAAUUAAUUGUUUUUUUUUUCUUGCACUAGAUUCUGCCAAUUUUAGUUAUACUGGUUCAAAUGGACCUGAGAAAUGGGGAACCUUAAGUCCAGAUUUCGCAGCAUGCUCAAAUGGGAAAGCUCAGAGUCCUGUUGAUAUUGCAUAUCCUGAUAUUGUUAUGAACAUGGAGUUGGAAUCCUUAGACAGAGACUACCUUUCUACAAACGCCACGCUUGUUAACAACAAGUUCAACAUUGGGGUUUGUUAUUCGAUCACUUGCCAAAUCAUAUCGAAAUUGUUUACUUUUCAAUUUACAUAUUUUCUAACGGUAAAUCAAACGGACUUCAAUAAAUUAGUCAUAAAGUGAUGGAGUUUUUCUUUUACAGGUGCAUUUUCAAGGACAAGUGGUGGGAGAUAUUAAUAUAAAUGGAAAAAAUUAUUCUUUGAAACAAUUGCACUGGCAUUCUCCAGCAGAACACCGGGCACAUGGUCGUGUGUAAGUUCAAUCUCUUCUCUUGCUUGCUCCCUAGUCCCUAUAUAUACCACCUCUUCUCCUCUUACAAAUAAUUUUGGAAAUCUCUGUUUGUUUAAUUCUGUAAAUGAAGAGUAAUGUUUCUUGAAAUGGCUUAACAACAAAUAAAAGUGAAAGAUAUUUUACACAUCACUUCUAUAUUUUACCAUUUUAUCUCUCCAUCAUAAUUGGUUGGAGAUCAUUUCUCAUAUGGAAAAGCUGUUUAUUCCAAAAUGAUUAGAAAUUCCUUCUGGAAAAGAGCCUAUAGCUAUACUCCAAUAGCCAGAGUUCGGCUCAGAUAGUGGGGCAAUAUGUUUGGUUGCUAUUGGCUGAUUGCUGCGUAACACAUCAUGUGUAUACUGAACUGACUAUUGAAAGCUACUACUACAUUUUUCACACGCAUUUUAUCUCUGUUGGUUCAUAAAUACUUUUUUAACAAUUAGGUAACCGUUUAAGCUAGCUGAAAAACCAACGUAGAGAUUUUUUAAUUAAGUGAUUAUUUAAGGAAUAAAUUUUGUUCCUCAAUGUAGGUGCCUAAGAUACUACAAAAAGGUCUUAGAGAUCGCUAUUGAAGAAUUUGUAUGAUAAAUUAAACUAAGGCCAGACGAAAAUGAAUAAAGAAAGAUUCAAAUGAAUUGAAAAUAAAGGGCAUAAAGUUGAAUAAAUAAAGUGUUUGAAAGGUAAAUGAUUGAAAUAAAGGCUAAAAAGUAAAGGCAUUAAAAUGUAAAGGAAAAAAUAAAUGCGGAAAAUUUGUAGUUUUGAUUAAUUGAUGACUUGUGUCUUUUGCAAAGGAUCAUUCCUCUAUUAAUAGAGACAAAUUUGGCUAAAUUACACUGGCUAAUAACUCCCGCCACUACCCGUGUUUCCGACAAUAAUUAUAUUCGUGGGGAUGUUGGAAGUUAUUCUCUUUGAUCAGCCUAGAAGCUUUUGGUUAACCCAAGCUUUCUGCUUCGGCUAGUUUUUCAAACUUUAACUGCUUUCCUGAUUUUCAAGGAAUGAACUACUGGAUGAUUUUGUGCACGUGCAUACCUUCUAGAAUCCAUGAAAAAUGUCUCCUUUGUGGACCUGAGGCCUGUGUACCUUGCACCCAAUUUUGUUCAAAUUCAUAUUCUCAACCAAUCCUAGCUUCAUUCAAUCGGUCACUUGCUUUUUUUGGCUAAAAUUUUUUGCGACUCACCUAUCACGCUGGCACACCCGAUCUCUAAUUGUUACGCAUUUUUAAAUGCUGACAUUCUCGCAUUUUUCACCCACUUUUACUUUUUAAUUUAUUUUCCUAUUACAUUAUACACAUAUUUUUUAUUACCCUGCUUUUUUUUUUCACCACUUCCUACCUAGGGGUGUGUAACAAUUCAGAUUGAUCCAAUAAAUUCACUCAUUCAAAUCAAAACCAAUAUAAUUAAUUCAUAUUCACUUAGAUAAUUAAAUUACUUUAUGCCUUUAAUAAACUCGAAAGUUUGUGGAACUUUUUUCAACCGCGACCAACCUCCUGUUUAAUUAUUUUUUUUACAUCAGAAAUAUAAAUUGCACUCUCUAGGGAUGGAUCCCUGAACCUUCCCUACUCAAUUCAUAUGUCUCCUAGCUCUUAUCACUUGAGUUAUCAUAGAACCUUCUGUUUAAUUUUAUUUUCAUGUUUAAUUUUUAUACUUAUAACUAUAUUAUAUUUUAUCAUUUUUUAAAUUAAAUUAUUUUGAAUUGUCUUCUUGGUUAUAUACCAAGUAUACUUAUCUAUAUAUAUUAGAGAAAAAGGAUGAUGCAAUAAUAGUGUAAUGUUUUUUUACACUGUCUACCAAUCAGGUUGUGAGGAUAUGUCGCGUCAAUUAAUGAAAUUAAAUAAAAAUAUAAAUUUUCUCACAUUCUUAAAAUCUUUAUACUGUCAGUGCAUAGAAAUUAAACUAUAAAUAUUAUCCAAUUUUACUAUCAUAUUUUAGAUAUAAAAAUAAAAUGUUAUGAAAAGUUAUAAUUACAAAAUAUAGAUAUUAAUUUAAAGUUAUAUUAGUAUUUUGAAUUGAUUUGUCUAUUGCAUAAAAUUAUUAAAAGAACAAGAAAAUAUUUAAUUCAAAACUUUACCCAUACAUUUUAUAUAGAAGUGUGUCUAUCUUUAAUUUUUGUGGAUUAAGAUUAAGAUAUUUUUAAAUUAAGAUACAUACAUACAUUUUAUGUCCUCAAAUGAUAGCUCAAGCAGGGGCGGAUCCAGACAUUAUAUAUUGGUGUGGCUAAAUAUAAAAGAAAUUUUAGGCUAAAAUACAAAGUAGAAAUUAUAUUAGGUAGCAAGCAAGAAGUAGCUAUAAUCUCACAUGAAAAACACAAAAGUUUAUUCAACCAUGAAAAGUUAAGACUAAUUUGUGCACUAAAAAGGACAAAUUUUGCUUUUUUAGGAGAAAACAUUACAAUGCUGCUGAUUUAACAUUCCAAAAUUUGCGGGCACGAAUCUACAAUCAAAACAGGAAAACCCAUCAGCAAAAACAAACGGAGGUAGCUCCAAACCCAACAUGGUUCCAUCAAAGAACUCAGAUCUGCUAAGUUGACAAGCAAAAAUUCUCACCGAAAAAGUAGAUCCAACUCAACGUGUGCAACAAGUUCAUAAACCAAAAAACUUCUUUGAAAAUUGAAAAUUAAAAAAAAAAUAGAAAUAGGAAAAGAUCAUCCAACAUGAAUUUUGUGUAGCAUAGUAAGGUGAAUUACAAAGUUUAUUUACCUGAGAGACAAUGAAUCAAUUGAAUUUCCUCUUGAAUUGUGGUUGAUUGGUGCGGUGAUCAGGGUUAUCCAUGCGAUUAGAAAUUUAGGAAGGUGAAGAUUGGUGGGUUUUCAAUUUUUGGGGAAAAAGGUUUUAAAAGUUGAUGAAUGCCGAAAGCAGCAAUGGAAGAAAGAAAUAAAAACCGCGUUCUAAUUUGAUGUUAAGCGUGAAUUUUGGUUUUUUACUUAUUAAGCUAUGGCGGCGCUUCGACCGUUUCCAUACAUUAACACAAAACUUUUAGUAGCGGAUGCCAAACCGCCGCUAUAUACAAUAUUUAAAAAAAAACUCAAAAUCUGGUGUGGCUAAAGCCACACAUAGCCUACACAUGGGUCCGCCCAUGAGCUCAAGUGAUAAGAGUUGGGGACAUAUGAGUUGGGGAGGAGAAGGUCCAGGGAUCAAUUCCUGGAGAAUGCAAUUUAUAUUUCCGAUAUAAAAAAAAAUGGAUUUUAUAGAUUUUUUUAUAGAUAAGCUCACAUAAAAAAAGGCUUCAUUAAGGCUGAGCUUUUACAAGAUUGUACUUGGCUUUUACCACUAUUAUUAAUCUUUAACGCAAAAAACUUCUGACCAUACAGACAUGAGGCUGAGCUCCAUCUAGUUCACUUGACCCCUGAUAACAAUGGCAUAGCAGUUGUGGCAGUUCUCUACAACUUGGGUGAUCCCGAUCCUAUCAUCUCCCAGGUAGAGUUGAACUCUCACAUUCACUUAAUUGUGUUCUAAUUAAGUCCAUUGGAUUCAAAUUAAAUUAUUGAUGGUACAAAGUGCUAAAAUAUAGUUCUUGAGUAUAGAUGGAAGACAAGUUUGUUGCGCUAGCCAAAGAAAACCGUGCAGGCAAUAAGGAUGCCCAAAUUCCUAUCGGCACUUUUGAUUUUGAGGAGAUAAAUGCAAGGACACACAGCAGGUAUUACAGAUAUGUUGGCUCUCUUACCACUCCUCCAUGCAAAGAGGGUGUUAUUUGGAACAUUCUUGGCAAGGUAAUUAACUUACCACAUCUCUCCAUCUGAUAAACAUUACUUACAGACACCUCACAUACACUUUUUUUUUUCAUCUUUAAUUUUUUGUCACAUCGCAACUAGUGGCAGAGGAAGGGGGAAAUGUUAAUGUUACAAACAUGAGGGCAUCCAAACUUUUCAAUUUUUGUUUUCUAACUUGUAAUACAUAUAUUACGUAUAUAAGCCGUAAAAAUUAUUGUAUGCAUGACAUAUUCUUUGAUCUCUGCGCCCUAUUUGAUGUUGGUUUUCUAGUCUCAAAUUCCUGCCUUCGUUAUUAAUCACAAUAUAUAUUAUUAAUAUCAUAUUCAUUAUUAAUCUCUCUGCUAUUUCUUUCACACAUUAAAUGUUUGCAUUCAUUUUUGUUUUUGAAAGAAUGUGUGCAUUCAUUAGCUGUACACCAAACAUUUUCCGAAUGUGUAUACUUGUAGGUUUUCUAGGGACAAUUUGUAUUGAUUUUGGAAACAAUUGUAAUUAAUCAAACAUUGUGAUGCAGGUAAGGACACUCUCAAAGAAACAAUUGGAGCUCCUAAAGGCACCAUUGAGCCAAGAAUACAUUCAUAACGCAAGGCCUCUUCAGCCACUGAAUGGCCGCAAAAUUGAGAUGUAUGACCAUUACAACCAUAGGCAGGGGAUUUGAGCAACCCCAACCAAACAUCAUCAACAAAUUUUCUCACGAUGAUUACUCGCUUCGUAUUGAAGAAGAUAGUGUCCUUUUUUUUUGUCAAUAAUAGAUAUAGUGUCCUACUCUGCUUGUUCUAAGAUUGAAGUUAGAGAGCACUUUGUUUUUUUGGGUCGAAGUAAGGCUGAAGGCCUAGUAGAAUAAAGGGCAAAAGCCCAGGUACAACAAUAAGAGUACUUUGCUUUUAGAUCAGAAUAAUGGGUUCAACUCACCUCUAGAAUUUGUUGCCCCAAGAAAUACUCACCACCAGAAUUACUGCACUCAAUUUUAUGCUUUUGGAUGCCAUUAAUCAUGUUCAUGGUGCGCAACAGAAUCAGUGUCGCUAGAUUACAAUAGCCAUUAUUUCUUGUUUCAUCAUUACUAGUGUUCUUUACCCGUGCGUUGCACGGCGAUUAAAUUUAUUGUAAAGAUGAAUCAGUAGUAAUGUGUUUUAACUUAGUUUAGACUCUUUUCAGUAAGUAUAAAAGAUAUGGAACCGAACAUAUAUUACAAACAUGUAGAUGAAUGAACCACAGUAAAUAUAUUAAUUUGAUGAGUUUGUAGAUACCUCACAUUGUCAACACUUGAAUAGUAAUAAAAACCAAGUUUUUAAGUAAUGCAUUACAUUAAAAUUGAAAUAAGAUAAACAUAACAAUGACAGCAACAUGAACCCUUAUUUGAAAUUGUAGUUCAUGAUUAAUGAUAAAGACUUCAUAACCGAGCUUGUUGUCAAUCAAGCAUAUUUGAGCUAUAGAACCUAGAAAGGAAAAAAAAAAUUACCAGUACCAAUACAAAUAUAAACUGUGUAUAAUUUAAAAGUGUUAAACUAACCUUAUAGAAACGUCAAUACACCUUCAAAUUAGAUGAUCAAUAAACUGCUUGUUAUAUUUUUUAUGCUGUCAACAAUAAAGAGAAUAACCAACGACUUCAGCAACAUACUUUCCAAAAAAGGCGCAUUCAACCCGAACCCUAUUAAGAAAAUUGAGAAAUUAUAAAACCUUACUCAUAAUAAUCAAAGAUGGAAAAAAUAUGAAUAAGCAUUGAACAUUGUGUGUGACCCAUCUUGGUCAAGUUCAACAGUAAUUCUUUUCUGCUUUGUUCCAUCUUUCUCAAACUCAGUUUCAGCACUUGCACCAGUGAGAAUUCCAAUCACAUCUGCAAAAUCAUAGAAACAUUAAUCCAAAACCCAGAAUAGUAAUUUAAAAAUCAAAAGACUAAAAAAGAGUAUAUACCUAUAAGAAAAGACGUAUAAAGGUCCUUAAACAUUAUAUCAGAUAUUGGCACAAAAUUGUAAGGGCUUAAGUUGAUGGCCUUGUUGGGAACCAAGCGCAAAAAUGUAUGAAUAUCAAAGUUGAUCUUGAAUGGGUGCGAGGUUGGACGGAAAUCACGACCGCUUUCACCAACACCAAAAAACAAAAUCUGAUAUACACGUCCUUCACUCAGCAAAGAUUGAAAUCGGUAUAUAAGAGUCUUCCUAACCGUAGCAUGAAUCUUACAACCCUGAAAUUCAAUAAAAUGAGGAAAUUUGAGAUUUAUAGUUUUAAAAAAAGAAUGUAAUACAUGAUUAUUAUGUGCAAAAGUGAUUUACCAUGUCAUCCAUAAGAAUCAUGUCCAUGGAAAAUGGAAGCUUGGAGCCAUAGAAGCUCGGACUAAGCCACAACUAGUUCACAUUUGCAACAUUAACAUACCAGUUCUCCUUUGAGGCAUCGAUGAUGGCGAGAUCGUCGAUAGCCAUUAGAACAAAGUAUAUUCCAAAGCUAAUAGUUGGUGGGAAGGGAUGGUGAAGUUAAAGAAUAGCAUGAGAUGAUUUAUAUAGGAAUUUGAGAAUUAGGGUUACUGAUCAAUGAAUGUUAAAAAAGGAAAGAAAAAAAAAAGGUUGGACGGUAAUAGGAAUCUGUUUGUAAGGAGGUAAAUUUUUUUUUCCAGGUCAAUUUUCACUAUUGAAAUCAAUUAUUAUCUACCAAAUAUCAUGCGUUACACGUGAAUUACUCAUUCUGAUGAGUAAUUAAAGGAAAAUAGGAAUUAAGAUUAACAUGGUGUCAUUACAGUACUUAAGGUUUGACUUUUAUUGCAAAUCAUAUUAAUUUCUUUCAAGAAUUAAUUUCUUUAUUUUCACACCAAAGAAAAAGCUGUGCGUAUUUCUUUCAAGAACGGGUCAUUAAUAUGGUUCUCAAAAUUAAGUUUUUAAGGUUUGACUUGUAAAGCAACAUUAACAUGGUGUGAAUGCUUGAAAGAAAUUAACCUGUGACUUGCUCAGCAGAAUUAACACCCUUUUAAUUCUUGACUUCUUUUCCUUAACAGAAUUAACACCAUUAAUUCUUCAUUCGGUGCAGGUGCUGAAUCUCAAAUUCAAGGCUGUGAAUAUCCGUUUUAAAAAUAGUUUGAAGAUUCAUACUCAAACAAAAAAGUUUAUGCAGCCUAAACGUUGAAUUUGAGAAUGUUUUCACCUUACUAAAUUACCUUUUUCAUGCCUGCUAAAAAUUCGAAUUUUUUUGAAAAAUGAUAAUCAAUGGUAUAAUGGUAUAUGUAUACAACUUUUAUGUUAACAAUUAAUUAGGGUUGUAAAACAAUAAAAACAAAAUCAUCAUUCAAAUGACUUUGAAUAAUGAGCCUCAAUAAAAAAACUGAAAUUAAAAUGGACUUCUACUAUUUUGGUCCAAAACAAUUAGAAUGUGACACUUGUCAUGCAAAGAGGGGGGUGAGUGAGAGUCAUUCUUGAAGUGUCAAAUCAUGGAGGUAGGGCUCACAACCUUCCUCUUUUCUAAAGUAUAUAGAUUAAGGUAAAAUAUGUUUCCUUCUCUUAAGGUCUGUUAAAACUUAAAACUACAUUCAGCCUCAUUCUUAGCUAAAAUAUAUAUUUCACCUCACCUUUCUAAGUGAACUCAAAUUAAAAAGUCCACCAAUGAAUAAUCAUGUCAUAAAUUUUACAAUGCCUUGAAUUCCUAAUAUCUUACUCUAAAAUCUGUAACAUUAUUGUCGCUUAUACAAACGAAAAAGAGUUCAAUAAAAUCAUAAUUACAAGUAAGCAAACGACAAUGAUUAACUAAAGUGUAGACAUACGACGACUUGGAAUUGGCCUUCCUUCAAAUCUCAAAGAGCUUUAGGCAGUUUGUCUCAAAGCAAACUGAAAUAAAGCAACGAUACAUAGCCAGGAAAGAGCGCACCGAAAACAAAGUCUCCGCUAUCAAAGGGGACAACAACUUGAUGGGGGAAGCAGUAGGUGCAGGUGGACCGGACCGAACCAAACACGAAAAAAUCGAGAUUUUUUAUUUGAAAUUAGGUUGGGCGGAUCAGUUGGCGGGUAAGACGGGUUAAAAACUAGUUUGUUGUAUAGUUUGGUUUGAUCAGUUUCAAUUUGGGCUAUGAACCGAUCGAAGUAGAGUUAAAAAAUGCUAGCCAAGCCCAUAACAACUUUUAUCUAAGGGAUAUAUGGUUAAAUAAAAAAUAAAACAAUCCUAGCCCAACCUUCUCUUUAAAGUUUACACACUCACUAGCUCAUUCCAAACCCUAGCCAUCACUCACUCAUCAUCACACGCUCUCUCUCUCACUCACACCUUCAUCUUCUUCGAUUCUCUUCUCUUUCCCCACUCAUAGACAAACCUAGUUGCCACUCAUCAAACCCUAGUCUCCGUCGCCGCUUCUCCUCCCUCUUUUGUCUGUUCUCACUGUUCUCACUUCUCACCCUCUUCUCUUCUUUCUUCCCCUCUCCUUCUAGCCUUCCCAUCCACGAAAUACUCUUUAUGAAAGCUCCAUCUCUCCAUUCACAACUAUAAUGGCGAGAUAAGAAGAAGAGAAAAACGAGGGUUAUAGAGAGACAUGAAUCUUGAACAUGAAAGUCAUGUACCGAGUACAACAGCUACCGCUCUUCCUUAACGUCGAUCUCUCGGAUCAUGAUGCCUCCUCAUCACUGUCAGCAGAUCCAGCAAGACCACCAAGGGUUUCUCUUCUUUUUUUUAUAAAAAUUUGUCUUCAAUAUGUUGUAUUAAGGUUGUUCUAGCUUUAUUGCUCUUCUAUUGUACUGCAUAGUGAAAUUUUAAUAAAAAAUCAUGUCUUCUUCCUUCUCUUCUCAUUUCUCUGUUGUAUUAAGGCGUACUCAUCUUUUUCUUUCAUCAGAUAUUGUUUAACCAACACGGUACACCCUUAACUCGUAAAGACUAAACCUAGAAAACACGCUCAUACUGAUGGAUGGUGGCGGUCCUGCUUGUAUGAUGGUUUCAACCGUUCGAAACUGACAAUAUUGACCCGAACCCGCUUGAAUCCGCCCGUUGGACCUAGUGCAGAACAAAAUCAGUGAAGUGACAUUAUUUCUUGUUUCAUUAUUAUUAGGGUAAAAUAUAUUUCCCUCCCUGAAAGUGUGUUAAAAUUACACUCAACCUCAUUCUUAGUUAAAAUAUACACUUCACCCACCUUUCAAACAAGUCAACUCAAACUAAAAAGUCCACCAAUGAAUAAUCAUGCUAUAAAUUUUUCAAUGCCUUGAAUUCCUGAUAUCUGACUCUAAAUCUGCUACAUUAUUUUCACUUUUACGAACGAAAGAGAGUUCAAUAAAAUCAAAAUUACAAGCAAGCAAACGACAAUGAUUAACUAAAGUGUAAACAAACGACGAGUUAGAAUUGGCCUUCCUUCAAAUCUCAAAGAGUUGUAGGCGGUUCCUCUCAUAGCAAACUGAAAUAAAGCAAAGAUCCAUAGCUAGAGAAAGAGCCCACCAAAAAAAGAGUGUAUACUAUCAAAGGGGCCAACACCUUGAUAGGGGAAACAAUAGUUGCAGCAAGAAACUCACCCUCAUGAUCACGAAAAUGAAGCCAAAACCUGCAGCUGAAGGCUCACUAACAAAUGCAUCAAGAUUAACUUUAAUGCAAGCACAAGUUGAUGCUAAGAGGCCACCAUCCAUUAGCAAAACAUAACACAAAUCAGGAGGAGCAAGCAAGAGUGAAGAGCGCUUGAUAUCCCUCGUCAAGUCAGGUUGUAAAUCCUUCAAGACAACAUUAUCUUCAUGCUCCCAUAUACAGUAUAACAAAGUCAGUAAUAAUGCAAGCACAUCAUUAUUUGAAUCCAUAAUGAAAUGUAGCGGAAAAUCAGUAAAACAAGUCACAGAAUCAGACCUAAAAUGUAAUCUAAGAGAAGAUCCAAACCAAAGCAUCUUAACAUGAAUGCAUCGCAGGAAAGCAUAAUCAAGCUUUUGCUUCGCAACCGCAUAGAGGGUACGAAUCAUCUAUGCCCAACACAAUCCUCCACACAAGCUCAUUGUAUCUACAAAGCGAAGGAGAUUUCCAAAUCUUCUUCCAAAUUAACCUUUGCUGGGGUCGACGUCUCCAAUAAUGAAGAGGCGGAAUCUUGCCUCCACCUCCAUAAAAAAUUAUAAUGUGAUUGUGCGGUGUAACUACCAUCCAUAAUAAGAGGCUAAACAAAAACAUAAACAUCAUAUUGUCGAAAGUUAGGCAAAAGAAUUGCAUGAUUACUAUGAGCAACCAUAAGAUGAACGAAAUCAUCAACCAAGUGUUUAGUCCAAUCAUGUAUGAUACGACAAAUAAGAAGAGAAACCAUCCGCAGCUCGGCCUCCUUAGCCACAUCUCGUUGACAAGCCAAAGGAAGGCCUUCGAAGGAGCCAAUUAAUUAACAUCCUAAAUUUAGACAUGAGUCUCAUCACCAAUAUUCCAAGUCCUUUUUUUUUCUCAAACAUCCAAACCGCUUUCAGAAUACUAAACCACAUAUAGCAUGGUCUAUAACCACACUUUACACCCACAAUAUAUAUCGCCAUUGGGAAAAUAUAUAGUUUUGUAGAAACAGCUAAGGAACGAAUGAGACAUAUCCUCCACCAAUUUUAAGAUGUACUAGAAAUAUUCAAAGAGUAAUACUUAUUAGUACGAAUAUGAAAGUUAAGAAUGAACGUGACUUCCCACUAUGAGUGUUCGUUUAAAUUUAUUUAUUAAUUACUCAAUAUUGAUUCUCAUAAAGAGGACGUGAUUGGUUGAAAUAUCAUUUCGAACAAUUCUUGUGUUACACCCUCGGAAGCAUCACUCAUAUUCAAAAUGAUAUUCUAUCUCUAAAAUAAUAUAAAUUAAAUAAGAAUUUUUCAUUUAACUUCACUGAAUUUUAAAGGUUGAUGUAGUUUUUUACUUGUCUCAUAGAAGCUUUACUUCUAUUGCACUUUUGGGCUAUUGGACCAACAAUUUCUCUUUUAUUAAAUUUUCUUUUAAUUUGGGUUAUAUUUUUAUUUUAUAAUAUUUAUAGGAGAUGAUGUCAAUUGUAUGGUUUUCCUUACUCUAAGAGGCAAUUAUAAAUUUUAAGUUUGACGAACGAGAAAGACUAGCACCCAAAAAAUUGAGUUGGAGUUCCAAGUUUUAUUUCUUCACGAGAUUUCUUAGUUUUCUCUUAGUAGUUCAUAGCUAAUUCAUCUUGAUAGGAAUUUUUCCUAUUAAUGGUGUGAAUUGUGUUUUUUCUUUAGUAAGCCAAUGAAAUAUAUAAGGGAGUACUAUAGGUACUCCAACUAAAUACAAAAGGAAGAAAAAAAACACAAGAGAGGUUGCCCCAAAGGGAGAAGCAGACCCCAGGAAAAGGGCAUAGCUAUACACUUAACAACAACCCAAAAGGAACACCAAAUUUAACUAAGCUCUGCUACUAAGAAAGAGAACGACCCCUGUCCUAUGUAGACACAAAAGUGCAGGUCCAAAACACAGCCAAGAGAGUUGGGAGGCAAGCACAAGGAUUACACGCAAAGCCUUAACACCACCCUGGGUAAGGAAACUCUGCACUGAACCAGAAGUGAAGCCGCAAUUAGGAAUUAUAGGUAGUCCAGAUAAAUUCUCGGUUCUGCAAUCCAAUCAUUGACAUAACAGCGAAAUUCCUUAAUUUUUUCAUUUAACUAGCUCCUGGCACGCACUUGGACCAAAUCAAACACUUGCACAACAUCCAAAUGUCCCUCGUUAAUACUAUUUGGUUUUGUUGUUUCCAAAUGAACCAAGUAACUUUUAACCACAUUGACAGUGCCCCUCUCCUCUGUUGUUUCUCUCUCAGUUCAGAUCCAUGUUGCAAGAAGUGCAUUCGAUCAUCUUCCAGAAGCAUAGUCAAGAAUCUCAGCCCUCUAUAACACUGGUUCCAGAUUUGGGAAGAGAAAGAGCAAGUAAAUAAUAAAUGUUCCAAAGACUCCUUUGCAUUUGAACAAAAGGACAUGCUAUUGAGUUUCUCUCUUGAAUAAUCCCUCUCCUGUGUAGAUUUUGCCUCGUUUGGAGCGCCCUUCCAAUACACGCCAACCGAAAGCAAUAACAUUUAAGGGCGCCACACUUUGCCACAGCAGAUCAAAUUCUUGAAUUGAAUCUUCCAUCCAAGUUUCUUGCAAGAACGAAUACGCCGAUUUCACUGUGUAAGGCGCUUUCCGGAAUCCAGCGCCAUUUUUCCUGCCUUCCUUCCACUAAAUUCACUUCAUUCGGGAGACCAAACAAGCUUUCUGCCGCAUUGUUCUCUUCACCAAACAGUGGUCUUCGCCACCUUCGAUUCCAAUGCCAAGCACCCCCAAUCCAAUUAUCCAUUUCUGAAAUAUUUCACUUUGAAGGGACGGGUUGUACAGCCUGCUAAACUUGUUUUGGAAACUCUUAGUGCCAAGCCAAAUGUGCUGCCAAAAGUUUAUGCUCCUACCAUUUCCUAUAACCCUUUGUGCACCUUGAUCAAACCACUCAUUUACUUGGUUUUGGAAACAAGUACGCAGGAAGUCUUUCCACCAAUUAGGCAUUCUUCCUUCCACCUCCGGUUGCUCCCCAAACUCCAGUAUAUCAUACUUAGCUUUAAAAACCUUUCCCCAAAGGCUUUCUUCCUCCACUAGCAAGCGUCAUUUCCAUUUACCGAGUAACUCUCCUUUAAAGAGGCCCCAGUCUUUGAGUCCCAACCCUCCAAGGUUCUUCGUCUUGCAAACCUCUUCCCAUCAUACCCAAGCCAACUUGUUAUGACCCUCAUUUCCACCCCACAAGAAAGCUCUCAUAAUUUUGUUGCAGACUUUGAUGACUCUCUAGGGCAUUCUAAAGAAGGACAAGUAGGAGAGCGGAAUCGAGGACAAGACACUCAAAAUCAAAGUUAUGCGGCCACCAAAGGAGAUUGAUUUUUUACGCCAACGAGUCAAUCUACCCUUCAGCUUAUUCACCAUUGAAUCCCAAAAAGAGAGCUUCCUAGGGUUUCCUCCCACCUGCAGGCCAAGGUAAGUGAAAGGGAACUUCAUGGUUCUACAGUUUAAGAUAUCAGCUAGUCUGAGAGUGGAAGCUCUAUCCAAAGCCACUCUACCGAGCUUACUCUUGUGAAAGUUCACCUUAAGUCCUGACACAAGCUCAAAACAUCGCAGUAUAGACUUUGAGCGUUAAUUUCCUUCCGAAUCGUAGGCUUUCUCAAAAUCUACCUUGAAUACCAUAGUUUCCUUGUCUUUAUUCUUUGCAUCAUGAACAAGUUUAUUUACUACCAAAAUGCUAUCAAGCAUACUUCUACCUUCAAGGAACGCUGAUUGUUCCUCUCCAAUCAAGCUAGGAAGGACUUUCUUCAACUGGUUCGCUAGAAUUUUUGCUACGAUCUUGUAAAUGCACCCAACUAGAGAGAUUGGCUUAUAGUCGUUCAACCCUUGAGGAGACUCCAUCUUCGGUAUUAAGGCAAUGAAAGAGCUAUUGCUCCCUCGCGACCAUAUCCCAUGAGAGUCAAAAUCAGUUAAAACACGAUGUACAUCAGCCUCCAAGAGGUGCCAAAACUCCUUGAUGAAGAGGAAUUUGUACCCGUUCGGACCCGGUGUAAGACCCUAAUAUUAUUAGGAUGACCUUAUGUAAUUGGAGAAUAUAUCUCUACUUGACUCUAGUGAAUGAAGUGAAUUUUGUGGAUUAUUGUGAAUUGUGCGAUAAAUAUUGAUUUGAAUCAAUUUGUGAAAUUUUAAUGAUUUAGUUGAAUGAUUAAUUAUUUAAUUAAUUAUUUAAUUAAAUUAGAGUAGUGGGAUUAAGAAAUGUGUGAGAAAAACCUAAUUGGGCCUAAGAGUGUCGUGGGGCCGCCGACCACAUUGGUGAUGGGAGGGGUUAUCUUGACUUGUUUACACUCUUUUAAUUAGUGAUUAAUGAUUUUAAUUGGUUGGGUUUGGGCUUGAAGGAGAAAAGAGAAAAAAAAAACAAAACCCUAGCCCAUGUGAGGGUGGAGCCGCCGGUUUUGUGUGUGGAAAAGGGGGGGAAAACCUUGUUUUUUUUUUCAAGCUGAAUUAGAAGGUCCCAUACACUACUCUUUCACGUAAACUUCAAAAGAAAAUAAAAGAGAAGAAAGAAGGGAGAAAGGAAGUGGACCGGGCGGGGGAUAAAGACCUCCAUGCCCUCCCAAAACAAGCAAUCAGCCGGACGAAGGAAGACAUGGCGGGAACUGGUGGAACACCAAGGAUUCUCGCCCUCCCCUUUAAGCGGACCCGCAAGCCAGCUGGAAGAUUCUUUUGGAUUUGUCUUAUGUGCAUAGGGAUUUGGGCCCUAGUUGUCAGGCCCAAAUGUAGGAAAAGUCCAUAUCAUGACCAUACCCUCUAUAAAAGGGAAGGUCAUCACCUUGUACUAAGAACUUUUUGACAAUUAAUGAGAAUAUACCCUUUUUAUUACAUCUUGACUACUUUAGUGCUCUGCUAGGGUUUGCUUUUUAUUCCUCUUCUCACGUAAGCUUACCUUAGGACAUAACAUUGGCGCCGUCUGUGGCUCUAACCUAGAUCUACCAGUGACGUAGAGGGUGAGAGUUACGAUUCAUGGAAACCCGUUCGUGCGGCGUGGGCCGCCGUGAUCAUCGCCGGAGAGGUGGUGGUCGUCAGGGUGGACGCGGCGGCGGUCGAGACAACAAUCGUGCAGUACUUCUAGAGCAAGAGUAGGAGGCUUCCUCGGAAGGUGUUCACUCGGUGGCGCAGUCACCAGCGUCGCUGGUAAACUUAGCUCCGGGAAAGCCCUCAGAUCUGAUAGCCAAAUCAGAUCCAGGUGUCAGGCGACGAUCAGCGCCGCCUGAGUACGUAAACUUAGAAGAUCUUAAAAACAGCGCUCCGAGGAAAACACAAGAAGUGAUAACGGGUAUCACACCCGCGGAUUUGAAGCAAAUGUUGGAUACCUUGCAAAAGGUACAAAACCAGAACGAGCAGUUACAAGCCCAGGUGGAAUAUUUAACUCAGAGGCAAGAUUUUAAGCAGGGACAACGUCUUGAGGCUGAGGAUGUCGUCGAAUUUCAACCUUUUGUUCCAGCCAUCACAAAGGUGGACAUACCAAAGCUUUUGCAAACAAUGACAUUAGACGCCUUUUCUGGCGAUUCUGAUCCCAUGGAACAUUUGAGGUACUUUAACACCAAAAUGGUUAUUGGUGGGGUGACGGACGAGGUGAAGUGCAGAUUGUUGCCUUCAACAUUCAAGGGAAUGGCGAUGCAGUGGUUCAUUAGACAACCGCCCUUCUCCAUUGACAAUUUUACGGAUUUGUCUACUAAAUUCUUAACUCAAUUCUCCGCCAACAAAACUACAAAAGCAACUAUGUUUGACUUUAUCAGCAUACAUCAACAGCCAGGAGAGAAGCUAAAGACCUACAUGGCGCGCUUCAGUAAGAUGGUUGUUCAACUGGAGGAGGACAACCCGGAUGUAUGCCUGGCGUCUUUCAAAAAUGGCCUUAGGGCGAGAGAUUUGAAUCGAGAUUUAACAAGACAACCAGCGAGGGACAUGAUGGAUCUUCGCGCUCGCGUUCAGGAAUUCAUCUUAAUUGAGCAAGACGAUCAGAAAAAGCAAGAAAGGGAGGAGGGGCGAAAACACGCCCAGCCCGGGGGAGUUUCGCAGGAAAAACCCAAGGCUGGAAAGGAAACAAGGAUAGCUCAAACUCCACGUAUACCAAGGCCUGGUCCAUAUCAAAACUCCAAACCCGGAUUCCAGAAUACAUGGCAUAGAAAUCCCCAAGGUACCACUACAGCCUCGGCUGGUCAACAUGGUGCCUCGCCAACUCCAGUUCCACUUACUAAACUGAAUGCCCCCCUAAGCACCAUAUUGAAAGCAUUUGGACAGACAAAUGUUGUGCAAUAUCCGCCGCCGCCUCGGCGACCACCAACUAAUGUGGAUACAAACAGAUGGUGUGAGUACCACAAAACGUUGGGGCACACCACAGAUAAUUGUUGGAACUUGCGGCGGGAGAUUGAUCGGCUAAUCAAGGCUGGCCAUCUGGCAAAUUUUGUUAAAGAGGCAGCAACACCGGAGGCCACUAAGGUAACUCAAGGGGACAAAGGAAAAGGAAAGGAGAUAGUAGAGGAAUUGGGCGACCCUGUUGGGGAAUGCUCAUCCAUUGCAGGGGGAUUUGGAGGGGGCACGAUUUCUAGCAAGGCCAGAAAGCGUUAUGUGGCGGCAGUACAUUCCGUGCACGAAGCAUACGAGGGCGAAUGUUGGUUGAAUCACUCUCCAAUUAUAUUCACCCCUCAGGAUUUUGCACAUGUAAUUCCUCAUGACAACGACCCGAUUGUUGUAACAAUCAGGGUUAACAACUACAUGACAAAAAAAGUGUUUUUAGAUCAGGGAUCUUCGGUGGACAUCAUUCAUGAAGAUGUCUUUGAUCGCCUGGGGUUAAAGGAGUCAGAUUUGAAACCAUAUAAAGGAACCCUGGUGGGAUUUACAGGGCAUCACGUCAAUGUGCGGGGAUACGUGGAAAUACCAACAGCCUUUGGUGAAGGAGAGUUCGUCAAGAAAUUUCAAGUGAAGUAUCUAGUAUUGGCGUGUAGAGCUAAUUACAACGUACUUUUGGGGUGGGACACUUUUAACAAGUUAUGCGCUGUAAUUUCAACCGCUCAUUUAACUAUCAAAUACCCAGCCUGCAAUGGGAAGAUCGGGGUCCUUCGCGUGGAUCAGAAUGCGGCGAGAGAAUGUUACCUAAGAAGUGUGGCGCUCUAUGGGCGAAAAGCCGCCAAGGAAAGCCACCGUAUCACGGAAAUUUUUCCACAAUAAGGGUUUAGUUUAGACCCAAGGGAUGAUGCUGAUGAUUUCCGCCCACAACCUUUGGAAGAAACUAAAUCAGCGCAAAUCAAGGAUAAGAUUUUGAAGAUUGGCAACAGUUUAACAAAAGAACAGGAGGACAGGUUGAUCACCCUUUUGGGCGAUAAUUUGGAUCUCUUUGCAUGGACAAUUAAUGAUGUACCAGGGAUUGACCCCAAUGUGAUCACUCAUAAACUGGCCAUAAGGCCAGGGGCGACGCCAGUCAUCCAGCCAAGGCGAAGGAUGAGUGAUGAAAAGAACAAGGCGGUGCAAGUAGAAACUGAAAAGUUAAUCAAGGCCCAAUUCAUUCGCGAGGUGCAGUACCCAACCUGGCUCGCCAACGUAGAGAUGGUCAAGAAAGCCAGUGGGAAGUGGAGAAUGUGCACGGAUUACACAAGUCUGAACAAAGUGUGUCCCAAAGAUUCAUAUCCUCUUCCCAAUGUUGAUAAAUUGGUGGAUGGGGCUUCCGGAAAUGAACUUUUAAGUCUCAUGGAUGCAUACUCUGGGUAUAAUCAAAUUAUGAUGCAUCCCUCGGACGAGGAAAGUACAACAUUCAUGACUAAUCAGGCGAAUUAUUGUUACAAAACUAUACCUUUUGGUUUGAAAAAUGCGGGAGCUACAUACCAACGCCUCAUGGAUAAAAAAAUUUCAAGACAAGUUGGAAGGAACAUGGAAGUAUAUGUGGAUGAUAUGAUUGUUAAGUCCGCCAAGUCCAGUGACCACGGCGAUGAUCUUAAGGAAGCAUUUGCUCAACUAAGAAAAUAUUGAAUGAAGUUAAAUCCCGAGAAAUGUUCAUUUGGGAUUCAAGGGGGAAAGUUUUUGGGAUUCAUGAUAACAUCAAGGAGGAUAGAAGUAAAUCCUGAUAAAGGCAAGGCGAUCUUGGAAAUGAAAAGCCCAACAAAUGUCAAGGAAGUACAACGAUUAACAGGACGCAUGGCUGCCUUAGCACGUUUCUUGCCAAUGGCGGGCGACAAAGCAGCUCCGUUCUUCACUUGUUUGAAAAAGAACUCGAAGUUUCAAUGGACCGAGGCAUGUGAACAAGCUUUUACUAAAUUGAAAGAAUCAUUAGCAACGUUACCGGUACUAUCCAAGCCCACGCUAGACGUUCCUUUGACGCUCUACUUGGCAGUCACGGAUAGGGCGGUCAGUACGGUGUUGCUUCAGGAAGAAGGGAAAAAGCAGAAGGUUAUAUAUUGUGUGAGUCAUACUCUGCAAGGUGCUGAAUUGCGAUACCAAAAAAUCGAGACGCCUUAGGCCAUACUUCCAAAGUUUCCUAAUCAGAGUUAAAACUGAUGUUCCCCUAAGACAGGUACUUCAGAAACCCGAUCUGUCAGGGCGAUUGGUCAGCUGGUCAGUCGAGUUGUCUGAAUAUGAUAUACAGUAUGAGCCAAGGGGACAAGUUACAAUCCAAAGCUUGAUUGACUUUGUGGCGGAAUUAACACCCACAGAAGGCGAGAAAACUCAGGGAGAGUUGGUCAUGUCUGUUGAUGGAUCCUCCAACGAUACAGGAAGUGGGGAAGGAAUAACUAUUGAAAGCCCGGAUAAGAUGGUCAUCGAGCAAUCUUUGAAAUUCGAGUUUAAGGCGAGCAACAAUCAAUCAAAAUACGAGGCACUAAUCGCCGGAUUAAGGCUCGCCAUUGAAUUAGGCGUUCAGAAAUUGUUCAUCAAAGGCGACUCGCAGCUGGUUGUUAAGCAGGUAAAAGGCGAGUAUCAAGUGUAAGAUCCACAACUUUCUAAAUACCUGGAAAUGGUACAUAGAUUAAUGAUGGAGAUAGAGAAGAUCAGGAUAGAACAUGUUCCAAGAAGUCAAAAUGAAAGGGCUGACGUGCUAGCAAAAUUGGCCAGUACGGGGCGAUUGGGCAAUUAUCAAACAGUCAUCCAGGAAACCCUUCCUCGCCCCAGUAUUGACUUGGUGGAAGUUAAGUUAAAAGCAGUAAAGUUAGUGAUCGAGGCGAGCCUUCGUGGAUGGAAUCAAUCAAGACUUUCCUCAAAAAUCCUCCGAAGGAUGAUGAUCUGAACACAAAAGAAAAGCGUAGGGAGGCUAGUUUUUACACGCUGGUAGACGGUGAGCUAUAUCGACGGGGAAUUAUGUCUCCUAUGCUCAAAUGUGUUGACAUAAGAGAUGCCCUGGGUAUCAUGGCGGAAGUUCACGAAGGAGUAUGCUCCAGUCACAUAGGUGGGCGAUCAUUGGCAGUAAAGGUAUUGAGGGCAGGAUUUUACUGGCCGACGAUGAAGAAAGACUGCCUGGAAUACGUCAAGAAGUGUGAAAAGUGUCAAGUUUUUUUUCUGACUUACAUAAAGCCCCGCCUGAAGAGUUAACAACCAUGAUGGCACCUUGGCCAUUUGCUAUGUGGGGUGAAGGUAUGAAAAACGGUAGAAAGGGGGGGUUUGAAUAACGUUUUCAAGAUAAAACUUCCACCUUAAAGAUUUUGGCAAAUCCUUCGAAACAAACUAUGUGCUAAAGAUAAGAAAUAGAAAAGCACACAAGGAUUUUAUCCUGGUUCACUUGAUAAAUCACUCAAGCUAAUCCAGUCCACCCGUUAAGGUGAUUUCUUCCUUCUUAGAAUGAAGGCAAUCCACUAAUCAGGUAUGUGUUACAACUGCACUUGAAAUCUACAAGUGACUAACAAUACACUGACUUAGCUCACACUAAGAUUCACUCUCUUAGUCUUCUCUAGGAUCCAAUCAACCUUGAUCUCCUAAAGGCAAACUAUACAACUGUAUAUGAAGUUCUUGUUUACAAAGAAAGUGCUUCUAAAAAGCUUAUAGUAAACACAAUGAAAUUCAAGAUGAAAGAAAGCUUAGAAGGAUUUGAAUAUUUCUUGCGCGUGUGUGAAUGCUUCUUUCCGCUUCUUUCAAUCUUCAGCCUCUAUUUAUACUCCAAGGAUUAGGGUUGAACGUUGCAUGGAAAUGCUACCGUUGGAGGGCAGUUCUGGAAAUUCCAGCUUCUGCUGUGGCUGAGGAUGUUAGGUAGGUCGUCAGGAUAGUACACUUUGCUUUUGUACUUUGGAUAGUGACUU
rnacentral:lncRNA from 1 species